rnacentral:lncRNA from 1 species
UGACAAUGACACUCCUUACACAAUUAUGUUUGGUCCUGACAAGUGUGGUUCAACGAACAAGGUUCACUUCAUCCUGAAGCACAAGAACCCCAAGACUGGCAAAUAUGUUGAACAUCACCUCAAGUCCCCACCCUCUGUCCCAUAUGACAAGCUCUCUCAUGUCUACACGGCUAUCUUGAAGCCGGAUAACGAGGUCAGAAUUUUGGUUGAUGGGGAGGAGAAGAGCAAAGCAAACUUCCUGUCCGCUGACGAUUUUGAGCCAGCACUUAUUCCAUCAAAGACCAUUCCUGACCCUGAUGACAAGAAGCCAGAGGACUGGGACGAGAGAGCUAAAAUCCCUGACCCAGCUGCAGUGAAGCCCGAUGACUGGGAUGAGGAUGCCCCAACAGAAAUUCUGGAUGAGGAGGCCACCAAGCCAGAAGGAUGGUUGGAUGAUGAGCCUGAGGAAGUUGAUGACCCAGAGGCUGCUAAGCCCGAAGACUGGGAUGAUGAGGAGGAUGGCGAAUGGGAGGCACCGAAGAUCGACAACCCCAAGUGUGAAGAGGCACCUGGAUGUGGUGAAUGGAAGAGGCCAAUGAAGCAGAACCCUGCCUACAAGGGCAAGUGGCAUGCACCCCUGAUUGACAACCCUGCCUACAAGGGAAUCUGGAAGCCCCAAGAAAUCCCCAACCCAGAGUACUUUGAGCUUGACAAGCCUGACUUUGAUCCGAUUGCCGCUAUUGGAAUUGAGAUCUGGACAAUGCAGGAUGGCAUCCUUUUUGACAACAUUCUUAUCGCCGAUGAUGAGAAGGUAGCCACAGCCAUCUUGGAGAAGACCUGGAAGCCCAAGUUUGAUGUUGAGAAGGAAAAGCAGAAGGCUGAGGAGGCUGCAGCAGCCGAUUCAGAGGACCUUUCUGAGUUCCAGGUAAUUCAUUCUUCUGAUGUUUUCCGUACAUUAUAUUUGCCCUUCAUUGUAUUGCUGCAUGCAUGUUAUCGCUAACUUAUUUGGUAUGUGCAAUGCAGAAGAAGAUAUUCAGCGUUUUGUACAAAAUCGCUGACAUUCCAUUCUUGGAACCUUACAAGAUCAAGAUCAUUGUAAGGACUGAAGAACCUUGCUUGUCUCCUCUGUUCAAUCAGUUCUGUGUGUUCUCUGAAAAAUGACAUAUAAUCUCUGUCUCGCAGGAUAUUAUUGAGAAGGGAGAGAAGCAGCCCAACAUUACAAUUUCGAUCUUGGCCUCAGUUGCUGUCAUCCUUGUUACUGUGCUCUUCAGAACCAUUUUCGGUGGCAAGAAGCCAGUGGUAUUGUUACUUUCGACGCCUGCCAGUGCUAUAUACUGCUUGCCUAAAACCUGAACCAAAUUGACCGACCAUAUUUUUUGCUUCCUGUAGGCACCUGUGAAGCCCGUUGCCGAGGUCAAGAAGCCCAAUGCCACGGAAGCUGAUGCCGCUGGAAGCAGCGGCGACAAGGAGGAGAAAGAGGACGACACCACCGCACCACGCAGAAGGUCGAGAAGGGAGACAUAGGCUAGGUCUUAGGACCUUCACAUUUCGGACGUCUCGGUCCUUGCCUUUUUGUGAACUCCUGAGUGUAUAAUCGAACAGUCUUGCUGCCCUCUGCUGCUACCCUUAGUUUUAAGUCGCUAGAAUCUACGAGCCGGUGAAGCUUUGUGUUGUUUGUGUGCUGUCCUGAAUCAGCUAGAAGUGAUCUUCUUUUCCUUUUGUAUCAAACGAAACUUGAAAGGAUCUUUUGAUAUUUAGAUGCUGUUCAUUUACUGGUUAAAUCAGGUUUGAGCCUGGGGCGGCAUCUGGUUAUCCACGUCCUGCCUCGUCCAACCUCGUCCAUGAACCAAACAUGUGGUAGAGAAAAUUCCUUAUGUAAUACUGUUUUAAAUUUUGUUUUUCUAUUUGACACUUAAUUUUUUUCUUCCUUAUCUAACACCGUGGCUAAAUUUUUAUGUCCUUUAUGACACUUUCGUCCAUUUUUAGCCUUAGUGGUGUUAAAUAACACCUGAAAAGACCUAUUUGCCCCUCAUGUUUUAUGUGACAAAAAAAUUAUGUGGUAAUUUAGCUUCAGUAUAUGCGACUCUGUCUGGACGGCAAGCCUGGUAGAUCUACCAUUUUAUAUUCUUAACCAAUAUACUAGUGUGCCGAGUACAUACGGGAAGUUUUGCCAUCAAUUGAGUGCUCCAUUGAACCGACUUUAAGUCAGGCUGCCAUUAAAAAGUUUUGCCAUCAAGAAGCAUUUUGCCAUCAAUUGGAUGGAUGCUCCCCGGCGAGACCUGACAAAUCGAUUUACACCCGUACACACCUUGUUAUUUUGCAAUUCAGUAUAAAUUUUUCGGGCCAAUGCUUCUUGAUGUCAGUAUAAAUUUGUUUAGAUCAUGAAUAGCUACAAAAAAUGCUAGUUGUAACGUAGUUUAUAUAUGUAUGUACCCAGCCCCUUUUAUAACAACCCUGAGUUGAGAUCGAAAGAAAGACCGUGUGGCCAUCAUCAAUCGCCUCGUGAGAUCGAAAGAAAGACCGUGUGGCCAUCAUCAAUCGCUUCCUCCAAUACAUAUAGCUGGUUAGCUUUUUUCGAAAAAAGGUGCUUUAUUACUUAAAAAGUUUAAACAUUACACCCGGCCUCUGCAUAACUAAGAUGUACACAGCCAAUAAAGUCCUCACACCAAACUAAAAUAGAAUCAUCAAGUGAGAGAACGGCUGCUAGCUUCCUCUGGUACGUACAUAAGUACAUAAGUAUACAUCCAACUAGAAUCAAUCCAUCUCCCCGCCUACUUGUUUCUUGUGUACGUGCUAGCCUCGUACGGAACCCAUUAGCUCGGAAAGUACCAUGAAUAUACGUCGGAAAGCACCCUGCUACAACGCCGUCGAGGUCAGGACCAAGGCCAACACAAAACGAGUCGGCCCGAUACACACAUACACGAAUUAGGGGCAAAUACGUCUUUUCAGAUGUCAUUUAACACCACUAAAGUUAAAAAUGGACGAAAGUGUUAUAAAGAGCAUAAAAUUUAGACUCGGUACCAAAUAAGGAAGAAAAAGUUUUCCAGUGUUAAAUAAGGCAAUAAAUUUUAAGACAAUGUUAAAUAAGGAAUUCUCUUCAUGUGGUAUCCACCCUAAAUAUGGCUAUCCCUGUCCCUUGGGUGGCUGUCCCUCCAACCAAACAUAUCCUUACUGGAUGCGCGCAUGGGUCUCUUUUUGUGGGGACCAUGGAGGGUGUUUUUGAUUCAUAGCAUUUUUGAAACACAAAUACAAAAAUGGGUCGUGAAAAUUAAUUAUGGAUUGAUUUGAGGAUGGAAUUUUUCAUCAACAUAGUACAAAUCCUCCCCCGGUAGUGAAAACUUAGGUCAACUCCACCGCGCGACCCUAUCCUGUCCGGCCCCGUCCGUUUGGGGUAAAAGGGACAAAAAAGGCGGCCUGGUGCGCGGGAGCAAACGGACUUUUGUCCGCUUUGUGUCCGCUUUCGACCCAUUCUCGGCCCAAACUUGCGCCGCUUUUGGGGUGAAACGGACACCACGUGGACACGCGGGUCGUCUGCGCGUGUCCUCCCCUGGCCCGCCCGUCGGUGGCACAAGACGGGCCUUUUUCUAUCCGCCCCCUCCCUCCCUCCGGCCGCACCCCCUCCACUCUUCCCCACUCUUCCCGUCGCUGCCGUCGCCGCUGCCAUUGCAGCCGUGCAGUUCGGACGCGAGCUCGCCCAACCCCUUUCCCUCGGCACCGGGCUCGGACGCGACCACGACCACCUGGUUUGCGCACCCGCCGGUCGGUUUUGGGGCGGAUCCGGUCGGUCUUGAGCUCGGCCGGCUGUGGGAGGCCGGGCCGCGCCAUGGACUGGCCGGGCACCUCGCCGGAAGGCCCUGGCAGGGCCGCAAGGCCACAUCCAGGCAGUGGCUCCUCCUCUAGCCGCUCGGAUCUGCACCGUCGGUGGUCCGCUGGCAGAUACACGAAUGGCGGUCGGCCGGGCUCGGUGCUUGCCAAAAGCUCGCCGGCGCACCGUUGCCACUCAUUAAGUGCGACCACUGUCCAAGGAUGGUCGUGCGCCGCGUGUCUACAACGCCGGAACAUCCCGGAUGGGUGUUCAUCAAGUGCUUAAACGAUGGGGUAUGCACUUUCUUUAGCUUCGGUUUGUGCUCUAGAUUUAACUAGUUAUGCUUUUAACUAGUUAUGCUAACUUCAAAUUUUGUUGUGUAGAAUAGAUGCAAGUUUUGGUAUUGGAAAGAAGAGUACAUCGAUAUAUUGAUAGAGCGAAAUUUAGUACAUUUCGUGCACUUUUAGCUAGCAUAGAGGCUGUAAAUGAGACAAGUGCACUUGUUGCUAGAUUAGAGGCUAGACACGAGACUAGGUGUGAGAGGAAGCAACAUCGACUUCUGGCUUGAAGAAGAAAGGAGGAUGCCAGAUCGAGCCUCCUCCUCCACAGAUCAACAACGAGUGCAUCGAGAAGGCCCUAACCCAACUCAAGGGAGCAGUUAUGGAAGUUGGGUAUCUUCUAAAAUGUAUUCUUGUGGUUCUUGUUUUCUUUGAUCUUACUUUACUAGUCAAAAUGUGAUGAUGUAUUUUUCAUGUACCAAAAAUGAAUGAUGAAAUAAAGUUAAGGACUUGCAAAGAAAUAAUACGCGGACAGGAUGCGGCCGGGAUGCGUCCGCGCGCUGGGCGCACGGCCACCGCAUCCCAGGACAGAUCCGGACACGACCCCAAAUCCUUAUCCAAAAGGAUAAAAACCGGACAAAACGGAUGUCCGUUUGGAAUCGCGCGGUGGAGUUGGCCUUACCUCCUUCGAGAUCUCCGGAAACCUGGCAGGCUGUCCCGUCCAAAUGCGGGCCGGCCCUCCCAAUUGUGCAGACGCGCCGUGGAGACAUGCUCUUCCACCACCCACGGGCUGCUUGGACAGAGGGGAGAUGGGCUCGGAGAAGAUAGCCUGGUUUAUUUGCGCAAAUUCCUAGACGCGGACGAGCUCGCCUGGUCACAGUAUCGUGAGGCGUCCACUGCUUAUCGAAUAUAGUACGUGUGACGCCCUCGAUUCAAUCGUACACUAAUCAUACACGCAAAUGUGUACAAUCAAGAUCAAGGACUCACGGGAAGAUAUCACAACACAACUCUAGACACAAAUUAAAAUAAUACAAGCUUUAUAUUACAAGCCAGGGGCCUCGAGGGCUCGAAUACAUCAGCUUGAAAACAAACGAGUCAGCGGAAGCAACAAUAUCUGAGUACAGACAUAAGUUAGACAAGUUUGCCUUAAGAAGGCUAGCACAAAACAACAACGAUCGAAAAGGCAAGGCCUCCUGCCUGGGAGCCUCCUAACUACUCCUGAUCAUCCGUGGUCUCCGUCACGUGGUAGUAGGCACCCUCGGGGUAGCAGCAGUCGUCAAAGGUGGCAUCUGGCUCCUGGACUCCACCAUCUGGUUGCAACAACCAGAAAGAAGAAAGAAGGGGGAAAAGGGGAAGCAAAGCAACCGUGAGUACUCAUCCAAAGUACUCGCAAGCAAGGAUCUACACUACAUAUGCAACAUUAUCAAAGGAAGGCUAUAUAUGUGGACUGGGCUGCAGAAAUGCCAAAAUAGAGAGAAGGCCUAGUCCUAUCGAAGACUAGCAUCUUCUGGAAACCACCAUCUUGCAGCAAACAAGAGGGAGUAGAGUAGCAUAAAGUAAAGUGGUAGUAGUGUUAUCAACCUCGGCCAGAGAUCCUUUCUCGACUCCCUGCGAGAAAGCAAUCCCAGAGCCAUACUAUCCAGUUAUCAUCACAAUCAAAUCCUCAUCACCAUCCAGUUCUCAUCACAAGUAUCCAGUUCUAGUUGUAUCGAUCGGGAUACAACUCCAAGUGUCCGUUACCGUAGGACAGGCUAUCGAUAGAUGUUUUCUUCCCUGCAGGGGUGCACCAACUUACCCACCACGCUCGCUUAACUCCGGCCGGACACACUUUCCAGGGUCAUGCCCGGCCUCGGCCAAACAAUACGCCGCAACCCGACCUAGACUUAACAGAGAGGUCAGCACGCCGGACUAAACCUAUGCCCCCAGGGGUCAUGGGCCAUCUCCCCGGAAACUCCUGCACAUUGCGUACGCGGCCGGUGAGCAGACCUAGCUACCUCCUUCAACAAGGCAGGCGCUUGCGCAGUCCAACCCGGCGCGCGCCACUCAGUCGCUGACGUCUAUUAAGCUUCGGCUGAUGUAUACGACGCAGAACGCCCAUACUAUGCCCACGUGAUGGUUAGUGCUAUCAGGCCAGAGGCCCCUCGGAUCAAAUAUCCAAAUCGUAGUGGAUUAGGAACGCGCGGUAACAAGCAGAGACUCACGAAAGAAGUGACCCCGUUGCCCCGUCUCGAGGACUUGCGGCAAGGGCUAAGAAUGCCCGGCCACGCCUCGUAAUUAUCUCACGGGCACCUUCCAGGUCAACCCGUCUCCACAUCACUUUCCAAGUAACAGAUGUAUAGCCCAAGUAUCCGUGUGUCCAAACAUCAAGAGGAAGACCCAAGGAAUCACCCUCGGUGGUUUCCACUCAAUGUAAUCAUCAAGGUGAACGUAGAGGAAUCACCCUCGAGGUUCACACUGGAGGGGUUGCACGACAGAGCCGUAUCGGAAGUGGUUAAGGAGGAAAUCACCCUCGAUGACCACGACCGAAUAGCUACACUACAGGUUAACAUCAGAAGUGCUGUAGAGGUCUCACCCUCGGCACUUGAUAGUAACCCAGCAGUGUCGAGCAACUAAGGGGAAAGUGACGUGCGGUGCCGGGGCCUGGUCUCCGAUCCCGUUGAUCGGGUCUUCAAUGAUGAAGCAGGGGCAACAAGGACAAGGUGGGGGUCACUGAUGGAUCACUAACCAACCUAUACUAAGCAGAUUAGGAUAAGCAGGUAAGGUACAAUAACGGGUACAAAAGCAGGCUAUGCAUCAGAAUAGGAGCAUACAAUAACAGUAGCAAAAUCUAAUGCAAGCAUGAGAGAAAGGAAUGGGCGAUAUCGGGAUGAUCAAAGGGGGGGCUUGCCUGGUUGAUCUGGCAAGGAGGGGUCGUUGUCGACGACGUAGUCGAUCAUCGGGGCAUCAGCGGCCUCGGGGUCUACCGGAGAGAAGAGGGGGAAGAAACAGUAAAUACAUAGCAAACAGAGGUAACACUAAGCAUGACAUGACGAUACGUAGCGCUAAGCGUGCUCUAACGCAGUCCUAGACGUUAUAGGUGAAGGGGGAAAUCAACCGGGAAGGUGUUCCCGGUUCCGGACCUGUGUCAGACAAAUGACCGGAGGGGGAAAGUUCCAUGUUCAGCAUGCUAGGGGCAUGUGACAGAUGAACGGACCGCGUAUUCGGAUUCGUUGGAUUUUUCUGAGCAACUUUCAUAUAGAAAACAUUUUCAUCGGAGUUACGGUUUAAAAGUUACGGAUUUUCAAAGUUUAAACCAAUUUCUGAAUUAUUUUAAAAGCAGAAAAGGUUUAUUGCGUCAGUAGUGACGUCAGCAUUGCGUCAGCUCUGCUGACCAGUCAAACUGACAGGUGGGACCCACCUGUCAGCCUCUCUGUCUAACAGAGGCUUAACUAAGCUAACAGGGUUAGUUAGGGGGCGUGGGCCCCAGCAGUCAGUGACUGGUUAGUACUAACUAACUAACUAAUUUAAUUAACGUUUUAAUUAAUCAUUUUUAUUUAGAAAAAAAACAUUUAUUUAACAAAAAUAUGCGAUGGGGCCCGCGUGUCAGAGACACUGUGUGCCCAGUCAACACCGUUGACUGAGUCAACUUAGUCAACAGGGGCCCGCGGGGCCCGCUGGCAGUGACCCAGGGGGGUGGCCCUGACCGGCCACGUCGGCAGGGCGCCGGAGAAGGCUCCGGCGACCUCUCCCGCGACGGCACGACGCCAGAGACGGCCAGGAUUCGCCUACAGGGGGCCAACACAGGCGCGGGCGGGCGCGUUCGAACGUGCACGAGACGGCGCAUCCAACGGUGGCACUAGCACGACCGGAGAUGGACUAAAAUGACGGCGGCGAGCAGCGAGGCGGACGCUGGAGAUCGGGCAGCGACGGAAACAGAGCUAGAGGGCGCAGGGAGACGAGCUAGAGGCUCGGGCGGCACCAGGGAGACGCCCUGAGCACGCUCGUGUGCUCGGAUGAGCAUGACGACGCCCACAGCGACGACGGUGUGCUAUGCGGCGGAGCUGAGCUCGGCCAUGGCGGACGCGGUGGCUACGGGGGCGCACGAGUCCAGGGGAGCGAGGGAAGGGGAAAUGGGGCUCACCGCGCGGCGCAAGAAAGGCCCGUGGUAGUUUAGGAGCAGCAGGAGUCUACGGUGUUCAUCGGGGAAGAAGGGGAUCGCCGGCAACCCGAGGAAGACGACGACGUGGUCGGCGACGCAGAGCUCCUCGGCUCCUUCCAGCGGCUUCAGAAGAUGCGGCAGUCCACGGCGAUGCCGAGGAGCACGGCCAGGCCGCGUCGAAGGCACGGUGGCCGCGGAGAUGACGAAGACGCGGCGGCGAUGGCGCUCGGAGCAGAUGGAGAGAACUCGAGAGGGGAUCUGGUGGGGAGAGGCAGAGGCAGAGAGGGCGAGGGGAACCUAGGAGUGGGUGGAGGUAGGUGGGGGAGGUCUCGAGGAGCCGGAGGGGGAGGCUCUUAUCCACCCGCGGCGUUGCCGGCGAGGUGGUCGGGCGGCGACGAGCCCCUGUAGCGGCGCGCAUCGGGGGAACAGGAGGGAGGGGAGAGCGACCGGGGAGGUUGGGCCGGCUGGGCUGGUUGGGGCCAAGGGGGGGGCAGGGGGCUGUGGGUCGCCGAGGCCCAAGGGGAGGCCAGGGCUCCCCCACCCCCUCUUCUUUUCCUUUUUUUGUAAACAGCUUUUGCAUUUUCUUUUCUUUUAGCCAAUAAAGACUUUGCAAAAGAUUAUGCCAUUGGACAAAAUAAUCUCAAAGAAAUAUUAGGCACUGCCCAAAAAGAUUGUGAGGCUUUAGAAAUAGUUUGCCAUUUUCAUAAAUUAAAAAGGCAUUUAAUUUAUUUCUUAGGCCACUGUUUGAAGUAGCUUAGGCCACUCAAACCUUUUUGCAAAAAUGUUGGUUCACCACUAAUAUUAGUUGUGGAAUAUUCUGCACAUGAUGAACAUUUUUGUAUUCAUGUCUGAGCAUUUUGAAUUUCAGACAAAAUUUGAAUUUGAAUUCAAAUGGAAUGUGAAAGAACAUGAGACAAUAAUGAUCAGGCACAUGUUUAGCAAAAAGAUUAACUUAACCCCAGGGGUUACUGUAGCAUCAUUACACCGGGGUGUUACAACUCUCCUCCUCUAAAAGAAAUUCUCGUCCCGAGAAUUAAGAGGUAGAAGGGAAAAGAUCGGGGUAUUCAGCCCGGAGGUUAUCUUCGCGUUCCCAAGUGGCUUCCUCUUUAGUAUGAUUCGACCAUUGCACCUUGAGGAACUUAGUAACCUUCUGGCGGGUUCGACGUUCAGCUUCUUCAAGAAUGCAGAUCGGAUGCUCCUUGUAUGUGAGAUCAUCUUGAAUUUCAAUCAAUUCCGGAUCCACUUCACGUUCCGGAUCCUUGAAGCAUCGACGAAGUUGCGACACAUGGAAGACGUCAUGAACGUGAGAGAACUGAGGUGGCAACUCCAGUUGAUAAGCCACCAGUCCACGACGGGCGAGAAUACGGAAGGGACCAAUGUAGCGAGGAGCUAACUUUCCCUUGACUCCGAACCGAUGAGUGCCUCUCAAAGGAGUGACACGCAGAUAAGCUUGUUCGCCAGGUUGAUAAGUUGAACCCCAGUGUUUCCGGUCAUAGUUGCUCUUCUGGCGGGAUUGGGCCGCCUUGAGAUUAUCCCGGACAAUGCGAACCUGCUCUUCAGCUUGUUGAAUAAUGUCCGGACCAAUGAGUGCUCGUUCCCCAGUUUCUGACCAAUUCAGAGGGGUUCGGCACUUACGUCCAUAAAGCACUUCAAAGGGUGCCAUCUUCAAGCUGGCUUGAUAGCUGUUGUUAUAAGAGAACUCCGCAUAAGGGAGAGAUUCUUCCCACUUCUUGCCGAAAGAAAUAACACAAGCUCGAAGCAUGUCUUCAAGAAUUUGAUUGACUCGCUCGACUUGGCCUUGGGAUUGGGGAUGAUAAGCAGUGCUCCAGGUAAUAUUAGUUCCCAUUGCCUCUUGGAAACUAUCCCAGAACUUAGAAGUGAAAAUACUGCCGCGGUCUGAACUGAUCUCCUUCGGAAUGCCGUGGAGUGACACAAUUCGGGAGAUAUACAAGGUUGCCAAUUGACUAGCAGUGAUAGUCUCCUUGACUGGCAGAAAGUGAGCAACCUUCGAGAAUUGGUCGAUGACGACAAAGAUAGCAUCGUUACCUUUCUGAGACUUGGGAAGGCCAGUGACGAAGUCCAUUUGGAUCUUAUCCCACUUCCAUUCAGGAAUCGGAAGCGGUUGUAGAAGUCCAGCCGGUUUUUGAUGUUCUGCUUUGACGCGACGGCAAACGUCACAUUCUUCGAUAUAUCGAGCAAUGUCUUGCUUCAUCUUAGACCACCAGUACUUCUGACGGAUGUCAAGAUACAUCUUGGUACUUCCCGGAUGAAUAGAGAGAGGGGUGUCAUGCGCUUCUUUCAUCACCUUCUCUGUCAUAAGCUCGAACCGGGGUACGACAAUGCGAUCUCUGAAGUAUAAGGUUCCAUAUUCACCAAGUGAGAAAUCUCUGGAUUUCUCUAAGGCAAGAUCCUUUUUCAUCAGAUCAACAUGAGCAUCUUUGGCUUGAGCAGACUUGAUUGCUUUCAGAAGAGUUGGUUCCAAAACAAGGUUAUUCAGAGAACCCUGUGGAAUUAGUUGAAGGUUCAGCUUGCAUAGCUCUUCAUAAAGGCGGGGUUGAGCUUUGUAGACCUGGUGAUUAUUGCAAUAAGACUUUCGGCUUAGGGCAUCGGCCAUUACAUUAGCCUUGCCAGGUGUAUAAGAUAUACCGCAGUUGUAGUCAGCAAUAGCUUCCAUCCAUCGCUGCUGACGGAGGUUCAGAUCUGGCUGAGUAAACAGGUACUUCAGACUCUGAUGAUCAGUGAAGAUCUCACAACGAUUACCGAGAAGGUAUUGUCGCCAUAGCUUCAAUGCAAAGAUAACCGCUGCAAGCUCAAGGUCAUGAACCGGGUAGUUUUCUUCGUGAGGACGCACUUGACGGGAGGCAUAGGCAAUCACCCUGCGCUCUUGCAUUAGAACACAGCCUAAUCCUUGACGUGAAGCGUCACAAUAGAUGACAAAGUCCUUGCGAGAAUCAGGGGGAGCAAGCACUGGGGCAGAAGUUAGUUUAUCCUUGAGUGCCUGGAAACUUUCCUGACAUUUGUCUAUCCAAUCGAACUUAACGCCUUUGUGAAGCAGAUUAGUCAGUGGCUUGGCGAUCUUGGAGAAGUUCUCGACAAAGCGGCGACAAUAGCUGGCCAGUCCGAGAAAGCUUCUGACUUGCUUGACAGUCUUCGGAGGGGUCCAGUCAAGAAUAGCCUGAACGCGCUCUGGGUUGACGGCAAUACCAUCCUUGGAGAUAACAUGACCAAGGUAGGUGACUUCGGGUAACCAGAAUUCACACUUGGAAUACUUGGCAUAAAGUUGAUGUUCUCGAAGCUUCUCCAGAACAAGACGAAGAUGUUCAGCAUGUUCUUCUUUAUUCUUCGAAUAUACCAGUAUAUCAUCCAGAUAGACUACGACGAACUUGUCGAGGUAAUCCAUGAAUAUAUAGUUCAUCAGACGAGAGAAUGUAGCUGGAGCAUUGGUUAAACCUGUAACGCCCGGGUGGUUAUGCUACAGUAAUCGUCCCGGUUCGGUUAAAUAACCUCUCGUUAAUUCGGACCCGUCCUAAAAAAUAUUUAAAACUAAAACAAAUGAUAACGAGUUCCGAAAAUAAGUUCUAAAAUGUUCUGGGGUUUUCUAAAAUAACUAACCUAAUAUUGGUGGGGUGCAAUAAUUUUUACAAAAUGCCAGAGCAUUUUAAAUAAACCAAUAACAGAAAAGGAAAAUAAUAAAUGAAAAGCAAAAUAAAAGAGAGGGGGAUAACCCCCCCCCCCUGGCCCAGCCAGCCGGCCCCCUCCCCACUCCCCCUUUUNNNNNNNNNNNNNNNNNNNNNNNNNNNNNNNNNNNNNNNNNNNNNNNNNNNNNNNNNNNNNNNNNNNNNNNNNNNNNNNNNNNNNNNNNNNNNNNNNNNNNNNNNNNNNNNNNNNNNNNNNNNNNNNNNNNNNNNNNNNNNNNNNNNNNNNNNNNNNNNNNNNNNNNNNNNNNNNNNNNNNNNNNNNNNNNNNNNNNNNNNNNNNNNNNNNNNNNNNNNNNNNNNNNNNNNNNNNNNNNNNNNNNNNNNNNNNNNNNNNNNNNNNNNNNNNNNNNNNNNNNNNNNNNNNNNNNNNNNNNNNNNNNNNNNNNNNNNNNNNNNNNNNNNNNNNNNNNNNNNNNNNNNNNNNNNNNNNNNNNNNNNNNNNNNNNNNNNNNNNNNNNNNNNNNNNNNNNNNNNNNNNNNNNNNNNNNNNNNNNNNNNNNNNNNNNNNNNNNNNNNNNNNNNNNNNNNNNNNNNNNNNNNNNNNNNNNNNNNNNNNNNNNNNNNNNNNNNNNNNNNNNNNNNNNNNNNNNNNNNNNNNNNNNNNNNNNNNNNNNNNNNNNNNNNNNNNNNNNNNNNNNNNNNNNNNNNNNNNNNNNNNNNNNNNNNNNNNNNNNNNNNNNNNNNNNNNNNNNNNNNNNNNNNNNNNNNNNNNNNNNNNNNNNNNNNNNNNNNNNNNNNNNNNNNNNNNNNNNNNNNNNNNNNNNNNNNNNNNNNNNNNNNNNNNNNNNNNNNNNNNNNNNNNNNNNNNNNNNNNNNNNNNNNNNNNNNNNNNNNNNNNNNNNNNNNNNNNNNNNNNNNNNNNNNNNNNNNNNNNNNNNNNNNNNNNNNNNNNNNNNNNNNNNNNNNNNNNNNNNNNNNNNNNNNNNNNNNNNNNNNNNNNNNNNNNNNNNNNNNNNNNNNNNNNNNNNNNNNNNNNNNNNNNNNNNNNNNNNNNNNNNNNNNNNNNNNNNNNNNNNNNNNNNNNNNNNNNNNNNNNNNNNNNNNNNNNNNNNNNNNNNNNNNNNNNNNNNNNNNNNNNNNNNNNNNNNNNNNNNNNNNNNNNNNNNNNNNNNNNNNNNNNNNNNNNNNNNNNNNNNNNNNNNNNNNNNNNNNNNNNNNNNNNNNNNNNNNNNNNNNNNNNNNNNNNNNNNNNNNNNNNNNNNNNNNNNNNNNNNNNNNNNNNNNNAGACGAUUCCGGAUACGCAGUCCGUUCGUCCACCACACCCCCCUAACCUAUCGAACCCGCAACUUUCCCCCUCCGGCUCCUCUGCCCGAAAACACGAAACACCGGGAAUACUUUCCCGGAUGAUUCCCCCUUGACCAGUACCACCUUAUACCACGUUAGGGCACGCUUAGCAUCGCUUCUUGACAUGUCAUGCAUCGAUAUGCAUCUGUUUACUUGGUAUUCAUUGUUUCUUCCCCCUCUUCUCUCCGGUAGACUACGAGACCGACGCUGCUGCUGCCCAGUUCGACUACGGAGUUGACGACCCCUCUCUCUUGCCAGAGCAACCAGGCAAGCCCCCCCCUUGAUCACCAGAUAUCGCCUAUUCUACUCUAUACUGCUUGCAUUAGAGUAGUGUAGCAUGUUACUGCUUUCCGUUAAUCCUAUUCUGAUGCAUAGCCUGACAUUGUCGCUACAUCUGUUGAUACCUUACCUGCAAUCCUAAAUGCUUAGUAUAGGAUGCUAGUUUAUCAUCAUUGGCCCUACAUUCUUGUCAGUCUGCCUUGCUAUACUAUCGGGCCGUGAUCACUUGGGAGGUGAUCACGGGUAUAUACUAUACAUACAUACAUACAUACAUACUAUACAGAUGGUGACUAAAGUCGGGUCAGCUCAUUGAGUACCCGCAAGUGAUUCUGACGAGGGGGCUGAAGGGGCAGGUGGUUCCAUCCCGGUAGAGGUGGGCCUGGGUUCCCGACGGCCCUCGACUGUUACUUUGUGGCGGAGCGGCAGGGCAGGUUGAGACCACCUAGGAGACAGGUGGGCCUGGCCCUGUUCGGCGUUCGCGGAUACUUAACACGCUUAACGAGAUCUUGGUAUUUGAUCUGAGUCUGGCUACGAGCCUAUACGCACUAACCAUCUACGUGGGAGUAGUUAUGGGUAUCCCGACGUCGUGGUAUCAGCCGAAGCACUUCAGACGUCAGCGACGGAGCGGCGCGCGCCGAAUUGGACUGGAACGCCACUAGGCUAGGUCUGCUUUCGGCCGCCCACGCAACGUGCAGGUGUGCUCAGGGCGAUGGGCCCAGACCCCUGCGCGCUUAGGUUUAGACCGGCGUGCUGGCCUCUCUGUUUUGCCUAGGUGGGGCUGCGACGUGUUGAUCUUCCAAGGCCGGGCAUGACCCAGGAAAGUGUGUCCGGCCAAAUGGGAUCGAGCGUGUUGGGCUAUGUGGUGCACCCCUGCAGGGAAGUUAAUCUAUUCGAAUAGCCGUGAUCUUCGGUAACAGGACGACUUGGAGUUGUACCUUGACCUUAUGACAACUAGAACCGGAUACUUAAUAAAACACACCCUUCCAAGUUCCACAGACAACCCGGUGAUCGCUUUUCCGCAGGGCGACGAGGAGAGGAUCGCCGGGUAGGAUUAUGCUAUGCGAUGCUACGUGGAGAUGCUACUGGAGAUGCUACUUGGAGACACUACUUGAAGAUGCUACUUGGAGGACUUCUAUCUACUCUCUUCUACAUGCUGCAAGACGGAGGCUGCCAGAAGCGUAGUCUUCGAUAGGACUAGCUAUCCCCCUCUUAUUCUGGCUUUCUGCAGUUCAGUCCACUGAUAUGGCCUCCUUACACAUAUACCCAUGCAUAUGUAGUUUAGUUCCUUGCUUGCGAGUACUUUGGAUGAGUACUCACGGUUGCUUCUCUCCCUCUUUUCCCUUUUCCCUUCUACCUGGUUGUCGCAACCAGAUGCUGGAGUCCAGGAGCCAGACGCCACCGUCGACGACGACCCCUACUACACCGGAGGUGCCUACUACUACGUGCAGCCCGCUGACGACGACCUGGAGUAGUUAGGAGGAUCCCAGGCAGGAGGCCUGCUCCUCUUUCGAUCUGUAUCCCAGUUUGUGCUAGCCUUCUUAAGGCAAACUUGUUUAACUUAUGUCUGUACUCAGAUAUUGUUGCUUCCGCUGACUCGUCUAUGAUCGAGCACUUGUAUUCGAGCCCUCGAGGCCCCUGGCUUGUAUUAUGAUGCUUGUAUGACUUAUUUUAUUUGUAGAGUUGUGUUGUGAUAUCUUCCCGUGAGUCCCUGAUCUUGAUCGUACACAUUUGCGUGCAUGAUUAGUGUACGAUUAAAUCGGGGGCGUCACAAGUUGGUAUCAGAGCCGACUGCCUGUAGGAAUCCCCCUUCCACGCUCCUUGGCCGAAGUCGAGUCUAGACUUUACAAAACUUUUACUAAUCUGGCUGUGCGGCCCAUGGGCCCACGUCGCCAUUGGGUGGUAUUAGGAUCUUUUACUCCUCGACCUUUACUCUGGGACUCUGACAUCUUUUCUAUUCGGGUUAAAUGAACCUUACUAAAUCUAACACUAGGAUCUCGUUAUCAUUUUCACCCGGAGAGCCCCUUAUUAUUGAUGAUCGUCUGCUGCACGUGAAGACCCUGAAGAUACUUUCCGCUGUUAGGCCGAGAACUUGUGUUCAUCGCGUUUGCAAUUCCCCUUCCACCGUCAACCCUUAUGGGUAACUACUUACAGUUGUUAUUCUUAUAUCAUCCCCAGUUGGUCUUGUUAUUACAAGAUACCCUGAAAAACUCGUCGUGGUUUCGAUAAUCCCUUGAGCUUACUGCCUAGUAGUUCCUUGCCACUUGAAUACCCCUUCAAAUAAAUCCUCGCACUUGUCGAGUAUCCUCUCAACCCCAGUUGUUCAUAUGUGUCACAAAAGUCUUCAAAAUACAAUUCGAUCUUCCGAAAAUCCUCUGGAGCCUUUGGCUCUUGAAAUUCUUGCUUGCUUGCAUUAUGGUUAAUCCCAUAAGUCUCGUAGUCAUAUUGACAUUCCUUGUCAUUAUCAUUUUGAGUCUGUUGACUCAAUAUGUUUGCGAAUACCCGCAAUCAUCAUUGAUCCUUAUAAAUUACCUUUCUGGCUGAGAUGCCAUUCUUUUAACGGGAAUUGGUUCUCGACCAAUCCAAUUGUUGUUGAUUGUACUCUAAGGCUAUUCAACUUAUCCACCCCUAAUCAGAGCAUUGCUUCUGAUCCUUUGUUUUGGAAAUCAUAAUUCCUUUGCAUUUAAGCUGUGAAUUAUUCAGAUGCUUCCAUAACCUGUUGCAUCUGCAUUCCUUCCUCUUCUGGUUGAGUAUCGAUACUCAUAUCGGAUCCUUUGUGGACCAUCAGGUCCUUUGUUGGAUUGUUAUCCGACAAUGACCUUCACACUUGAUCACUUUGUGAGUUCUUCCCCUGAUACAUAAUACCUUUGUUAAGUUGUAUCCUCUGCUUGGCCAACCAUGCUCUGCUUUCGAGCUGGUGGCAUUUACUACUGAAGCUUGUGGUAUAUGUUUCCAUGAUACCCUGACGGGUUGAACCUAUGCCUUCCUUUAUAUGUGUGAACUCAGAAGUUUUCACUAGUCAUACUCAUCUGGUAUUUCACCAGGUAAAACUUUCAACACUAAUGCCUUUAUCAAAGCGAGAAGUGAAUGGAAGGUUAUACAUUGAAGAAGUGGGAGUCGACCUUGAACUUUGUGUUCAUGCCCAUGGACACGAUGUAUAUCUUAUCAUUAAAGCUUCUCUUAAAUGAAUUAUUCCUUCGGUAUAAGUUCAUCUUAUAUCUAGGAUCUGGCCUUUUGCAAUCGUGGUUCCGACCAUGUUCUCUUUUAAAUACCAUUUCUCGUGCAAGUUUUAGCACUUGUCUUCUGUAGAGCAAUAACCCCCGUCCAACCUCUACUUUGAUAUGUCAUCGAGUAUUACCCCUGGUAUCUCGAGAUUAUCAUGGAACUGCAUAACUUCUUAUGAGCUCUUCAUCAAGUGCUACCUUCCCACUGAUUCCAAUUUUUCGCGGGCUCUGAGUUAUUGAACACCCAAAGACACCGAUAACUGAACCGAGUCCGCUCUACGGCUCAACAACUCUUCAGUAAGCUUCUAUAAGUACGAGUUUGUACCCGAUCACAUCAUUCCUAGUCUGAUCGGCUAUAUCAUUAUCAUGCUAAAUAUUAACUGUGCUACCGGGUCCUUCUUCUCGGAGCACCAAUUUUCGACGAUGAACUAACCUUACGUCGAUUUUCCUCGUCAUAUCCUUUCACCUUAACCAACAAGCUUGAGUUCGAGUUUGUGUCGUACCCUUGGUUCCUAUAACCUUUCACUUCAUCAUUACUUUGACUUGAUGUCGUUGCCGAUCGAUUACAUCUUCAUGAACUCUCGCGACAAAGGUUUCGAGAUCGUCAACAUUCUGAGCUCAUCCAGGAUAUCAAUUGGAUUCAUGAUGAGAAAUACCAUCCUUGCCUCGAUGAAUUGUAUUAUCAUCGACCACUUUAUUGCCUUCCCACCAACACAAGCUUGUUCAUGUUUGGUGUUAUACCUUGAGUUCCUUGCUGUCCAGCAAUUGAUCUUCCUUACCUCGGAAGUAUUACCAUCUCUUUUUGUCAAGAAUGUGGUGAGGAUUUCACCACCUCUUAAUAAUUCUUGAUAUCAUAAUACUUCUUGCCAUCUUCGUUCAUUCCUUGGUCCUCGUAUUGUUUUCAACCGGAAUACCGACAUUGGAGCUAUGACGUGUGAAUUCUAAACUCCUAGCAACCCUAUUGCUUUGAAGUGAAUGGGCGAUAGUUCAGUCUAAGUCCUUCGUUAAUUGAAUCACCAUUCUGACAUUGGUCGUGCAACCCAACCCAUAUUUCGGGCGCACAUUCCAACNNNNNNNNNNNNNNNNNNNNNNNNNNNNNNNNNNNNNNNNNNNNNNNNNNNNNNNNNNNNNNNNNNNNNNNNNNNNNNNNNNNNNNNNNNNNNNNNNNNNUAAGUCCUUCGUUAAUUGAAUCACCAUUCUGACAUUGGUCGUGCAACCCAACCCAUAUUUCGGGCGCACAUUCCAACCAAUGUUUAUUUGUGUAUGUUUUCCUCGCGCAUACUUCCUUAUAUCAUUUGAUUUGGCAAAUGUUAUCUCCUUGUUCACUUAAUGGUGGAAAUCCAUCUUUUGGGAAAUCUCGGCGAAUUGCCGUUGGGUUCACCAGACACCUCCUUGUCCUCUCCUUGGGUUAAUGAUGGACUUUUGUUAACGGAAAUCACUUCAUAGUUCAUUUCCCCGAGAAUCUUACAAUGUCAUCUCGUCAAUUUGCGUUGCACCUUUUCUUCUCAGGUAUCCUAAGUCUGAUGUAUCCUGACACCAAUCGGAUCUGAAUCUCGGUCAGAUAUGAUGGUUGGGACAACUUUCCAAGAGUUAUGAUGUUGAUCCUUUGAUGACCCGGUAACAUGAUGUCAUGCCUAGCACCCCCCCCCCUGGCUGGAGGACCUAUCAUUAUAGAUUCCUUUUCAGCAAGGUUAUCCAUUCAUCCAUGGGGAAAUUGUAAGACUUAUUCUACAAGUUAUUCUUGAUGGAUCCUUCGUGUUUCCAAAGUCUGAUCUUCACCUGAAGACCAUGUCACUGCUAUCUCGAAGCAUGUCAAGGGUACUCCGAUUUUCAACAGGAACAUUUGAAGCACGAUGCUAAAUUCUAUUUAUCACUUAACCUAACACCGUUGUAUGGGUAAUAUCAUGAGAUUCCUUCCCCCUUACCUAAAUGGUUUUCUACUUUAUAUCCUGUCAUGGAUAUCAUGCUCUGCUUGUCAUUAGGAAGGAUAUACCCCUGAAAUAUGUGUUUAAACACAUUUUCCUUUCCAUUGUUCUGUUUAAUCUGAUGAUCAUAUUUUCCUUCCAUUGGUUCGUUUAGACCUUUGCUAUGAACUAUAUGAUAAAAGCAGUAAUAAUCCACUGCUUGUGCAAACACCCCGAUGUACAACUCUGUCAGUAAGACCCUGUUAUUAUUGUUGAUGACAUUCCGGUAACCACCGAUGGAUGAGAACUUUGCCUAUUGGUCCGCCUCGUUGAACGAGCAGGAAAGUAGUUCUCUUCGUCCCUCGCCCUUGGUAUCGACGUUGCCGCCGACAUAAUUGACAGGCUACCCCCCCCCCGACAUGCCUAGCUUGCAUGAUCACGCAAGACGUCUCCGCCCUUCCUACUUCUAACCCACAUGGUGGGCCCAUAACCCACAGGUCCACUGGAUCGAAACCUGACUCUCCUAUACACCCUAUUGUCGAAGUUAUUCCUCGUGCUUGGCUUCGUAUUUUAUUCACGGGCCACCUUCCUAAUGCUCUAUUCUGGUAUCAGACGCAAAUACUUACUCUCGCUGCUCUGAAACCCUUACUCACUCUGGUUCACACUUCGAGCAACUAUCUAUCCACUUGGAACCUCUUAUUGUACCUUCGUACCUUACUCUUGAUGUAUUCGAUAUGUUCGACUCAAGAGAUAAUCUUAUACUAAUUCAUGGGUUAACCCCCAGGUUGUAUCCCUCACAAGCAUUCUGUCGUAGUCAAGCUGCCCCUUACCUAGUCGUAAGUACGUUGGAGAUCCUGAAGCAAAGGAAGCAAAGGACGACAUCACCAUGAUGACCUGAAUCAGAGAAAUGAAGAUGUCAAUGUAAUGGAUCGACCUCUUCAAGAAGAGCAACCAAGACCGAGAACACUCGCUAGAAUUUCGUAACCAGAACCUUCCCCCUUACCCCUCUCUUAAAUCUCGGGACGAGAUUUCUUGUAGUGGAGGAGAUUUGUAACGCCCGGGUGGUUAUGCUACAGUAAUCGUCCCGGUUCGGUUAAAUAACCUCUCGUUAAUUCGGACCCGUCCUAAAANNNNNNNNNNNNNNNNNNNNNNNNNNNNNNNNNNNNNNNNNNNNNNNNNNNNNNNNNNNNNNNNNNNNNNNNNNNNNNNNNNNNNNNNNNNNNNNNNNNNNNNNNNNNNNNNNNNNNNNNNNNNNNNNNNNNNNNNNNNNNNNNNNNNNNNNNNNNNNNNNNNNNNNNNNNNNNNNNNNNNNNNNNNNNNNNNNNNNNNNNNNNNNNNNNNNNNNNNNNNNNNNNNNNNNNNNNNNNNNNNNNNNNNNNNNNNNNNNNNNNNNNNNNNNNNNNNNNNNNNNNNNNNNNNNNNNNNNNNNNNNNNNNNNNNNNNNNNNNNNNNNNNNNNNNNNNNNNNNNNNNNNNNNNNNNNNNNNNNNNNNNNNNNNNNNNNNNNNNNNNNNNNNNNNNNNNNNNNNNNNNNNNNNNNNNNNNNNNNNNNNNNNNNNNNNNNNNNNNNNNNNNNNNNNNNNNNNNNNNNNNNNNNNNNNNNNNNNNNNNNNNNNNNNNNNNNNNNNNNNNNNNNNNNNNNNNNNNNNNNNNNNNNNNNNNNNNNNNNNNNNNNNNNNNNNNNNNNNNNNNNNNNNNNNNNNNNNNNNNNNNNNNNNNNNNNNNNNNNNNNNNNNNNNNNNNNNNNNNNNNNNNNNNNNNNNNNNNNNNNNNNNNNNNNNNNNNNNNNNNNNNNNNNNNNNNNNNNNNNNNNNNNNNNNNNNNNNNNNNNNNNNNNNNNNNNNNNNNNNNNNNNNNNNNNNNNNNNNNNNNNNNNNNNNNNNNNNNNNNNNNNNNNNNNNNNNNNNNNNNNNNNNNNNNNNNNNNNNNNNNNNNNNNNNNNNNNNNNNNNNNNNNNNNNNNNNNNNNNNNNNNNNNNNNNNNNNNNNNNNAAGGUUAGUUAAACUUUGAUUAGGUUAAUAAGUUAAUAGUGAAUGACAUGCGGGACCCACCUGUCCGGGUUGACUUAGUCAACCCUGUUGACUGAUGAUGUCAGCAUGACAUCAUGCUGAUGUCAUAAAUGCAAUUUCGAAAUUAAUUAAAUAAUUAAUUAAAUUCCUGAAAUUAAUAAAAUCUUUUAAAAAUCAUAUCUUUUAAUCCGUAAUCCGGAUUAAAAUAUUUUCAACAUGAAAGUUGCUCAGAACGACGAGACGAUUCCGGAUACGCAGUCCGUUCGUCCACCACACCCCCCUAACCUAUCGAACCCGCAACUUUCCCCCUCCGGCUCCUCUGCCCGAAAACACGAAACACCGGGAAUACUUUCCCGGAUGAUUCCCCCUUGACCAGUACCACCUUAUACCACGUUAGGGCACGCUUAGCAUCGCUUCUUGACAUGUCAUGCAUCGAUAUGCAUCUGUUUACUUGGUAUUCAUUGUUUCUUCCCCCUCUUCUCUCCGGUAGACUAUGAGACCGACGCUGCUGCUGCCCAGUUCGACUACGGAGUUGACGACCCCUCUCUCUUGCCAGAGCAACCAAGCAAGCCCCCCCCUUGAUCACCAGAUAUCGCCUAUUCUACUCUAUACUGCUUGCAUUAGAGUAGUGUAGCAUGUUACUGCUUUCCGUUAAUCCUAUUCUGAUGCAUAGCCUGACAUUGUCGCUACAUCUGUUGAUACCUUACCUGCAAUCCUAAAUGCUUAGUAUAGGAUGCUAGUUUAUCAUCAUUGGCCCUACAUUCUUGUCAGUCUGCCUUGCUAUACUAUCGGGCCGUGAUCACUUGGGAGGUGAUCACGGGUAUAUACUAUACAUACAUACAUACAUACAUACAUACUAUACAGAUGGUGACUAAAGUCGGGUCAGCUCAUUGAGUACCCGCAAGUGAUUCUGACGAGGGGGGUGAAGGGGCAGGUGGUUCCAUCCCGGUAGAGGUGGGCCUGGGUUCCCGACGGCCCUCGACUGUUACUUUGUGGCGGAGCGGCAGGGCAGGUUGAGACCACCUAGGAGACAGGUGGGCCUGGCCCUGUUCGGCGUUCGCGGAUACUUAACACACUUAACGAGAUCUUGGUAUUUGAUCUGAGUCUGGCUACGAGCCUAUACGCACUAACCAUCUACGUGGGAGUAGUUAUGGGUAUCCCGACGUCGUGGUAUCAGCCGAAGCACUUCAGACGUCAGCGACGGAGCGGCGCGCGCCGAAUUGGACUGGAACGCCACUAGGCUAGGUCUGCUUUCGGCCGCCCACGCAACGUGCAGGUGUGCUCAGGGCGAUGGGCCCAGACCCCUGCGCGCUUAGGUUUAGACCGGCGUGCUGGCCUCUCUGUUUUGCCUAGGUGGGGCUGCGACGUGUUGAUCUUCCGCGGCCGGGCAUGACCCAGGAAAGUGUGUCCGGCCAAAUGGGAUCGAGCGUGUUGGGCUAUGUGGUGCACCCCUGCAGGGAAGUUAAUCUAUUCGAAUAGCCGUGAUCUUCGGUAACAGGACGACUUGGAGUUGUACCUUGACCUUAUGACAACUAGAACCGGAUACUUAAUAAAACACACCCUUCCAAGUUCCACAGACAACCCGGUGAUCGCUUUUCCGCAGGGCGACGAGGAGAGGAUCGCCGGGUAGGAUUAUGCUAUGCGAUGCUACGUGGAGAUGCUACUGGAGAUGCUACUUGGAGACACUACUUGAAGAUGCUACUUGGAGGACUUCUAUCUACUCUCUUCUACAUGCUGCAAGACGGAGGCUGCCAGAAGCGUAGUCUUCGAUAGGACUAGCUAUCCCCCUCUUAUUCUGGCUUUCUGCAGUUCAGUCCACUGAUAUGGCCUCCUUACACAUAUACCCAUGCAUAUGUAGUUUAGUUCCUUGCUUGCGAGUACUUUGGAUGAGUACUCACGGUUGCUUCUCUCCCUCUUUUCCCUUUUCCCUUCUACCUGGUUGUCGCAACCAGAUGCUGGAGUCCAGGAGCCAGACGCCACCGUCGACGACGACCCCUACUACACCGGAGGUGCCUACUACUACGUGCAGCCCGCUGACGACGACCUGGAGUAGUUAGGAGGAUCCCAGGCAGGAGGCCUGCUCCUCUUUCGAUCUGUAUCCCAGUUUGUGCUAGCCUUCUUAAGGCAAACUUGUUUAACUUAUGUCUGUACUCAGAUAUUGUUGCUUCCGCUGACUCGUCUAUGAUCGAGCACUUGUAUUCGAGCCCUCGAGGCCCCUGGCUUGUAUUAUGAUGCUUGUAUGACUUAUUUUAUUUGUAGAGUUGUGUUGUGAUAUCUUCCCGUGAGUCCCUGAUCUUGAUCGUACACAUUUGCGUGCAUGAUUAGUGUACGAUUAAAUCGGGGGCGUCACAAAACCGAAUGACAUGACGGUGUACUCGUAAGAACCAUAACGAGUCACAAAUGCGGUCUUUGGAAUAUCCUCUUCACGAACACGGAUCUGGUGGUAGCCCAACCUCAAGUCGAGUUUAGAGAAUAUCGAUGAACCAGCCAGUUGAUCAUACAGAUCAUUGAUCCGAGGAAGGGGAUAUUUGUUUUGAAUUGUAGCUUGGUUGAUAGGACGAUAGUCUUGGACCAAACGGUUCGUACCGUCCUUCUUCUUGACGAAGAGAGAAGGUGCUCCCCAAGCAGAGGAACUUGGACGAAUGAAACCCUUGUGAAGAGAUUUGUCGAUUUCCUCCUUAAGCUCAAGGAGUUCAUGAGGUGGCAUCUUGUAGGGUCGUUUUGCAAUAGGAACGGUGCCUGGUUUCAAGUCGAUGACGAACUCGACAGCCCGGGCAGGGGGUAUUCCUGGAAGUUCUUCUGGAAAUACGUCUUGGAAGUUGCGAACGACUGGAAUCUUUUCAAUUCCCUCAAGAGGUGCCGCGUUCAACGCAUUCAAAGCAUAAAGUCGUGCUUCAGCGUUUUGAACAAGCUGAGCAUGGUAGGUUACAAUCUCAUCUGAAGGAUGUAGGAGGUGAACGACCUUGGUAGCGCAAACGAUAGAGGCAGUAUGCGCUUUCAACCAUUCCAUUCCCAGAAUGAGGUCAAUAUUGGAAGACUCCAGAAUAAUGGGAGAAACAAGGAAUUCCAACCCUUCAAUUUCAACAGGAACGUCGCGACCAAUCAUGGUAGUUUGACAUCGGCCCGCAGGGGUGCGUACCACUAUCGGAGUGUUCAUGGGCUCGCAUCGAAUGUCAUGUGCGUAAGCAAAAUUUUCUGACAUGAAUGAAUGUGAUGCUCCUGAAUCAAACAAAACAGAAGCUGGUACUGAAUUAACAAGGAGAGUACCCAUCACAGUGGCAGGCUGGUCUUGAGCUUCAUUCAGAUCAAUAUGAUUAGCCUGACCACGACCAUAAGGUCUGGCAUUGUUGUUAUGGGGCUGAUUGUUACGGUCAGUUGAAGACAGAGCCAGCUGAUUCUGAUUCUGAGGGCAUUUCCUGGAGCGGUGACCUGGAAGGCCACACUUGAAGCACAGACCAUCAUUGGGAUUGGGAGCAUAAGCUUGGGGCAGUACAGCCCGAAGGGGCUGCCUCUGCGGUUGAGGAGGCAGACGAGGUGCAACAUAGGACUGUCUUGGUGCAGGUGCAGUUGGACGAUACAUGCUGUGGGGAAUCCAUAUCCGACGCUUCUGCGCUGACGGGCCCGAAGAUGGGCCCGCAUCACGGCUACGCCUGAGGGAUCCCUGGUGUUCCUGAAGACCAGUCUCAACCUGAACAGCCUUGUUCACCAGGGUGGCGAAGUCGGCAAAGUCAUGAACGAGCAAUGCUAGCUUAAUAUCAGGGUGAAGUCCAUCACGAAACUUCUCUUGCUUACGAGCAUCAGUUGCAAUGUCUUCUUCAGCAUAACGUGACAAGUCCAGAAAUUCCCGUUGAUAAGCAUCUACAGUCUUGUUGCCUUGGGUGAGGUUGCGGAACUCUCGCUUCUUCCUGUCCAUGGUUCCCUGAGGAAUGAAACGGGCACGGAAGGCAGCUUGGAAAUCCGGCCAAAUAAUGACCGUUCCAGCAGGUAGGGUACGCCUGUGGCUGUCCCACCAUUGAGCAGCAGGACCCUUCAGAAAGAAAGAUGCGAAGGUGACAUAGCUGGCAGGGGCAACACUAGCAGACUCCAUUUCAGAUGUGAUGUCGCGGAGCCAGUCAUCAGCAUCAAGGGGUUGAGUUGAGCUGCGGUAGAUAGAUGGGUUGAGGCGCAUGAAGUCCUGCAGAGUUACUCGGGUUGAAUGUUGAUUCAUGUUCGGACGAGGAAACUGAGCCAUCAUUCCUUCCAUGAACUGGCGAGUUAACUCAAACUGUUGCCUCAUUCCAGUAAAGAAUUCAGGCGGUGGUGGGUCGUUGGCACCACAGCCACGACCAGCGGGUCUAACCAUCCUGCUAACAUGUAACAGGGGUAGUUCAGCAUUGAGCAUUUGCAAAGAUAAGGAUCAGUCAUGAUGAAAACAUGCAUAAUGAAGGAGGUACGAUGGAUUCUACUCCGUAGUCAACACGACAGGGUGUGCACUACUCAAAAAGCUAUUCUAAGGAAUAACUAUGGCUUCAUCCAACUUCGGGGUGAAUGUGGUCACGGGAUCCUAAUGUUAGUAAAUUCAUUUAACCCGAGUAGAAGAGAGUUCAAAGUCCCAGAGUAUAGACGAGGAGUAAAAGAUGCUAAUACCACCCAAUAGCAACGUGGGCCCGUAAGCCACACAGCCAAUGUUAGUAAAAGUUUUCAGUGACUAGACUCAACUUCGGCCAAGGAGUUGGAAAGGGGGCUACCUACAGGCAGUCGGCUCUGAUACCAACUUGUGACGCCCUCGAUUCAAUCGUACACUAAUCAUACACGCAAAUGUGUACAAUCAAGAUCAAGGACUCACGGGAAGAUAUCACAACACAACUCUAGACACAAAUUAAAAUAAUACAAGCUUUAUAUUACAAGCCAGGGGCCUCGAGGGCUCGAAUACAUCAGCUUGAAAACAAACGAGUCAGCGGAAGCAACAAUAUCUGAGUACAGACAUAAGUUAGACAAGUUUGCCUUAAGAAGGCUAGCACAAAACAACAACGAUCGAAAAGGCAAGGCCUCCUGCCUGGGAGCCUCCUAACUACUCCUGAUCAUCCGUGGUCUCCGUCACGUGGUAGUAGGCACCCUCGGGGUAGCAGCAGUCGUCAAAGGUGGCAUCUGGCUCCUGGACUCCACCAUCUGGUUGCAACAACCAGAAAGAAGAAAGAAGGGGGAAAAGGGGAAGCAAAGCAACCGUGAGUACUCAUCCAAAGUACUCGCAAGCAAGGAUCUACACUACAUAUGCAACAUUAUCAAAGGAAGGCUAUAUAUGUGGACUGGGCUGCAGAAAUGCCAAAAUAGAGAGAAGGCCUAGUCCUAUCGAAGACUAGCAUCUUCUGGAAACCACCAUCUUGCAGCAAACAAGAGGGAGUAGAGUAGCAUAAAGUAAAGUGGUAGUAGUGUUAUCAACCUCGGCCAGAGAUCCUUUCUCGACUCCCUGCGAGAAAGCAAUCCCAGAGCCAUACUAUCCAGUUAUCAUCACAAUCAAAUCCUCAUCACCAUCCAGUUCUCAUCACAAGUAUCCAGUUCUAGUUGUAUCGAUCGGGAUACAACUCCAAGUGUCCGUUACCGUAGGACAGGCUAUCGAUAGAUGUUUUCUUCCCUGCAGGGGUGCACCAACUUACCCACCACGCUCGCUUAACUCCGGCCGGACACACUUUCCAGGGUCAUGCCCGGCCUCGGCCAAACAAUACGCCGCAACCCGACCUAGACUUAACAGAGAGGUCAGCACGCCGGACUAAACCUAUGCCCCCAGGGGUCAUGGGCCAUCUCCCCGGAAACUCCUGCACAUUGCGUACGCGGCCGGUGAGCAGACCUAGCUACCUCCUUCAACAAGGCAGGCGCUUGCGCAGUCCAACCCGGCGCGCGCCACUCAGUCGCUGACGUCUAUUAAGCUUCGGCUGAUGUAUACGACGCAGAACGCCCAUACUAUGCCCACGUGAUGGUUAGUGCUAUCAGGCCAGAGGCCCCUCGGAUCAAAUAUCCAAAUCGUAGUGGAUUAGGAACGCGCGGUAACAAGCAGAGACUCACGAAAGAAGUGACCCCGUUGCCCCGUCUCGAGGACUUGCGGCAAGGGCUAAGAAUGCCCGGCCACGCCUCGUAAUUAUCUCACGGGCACCUUCCAGGUCAACCCGUCUCCACAUCACUUUCCAAGUAACAGAUGUAUAGCCCAAGUAUCCGUGUGUCCAAACAUCAAGAGGAAGACCCAAGGAAUCACCCUCGGUGGUUUCCACUCAAUGUAAUCAUCAAGGUGAACAUAGAGGAAUCACCCUCGAGGUUCACACUGGAGGGGUUGCACGACAGAGCCGUAUCGGAAGUGGUUAAGGAGGAAAUCACCCUCGAUGACCACGACCGAAUAGCUACACUACAGGUUAACAUCAGAAGUGCUGUAGAGGUCUCACCCUCGGCACUUGAUAGUAACCCAGCAGUGUCGAGCAACUAAGGGGAAAGUGACGUGCGGUGCCGGGGCCUGGUCUCCGAUCCCGUUGAUCGGGUCUUCAAUGAUGAAGCAGGGGCAACAAGGACAAGGUGGGGGUCACUGAUGGAUCACUAACCAACCUAUACUAAGCAGAUUAGGAUAAGCAGGUAAGGUACAAUAACGGGUACAAAAGCAGGCUAUGCAUCAGAAUAGGAGCAUACAAUAACAGUAGCAAAAUCUAAUGCAAGCAUGAGAGAAAGGAAUGGGCGAUAUCGGGAUGAUCAAAGGGGGGGGGCUUGCCUGGUUGAUCUGGCAAGGAGGGGUCGUUGUCGACGACGUAGUCGAUCAUCGGGGCAUCAGCGGCCUCGGGGUCUACCGGAGAGAAGAGGGGGAAGAAACAGUAAAUACAUAGCAAACAGAGGUAACACUAAGCAUGACAUGACGAUACGUAGCGCUAAGCGUGCUCUAACGCGGUCCUAGACGUUAUAGGUGAAGGGGGAAAUCAACCGGGAAGGUGUUCCCGGUUCCGGACCUGUGUCAGACAAAUGACCGGAGGGGGAAAGUUCCAUGUUCAGCAUGCUAGGGGCAUGUGACAGAUGAACGGACCGCGUAUUCGGAUUCGUUGGAUUUUUCUGAGCAACUUUCAUAUAGAAAACAUUUUCAUCGGAGUUACGGUUUAAAAGUUACGGAUUUUCAAAGUUUAAACCAAUUUCUGAAUUAUUUUAAAAGCAGAAAAGGUUUAUUGCGUCAGUAGUGACGUCAGCAUUGCGUCAGCUCUGCUGACCAGUCAAACUGACAGGUGGGACCCACCUGUCAGCCUCUCUGUCUAACAGAGGCUUAACUAAGCUAACAGGGUUAGUUAGGGGGCGUGGGCCCCAGCAGUCAGUGACUGGUUAGUACUAACUAACUAACUAAUUUAAUUAACGUUUUAAUUAAUCAUUUUUAUUUAGAAAAAAAAACGUUUAUUUAACAAAAAUAUGCGAUGGGGCCCGCGUGUCAGAGACACUGUGUGCCCAGUCAGCACCGUUGACUGAGUCAACUUAGUCAAUAGGGGCCCGCGGGGCCCGCUGGCAGUGACCCAGGGGGGUGGCCCUGACCGGCCACAUCGGCAGGGCGCCGGAGAAGGCUCCGGCGACCUCUCCCGCGACGGCACGACGCCAAAGACGGCCGGGAUUCGCCUACAGGGGGCCAACACAGGCGCGGGCGGGCGCGUUCGAACGUGCACGAGACGGCGCAUCCAACGGUGGCACUAGCACGACCGGAGAUGGACUAAAAUGACGGCGGCGAGCAGCGAGGCGGACGCUGGAGAUCGGGCAGCGACGGAAACAGAGCUAGAGGGCGCAAGGAGACGAGCUAGAGGCUCGGGCGGCACCAGGGAGACGCCCUGAGCACGCUCGUGUGCUCGGAUGAGCAUGACGACGCCCACAGCGACGACGGUGUGCUAUGCGGCGGAGUUGAGCUCGGCCAUGGCGGACGCGGUGGCUACGGGGGCGCACGAGUCCAGGGGAGCGAGGGAAGGGGAAAUGGGGCUCACCGCGCGGCGCAAGAAAGGCCCGUGGUAGUUUAGGAGCAGCAGGAGUCUACGGUGUUCAUCGGGGAAGAAGGGGAUCGCCGGCAACCCGAGGAAGACGACGACGUGGUCGGCGACGCAGAGCUCCUCGGCUCCUUCCAGUGGCUUCAGAAGAUGCGGCAGUCCACGGCGAUGCCGAGGAGCACGGCCAGGCCGCGUCGAAGGCACGGUGGCCGCGGAGAUGACGAAGACGCGGCGGCGAUGGCGCUCGGAGCAGAUGGAGAGAACUCGAGAGGGGAUCUGGUGGGGAGAGGCAGAGGCAGAGAGGGCGAGGGGAACCUAGGAGUGGGUGGAGGUAGGUGGGGGAGGUCUCGAGGAGCCGGAGGGGGAGGCUCUUAUCCACCCGCGGCGUUGCCGGCGAGGUGGUCGGGCGGCGACGAGCCCCUGUAGCGGCGCGCAUCGGGGGAACAGGAGGGAGGGGAGAGCGACCGGGGAGGUUGGGCCGGCUGGGCUGGUUGGGGCCAAGGGGGGGGGCAGGGGGCUGUGGGUCGCCGAGGCCCAAGGGGAGGCCAGGGCUCCCCCACCCCCUCUUCUUUUCCUUUUUUUGUAAACAGCUUUUGCAUUUUCUUUUCUUUUAGCCAAUAAAGACUUUGCAAAAGAUUAUGCCAUUGGACAAAAUAAUCUCAAAGAAAUAUUAGGCACUGCCCAAAAAGAUUGUGAGGCUUUAGAAAUAGUUUGCCAUUUUCACAAAUUAAAAAGGCAUUUAAUUUAUUUCUUAGGCCACUGUUUGAAGUAGCUUAGGCCACUCAAACCUUUUUGCAAAAAUGUUGGUUCACCACUAAUAUUAGUUGUGGAAUAUUCUGCACAUGAUGAACAUUUUUGUAUUCAUGUCUGAGCAUUUUGAAUUUCAGACAAAAUUUGAAUUUGAAUUCAACUGGAAUGUGAAAGAACAUGAGACAAUAAUGAUCAGGCACAUGUUUAGCAAAAAGAUUAACUUAACCUCAGGGGUUACUGUAGCAUCAUUACACCGGGGUGUUAUAGUACGUCAGGUUGAAAGUGGUAUGGAAGGGAUGUGAUGUCGCGUCAAGAGAUGAGUAGAUGGGGCCAUGCGGGAUGUACGUUUGUGCUGGAGACCAUAUCCGUUGCCUCGUCCAGCGGGUCUCACGGAUUAAUUAACUUGUAAUCAAUCUAUCCCUCAAAAAAAAAACUUGUAAUCAAUCUAGAGUACUACUCAUACUAGUAGACUGCCCGUGCGUUGCCACGGGCUUUUAAAAAUUUGUAUUUGUUGCAUGUCAAAUUUUACAUACUCCCUCCUUCCAUCUAUACAGGGUCUAGUACGUUUUUCAAGACCGUCUUUGACUAUUGACAACGUAGAGGACAGUGGGGAAGGCGUAUACCCGACGACCUUUAGGGAGGUCCGGCGGCGCCUGCAGGCUGCACGACGUCGAUGUUGGACGAGCCGCCAGGGAUUUCACUAACCCAAACACAACCACCACCACCCCGGACGAUCUGAAGUGUACCAACCAACCUGCCGCCCACCAGCCUUUGCCACCACGUUCACUGAACCAACUUCGUCGUCUCCUGAGGCCACCGACACGAGAUCUGGAGGAGGGAAGAGGAGCCAAGGGGCUCGGGGGCAUCCGCAACUCAGCCGAUGAGAGGGGACAACCUUCGUCGCUGCCGCGAAGCCGACCAGACGUGACGACAGGGGCCUACCAGGCCCCUACUGGCCCGACCGAGCCCAAAUGGGUCAGGGCAGCCCCUGUUGCCACACUGCAGCACGUCGGCCAACAAAGCCGCCACCACCCGCACCCCCGAUGCCUCGCCACCACCACCAGAGAGCCACACCGCCGCACAUCGGACCGCCGGCCCGCUCCAACCCAGAUGGGGCCCAAAAGGGCCCAAAUCUGGGCGGAGUGGACGCCGCCAGCCAGCCGCACCACCACGCGCCUUGCAGCCAACGACCGCGCCGCCGCAUCAGGGGCACCCACGGCCCGCAACGCGCGAGCGGGGAAAGAACGACAUGCCUUUGCCCGAGGAGCACCACCUCCAUNNNNNNNNNNNNNNNNNNNNNNNNNNNNNNNNNNNNNNNNNNNNNNNNNNNNNNNNNNNNNNNNNNNNNNNNNNNNNNNNNNNNNNNNNNNNNNNNNNNNNNNNNNNNNNNNNNNNNNNNNNNNNNNNNNNNNNNNNNNNNNNNNNNNNNNNNNNNNNNNNNNNNNNNNNNNNNNNNNNNNNNNNNNNNNNNNNNNNNNNNNNNNNNNNNNNNNNNNNNNNNNNNNNNNNNNNNNNNNNNNNNNNNNNNNNNNNNNNNNNNNNNNNNNNNNNNNNNNNNNNNNNNNNNNNNNNNNNNNNNNNNNNNNNNNNNNNNNNNNNNNNNNNNNNNNNNNNNNNNNNNNNNNNNNNNNNNNNNNNNNNNNNNNNNNNNNNNNNNNNNNNNNNNNNNNNNNNNNNNNNNNNNNNNNNNNNNNNNNNNNNNNNNNNNNNNNNNNNNNNNNNNNNNNNNNNNNNNNNNNNNNNNNNNNNNNNNNNNNNNNNNNNNNNNNNNNNNNNNNNNNNNNNNNNNNNNNNNNNNNNNNNNNNNNNNNNNNNNNNNNNNNNNNNNNNNNNNNNNNNNNNNNNNNNNNNNNNNNNNNNNNNNNNNNNNNNNNNNNNNNNNNNNNNNNNNNNNNNNNNNNNNNNNNNNNNNNNNNNNNNNNNNNNNNNNNNNNNNNNNNNNNNNNNNNNNNNNNNNNNNNNNNNNNNNNNNNNNNNNNNNNNNNNNNNNNNNNNNNNNNNNNNNNNNNNNNNNNNNNNNNNNNNNNNNNNNNNNNNNNNNNNNNNNNNNNNNNNNNNNNNNNNNNNNNNNNNNNNNNNNNNNNNNNNNNNNNNNNNNNNNNNNNNNNNNNNNNNNNNNNNNNNNNNNNNNNNNNNNNNNNNNNNNNNNNNNNNNNNNNNNNNNNNNNNNNNNNNNNNNNNNNNNNNNNNNNNNNNNNNNNNNNNNNNNNNNNNNNNNNNNNNNNNNNNNNNNNNNNNNNNNNNNNNNNNNNNNNNNNNNNNNNNNNNNNNNNNNNNNNNNNNNNNNNNNNNNNNNNNNNNNNNNNNNNNNNNNNNNNNNNNNNNNNNNNNNNNNNNNNNNNNNNNNNNNNNNNNNNAACAAAUUAAAUAGACCCAACUGGUCAACUACAAAUUUCUCAGGAUUAAUCUUUGGAACACAUGUACCUCAUACUGAGGUUAAAUAAUUCAGAAUGAUUGAGGAAGCUAAAAUCUGAAGACGGCUUAAGAUUACUGAAAACUGCCCAAAUCAAUAAUACAACUCAGAUGGAACCAACAAGGAAAUUGUAUUUAUCAAAUUUAAUCUGGAGCAACUAAAAUAGUCUUCAAUAUUCAAGAAUGUAGUGGAUCUUGAUUCUUAAUCGGGAUAACAAAUGACCACAUGCAUACAACAGAGGGAAGGAGAAUAUACUCACAUGUGUACCACACUUGAAUUUCCUACAAGUAAGAAAGGGUAGGGAAUAGAAUUACAAUAUAAGGAUUCAACUGGAUGAACUGUAAAUGUUGUAAAUACAUGAAUUGCAAAGGCUUCGCGAGCUGCUGCUUGUCGUGGUCGAGUACGACACUAAAAUCUUACCUCCUAACAAAAAUUGCUUAUAACGAUACAACAUGUGUCAUACUAUCAAUUCAUAAUCCAAGAGAUGAAGCUAGCUGAUUAGCUCAACUAAUGCACUGGCGUUUUUCUAAUUUCUGACAAAGAUGUUACUAACAAAGAUACUUAAUUGUCCUUUCAAAAAAAAUGCAUGCUGAAGUUUUGGAUUGGCUUGCUAAUAAAGAAUGUGGGUGCCUUGUGAGGAGUAGGAGCACGUCCGCCUGUCCACGGCUGUCCAGGGAGAGAGGGAGAUGGGGAUAGUACCAAAUCCGAAGCAACAUGUAGCCAACCUGCAAGAAAUCCAUCGACGGCGGCUCAGAUCCCGGCCAACCCCAGCAAGCCCUCAACAGGAGCGCGACACGGGCCCCGCCGCUUGGUCCCCAGUCCCCACGGCCGUGCAGGACUCCCGCAUCGGCGGCAGCCCCGAGGGGCCUCCAAGCCGAUGCGCGACCCGACACGGGGAGGGGCUGGCCCCGAGGAGCGGUAACCCGGCGACUCCGUCAGUCAGGAGCUGGGCGGCGCCUUCCGUCAUCGCCGCCGUUUGGGGAGGGAUGUGGUCCCGGUCGAUGCGAUCAUUGGCCACGGCGAGCGGGACAGACUCGACGGCGGGAUUCAGACGGCGGAGCAUGGAUACAGGAGAUGGUGGCGCAUCGAUGGGAGAUGGGUGCGGGCGCGGCUGCGGUGGGCGGAGCGUCGGCGGCGGGCGGCGCGCAGUGAGGCUGGGCGGGGCGGGGCAGGAGGUGGCGGCGGGACGGAGGUCGAGAUGGGAUCGAGGAGGAAGGUCGUGCGAGCUGGGCUUUUUUUUCUCUUUUCUCCUCCCUGUACCGGUUAUACUGAGCAGAGGUGGUAGGAUGACGAAAAAACGGUGAUGAGAUUUCUGAGUUUAUAACCUUUCCAUACGUGGAUUAAUUGUGAUUGAUUACCAUAAAGGCUGGAUUGAUGAGAUUUCUGAGUUUAUAGCCUUUCCAUACGUGGAUUAAUUGUGAUUGAUUACCAUAAAGGCUAUCAAUCCAGAUGGGAGGUGGGACAAAUAAACCAGACGAAAAAUAACCGGUUGAAAAUAAACCGGUUGAAAAUGGUGGGACUAUUCAACCAGGUGGGAGGUGGGACAAAUAAACCAGACGAAAAAUAACCGGUUGAAAAUAAACCGGUUGAAAAUGGUGGGACUAUUCAACCAAUUCGUCCAUUAGGAGUAGAGAUUAAGAUUUAGAAUUGAUUGUCAUAAAACUAAAUUUUAUUGAUUGGUAACGUGCUAUCAAUUCCUUCCCGUUUAUAAUGUGUCUAGUUAGGAAACUUUGGAAAGGUUAGGAAAGUUUUUAUUGUGAAGGUAAAAAAAACAACUUGAUGAGAUAUGGUGGUGGGAUGUGAUACGAAAAUAAACCAGACGAAAAUAAACCAGACGAAAAUAAACCAGACGAAAGUAAACCGUGGACGCAAUCCUACCAACUCAGACAUUAGGAGUAGAGACUACUUCUGUGUUCGGGAGAGAAGGGUUUUUUUUUUGACAUCAUUGAGAGGGGAAGUGUGUUCAUUAGUUGAUUGUGCGUCCACGUCACAUCAGAGAAAAGGAGCAAGGAAUAUGCGUCUUAGAUUGUUUGUUGUAGCUAGGAAAUCUUGUCGACGGAAAGAAAAAGUCCAAAACAAAUCUUGAACUGGUAAACGUAAAUCGAAUACUGAACUUUCAAUCACUUAAGUCAGCACAUCAAAUUCUUUGAUCCCGGUCUAUUUUAAACCUUGAACACGUUCUCAAAAGGAUUGUUGAUACAACAGGUCGAUCUACGCCCGGACGCGAAACAUCUUUUAUUUUUCGUAAUAGGACAUUUAAAAAUAACAAUAUGAUACUCACACAGAAUCGAACUUGCAACCUAGCGCCGCUGACCUACUGCUGCGAGCCUCUCUAACUAACGACUGUUGGUGACAAAUGAGAAGCGCGACAAUAUUUAAACAUAUACUGCAGCGUUGAGAUUUGAAUUUUUUUGACAUUUUUAGAAUAUUUUUUGAAAAAUUUAAAUAAUUUUAAAAUAUUAAUGUUCUUAAAAGCAAAAAAAAAAUAAAAUUUUGAAUUUUUUCAGAACAUGUAUUGAAAAAACACAAAGAUGUUUUGAAAACGUGAACCAUUUUGGAAAUCUGCAAACAGUUUUUAAAGUGUGAACACUUUUAAAAAAGUACAAUUUUUUGAAAACACGAACAUAUUUUGAAACCAGAACAAAUUUUAAUGUGUGAACAAUUUUUCCAAACACGGACAUAUGUGAAACAUAAACAUUUUUGUAAAAAAAUGGGAACAAAAUUUUAAAGUGGGAACAAAUUUUCAGAACUCAAUUUUUUAAACAUAAACAUUUUUCUGAAAAAAUGGGAACAAAUUUUGAAACCUGAGCAAAAUGUUAAAGUGCGAACAAAUUUUCAGAACUCGAAUUUUUUAAACACAAACUUUUUUUGAAUAAAUAGGAACAAAUUUUGAAACCUGAACAAAAUGUUAAAGUGCGAACACUUUCUGAAAAUCUUAAGAAUGGGAUUUUUUUAAUUUGUUCGCACUUUAAAAUUUUGCUUAGGUUUCAAACUUGUUUGUCUAAAAUUUCGUGUUCUUAGAAGUGUCAGCACUUUAAAAAAUGUUCAGGGAUUUAAAAAAUGAUUCACGUUUUCAAAUUUUGUUUUUGUUUUUCACAAAUGUUAAUAAUUCCUAAAAUUAUUCACAUUUUUGAAAAAAAUGUUUGGAAUUUUAAAAUAUGUUUUUUCUCUUUAUGAAUAUUCAGAUUUCAAAAUUGUUGACAAUUCAAGAAAAUGUUUCGAAACAUUUUAAAAUAUUUUCACAUUGCUUACCAAGCCUGUUCUAUUUUUUUAACCUACCAUUAGUCACAUUUUCAGCUAAUACCUUCUCAUCAAGCUUGUUUUUAGGUAUUCCAUUUUCCACCUGUCGGCAUUCGACGCCAUGAUACAUGCGAUACAAUGCUUGACUUUCCACGGGCCAUAAAUAUUAGUACUAUUUUUACAUGGCAUCCUUUUUUACAGCGUAGCCGAAUUAUUUUUUGCUGGUUGCACCAUGCAUGCUUGGGCUCUGUACUAUCAGGCUGGUUGUAAAGGGGACUAUCAUAUACUAGUAUCAUGCAUGUGAUACUAGUAUAGGUACUACAUUCCUGAUGCAUAGUAUCAUAUAUUAGUAUCAUGUAGUAUUUUAUUUAUUGUCAUGCAUGACAUAUAGUAGCAUAACAUUUAUUAUGAUACGGUAUCAUGAUAUGAUACUCAACCCUUUCUUUCUUUGUUUAAUUCUAUGACACCUCAUCAAAAUUACUUAAUUGACAUGCAUAAUACUAGCUAUGAUACUAUCAUUACAACCAUCCUCACAUUUGUGUUAGCUGACUGUAAUGAUCCAAGGAGUUAAAAGUCAAGACACAGACCAAAGAGCUAAAGUCAUGGUGAUUGAGCCACACGUUUUAAUCAGAGUGGUGCAGAUCGGUUUGAGUAAAUUGCACAGAAGUAUCACAAUUGGGGCAUUGGAAACAGAUUAAUACCAAGUUUGGUAAUUUUUACAUGUCAGUACCAAGUCUGGGGCUAUACGUUACAAAAAGGUCUAAACCGCGUAUAAACACGUAUUGACGGGGCAUCUGACCGGCGGGCCCCGCCUGUCGGGUCCCGACGUGGCACUUUUUUUUCAUAAACACCCCUCCCUUCCCCCCGCACAGAAAACCAGCCGCAGCAGGGGAGGAAAACCAGCCGUCGCCGGCGACCAGCAGCAGCCACGAGGACCCCUCACGCCUCCUCCCAAGCUCCCCAGCUCGCUCACCAGCACACCGCCUCCUCCUCGUGCUGGGGCUCCUCCUCCCAGCCGCCUCCGCCCGAGGGUCUCGCCGUCCCCGCCCCCAGCCGUCGCCGGCGAGCAGCAGCAGCCACGAGGAACCCUCGCCCUCCUCCCGAGCUCCCCAGCUCGCUCACCGGCGCGCCGCCGCCUCCUCGUGGCCGGGCUCUUCCUCCCAGCCGCCUCCGCCCGAGGGUCGUGUCGACCCUGCCCCACGCGCCUCGCCGGAGCAGCCAUCGCCGGCGACCAGGCCCCCUCGCGGCCUCCUUGUUUCCUCCCUCUCUGUCGUAUGAAUAGAGGACCAAGGCCGCCCCUCCUGCCCUCCGUCGCGCGAGUCGUCGUCCAGAUCCAUCGGUUCCCGCGCCCUUCGCCGCUCCCUGUUGCCGGAGUUGCGCCAAGUCCCGCUGACUCUCCUGCUUCGGCUGCAAGCAAGCGAGGCGAGGUGGAGGCCGGGGGCGGGGCGGCGGUUACGGGAGGCAAAGAAGCUUGGCUCGAGGGGCUCCUCCCCUCGAUCUAGAUCGGGCAUCGCCGCGCGUGGAGACGAUGAACAGUAGCGCCGGCGAAGCAAGGGGGCUUUCUGCAAAAAACAUGCCACAUCGGCACCCGACAGGCGGGCCCUGCUGGUCAGAUACCCCGUCAAUACGUGUUUAUACGCGGUUUAGACCUUUUUGUAACGGCUAGCCCCAGACUUGGUACUGACAUGUAAAAAUUACCAAAAGUGGUACCAAUCUGCUUCCAAUGCCCCAAUUGUGGUACUUCCGUGCAAUUAACUCGAUCGGUUUAAAUAGUCGGCGCCCUGUACAGCGGGUACAUGCGCACGCUGUGCCGUGACGUCAUCAUCAUAUCUAACGUCGCCUGAGCGUUUACCACAGUUACACUGUACGUAGCUCACUGCUACACUCUACGCUCGCAUUCAAUGCACCGCCCCACACGUCCUUGUUUGAUUCGUACUAGCAGGCGAGCUCGUGAGCUACAUCGUCGCUCUCGGUUUAUUUGUCUAGAUAUUGGUUCAUGAAUAUAUUAUUUGACGACUUUGUCUAGUUUGAAGACAUCGUCAUAGCAUUUUCUCUUCAUCUUUUGGUUAAUUAACUAACGGACUGUUUACGUUUCAGUUGUUUAGAUUUUUGAGCGCUAAAAUUAUAUAAUUUUUGGAUGGAUUAUUUUUUUCCAAGUUUCUAUAGUUCUCAUGUUUCCCCCUUGGUAUUUGUAAGUUCCCUUUUGUUUUAUUUUUAUAUGAUUAACUUUCUUAUGGUUUUGGCGAAUUAACUGAUUUUAAAAUAUUGUCAUACCAUUUUUUUGAUUCUAUCAAUUAAUGGAAUUUUUUGUUUUAGGUAUUGGAAUUUAUGAGUAACUUUUCUAUUAGGGGAUGAAUUAUAUUUUAUAAGUUUCUAAAGUACACCUGUGCCGUAAUUCUAUUUAUACCUCCAUUCCAAUGAAUAAUCCAUGCACGCCUCCUAAAAUCCAACUUUGCCCAUAAAUUAAAUUAAUUAGAUAUAUUUUUGUGACUUCAAAAUUGUACCUCUAAAAUUUCUUUUCAAUACGAAUUCAACAGUAUAAUUUUUAUCACAUAUAAUCCAAAAUUUGGUAGGUCUAAUUUAUGGUCAAAGUUUAAUUUUAGGGUGUGUACGUUAUACAUUGAAAUGGUGGGAGUAGUUAUACGCCGGCCUCUCAUAAGGCAAAACUGUUGGGGAACACAGUAUUUCAAAACAAUUCCUACGAUCACGCAAUAUCUAUCUAGCAGAUGCAUAACAACGAGACGGGAGAGUGUGUCCACGUACACUUGUAGACCGAAAGCGGAAGCGUUUAGUAACGCGGUUGAUGUAGUCGGACGUCUUCACGAUCCAACCGAUCCAAGCACCAAACGUACGGCACCUCCGUGUUCAGCACACGUUCAACACGAUGACGUCCCUCGAGCUUUUGAUCCAGUGGAGGACGAGGGAGAGUUCCGUCAGCACGACGGUGAUGAUAAAGUUACCGGCGCAGGGCUUCGCCUAAGCACUACGGCGAUAUGACCGAGGUGUUAAACUGUGGAGGGGGGCACCACACACGACUAAGAGAUUGUCUGUUGUGCUUUGGGGUGCCUCCUUGCCCACGCAUAUAAAGGAGGGGGAGGAGGAGGCCGUCCAAGGAGGAGGCGCCAGGGGGAGUCCUACUAGGACUCCAAACCUAGUAGGAUUCGCGCCCCCCUUUCCUUCCAACGGAGAGGGGGAAAGGGGAAAGGAGGGAGAAGAGAAGGAAAGACGGGGGCCGCGCCCCUUCCCCUUGUCCAAUUCGCAUUGGGGCAAGGGGGGUGCGCCCCACCUCCUGUGGCAUGCCUCCUCUCCUCCACUAUGGCCCAUUAGGCCCAAUAACUUUCCCGGGGGGUUCCGAUAGCCUCCCGGUACUCCGAUAAAUCCCGAACCUUAUUGGAACCAUUCCGAUGUCCGUAUAUAACCUUCCAAUAUAUCAAUCUUUACCUCUCGACCAUUUCGAGACUCCUCGUCAUGUCUGUGAUCUCAUCCGGGACUCCGAAAAAACUUCAAUCAUCAAAUCACAUAACUCAUAAUACAAAUCGUCAUCGAACGUUAAGCGUGCGGACCCUACGGGUUCGAGAACUAUGUAGACAUGACUGAGACACAUCUCCGGUCAAUAACCAACAGCGGAACCUGGAUGCUCAUAUUGGCUCCUACAUAUUCUACGAAGAUCUUUAUCGGUCAAACCGCAUAACAACGUACGUCAUUCCCUUUGUCAUCGGUAUGUUACUUGCCCGAGAUUCGAUCGUCGAUAUCAUCAUACCAAGUUCAAUCUCGUUAUCGGCAAGUCUCUUUACUCGUUCCAUAAUGCAUCAUCCCGCAACUAACUCAUUAGUCACAUUGCUUGCAAGGCUUAUAGUGAUGUGCAUUAUCGAGAGGGCCCAGAGAUACAUCUCCGAUACAUCGAGUGACAAAUCCUAAUCUCGAUCUAUGCCAACUCAACAAACACCAUCAGAGACACCUAUAGAGCAUAUUUAUAAUCACCCCAGUUACGUUGUGAUGUUUGAUAGCACACAAAGUGUUCCUCCGGUAUUCGGGAGUUGCAUAAUCUCAUAGUCAGAGGAAUAUGUAUAAGUCAUGAAGAAAGCAAUAGCAAUAAAACUUAACGAUCAUUAUGCUAAGCUAACGGAUGGGUCUUGUCCAUCACAUCAUUCUCUAAUGAUGUUAUCCCGUUCAUCAAAUGACAACACAUGUCCAUGGUUAGGAAACUUAACCAUCUUUGAUUAACGAGCUAGUCAAGUAGAGGCAUACUAGGGACACUCUAUUUUGUCUAUGUAUUCACACAUGUACUAAGUUUUCGGUUAAUACAAUUCUAGCAUAAAUAAUAAACAUUUGUCAUGAUGUAAGGAAAUAUAAAUAACAACUUUAUUAGUGCCUCUAGGGCAUAUUUCCUUCAGUCUUCCACUUGCACUAGAGUCAAUAAUCUAGUUCACAUCGUCAUGUAAUUUAGCACCAAUAGUUCACAUCUUUAUGUGAUUAGUUCACAUCGCCAUGUGACUAACACCCAAAGGGUUUACUAGAGUCAAUAAUCUAGUUCACAUCGCUAUGUGAUUACCACCCAAAGAGUACUAAGGUGUGAUCAUGUUUUGCUUGUGAGGGAAUUUUAGUCAACGGGUCUCUUACAUUCAGAGCCGUAUGUAUUUUGCAAAUUUUCGAUGUCUACAAUGGUAUGCAUGGAGCUACUCUAGAUAAUUGCUCCCAUUUUCAAUAUGUAUCCUGAUUGAGACUCAGAGUCAUCCGGAUCGGUGUAAAAGCUUGCAUCGACGUAACUCUGUAUGACGAACUCUUUAUUACCUCAAUAACCGAGAAAUAUUUGCUUAGUCCUCUUAGGUAACUAAGGAUAACUUUGACCGUUGUCCAGUGAUCCACUCCUGGAUCACUAUCGUACCCCUUUGCCAAACUCAUGGCAAGGUACACAAUAAGUCUGGUACACAGCAUAGCAUACUUUAUAGAACCUAUGGCUGAGGCAUAGGGAAUGAGUUUCAUUCUCUUUCUAUUUUCUGCCGUGGUCGGGUUUUGAGUCUUACUCAACUUCAUACCUUACAACUCAGGCAAGAACUCCUUCUUUGAGUGAUCCAUUUUGAACUCCUUCAAAAUCUUAUCAGAGUAUGUACUCAUUGAAAGUCUUAUCAAGCGUCUUGAUCUAUCUUUAUAGAUCUUGAUGCCCAAUAUGUAAGUAGCUUCACUGAGGUCUUUCUUUGAAAAAUCAUUUCAAACACUCCUUUAUACUUUCCAAAAAAUUCUACAUCAUUUCCGAUCAACAAUAUGUCAUUCACAUAUACUUAUCAGAAAUGUUGUAGUGCUCCCACUCACUUUCUUGUAAAUACAGACUUCACCGCAAGUCUGUAUAAAACUAUAUGCUUUGAUCAACUCAUCAAAGCGUAUAUUCCAACUCCGAGGUGCUUGCACCAGUCCAUAGAUGGAUCGCUGGAGCUUGCACACUUUGUUAGCAAUUUUAGGAUUGAGAAAACCUUUUGGUUGCAUCAUAUACAACUCUUCUUUAAUAAAUCCAUUAAAGAAUGCAGUUUUUGACAUCCAUUUGCCAGAUUUCAUAAAAUGCGACAAUUUCUAACAUGAUUCAGACAGACUUUAAGCAUAGAUACGAGUGAGAAACUCUCAUCGUAGUCAACACCAUGAACUUGUCGAAAACCUUUUCCGACAAUUCGAGCUUUGUAGAUAGUAACACUACUAUCAGCGUUCGUCUUCCUCUUGAAGAUCUAUUUAUUCUCAAUGGCUUGCCGAUCAUUGGGCAAGUCAAUCAAAGUCCAUACUUUGUUCUCAUACAUGGAUCCCAUCUCAGAUUUCAUGGCCUCAAGCCAUUUCGCGGAAUCUGGGCUCAUCAUCGCUUCCUCAUAGUUCAUAGGUUCGUCAUGGUCUAGUAACAUGACUUCAAGAAUAGGAUUACCGUACCACUCUGGUGCAGACUGUACUCUGGUUGACCUACGAGGUUCGGUAGUAACUUGAUCUGAAGUUUCAUGAUCAUCAUCAUUAUCUUCCUCACUAAUUGGUGUAGGAAUCACUGGAAUUGAUUUCUAUGAUGAACCACUUUACAAUUCGGGAGAAGGUACAAUCAAGUUCUACUUUCCUCCCACUCACUUCUUUCGAGAGAAACUCUUUCUCUAGAAAGGAUCCAUUCUUAGCAACGAAUAUCUUGCCUUCAGAUCUGUGAUAGAGGGUGUACCAAACAGUUUCCUUUGGGUAUUCUAUGAAGACACAUUUCUCUGAUUUGGGUUCGAGCUUAUCAGGUUGAAGCCUUUUCACAUAAGCAUCGCAGCCCCAAACUUUAAGAAACGACAACUUAGGUUUCUUGCCAAACCACAGUUCAUAUGGUGUCGUCUCAACGGAUUAGACGGUGCCCUAUUUAACGUGAAUGCAGCUGUCUCUAAUGCACAACCCCAAAACGAUAAUGGUAAAUCGGUAAGAGACAUCAUAGAUCGCAUCAUAUCCAAUAAAGUACGGUUAUGAUGUUCGGACACAUCAUUACAAUGUGGUGUUCUAGGUGGCGUGAGUUGUGAAACUUAUUCCACAAUUUUUCAAAUGUACACCAAACUCGUAACUCAAAUAUUCUUCUCCACGAUCAGAUCGUAGAAACUUUAUUUUCUUGUUACGAUGAUUUUCAACUUCACUCUAAAACUCCUUGAACUUUUCAAAUGUUUCAGACUUGUGUUUCAUUAAGUAGAUAUACCCAUAUAUGAUCAAAUAAUCUGUGAAGGUCAGAAAAUAACGAUACCCGCCGCGAGCUGAUACGUCUCCGUCGUAUCUAUAAUUUUUGAUUGUUUCAUGCCAAUAUUAUACAACUUUCACAUAUUUUUGGCAACUUUUUAUAUGAUUUAUUGGACUAACCUAUUGAUCCAGUGCCCAGUGCCACUUCCUUUUUUGUGCAUGUUUUUUGUAUCAUAGAGUAUCCAUAUCAAACGAAGUCCAAAUGCAAUUUUUUUUACAGAGAAUUAUUUCAGAAUAUAUGUGAUUUUGGGAGUUGGAAUCACUGCAAACGGAGGCCCACACAACCCACAAGACACUAGGGCGCGCCAGAGGCCCCUGGCGCGUGGUGGUGGGUUGUGCUCACCUCAUACGUCGGUUGGGGCUCUACUUCGGGCGCAAGGAAGCUUAUAUCUGAAAAAAAUCAUGUUAAAAUCUCAGCGCAAUCGGAGUUACGGCCAGAUCUAGAGAGCACAAAACAGAAGAGAACAGAGAGGGAGAUCCAACCUCGGAGGGGCUCCUGCCCCUCCGCCGCCAUGGAGGCCAUGGACCAGAGGGGUAACUCUCCUCCCAUCUAGGGGGGAGGCCAAGGAAGAAGAAGAAGAAGAAGGAUGGGGGCUCUCUCCCCCUCGCUUCCGGUGGCGCCGGAGUGCCGCUAGGGCAACGAUCGGGACGGCGAUCUACAUCAACAAUCUUGCUACCGUCAACACCAACUUCUCCCCCUCUAUGCAGCGGUGUAAUGAUACGUCUCCAACGUAUCUACUCCCUCUGUCCCAAAAUAUAAGAACGUUUUUAACACUACAGUAGAGUAAAAAACGUUCUUAUAUUAUGGGACGGAGGGAGUAUAAUUUUUGAUUGUUCCAUGUUGUUUUAUUAUCAAUCUUGGAUGUUUUAUAAUCAUUUUAUAGUCAUUUUAUAUUAUUUUUUGGUACUAACCUAUUGACAUAGUGCCAAGUGCCAGUUGCUGUUUUUUCCAUGUUUUUUACAUCGUAGAAAAUCAAUACCAAAUGGAGUCCAAAUGCCACGGGACUUUAUGAUGAUUUUUUAUGGGCCAGAAGGAAGCAGAUAGGCCCUAGUUGCACCUGGGGGGAGUUGUGCCCACCUUGGGUACCCCCGGACCGCCUCUUUGCUCUAUAAAUACCCCAAAAAUACCAGAACCAUAGGUGAGUCGAGGAAAUAUUCAUCCAACCGCCGCAAAGUCCAGAACCACUAGAUUCAAUCUAGACACCAUCACGGAGGGGUUCACCACUUCCAUUGGUGCCUCUCCGAUGAUGCGUGAGUAGUUCUUUAUAGACCUUCGGGUCCGUAGUUAGUAGGUAGAUGGCUUCAUUGUUGGAAAUAUGCCCUAGAGGCAAUAAUAAAUUGGUUAUUAUUAUAUUUCCUUGUUCAUGAUAAUCGUUUAUUAUCCAUGCUAGAAUUGUAUUGAUAGGAAACUCAGAUACAUGUGUGGAUACAUAGACAACACCAUGUCCCUAGUAAGCCUCUAGUUGACUAGCUCGUUGAUCAAUAGACGGUUACGGUUUCCUGACCAUGGACAUUGGAUGUCAUUGAUAACGGGAUCACAUCAUUAGGAGAAUGAUGUGAUGGACAAGACCCAAUCCUAAGCCUAGCACAAGAUCGUGUAGUUCGUAUGCUAAAGCUUUUCUAAUGUCAAGUAUCAUUUCCUUAGACCAUGAGAUUGUGCAACUCCCGGAUACCGUAGGAGUGCUUUGGGUGUGCCAAACGUCACAACGUAACUGGGUGGCUAUAAAGGUGCACUACAGGUAUCUCCAAAAGUGUCUAUUGGGUUGGCACGAAUCGAGACUAGGAUUUGUCACUCCGUGUAAACGGAGAGGUAUCUCUGGGCCCACUCGGUAGGACAUCAUCAUAAUGUGGACAAUGUGAACAAGGAGUUGAUCACGGGAUGAUGUGUUACGGAACGAGUAAAGGGACUUGCCGGUAACGAGAUUGAACAAGGUAUCGGGAUACCGACGAUCGAAUCUCGGGCAAGUAUCGUACUGAUAGACAAAGGGAAUUGUAUACGGGAUUGAUUGAAUCCUUGACAUCGUGGUUCAUCCGAUGAGAUCAUCGUGGAGCAUGUGGGAGCCAAUAUGGGUAUCCAGAUCCUGCUGUUGGUUAUUGACCAGAGAGUUGUCUCGGCCAUGUCUGCAUGAGUCCCGAACCCGUAGGGUCUACACACUUAAGGUUCGAUGACGCUAGGGUUAUAGGGAAAGUAUGUACACAGUUACUGAAUGUUGUUCGGAGUCCAGGAUGAGAUCCUGGAUGUCACGAGGAGUUCAGGAAUGGUCCGGAGGUAAAGAUUGAUAUAUAGGAAGUAUGGUUUUGGCCACCGGAAGUGUUCCGGGCAUCACCGAUAGUGUACCGGGACCACCGGAGGGGUCCGGGGGUCCACCGGGAGGGGCCACGGGCCCCGGAGGCCUACAUGGGCCAAUAGUGGGAAGGGACCAGCCCCUAGGUGGGCUGGGGCACCUCCCACCAAGGCCCAAGGCGCCUCCUAGAGGGGAAGGGGGCAAACCCUAGGGCAGAUGGGCCCUAAGUGUUGGGGAACGCAGUAAUUUCAAAAAAUUUCCUACGCACACACAAGAUCAUGGUGAUGCAUAGCAACAAGAGGGGAGAGUAUGAUCUACGUACCCUUGUAGAUCAACAACGGAAGUGUUGACGCGACGUAGAGGAAGUAGUCGUACGUCUUCUCGAUCCGACUGAUCCAAGCACCGUUACUCCGGCACCUCCGAGUUCUUAGCACACGUACAACUCGAUGACGCUCCCCGGGCUCCGAUCCAGCAAAGCUUCGGGGAUGAGUUCUGUCAGCACAACGGCGUGGUGACGAUGAUGAUGUUCUACCGAUGCAGGGCUUCGCCUAAGCACUACAACGAUAUGAUCGAGGUGGAAUAUGGUGGCAGGGGGCACCGCACACGGCUAAGGAACGAUCACGUGGAUCAACUUGUGUGUUCUAGGGUGCCCCCUGCCUCCGUAUAUAAAGGAGCCAAGGGGGAGGGGGCGGCCGGCCAAGGAGGGCGCGCCAAGGGAGUCCUACUCCCUCUAGGAUUAGGAUCCCCCCAAUCCUAGUUGGAAUAGGAUUCCUUGAGGGGGGAAAAGAGAGAGGGGGGCCAGCCACCUCUCCUAGUCCUAAUAGGACUAGGGGAGGGGGGAGGCGCGCGACCCACCUUGGGCUGCCCCUUUCUCUUUUCCACUAAAGCCCACUAAGGCCCAUAUAGCUUCCGGGGGGUUCCGGUAACCUCCCGGUACUCCGGUAAAAUCCCGAUUUCACCCGGAACACUUCCGAUAUCCAAACAUAGGCUUCCAAUAUAUCAAUCUUUAUGUCUCGAUCAUUUCGAGACUCCUCGUCAUGUCCAUGAUCACAUCCGAGACUCCGAACAACCUUCGGUACAUCAAAAUGCAUAAACUCAUAAUAACUGUCAUCGUAACGUUAAGCUUGCGGACCCUACGGUUCGAGAACAAUGUAGACAUGACCGAGACACGUCUCCGGUCAAUAACCAAUAGCGGGACCUAGAUGCCCAUAUUGGCUCCUACAUAUUCUACGAAGAUCUUUAUCGGUCAGACCGCAGAACAGCAUACGUUGUUCCCUUUGUCAUCGGUAUGGUACUUGCCCGAGAUUCGAUCGUCGGUAUCCAAUACCUAGUUCAAUAUCGUUGCCGGCAAGUCUCUUUACUCGUUCCGUAAUACAUCAUCUCACAACUAACAUAUUAGUUGUAAUGCUUGCAAGGCUUAUGUGAUGUGCAUUACCGAGAGGGCCCAGAGAUACCUCUCCGACAAUCGGAGUGACAAAUCCUAAUCUCAAAAUACGCCAACCCAACAUCUACCUUUGGAGACACCUGUAAUGCUCCUUUAUAAUCACCCAGUUACGUUGUGAAGUUUGGUAGCACCCAAAGUGUUCCUCAGGCAAACGGGAGUUGCAUAAUCUCAUAGUCAUAGGAACAUGUAUAAGUCAUGAAGAAAGCAAUAGCAACAUACUAAACGAUCGGGUGCUAAGCUAAUGGAAUGGGUCAUGUCAAUCAGAUCAUUCAACUAAUGAUGUGAUCCCGUUAAUCAAAUAACAACUCUUUGUUCAUGGUUAGGAAACAUAACCAUCUUUGAUUAACAAGCUAGUCAAGUAGAGGCAUACUAGUGACACUCUGUUUGUCUAUGUAUUCACACACAUGUAUUAUGUUUCCGGUUAAUACAAUUCUAGCAUGAAUAAUAAACAUUUAUCAUGAUAUAAGGAAAUAAAUAAUAACUUUAUUAUUGCCUCUAGGGCAUAUUUCCUUCAGUCUCCCACUUGCACUAGAGUCAAUAAUCUAGAUUACAUAGUAAUGAUUCUAACACCCAUGGAGCCUUGGUGCUGAUCAUGUUUUGCUCGUGGAAGAGGCUUAGUCAGCGGGUCUGCAACAUUCAGGUCCGUAUGUAUCUUGCAAAUCUCUAUGUCUCCCACCUGGACUAGAUCCCGGAUGGAAUUGAAGCGUCUCUUGAUGUGCUUGGUUCUCUUGUGAAAUCUGGAUUCCUUUGCCAAGGCAAUUGCACCAGUAUUGUCACAAAAGAUUUUCAUUGGACCCGAUGCACUAGGUAUGACACCUAGAUCGGAUAUGAACUCCUUCAUCCAGACUCCUUCGUUUGCUGCUUCCGAAGCAGCUAUGUACUCCGCUUCACAUGUAGAUCCCGCCAGGACGCUUUGUUUAGAACUGCACCAACUGACAGCUCCACCGUUUAAUGUAAACACGUAUCCGGUUUGCGAUUUAGAAUCGUCCAGAUCAGUGUCAAAGCUUGCAUCAACGUAACCGUUUACGAUGAGCUCUUUGUCACCUCCAUAUACGAGAAACAUAUCCUUAGUCCUUUUCAGGUACUUCAGGAUGUUCUUGACCGCUGUCCAGUGAUCCACUCCUGGAUUACUUUGGUACCUCCCUACUAAACUUAUAGCAAGGCACACAUCAGGUCUGGUACACAGCAUUGCAUACAUGAUAGAGCCUAUGGCUGAAGCAUAGGGAACAUCUUUCAUUUUCUCUCUAUCUUCUGCAGUGGUCGGGCUUUGAGUCUUACUCAAUUUCACACCUUGUAACAGAGGCAAGAACCCUUUCUUUGCUUGAUCCAUUUUGAACUUCUUCAAAAUCUUGUCAAGGUAUGUGCUUUGUGAAAGUCCAAUUAAGCGUCUUGAUCUAUCUCUAUAGAUUUUUAUGCCUAAUAUGUAAGCAGCUUCACCGAGGUCUUUCAUUGAAAAACUCUUGUUCAAAUAUCCCUUUAUGCUAUCCAGAAAUUCUAUAUCAUUUCCAAUCAGUAAUAUGUCAUCCACAUAUAAUAUCAGAAAUGCUACAGAGCUCCCACUCACUUUCUUGUAAAUACAGGCUUCUACAAAAGUCUGUAUAAAACCAAAUGCUUUGAUCACACUAUCAAAGCGUUUAUUCCAACUCCGAGAGGCUUGCACCAGUCCAUAAAUGGAUCGUUGGAGCUUGCACACUUUGUUAGCUCCCUUUGGAUUGACAAAACCUUCCGGUUGCAUCAUAUACAACUCUUCUUCCAGAAAUCCAUUCAGGAAUGCAGUUUUGACAUCCAUCUGCCAAAUUUCAUAAUCAUAAAAUGCGGCAAUUGCUAACAUGAUUCGGACAGACUUAAGCAUCGCUACGGGUGAGAAAGUCUCAUCAUAGUCAACCCCUUGAACUUGUCGAAAACCUUUUGUGACAAGUCGAGCUUUGUGAAGACAGUAAUAUUACCGUCAGCGUCAGUCUUCUUCUUGAAGAUCCAUUUAUUCUCAAUUGCUUGCCGAUCAUCGGGCAAGUCAACCAAAGUCCAUACUUUGUUCUCAUACAUGGAUCCCAUCUCAGAUUUCAUGGCUUCAAGCCAUUUUGCGGAAUCUGGGCUCACCAUCGCUUCUUCAUAGUUCGUAGGUUCAUCAUGAUCUAGUAGCAUGACUUCUAGAACAGGAUUACCGUACCACUCUGGUGCGGAUCUCACUCUGGUUGAUCUACGAGGUUCAGUAGUAUCUUGUUCUGAAGUUUCAUGAUCAUCAUCAUCAGCUUCCUCACUAAUUGGUGUAGGUGUCACUGAAACAGUUUUCUGUGAUGUACUACUUUCCAAUAAGGGAGCAGGCACAGUUGCCUCAUCAAGUUCUACUUUCCUUCCACUCACUUCUUUCGAGAGAAACUCUUUCUCUAUAAAGGAUCCAUUCUUAGCAACGAAUGUCUUGCCUUCGGAUCUGUGAUAGAAGGUGUACCCAACAGUCUCCUUUGGGUAUCCUAUGAAGAAACAUUUCUCCGAUUUGGGUUCGAGCUUAUCAGGUUGAAGCUUUUUCACAUAAGCAUCGCAGCCCCAAACUUUAAGAAACGACAACUUUGGUUUCUUGCCAAACCAUAGUUCAUAAGGCGUCGUCUCAACGGAUUUUGAUGGUGCCCUAUUUAACGUGAAUGCGGCCGUCUCUAGAGCGUAUCCCCAAAACGAUAGCGGUAAAUCAGUAAGAGACAUCAUAGAUCGCACCAUAUCCAGUAAAGUACGAUUACGACGUUCGGACACACCAUUACGCUGUGGUGUUCUGGGUGGCGUGAGUUGCGAAACUAUUCCACAAUUUUUCAAAUGUACACCAAACUCGUAACUCAAAUAUUCUUCUCCACGAUCAGAUCGUAGAAACUUUAUUUUCUUGUUACGAUGAUUUUCAACUUCACUCUAAAACUCCUUGAACUUUUCAAAUGUUUCAGACUUAUGUUUCAUUAAGUAGAUAUACCCAUAUCUACUUAAAUCAUCUGUGAAGGUGAGAAAAUAACGAUAUCCGCCAUGAGCCUCAAUAUUCAUCGGACCACAUACAUCUGUAUGUAUGAUUUCCAACAAAUCUGUUGCUCUCUCCAUAGUACCAGAGAACGGUGUUUUAGUCAUCUUGCCCAUGAGGCACGGUUCGCAAGUACCAAGUGAUUCAUAAUCAAGUGAUUCCAAAAGUCCAUCAGUAUGGAGUUUCUUCACGCGCUUUAUACCGAUAUGACCUAAACGGCAGUGCCACAAAUAAGUUGCACCGUCAUUAUCAACUCUGCAUCUUUUGGCUUCAAUAUUAUGAAUAUGUGUAUCACUACUUUCAAGAUUCAAUAAGAAUAGACCACUCUUCAAGGGUGCAUGACCAUAAAAGAUAUUACUCAUAUAAAUAGAACAACCAUUAUUCUCUGAUUUAAAUGAAUAACCGUCUCGCAUUAAACAAGAUCCAGAUAUAAUGUUCAUGCUCAACGCCGUCACCAAAUAACAAUUAUUUAGGUCUAAUACUAAUCCCGAAGGUAGAUGUAGAGGUAGCGUGCCGACCGCGAUCACAUCGAUUUUGGAACCGUUUCCCACGCGCAUCGUCACCUCGUCCUUUGCCAGUGUUCGCUUAUUCCGUAGUCCCUGUUUUGAGUUGCAAAUAUUAGCAACAGAACCAGUAUCAAAUACCCAGGUGCUACUGCGAGCUCUAGUAAGGUACACAUCAAUAACAUGUAUAUCACAUAUACCUUUGUUCACCUUGCCAUCCUUCUUAUCCGCCAAAUACUCGGGGCAGUUCCGCUUCCAGUGACCAGUCUGCUUGCAGUAGAAGCACUCAGUUUCAGGCUUAGGUCCAGACUUGGGUUUCUUCUCUUGAGCAGCAACUUGCUUGCCGUUCUUCUUGAAGUUCCCCUUGUUCUUCCCUUUGCCCUUCUUCUUAAAACUAGUGGUCUUGUUGACCAUCAACACUUGAUGCUCCUUUUUGAUUUCUACCUCCGCAGCUUUCAGCAUUGCGAAGAGCUCGGGAAUAGUCUUAUUCAUCCCUUGCAUAUUAUAGUUCAUCACGAAGCUCUUGUAGCUUGGUGGCAGUGGUUGGAGAAUUCUGUCAAUGACGCAAUCAUCUGGAAGAUUAACUCCCAUCUGAAUCAAGUGAUUAUUAUACCCAGACAUUUUGAGUAUAUGCUCACUGACAGAACUGUUCUCCUCCAUCUUGCAGCUAUAGAACUUAUUGGAGACUUCAUAUCUCUCAAUCCGGGCAUUUGCUUGAAAUAUUAACUUCAACUCCUGGAACAUCUCAUAUGCUCCAUGACGUUCAAAACAUCGUUGAAGUCCCGAUUCUAAGCCGUAAAGCAUGGCACACUGAACUAUCGAGUAGUCAUCAGCUUUGCUCUGCCAGACGUUCAUAACAUCUGGUGUUGCUCCAGCAGCAGGCCUGGCACCCAGCGGUGCUUCCAGGACGUAAUUCUUCUGUGCAGCAAUGAGGAUAAUCCUCAAGUUACGGACCCAGUCCGUGUAAUUGCUACCAUCAUCUUUCAACUUUGCUUUCUCAAGGAACGCAUUAAAAUUCAACGGAACAACAGCACGGGCCAUCUAUCUACAAUCAACAUAAACAAGCAAGAUACUAUCAGGGACUAAGUUCAUGAUAAAUUUAAGUUCAAUUAAUCAUAUUACUUAAGAACUCCCACUUAGAUAGACAUCCCUCUAAUCUUCUAAGUGAUCACGUGAUCCAAAUCGACUAAACCAUAACCGAUCAUCACGUGAGAUGGAGUAGUUUCAUCGGUGAACAUCAUUAUGUUGAUCAUAUCUACUAUAUGAUUCACGCUCGACCUUUCGGUCUCCGUGUUCCGAGGCCAUAUCUGCAUAUGCUAGGCUCGUCAAGUAUAACCCGAGUAUUCUACGUGUGUAAAACUGGCUUGCACCCGCUGUAGAUGGACGUAGAGCUUAUCACACCCGAUCAUCACGUGGUGUCUGGGCACGACGAACUUUGGCAACAGUGCAUACUCAGGGAGAACAAUUCUUGAUAAUUUAGUGAGAGAUCAUCUUAUAAUGCUACCGUCAAUCAAAGCAAGAUAAGAUGCAUAAAAGAUAAACAUCACAUGCAAUCAAAUAUAAGUGAUAUGAUAUGGCCAUCAUCAUCUUGUGCCUGUGAUCUCCAUCUCCGAAGCACCGUCAUGAUCACCAUCGUCACCGGCGCGACACCUUGAUCUCCAUCGUAGCAUUGUUAUCGUCUCGCCAAUCUUAUGCUUCCACGACUAUCGCUACCUCUUAGUGAUAAAGUAAAGCAUUACAUCGCGAUUGCAUUGCAUACAAUAAAGCGACAACCAUAUGGCUCCUGCCAGUUGCCGAUAACUCGGUUACAAAACAUGAUCAUCUUAUACAAUAAAAUUUAGCAUCAUGUCUUGACCAUAUCACAUGACAACAUGCCCUGCAAAAACAAGUUAGACGUCCUCUACUUUGUUUGUUGCAAGUUUUACGUGGCUGCUACGGGCUUAAGCAAGAACCAAUCUCACCUACGCAUCAAAACCACAACGAUAGUUUGUCAAGUUGAUGCCGUUUUAACCUUCGCAAGGACCGGGCGUAGCCACACUCGGUUCAACUAAAGUUGGAGAGACAGUCGCCCGCAAGCCACCUAUGUGCAAAGCAUGUCGGGAGAACCGAUCUCGCGUAAGCGUACGCGUAAUGUUGGUCCGGAUCGUCUCGUCCAACAAUACCGCCGAACCAAAGUAUGACAUGCUGGUAGGCAGUAUGACUUAUAUCGCCCACAACUCACUUGUGUUCUACUCGUGCAAAUAACAUCAAACCAUAAAACCUAGGCUCGGAUGCCACUGUUGGGGAACGCAGUAAUUUAAAAUUUUUUCCUACGCACACGCAAGAUCAUGGUGAUGCAUAGCAAUGAGAGGGGAGAGUAUGAUCUACGUACCCUUGUAGAUCAACAACGGAAGCAUUGACGCGACGUAGAGGAAGUAGUCGUACGUCUUCUCGAUCCGACCGAUCCAAGCACCGUUACUCCGGCACCUCCGAGUUCUUAGCACACGUACAGCUCGAUGACGCUCCCCGGGCUCCGAUCCAGCAAAGCUUCGGGGAUGAGUUCUGUCAGCACAACGGCGUGCUGACGAUGAUGAUGUUCUACCAACGCAGGGCUUCGCCUAAGCACUACAACGAUAUGAUCGAGGUGGAAUAUGGUGGCAGGGGGCACCGCACACGGCUAAGGAACGAUCACGUGGAUCAACUUGUGUGUUCUAGGGUGCCCCCUGCCUCCGUAUAUAAAUGAGCCAAGGGGGAGGGGGCGGCCGGCCAAGGAGGGCACGCCAAGGGAGUCCUACUCCCUCUGGGAGUAGGACCCCUCCCCCCAAUCCUAGUUGGAAUAGGAUUCCUUGAGGGGGGAAAAGAGAGAGGGGGGCCGACCACCUCUCCCAGUCCUAAUAGGACUAGGGGAGGGGGGAGGCGCACGGCCCACCUUGGGCUGCCCCUUUCUCUUUUCCACUAAAGCCCACUAAGGCCCAUAUAGCUUCCGGGGGGUUCCGGUAACCUCCCGGUACUCUGGUAAAAUCCCGAUUUCACCCGGAACACUUCCGAUAUCCAAACAUAGGAUUCCAAUAUAUCAAUAUUUAUGUCUCGAUCAUUUCGAGACUCCUCGUCAUGUCCAUGAUCACAUCCGGGACUCUGAACAACCUUCGGUACAUCAAAAUGCAUAAACUCAUAAUAACUGUCAUCGUAACGUUAAGCGUGCGCCCCAGUCAAAAAAAAAACGUUAAGCGUGCGGACCCUACGGUUCGAGAACAAUGUAGACAUGACCGAGACACGUCUCCGGUCAAUAACCAAUAGCGGGACCUGGAUGCCCAUAUUGGCUCCUACAUAUUCUACGAAGAUCUUUAUCGGUCAGACCGCAUAACAACAUACGUUGUUCCCUUUGUCAUUGGUAUGUUACUUGCCCGAGAUUCGAUCGUCGGUAUCCAAUACCUAGUUCAAUCUCGUUACCGGCAAGUCUCUUUACUCGUUCCGUAAUACAUCAUCUCACAACUAACGUAUUAGCUGUAAUGCUUGCAAGGCUUAUGUGAUGUGCAUUACCGAGAGGGCCCAGAGAUACCUCUCCGACAAUCGGAGUGACAAAUCCUAAUCUCGAAAUACGCCAACCCAACAUCUACCUUUGGAGACACCUGUAAUGCUCCUUUAUAAUCACCCAGUUACGUUGUGACGUUUGGUAGCACCCAAAGUGUUCCUCAGGCAAACGGGAGUUGCAUAAUCUCAUAGUCAUAGGAACAUGUAUAAGUCAUGAAGAAAGCAAUAGCAACAUACUAAAUGAUCGGGUGCUAAGCUAAUGGAAUGGGUCAUGUCAAUCAGAUCAUUCAACUAAUGAUGUGAUCCCGUUAAUCAAAUAACAACUCUUUGUUCAUGGUUAGGAAACAUAACCAUCUUUGAUUAACAAGCUAGUCAAGUAGAGGCAUACUAGUGACACUCUGUUUGUCUAUGUAUUCACACACAUGUAUUAUGUUUCCGGUUAAUACAAUUCUAGCAUGAAUAAUAAACAUUUAUCAUGAUAUAAGGAAAUAAAUAAUAACUUUAUUAUUGCCUCUAGGGCAUAUUUCCUUCACUAAGACCCACCACAGGUGCGCCUCCCCCUCUCCCCCUUGUGGCCGCCACCCUAGAUGGGAUCUAGGGCUGCCGCACUCCUUGGGGUGGGAACCUUAGGUGGGGGUGCAGCCCUUCCUCUCCCCCUAUAUAUAGAAUUUCUGGAAAGCAUAAACGGUUGUUUGAAAAGUGUUUUUCAAAGGAAGACCUGGAUAAAGCUGCUUACAAAUUGGGCAUCAAGAUCUAUAGAUAUAGAUCAAGACGCCUGAUGAUACUUUCAAAGAACGCACACCUUGACAUGUUUUUGAAGGAGUUCAAAAUAGAUCAGUCAAAGAAAGGGUUCUUACCUGAGUUGUAUGGUGUGAAGUUGAGUAAGACUCAAAGAUUGACCACGGCAGAAGAAAGAGGAAGGACGAAGGUCGUCCCCUAUGCUCUUGUCAUAGGCUCUAUACGGUAUGCCAUGCUAAGUACCGCACCUGAUGUGUGCCUUGCCACAUGUCUGGCAAGAAGGUACAAAGGUGAUCUAGGACUGGAUCACUAGAUAGCAGUCAAAAAUUAUCCUUAGAGGAAUAAGGAAAUGUUUCUCGGUUAUGGAGGUGAUAAGGAGUUCGACAUAAAGAGUUACGUCGAUGCAAGCUUAACACCUAUCCAGAUAGCUCUGAGUAGAGAUACCAGAUACGUACAAUGGAGCAAUAAUUUGGAAUAGCUCCAAGUGGAACGUGGUAGCAGCAUCUACGAUAUGACAUAACAUGUUGCGAAAUACAUAGGGAUCUGAAUAUGGCAAUACCCGUUGACUACAACCUCUCUCACAAGCAUAACAUGAUCAAACCCAGAACUCUUUGAGUGUUAAUCACAUAGUGAUGUGAACUAGAUCAUUGAGUCUAGUAGACUCUUGGAUGUUGGUCACAUGGCGAUGUGACCUGUGAGUGUUAAUCACAUGGCGAUGUGAACUAGAUUAUUGACUCUAGUGCAAGUGGGAGACUGUUGGAAAUAUGCCCUAGAGGCAAUAAUAAAUUGGUUAUUAUUAUAUUUCCUUGUUCAUGAUAAUCGUUUAUUAUCCAUGCUAGAAUUGUAUUGAUAGGAAACUCAGAUACAUGUGUGGAUACAUAAACAACACCAUGUCCCUAGUAAGCCUCUAGUUGACUAGCUCGUUGAUCAAUAGAUGGUUACGGUUUCCUGACCAUGGACAUUGGAUGUCAUUGAUAACGGGAUCACAUCAUUAGGAGAAUGAUGUGAUGGACAAGACCCAAUCCUAAGCCUAGCACAAGAUCGUGUAGUCCGUAUGCUAAAGCUUUUCUAAUGUCAAGUAUCAUUUCCUUAGACCAUGAGAUUGUGCAACUCCCGGAUACCGUAGGAGUGCUUUGGGUGUGCCAAACGUCACAACGUAACUGGGUGGCUAUAAAGGUGCACUACGGGUAUCUCCGAAAGUGUCUGUUGGGUUGGCACGAAUCGAGACUGGGAUUUGUCGCUCCGUGUAAACGGAGAGGUAUCUCUGGGACCACUCGGUAGGACAUCAUCAUAAUGUGCACAAUGUGACCAAGGAGUUGAUCACAGGAUGAGGUGUUACGGAACGAGUAAAGAGACUUGCCGGUAACGAGAUUGAACAAGGUAUCGGGAUACCGACAAUCGAAUCUCGGGCAAGUAUCAUACCGAUAGACAAAGGGAAUUGUAUACGGGAUUGAUUGAAUCCUUGACAUCGUGCUUCAUCCGAUGAGAUCAUCAUGGAGCAUGUGGGAGCCAAUAUGGGUAUCCAGAUCCCGCUGUUGGUUAUUGACCAGAGAGUUGUCUCGGCCAUGUCUGCAUGAGUCCCGAACCCGUAGGGUCUACACACUUAAGGUUCGAUGACGCUAGGGUUAUAGUGAAAGUAUGUACGCGGUUACGGAAUGUUGUUCGGAGUCCCGUAUGAGAUCCCGUACGUCAUGAGGAGUUCCGGAAUGGUUCGGAGGUAAAGAUUGAUAUAUAGGAAGUAUGGUUUUGGCCACCGGAAGUGUUCCGGGAAUCACCGGCAGUGUACCGGGACCACCGGGAGGGGCCACGGGCCCCGGAGGCCUACAUGAGCCAAUAGUGGGAAGGGACCAGCCCCUAGGUGGGCUGGGGCGCCUCCCACCAAGGCCCAAGGCGCCUCCUAGAGGGGAAGGGGGCAAACCCUAGGGCAGAUGGGCCCUAAGGCCCACCCCAAGUGCGCCUCCCCCUCUCCCCCUUGUGGCCGCCACCCUAGAUGGGAUCUAGGGCUGCCGCCCCCCUUGGGGUGGGAACCCUAGGUGGGGCGCAGCCCUUCCUCUCCCCCUAUAUAUAGUGGAGGCAAAGGGGCAGCCCAACACACGAAGUUCUUCCCCUGUUGGCGCAGCCCUACCUCUCUCCCUCCUCGUCUCUCGUAGUGCUUGGUGAAGCCCUGCUGGAGUCCGGCGCUCCUCCACCACCACCACGCCAUCGUGCUGCUGCUAGACAGAGUCUUCCCCAACCUCUCCUUCUCCCCUUGCUGGAUCAAGGCGUAGGAGACGUCACCGGGUUGCACGUGUGUUGAACGCGGAGGCGCCGUUGUUCGGUGCUUAGAUCGGAAUCAACCGCGAUCUGAAUCGCUACGAGUACGACUCCUUCAUCCGCGUUCUUGCAACGCUUCUACUUAGCGAUCUACAAGGGUAUGUAGAUGCACUCUCCUUCCCCUUGUUGCUAGAUUACUCCAUAGAUUGAUCUUGGUGAUGCGUAGAAAAUUUUAAAUUUCUGCUACGAUCCCCAACAUUCAUCUCUCUCUCUCUCUCUUGAUUCUCAAUACAAUGGUCUCUUGGAGAUCCAUAUGAUGUAACUCUUUUGCGGUGUGUUUGUUGGGAUAUGAUGAACUUCGAGUUUAUGAUCAGUUAUAUCUUUUUAUAUCCAUGAAAGUAUUUGAGUUUCUUUGAUCUCUUUUAUGCAUGAUCUCUUAUAGCCUCGUAUUUAUUCUCUGAUAUUUGUUUUUUGGCCAACUUGAUCUAUUUAUCUUGCAAUGGGAAGAGGUGCCCGGUAGUGGGUCGAUCUUACGGUGCUUGAUCCGAGUGACAGAAAGGGAACCGACACGUAUGUAUCGUUGCUACUAAGGAUAAAAAGACGAGAUCUAUAUCUACUGCUAUAUAGUUAAACGGAUCUUGUCUACAUCAUGUCAUCGUUCUUAUUGCAUUACUCCGUUUUCCCAUGAACUUAAUACACUAGAUGCAUGCUGGAUAGCGGGCGAUGUGUGGAGUAAUAGUAGUAGAUGCAGGCAGGAGUCGUUCUACUAAUCUUGGACGUGAUGCCUAUGUAAUGAUCAUUGCCCGGAUAUCGUCAUGAGUAUUUGAAGUUCUAUCAAUUUCCCAACAGUAACUUGUUUACCCACCGUUUGCUAUUUUUCUCGAGAGAAGCCACUAGUGAAACCUAUGGCCCCCGGGUCUUCUUUCUCAUAUAUUUGCUUUGCGAUCUAUUUUUAUUUGCUUCUAUUUUCAUAUCUACUAAACCAAAACCCCCAAAGCUCCUUGCUGCAAUUUAUUUUAUUUGGCGUUCGAUCUAUCAAUAUUUACAACUUUAUCUCCCGUCACAUGCCAUUUCUGGCACCAUUACCCGAAAGGGAUUGACAACCCCUUUAACACGUGGGUUGCGAUGUGUUGUUAUUUGUGUGCAGGGGCUGUUUAUGUUGUGUUGCUUGGUUCUCCUACUGGUUCGAUAACCUUGGUUUCAUAUCUAAGGGAAAUACCUACCGCUGCUGUGCUGCAUCAUCCCUUCCUCUUUGGGGAAAUACCGACGUAGCUUCAAGCAACAUCAAAAGGAAUAUCUGGUGCCGUUGCCAGGGAGGAUCUUCAACAUAUACCAGGUUCCUAAUCACAAAUGUCAUCUCCUCGCAAUUUACAUUAUUUGCCAUUUGCCUCUCGUUUUCCUCUCCCCCACUUCACAAAAAAAUGUCAUUUUAUUCGCCUCUUUUUUCCAUUCUCGUUCUCUUGCUUUCUAGUCUUGAUGGCUAGCAUCCCUACUCCUCCUUUGUCACCAGAUUUUGAAGUCUUGUACUUCAAGAAAAGACAAGGAGAAAAUUUGAGAGAUGCCUGGUAUAGGCUUAUGGAAUCGUAUCGUAUUUCCAACUUAAAGGGGGAUGCUAAUGUUUUUCUCCGAAAUUUUUACAUAGGAUUGUCUUUGCAUCAUAGACAAUUUCUCAAUUUUGCCGCUAAAGGAAACUUCAUUGAUCUUGAUGCCAAUGCUGCCUAUGAAAUCUUAGAGGGAAUUUUGGGAAUUCCACCUCAAAAGAAGGGGUUUCCUUUUACCCCCGAGGGAGCUCAAAUGUUGGACAAACUUGGUGAUUUGCAUAAGCAUAUGGUUGAAAUACAAAAAUACAAUGAACCCCUCAAACACCUCAAUGGUAGUAUCAAUCUCAUGAAUUCCCUGAUUACUCUUUGUAAUAAGUGAUUAGAUCUUUUGGAUCUUAAGAUGGUUUCUUUUCAGAGAAUUUAGGGAAGCGUAAAUAGCCUCCCAGGUAUGAGAAAACCCUUACAAAAGUUGACAAAACUCCGGAAGACAAAACUUAGAUCCUUGCUUUAUGCCUAGCUAAGGGCGUAAAACUAUACCGCUUGUUGAUAGGCAACCCAAUGUAUAAAAUUUAUUUUUGCUUUAUGCUUGCUGUUCUUGUGUGUUAGCACAAUUAUGCUACUGUUAUGAUUGUGUUUUUUAUGUUUUAAUUAGUGUUUGUGCCAAGCAAAGCCUUUAGGAUCUUCUUGGGCAAUAGUUGUUUGAUCUUGCUGAAAAAAAACAGAAAGUUUGCGCUCAUGAAAAAAUUAUCAUGUUUUACCAGAGAGCGAUAAAAUACCCAUUCCAAUUGCAGUAGAUCAAUAUACAAAUUUCUUAGGUCAUCCUAAUUUUUCAGAAUUUUUGGAGUUACAGAAGUAUUCGACAUAGUCAGAUUGCUAUAGACUGUUCUGUUUUGACAGAUUAUGUUUUCUUUGUGUUGUGUGCUUAUUUUGAUGGCUCUAUGGUUUUAUUUGGUGAGUUUUUGCCAUAGAAAAGUUGGAAUACAGAAGAUAUAAUACAAAUACAAAAUAUUAAUUGGUUUGAUACAACACUUAUAGUAGUGGUUUAUUAUUCUUAUACUAGCGGAUCUCACGAAGGUUUUUGUUGAGUUUUGUGUGAUUGAAGUGUUCAAGUUUUGGGUUAUCUUACGAUGGAUGAAGGAAGGAUGUAAGAGCCUAAGCUUGGGGAUGUCCCGGCAUCCCAAGCUAUUAGCCAAGAAUGAGCAACCAACUAAGCUUGGGGAUGCCACCGAGUGGCAUCCUCGCUUUCUUCCAACAACUAUCGGUAUUUUACUUGAGACUAUAUUUUUAUUCGUCACGUGAUAUGUGUUUGCUCGGAGCGUCUUGUAUGAUAUGUGUCUUUGCUUGUUUUAUUUUGUGUUUUAAGUCAUCAAUCCUUGUUGGACACACCUCUUUGAGAGAGCCAAAAUUAUAUCAUGACUUGUUAGAAUUGCUCUCUAUGCUUCACUUAAAUCUUUUAUGAGCUAGGACUUGCUCUAGUGCUUCACUUAUAUAUUUUUGAGCACAGUGUGCUUAGUAUUUUUGAAGAAAUACUCUCUUGCUUCACUUAGAUUUAUUUGAGAGUUAGUAAAAUUUUGAAGAAAUUCUCCCUUGCUUCACUUAAAUUAUUCCGAGAGAAAGAAAAUUUGUUAUGCUCAUGAUCUUCACUUAUAUUUGUUUGAGCUUAUGAAAAGCAACACAUGAAAAUUAGUCCCAAAGUGAUAGAUAUCCAAGAAGGAUAAAGAAAGAAAAAAGUGUCAUGAAGAUCAUUGGACAAAAUAAACUUGAUUCUUAGAAAUAGUUUUGAGAUAUGAUGAUGUGAUAUGUGAGUCAUCUUGAUGAGUAAUUAUGCUUUAGUAAUAAUAUUGGUGUUAAGGUUUGUGAUUCCCUAUGCAUGCACGAAAGUCAAUAAUCAUGCAAUGAAAAUUAUAUCCUACUAGUGGUGCAUUAUUCGGUGUUAAUUAUGCAUAAUGCUUGCUUAUGAGAUUAUUCGUUUCUUGGUUGGUCGCUUCCCAAUCUUUUGCUAGCCUUCAUUUUGCACUAAGUAUGACCUCUACUUGUGCAUCCAAAAUCCUUUAAACCAGUUUUGCCACAUGAGUCCGUUCUAUCUACCUAUAUGCAGUAUUGUUUUGCCGUUCUAACCAAAUUUUCAUGUGCCAUCUCUAAUUUUCAAAAUAAACUCCUCUUUUGUGUGUUUGUUUCGCUCGCAGAUCGGUGAGGGGUAGCUAAUAUUUUCCAUGCUAGAUGUGUUAUUCUCAAGAUGAGUGUUUAUUCACUUGUCAUUGCACGAGAGUAAGGCAAAGGUAUUAGGGAUGCCCAGUCCUGAAAUGCAAAAACAAAAAUGAAUUUACUUUAUGUUGUCAAAUAAUAAAUUCCUUGAAAAGUGUUGGUAUGGAGGGCACCUGUGGAUUCAGUUAGCCAUGGAAAGUGAAAGAAAUGGUGGAAAAAGGAAUAAACUUUAUUUUCCGUUUGGGAACCGCCUAUGGCAUAUCUAGCAUGGAAAGUGUUGGGAAGUCUAAGUUGUUUUUGUGGGUGGGAUGGAUACACCUCCCAAAAUAUUUUUUAUCUCUAAUCUUUUUGCUUUGAGCUCUGGCACCUCUACAAAUCCCUACUUCCCUCCGCUAAGGGCCUAUCUUUUACUUUAUGCAAUUUUUAUUUUGAGUGUCUAUCUUCUCUCAUAAAAAGCACCAACUAGGAGGCAAUAUGAUCGUGCUCAAGUAUUGGGUGUAGUAUUCGAGUGUGUUUCAUGAAUGGAUCAAUGUUUGAGCAUGAUGGGCUAGGGAUAACUUAUUUUAGCAUUGAUAUUUUGAAAGACAUGGUUGCUUGUUGAUAUGCUUGAGUAUCUAAAUUAUUAUGUCAAAACUAGACUAUUGCCUUGAAUCACAUAAAAGUCCAAAUGUCGAUGCUAUAAAGAAAAUAAUAUGAUAUGACUUGAUGAACAUCACUCCACAUAAAAAAUUAUGUUUUUAUCACUUACCUACUUGAGGACGAGUAGGAGUUAAGCUUGGGGAUGCUGAUUCGUCUCCAACGCAUCUAUAAUUUUUGAUUGUUCCAUGUUGUUUUAUUGUCAAUCUUGGAUGUUUUGUAAUCAUUUUAUAGUCAUUUUAUAUCAUUUUUUGGUACUAACCUAUUGACAUAGUGCCAAGUGCCAGUUGCUGUUUUUUCCAUGUUUUUACAUCGCAAAAAAUCAAUAUCAAACGGAGUCCAAAUGCGACGGAACUUUAUGAUGAUUUUUUAUGGGCCAGAAGGAAGGCAAUGGGCCCUGGUUGCACUUGGGGGGUGCCCUGAGGGGGGCACAACCCACCAGGGCGCGCCAGGAGGCCCAUGCGCGCCCUCGUGGGUUGUGCCCACCUCGGGUUCCCCCCGAACCACCUCUUUCCUCUAUAAAUACCCAAAUAUUUCCAAAACCCUAGGGGAGUCGACGAAAUAUUCAUCCAGCCGCUACAGAGUCCAAAUCAACCAGAUCCAAUCUAAACACCAUCUCAGAUGGGGUUCACCACCUCCAUUUGUGCCUCUUCGAUGACGCGUGAGUAGUUCUUUGUAGACCUUCGGGUCCGUAGUUAGUAGCUAGAUGGCUUUCUCUCUCUCUCUCUCUCUCUCUCUCUCUCUGUCUCUCUCUCGCUAAUUCUCAAUACAAUGGUCUCUUGGAGAUCCAUAUGAUGUAACUCUUUUGCGGUGUGUUUGUUGGGAUCUGAUGAACUUUGAGUUUAUGAUCAUCCAUAUCUUUUUAUAUCCAUGAAAGUUAUUUGAGUUUCUUUGAUCUCUUAUAUGCAUGAUCUCUUAUAGCCUCAUAUUUCUUCUCUGAUAUUGGGUUUUGUUUGGCCAACUUGAUCUAUUUAUCUUCCAAUGGGAAGAGGUGCCUGGUAGUGGGUUCGAUCUUACGGUGCUUGAUCCAAGUGAUAGAAGGGGAACCGACACGUAUGUAUCGUUGCCACUAAGGAUAAAAAGGCGAGAUCUAUAUCUACCGCCAUAUAGAUAAACGGAUCUUGUCUACGUCAUGUCAUCGUUCUUAUUGCAUUACUCCGUUUCCAUGAACUUAAUACACUAGAUGCAUGCUGGAUAGCGGGCGAUGUGUGGAGUAAUAGUAGUAGAUGCAGGCAGGAGUUGUUCUACUAAUCUUGGACGUGAUGCCUAUGUAAUGAUCAUUGCCCGGAUAUCGUCAUGAGUAUUUGAAGUUCUAUCAAUUGCCCAACAGUAAUUUGUUUACCCACCGUUUGCUAUUUUUCUCGAGAGAAGCCACUAGUGAAACCUACGGCCCCCGAGUCUUCUUUCUCAUAUAUUUGCUUUGCGAUCUAUUUUUAUUUGCUUUUAUUUUCAGAUCUACUAAACCAAAAACCCAAAAAUACCUUGCUGCAAUUUAUUUUAUUUGGCAUUCGAUCUAUCAAUAUUUACAACUUUAUCUCCCGUCACACGUCGUUUUUCGCAACGUUACCCGAAAGGGAUUGACAACCCCUUUAACACAUCGGGUUGCGAGGUGUUGUUAUUUGCGUGCAUGGGCUGUUUAUGUUGUGUUGCUUGGUCCUCCUACUGGUUCAAUAACCUUGCUUUCAUAUCUGAGGAAAAUACCUACCGCCGCUGUGCUGCAUCACCCCUUCCUCUUUGGGGAAAUACCGACGUAGCUUCAAGCGACAUCAUGUCACACCCCUUCUCCCAGCUGUAAUCUCUACUUAAACAUGGUGCUCAACUUCAUAUAUUAUUUCCCAAUCAUCUAUGGUUAUCCUAUGAUGUUUGAGUAGAUCCGUUUUGUCAUGUGGGUUAAUCGUGAUAUUGGUUGGUAUGAUUGUAUAUUUUAUUUAUGGUGUUGUCCUACGGUGCCCUCCGUUCUCGCGCAAACGUGAGGGCCCCCCGCUGUAGGGUGUUGCAAUAUGUUCAUGGUUCGCUUAUGGUGGGUUGUGAGAGUGACAGAAACUUAAACCCGAGUAGGUGGGGUAUGACGUAUGCGAGUAAAGAGGACUUGAUACUUAAUGCUAUGGUUGAGUUUCACAACCUUAAUGAUCUUUAGUAGUUGCGGAUGCUUGCUAGAGUUCCAAUCAUAAGUGCAUAUGAUCCAAGUAGAGAAAGUAUGUUAGCUCAUGCCUCUCCCUCAUAUAAAAUUGCAAGAAUGAUUACCGAUACUUGUUAUGGAUUGCCUAGGGACAAAUAACUUUCUUGUUGACACAAACCCUUUUACUAAACACCUAACUUUUAUUAUCUUGCAAAGUACUUCUAGUUUUAUUCUUGCAAAGUAGUUCUAGCAUCACACCUACAAAAUAGUUUCAUACUUGUUUCCGAUAAAGCAAACGUCAAGUGUGCGUAGAGUUGUAUCGGUGGUCGAUAGAACUUGAGGGAUUAUUUGUUCUGCCUUUAGCUCCUCGUUGGAUUCGACACUCUUAUUUAUCGAAGAAGGCUACAAAUGACCCCCUAUAUUGUGGGUUAUCAAGACCUUUUUCUGGCGUCGUUGCCGGGGAGCAAUAGCGUGGGGUGAAUAUUCUCGUGUGUGCUUGUUUGCUUUAUCACUAAGUAGUUUUUAUUUCAUGUGCUAAGUUGUUCUCUAUCUUUGGUUAUGGAUAUGGAACAUGAAACACCAAGAAAAAUAGUUGUACCUGCUACUCAUGGAGAUGGGGAACCUCCUAAAAGCCUCGAUGCUCGUUAUGUAAAAGAUAUUAUGCACUACUUUGAUAAUCCUGAGAAAACCCAUUCAACUACAUAAUGGGAGUAAUGGAUCAACAUGAAUACUUUAGGGAUUAUCGCUUGACUCAUAAAAGGAAAUUGUUAUGGGAUCAAAUUCAUAUGUUGCAUUGGUAUGCUUGGAAUUUAUGCUAGAGAUAUGAUUAUACUUGUUGCUCUAGGAUGAAUGCUCCACAUCUUCCCUUUUCAUGUGAAUUUAAUGAUAAUGAAACCUUGGCUUCUUAUGCUAGAGGUAUAUAUGAUUACUAUGAUGUGGAACGAAUAGAAGAAUUUGUUGCUUUUAAGGGUGCUUAUGAAAUUGAAUCUUUGUUUGAAAAGUUUGAAGAUUUUGAUGAUUCAGUUUAUAGACCUGAAAAUCUUGCGAUCCUUAAAUAUUGCUAUGAUAAUUAUAAAUACAAUUACGAUAUUGAUGUAUUUAUUGAGAAUAACUCCAUUGUCCAAGAAAAGACUAAUAUUUUGCAGGAGUCUGUGGAAGAAGGAAUUGAUGAAACUGUGAGCUCAUUGGAUGAAAAAGAUGAUGAGGAGAGCGAAGAACAAGCGGAGGAAGAGCGGAUUGAUCACCCGUGCCCACCCACUACUAGGGAAAACCUUAUACACAGAAUCUUAGCAGCAACGAGGUUUAGAAACAAACGCUACUACUAAUUAGCAGUAGCGAGCUUCAGAAGACCACGCUACUAAUAGUGCAGUAGCAGUAGCGCUCUAGGUGAAACGAGCGCUACUACUACAAUUGCCACGGUGCCUCCAGGCUAGAUAUAGUAGUACCGCCCUUUUCCUGGACGCGCUACUGCUAAAGUACUUAGUAGCAAUGUUUUUCUUUAAAACUCGCUGCUGCUAAGUAUCAUCCCCUCUUGCAACUAAUUAUGUUUAAUCCCAUACUGCUAAGCGAACAAGGUGUUUACCACCUUAAAUAUGUUACUUCUCAAACUAUCUUGAGAACUUGAUCUUCAUUGAACUGUAUGUGUAGGAUUUGUGGCUGCAAUAUGAAUCUUCACUUGUGCCUAUAUAGGUACGGUGAGGAUUCAUGUUGACUAUUUAGAUUCUACACAAAAAGAUCAAUGAUGACCAAUGUAUAUUUUUGAUGUUUUUACAUGCUUAGCCUUAGCAGUAGCGUUUUUUCAGGACAAAGCGCUACUGAUAUUGGGAUUAGCAGUAGCGCGCUCCCUGUACUCGCGCUACUGCUAUAGCAAAACAAAACACGCGGCCUGGCCCCUGAUACAUCUCCAACGUAUCUAUAAUUUUUGAUUGUUCCAUGCUAUUAUAUGUUCUGUUUUUGAUGUUUAAUGGGCUUAUUUAUACACUUUUAUAUUAUUUUUGGGACUAACCUAUUAACCGGAGGGCCAACCCAAAUUGCUGUUUUUUUUUGCCUAUUUCAGUGUUUCGCAGAAAAAGAAUAUCGAACAGAGUCCAAACGAAAUGAAACCUUCGGGAGCGUGGUUUUUGGAACGAACGUGAUCCAGAGGACUUGGAGUGGACGUCAAGCAAUCAACGAGGAGGCCACGAGGCAGGGGGCGCGCCUACCGCUUGGGCAUGCCCUCCACCCUCGUGGGCCCCUCGUGGCUCCACCGACCUACUUCUUCCUCCUAUAUAUACCUACGUACCCCCAAACCAUCGAUGAGCACCACGAAACACUAUUUCCACCACCUCAACCUUCUGUACCUGAGAGAUCCCAUCUCGGGGCCUUUUUGGGAGCUCCACAGGAGGGGGCAUUGAUCACAGAGGCCUACAUCAACUCCAUGGCCCCUCCGAUGAUGUGUGAGUAGUUUACUUCAGACCUUCGGGUCCAUAGUUAUUAGCUAGAUGGCUUCUUCUCUCUCUCUUUGGAUCUCAAUACAUAGUUCUCCUCGAUCUUCUUGGAGAUCUAUUCGAUGUAACUCUUUUUGCGGUGUGUUUGUCGAGAUCCGAUGAAUUGUGGGUUUAUGAUCAAGUCUAUCUAUGAACAAUAUUUGAAUCUUCUCCGAAUUCUUUUAUGUAUGAUUGGUUAUCUUUGCAAGUCUCUUUGAAUUAUCAGUUUGGUUUGGCCUACUAGAUUGAUCUUUCUUGCAAUGGGAGAAGUGCUUAGCUUUGGGUUCAAUCUUGCGGUGCUCAAUCCCAGUGACAGUAGGGGCAACGACACGUAUUGUAUUGUUGCCAUCGAGGAUAAAAAGAUGGGGUUUAUAUCAUAUUGCAUGAGUUUAUCCCUCUACAUCAUGUCAUCUUGCUUAAGGCGUUACUCUGUUCUUAUGAACUUAAUACUCUAGAUGCAUGCUGGAUAGCGGUCGAUGUGUGGAGUAAUAGUAGUAGAUGCAGGCAGGAGUCGGUCUACUUGUCAUGGACGUGAUGCCUAUAUACACGAUCAUACCUAGAUAUUCUCAUAACUAUGCUCAAUUCUAUCAAUUGCUCGACAGUAAUUUGUUCACCCACCGUAAUACUUGUGCUAUCUUGAGAGAAGCCACUAGUGAAACCUAUGGCCCCCGGGUCUAUUUUCCAUCAUACAAGUUUCCAAUCUAUUUUAUUUUGCAAUCUUUACUUACAAUUUAUAUCAUAAAAAUACCAAAAAUAUUUAUCUUAUUGUUAUUAUUAUUAUUAUUAUUAUUAUCUCUAUCAGAUCUCACUCUUGCAAGUGGCCGUGAAGGGAUUGACAACCCCUUUAUCGCGUUGGUUGCGAGGUUCUUAUUUGUUUGUGUAGGUACGAGGUGACUCGUGCGUGGUCUCCUACUGGAUUGAUACCUUGGUUCUCAAAAACUGAGGGAAAUAUUUAUGCUGCUUUGCUGCAUCACCCUUUCCUCUUCAAGGGAAAACCAACGCAUGCUCAAGAGGUAGCAAGAAGGAUUUCUGGCGCCGUUGCCGGGGAGAUCUACGCCAAGUCAAGACAUACCAAGUACCCAUCACAAUUCUUAUCCUUCGCAUUACAUUAUUUGCCAUUUGCCUCUCGUUUUCCUCUCGCCCACUUCACCCUUGCCAUUUUAUUCGCCCUCUUUUCCUUGCACCCACUCUUUCCAUUCGCUUUUUCUUCGCUUGUUUGCUUGUGUGUUGGAUUGCUUGCUUGUCAUGAUGGCUCAAGAUAAUACUAAAUUGUGUGACUUUGCCAAUACCAACAAUAAUGAUUUUAUUAGCACUCCGAUUGCUCCUCUUACCGAUGCUGAAUCUUGUGAGAUUAAUACUGCUUUGUUGAAUCUUGUCAUGAAAGAUCCGUUUUCUGGCCUUCCUAGUGAAGAUGCCGCUACCCAUCUAAACAACUUUGUUGAUUUGUGUGAUAUGCAAAAGAAGAAAUAUGUGGAUAAUGAUAUUGUUAAACUUAAGCUAUUUCCGUUUUCGCUUAGAGAUCGUGCUAAAGCUUGGUUUUUCGUCUUUGCCUAAAAAUAGUAUUGAUUCGUGGAAUAAGUGCAAAGAUGCUUUUAUCUCUAAGUAUUUUCCUCCCGCUAAGAUCAUCUCUCUUAGAAACGAUAUUAUGAAUUUUAAGCAACUUGAUCAUGAGCAUGUAGCACAAUCUUGGGAGAGGAUGUAAUUAAUGAUACACAAUUGCCCUACACAUGGUUUAAAUUUAUGGAUGAUUAUACAAAUUUUUAUGCCGGAUUGAAUUUUGCUUCUAGAAAUCUUUUAGAUUCGGCCGCUGGAGGUACUUUUAUGAAGAUCACUUUAGGAGAAGCUACCAAACUCCUAGAUAAUAUUAUGGUUAAUUAUUCUCAAUGGCACACUGAAAGAUCUACUAGUAAAAAGGUGCAUGCAAUUGAAGAGAUUAAUGUUUUGAGUGGAAAGAUGGAUGAACUUAUGAAAUUGUUUGCUAAUAAGAGUACUCCUACUGAUCCCAAUGAUAUGCCUUUGUCUACUUUGAUUGAGAAUAAUAAUGAAUCUAUGGAUGUGAAUUUUGUUGGUAGGAACAAUUUUGGUAAUAACGCAUAUAGAGGUAAUUUUAAUCCUAGGCCGUUUCCUAGUAAUUCCUAUAAUAAUUAUGGUAAUUCCUACAACAAUUCUUAUGGAAAUUAUAAUAAGAUGCCCUCUGAUUUUGAAUCUAAUAUUAAAGAAUUUAUUAGUUUGCAAAAGAGUUUCAAUGCUUUGGUUGAAGAAAAAUUGUCUAAGAUUGAUGAGUUGGCUAGGAAUGUGGAUAGAAUUUCUCUUGAUGUUGAUUCUUUGAAACUUAGAUCUAUUCCACCUAAGCAUGAUAUGAAUGAGUCUCUCAAAUCUAUGAGAAUUUUCAUUGAUGAGUGCAAAGAAAGAACCGCUAGGAUGCGUGCCAAAAAAGAUUGCUUUGGGAAAGCGUGUUCUUCUAGUUUCCAUGAUAAUAAUGAUGAAGAUCUAAAAGUUAUUGAUGUGUCCCCUAUUAAAUCUUUGUUUUCCAAUAUGAAUCUUGAUAAUGAUGGGACUGGAUAUGAGUCAACUUUAGUUAGAAGGCGUCCCAAUGACUCAAAGUUUUCAGAUCUUGAUGCAAAAAUUGAUAAAAAGUGGGAUUGGAGAGGUCAAAACUUUAAAUAGCAAUGAACCCACUAUCUUGGAAUUCAAGGAAUUUAAUUAUGAUAAUUGCUCUUUAAUAGAUUGUAUUUCCUUGUUGCAAUCCGUGCUAAAUUCUCCGCAUGCUUAUAGUCAAAAUAAAGCUUUUACUAAACAUAUUGUUGAUGCUUUAAUGCAAUCUUAUGAAGAAAAGCUUGAAUUGGAAGUUUCUAUCCCUAGAAAACUUCAUGAUGAGUGGGAACCUACUAUUAAAAUUAAUAUGAAAGAUCAUGAAUGCUUUGCUUUAUGUCAUUUGGGUGCUAGUGUUUCCACGAUUCCUAAAACUUUGUGUGAUUUGCUAGGUUUCCGUGAAUUUGAUGAUUGUUCUUUAAACUUGCAUCUUGCGGAUUCCACCAUUAAGAAACCUAUGGGAAGAAUUAAUGAUGUUAUUAUUGUUGCAAAUAGGAAUUAUGUGCCCAUAGAUUUCAUUGUCCUUGAUAUAGAUUGCAAUCCUACAUGUCCUAUUAUUCUUGGUAGACCUUUCCUUAGAACGAUUGGUGCAAUUAUUGAUAUGAAGGAAGGGAAUAUUAGAUUCCAAUUUCCGUUAAGGAAGGGCAUGGAACACUUUCCUAGAAAGAAAAUUAAAUUACCUUAUGAAUCUAUUAUGAGAGCCACUUAUCGAUUGCAUACCAAAGAUGAUAAUACCUAGAUCUAUCCUUGCUUUUAUGCCUAGCUAGGGGCGUUAAACGAUAGCGCUUGUUGGGAGGCAACCCAAUUUUAUUUUUGUUUCUUGAUUUUUGAUUCUGUUUAGUAAUAAAUAAUCCAUAUAGCCUCUGUUUAGAUGUGGUUUUAUGCUUUUAAUUAGUGUUUGUGCCAAGUAGAACGUUUGGGUAUAUUGGGGAUGCCCAAGGCACCCCAAGGUAAAAUUCAAUGACAACCAGAAGACUAAGCUUGGGGAUGCCCCGGAAGGCAUCCCCUCUUUCGCCUUCGUCCAUCGAUAACUUUACUUGAGGCUAUAUUUUUAUUCACCACUUGAUAUGUGUUUUGCUUGGAGUGUCUUGUAUGAUUCGAGUCUUUACUUUUGGGAGUGACAUGCAUGAUUCAGAAUUUAUUAGAAUACUCUAUGUGCUUCACUUAUAUCUUUUGAGCUAGAUAAUUUUGCUCUAGUGCCUCACUUAUAUUUUUUUCGAGCACGGCGGUGGUUUUAUUUUAUUGAAAUUAUUGACCUCUCAUGCUUCACUUAUAUUAUUUUGAGAGUCUUUUAGAACAGCAUGGUAAUUUGCUUUGGCUAUAACAUUAGUCCUAAUAUGAUAGGCAUCCAAGAUGGGUAUAAUAAAAACUUCCAUAUAGAGUGCAUUAUGUUGGGGAACGUAGCAAUAAUUCAAAAAUUUCCUACGUGUCACCAAGAUCAAUCUAGGAGACACUAGCAAUGAGAAAGAGGGAGUGCAUCUCCAUACCCUUGAAGAUCGCUAAGCGGAAGCAUUACAAGAAUGCGGUUGGUGGAGUCAUACACGUAGCAAUUCAGAUCGCGGUCGAUUCUGAUCUAAGCGCCGAACAAUGCAUGUCGGUGUCAAAACCGGCGGAUCUCGGGUAGGGGGUCCCGAACUGUGCGUCUAGGCCGGAUGGUAAUAGGAGGCAAGGAACACGAUGUUUUACCCAGGUUCAGGCCCUCUUGAUGGAGGUAAAACCCUACGUCCUGCUUGAUUAAUAUUGAUGAUAUGGGUAGUACAAGAGUAGAUCUACCACGAGAUCAAGGAGGCUAAACCCUAGAAGCUAGCCUAUGGGAUGAUUGUUGUAUGAUGAAGUUGUCCUACGGACUAAGACCCUUCGGUUUAUAUAGACACCAGAGAGGGUUAGGGUUACACAAAGUCGGUUACAAUGGUAGGAGAUCUUGAAUAUCCGCAUCGCCAAGCUUGCCUUCCACGCCAAGGAAAGUCCCAUCCGGACAUGGGACAAAGUCUUCAAUCUUGUAUCUUCAUAGUCCUGGAGUCCGGCUGAAGGUAUAGUCUGGCUACCCGAACACCCCCUAAUCCAGGACUCCCUCAGUAGCCCCUGAACCAGGCUUCAAUGACGACGAGUCCGGCGCAUAGAUUGUCUUCGGCAUUGCAAGGCGGGUUCCUCCUCCAAAUUCUUCAUAAAAGUUUGUAAACACCAAGAGUAGUGUCCGGCUCUGCAAAAUAAAUUUCCACAUAUUGCCACAGAGAGAAUAAUAUUAACAAUCUAAUCUGCUGACGUAUUUCGCAGCAUGACAUCACACUACGGCCAAGCCUUUAUUCGAAUCGUUUUCACUUUUCCACCUCAGCGUGUUUUGCGAGGCGGUUUCCUUGGCACGUCUUGUCAAAGCAGAGAUCGUGUCCCCCAUUUAUGGUAUUCUCAUCAAUACGGACGUGGGUAACCCAACCGCGCCAUUUAUCACAGCGCUUGGGAGGCAAGCGAGUUUUACUAGGCUGGUGGGGACGCAUAGUCACAUCCGCUCAUAUAAGGGGAUAAGGAUCCACCUUUUUACCUAUGCCUUCUUCCUCCUUUGCCUAUCCGUCUUCUGCGCACCCGAGCUCCAGCGCCCAAGCCCGCACUUCCUACCUCAACCUUCUCCAACAAUGUCCGGAGCGGGAGGCAAGUGGAUGGCCUCCUCCGUCACGGAGGGCCAUGUCAAAAGGCUAAGGAAGGCCGGAUACCUGUCCAAAGACAUCGUGCACCGGCUUCCGGACGAGGGGCAGCUUCUCCCCACCCCAAGGCCCCAUGAGAGGGUAGUAUUUCUUCCCCACUUUCUCCGCGGACUGGGUUUUCCUCUCCACCCAUUUGUCCAUGGGCUCAUGUUCUACUAUGGACUAGAUUUCCACGAUCUGGCCCCGAACUUCAUCCUCAAUAUCUCGGCGUUUAUCGUCGUGUGCGAGGCUUUCCUCUGCAUCCGCCCCCAUUUCGGCCUCUGGCUCAAGACCUUCAACGUCAAGCCAAAGGUGGUGCACGGCAACCAGGCGGAGUGCGGAGGUGCCAUGGCGGGCAAAAUAGCCAACGUCCUAUGGCUCGAGGGCUCCUUUGUGGAGACCUUGAAGGGGUGGCAGUCAGGGUGGUUUUACAUCACCGAGCCACGCGAUAUGAAGUGGAUCGCAGCCCCUGAAUUCCGAUCCUGACCCCCUACGCGGCUCAUGUCCUGGAAGGAGACGGGCUUGUCGUGGGGCGACGAAGGAGAGGUGACCGGACUGCAAAAAUGCAUCCAGUCCCUGGUGAACAAGCAGCUCAAUCUUGUCAACAUAGUCCAGGUCAUGCUCGUCCGCCGGAUCCUUCCGUGUCAAAAAUGGGACUUCAAUUUGUGGGAGUUCAACCCGGCGCAGCACCGAACUCUGAGCAGGCUCUUCGACACGACGUACGAAGAUGUCUAGAAGGGGCUAUCCAAAGGCGCCGAGGCUCCCACAUCCGCCUCCGAAGACCACGGAUUCAGCUCGCAGCGUCUUGCUGGCGAGGUAAAAUAUUUUCAUCUUUUACAGGAUGUUAAGUUUUCUUCAUAGUUUGACUCUAUGCGGGAUCUAAACUCCCUCACCUUUGACAGGAUUGGCAGGCGAAGUCCGGACUGAUUAACUGUCCGGCUCCCUUGCCCGAAGACCCAGCCCCUACUCUCCUAGUGAAGCUGCUGGUUCCGGCACCUUAUGUGGUGCCGGAGAAGAAGGCCAAGAACAAGAAGGUCACGGGGACUCGAAAGAGUUCCCGGCAUAUGGCGGUGUCAGACUCGUCGUCCGAUGAGUCCGAGACGCGCUCCUCCCGUGAAGAUGAGGAGGAGGAAGAAGAGACCUCUCCCCCUCCAGCGGGGGGAGGAAAUAAGAGGAAGGCCGCCCUAGUAGGGGAGGCCGAAGGGUCCAAGAAGAGGAAAACCCCUCCGCCGGACUAUGCCCCCGACGCCGACGAGGACGAAGAGGAGUGGCCGGACAGGGCCAAGCGUCCGGCGAAAUCGUAAGUGAUCGGAUACCAGAGUAACUCAUGAUAUUCCUUUUGUUGCACAGCUUUCCCUAAUGUCGAAUAUAAUCAUGCAGCCCGCCCAGGGACGGGCUCGACGAGUCGUUGAGCGGCUCCCUGGAUUCAUCGGACGUGAAUUCAGUUCCGCCCGCUGCCUCCCCCUAUGCUACGGAUGACGCCGAAGUGGCGUCGCGACAAGCUCCGGGGCAAGAGGAGCUGGUCCAGGAGGAGCCGCGAGGCGACCUCCCGGACUCCAGGAGUGAAGGGGACGAGACCCCCCAGGGCUCCAAGUCCGGCUUUAAGCCGGACACCGCACCGGAAUCGUCAACGGUUCCAGACCGCGGCAGGUGAACUCCUGCCAAGAGGAGCAAGACUAUUGAGCCGGCGUCCUCCGUCCAACCGGAGGCGCCGGACAAUCUGCUGGAGGUGCUUAAGAGCGCCUCCAUCGAUGAGGAGCACCAUACCAUCAUGAGUACGGUGGUCCAGAAGGUUCGGUCCACCAAAAGCGGACUUACUGAAGCUUAUGCUAGCCUUCUAACAGGCUUCGAGGUAAAUAGAAAUAUGUAAAAAUAUUACCGCAUAGACAGUAGCCCCUGAUGCUCUGUUUGGCGUUCGGAAAGAAAAGCCGAAUAGAGGAUCUAUUAAAUAUCGCAGGAGUCUAAAAAAGGAGUCAAUAUACGUAUGCAGGCUUCGCUGCUGGCCACCGCCGCACUGACUGCGGAGGUGGGUGCCCUGAAGCAGGGCCUCGAGUGGACCGAGCAAGAGCUCGGCCUUGCCAAACGGCAGCUCAAGGAGAAAGAAGGUAAGAGAUACCUUAUAGAAAAAAUGCCUAUAAGAAGACGCAAUUGCAAAAAAUGAUAGGAGUAUACUGCUUAUUGUAGGGGCCACAACUGAGGUGGCGACCCUCAAGCAGGCACUGUCCGAGGCCGAGAAGAGAGCGUCCACGGAGCGCACUGAGCGGGAGAAAUUUGAGGCGCAGGUCGGCGAGGUGCAGCAAGAACUUCAGGCUAUCAUGAAAAAACAUGAGAGUUUGGAGCUCGACUCAAAGGCGCGAGCGUCCGAGCUUGCUGCGACCCUUAAAACUGCCAAAUCUGCGAAGGACGAAGCCUAGAAGGCUCUCCAGGAAUUGGAUGCGGUGAAAAAGAUAGCAGCGGGUAAGGCAUUCUCUAUGCAAAGCAGACAUAUAAAAGUAAACUACUUGUUACUUACCCGAAUCCGGAGCUCUCCAGGGGCAUUCGUAGAUCUUCCCCGCAGUGUAUCCGAUGCCGCCGCAUUCUACCGAGCCGAAGAAAGGCAUCUCGAUGGAGAAGGUGUUCUGGUCUCAGUACGCUGAGGCCGGACACCCUGUGCCCUUGAGCGACCAGCUGAAGCAGCUGGUCGAGCUCCACAAGCCGGCCGAACAGGCCCUGAAGGGCUUCAUAGUUCGGCUGUGGCCUGGAGAGGCCCUGCCUAGGAGCUACUUCGGACUGGUGCCGCGGCUGGUGGAGGCUUUUCCAAGGCUCGAGGUCAUCAAGCGCUCCGUCUGCAUGGAAGGUGCCCGUAGGGCCCUUGCCGGUGCAAAGGUGCACUGGGGUAAGGUGGACGGUGAGAAGCUUGUGAGGGACGGGCCGCCACCGGGGAAGGAGCAUCGCAAGCCCGAGAACUAUUACAAGGAUGUUCUGGCCGGUGCCCGCCUUAUGGCGGAUGAAUGCACCAAGGAUGUAAUUUUUGAAUGAACUCGCUCGUGUUAUCCUGUGCGCUGAAACUUGUUCAUAUGCGCUAAGCAAUGCUUGAAUUUAAAAUAUUACUUUCUGUGCGGCCGUUUAUCAAAAAAUUGAGAGAUGGCCAGUCGUCGGCUUCUGCCCCCAUGCCACUAGUGCUGGGGUGUUCGGGAUAAACCUGAGCGCUCUUUUUCCCAUGAUUGGGUCCAUCGAGGGAGGCGCUCAGCACAACGAACAAGGCAAUCGGACUAUAAUGCUUGAACACUCUCACUUAUCCAUAGAACUCUAUAAUUUUAAAUUUCGGUGAAGCCCCUAGUAUUCGGAAGACCGAGUUUGGGGCGCUAUCCACGCCUUGGCCGGACAAAGCCGGUUCCUCGCUCGAAGCGGCAUAAGUCUUUAAGGACUCGAAAAACCUCUCGAACAGCGACCGGUCUCUCGCCUCAUCAUGACAGUCAGUUUUAGCUUUCUCCACUGAGGUGCUCAGCCCAGCUCAACUGGGGCACAAUCGCAGUAGUUCUCCUAGUGCUACCUUAGCCGAUAUAGCGGAACGUAAGGCACCAAAACAUAGGAGCCGGGCAAACCCAACUAUUGACCCAAAUCAUGAUUCAGAGCCGAUGCAUAUAGUGCUAUAAGUUCGGGGUGCCGCACUUGUGAAAGUGUACGGAAUUCUCACGCCAUAUUAAUGGGUACUGAAGCCCCUGGCGUAUUUUUGCUGUACCACAGUGUACGGAUGCAACAUGUUAUUGAUAAACAUAUAUAUAUAAAAAGAGGAUAAUGCAAAAAAUAGACAAAAAGCUAUGCAUUGUUUAUAGAAAGGCUGCUAUGAAAGCGAAACGAUACAAAUAGUGCGAUAAGCAAAAGAAAUUGGACUAUUUAACAUGUCCUGGUCAGGGGCAGGCUGCGGAAUUGUAUUAAAAAACAGGUAUACUGCUCGCAAUAGAGACCACCUAGGAGUUCCAUAAUGCGGCGUGGCUUGUCUGCUUUCCUGGAUCUUGCAUCGUUUGUGCGGCAGUUGAAUUGCCGAACGGGUCAUCCGAAGUAUGGAGUCCUAAGAGUAAGAGAAAAAAAGAAAAAAAGGAAUCCGGCAGCCCCUGGUGCGGUUUAAGCCGUAUUUCAGGCGUGCCAUGAUAGUGCCCCUUCCCCUGUGUCCAUGGUAUUUCAAGAGCGUAGUUAUGUACGCGAAGCACUGGUUUCGCUAUAUCGCGAGGGCUAGGGUUGGGGCCGCAUUGCUACGCUAGCUUAGAACGUGCCAGGCGGUCUUGUUGUAGGGUACUCUGGGCGCGCUUGACAGUGUCCAGCUUUUUGAAGGCCGAACUAGAGAACUGCCUAGAGAGGCUGCUUUGUACUUCUGCUGCGAGCGCUGCCGUGUGCUCCUCCGUUUGGAGGGAGCGUUCGGUGUUCCCAUUGACCGUGAUUACUCCUCUAGGGCCUGGCAUCUUGAGCUUGAGGUAUGCAUAGUGCGGUACCGCGUUGAAUUUUGCGAAUGCGGUUCGCCCGAGCAGUGCGUGAUAGCCACUACGGAACGGGACUAUGUCGAAGAUUAACUCCUCGCUUCGGAAGUUACCCAGAGAUCCGAAGACCACUUCCAGUGUGACUGAGCCUGUAUAGUUGGCUUCUACACCUGGUCUGACGCCUUUAAAGGUCGUUUUGGUGGGCUUGAUCCUCGAGGGAUCUAUGUGUUGGAAAUAUGCCCUAGAGGCAAUAAUAAAAGGAUUAUUAUUAUAUUUCCUUGUUCAUGAUAAUUGUCUUUUAUUCAUGCUAUAAUUGUGUUAUCCGGAAAUCGUAAUACAUGUGUGAAUACAUAGACACCAACAUGUCCCUAGUAAGCCUCUAGUUGACUAGCUCGUUGAUCAACAGAUAGUCAUGGUUUCCUGACUAUGGACAUUGGAUGUCAUUGAUAACGAGAUCACAUCAUUAGGAGAAUGAUGUGAUGUACAAGACCCAAUCCUAAACAUAGCACAAGAUCGUAUAGUUUGUUUGCUAGAGUUUUUCCAAUGUCAAGUAUCUUUUCCUUAGACCAUGAGAUCGUGUAACUCCCGGAUACCGUAGGAGUGCUUUGGGUGUACCAAACGUCACAACGUAACUGGGUGACUAUAAAGGUAUACUACGGGUAUCUCCGAAAGUGUCUGUUGGGUUGACACGGAUCAAGACUGGGAUUUGUCACUCCGUAUGACGGAGAGGUAUCUCUGGGCCCACUCGGUAAUGCAUCAUCAUAAUGAGCUCAAAGUGACCAAGUGUCUGGUCAUGGGAUCAUGCAUUACGGUACGAGUAAAGUGACUUGCCGGUAACGAGAUUAAACGAGGUAUUGGGAUACCGACGAUCGAAUCUCGGGCAAGUAACGUACCGAUUGACAAAGGGAAUUGUAUACGGGGUUGCUUGAAUCCUCGACAUCGUGGUUCAUCCGAUGAGAUCAUCGAGGAGCAUGUGGGAGCCAACAUGGGUAUCCAGAUCCCGAUGUUGGUUAUUGACCGGAGAGCCAUCUCGGUCAUGUCUACAUGUCUCCCGAACCCGUAGGGUCUACACACUUAAGGUUCGGUGACGCUAGGGUUGUAGAGAUAUGAAUAUGCAGUAACCCGAAAGUUGUUCGGAGUCCCGGAUGAGAUCCCGGACGUCACAAGGAGUUCCGGAGUGGUCCGGAGGUGAAGAAUUAUAUAUAGGAAGUGCAGUUUUGGCCAUCCGGAGAGUUUUGGGGGUCACCGGUAUUGUACCGGGACCACCGGAAGGGUCCCGAGGGUCCACCGGGUGGGGCCACCCAUCCCGGAGGGCCCCAUGGGCUAAAGUGGGGAGGGGAACCAGCCCAUAGUGGGCUGGUGCGCCCCCCUUGGCCCACCCCAUGCGCCUAGGGUUGGGAACCCUAGGGUGGGGGGGGGGGCGCCCCACCUGGCUUGGGGGGCACUCCACCCCUUGGCCGCCGCCCCCCUAGGAGAUCCCAUCUCCUAGGGCCGGCGCACCCCCUAGGGGGCCUAUAUAAAGGGGGGGAGGGAGGGGGCAGCCGCACCCUUGAGUCUAGGCACCUCCCUCUCCCCGGCUACACCUCUCCCUCUCGCAGUAGAAUGACGAAGCCCUGCUACGGUGACCCCUGCAUCCACCACCACGCCGUCGUGCUGCUGGAUCUUCAUCAACCUCUCCUCCCCCCUUGUUGGAUCAAGAAGGAGGAGACGUCACGCUGACCAUACGUGUGUUGAACGCGGAGGUGCCGUCCGUUCAGCGCUAGGAUCUCCGGUAAUUUGGAUCACGUCGAGUACGACUUCCUCAUCCCCGUUCUUUCAACACUUCCGCGCGUGAUCUACAAAGGUAUGUAUAUGCAAUCCGAUCACUCGUUGCUAGAUGAACUCAUAGAUGGAUCUUGGUGAAACCAUAGGAAAUUUUUUGUUUUCUGCAACAUUCCCCAACAGUGGCAUCAUGAGCUAGGUCUAUGCGUAGUUCUCUUUGCACGAGUAGAACACAAUUUGUUGUGGGCAUAGAUGUUGUCAACUUUCUUGCCGCUACUAGUCUUAUUUUGCUUCAGCAGUAUUGUGGGAUGAAGCGGCCUGGACCAACCUUACAUGUACGCUUACGUGAGACCGGUUCCACCGACUGACAUGCACUAGUUGCAUAAGGUGGCUGGCGGGUGUCUGUCUCUCCCACUUUAGUUGGAGCAGAUUCGAUGAAAAGGGUCCUUAUGAAGGGUAAAUAGAAGUUGACAAAUCACGUUGUGGCUUUCACGUAGGUAAGAAAACAUUCUUGCUAGAACCCUAUUGCAGCCACGUAAAACUUGCAACAACAAUUAGAGGAUGUCUAACUUGUUUUUGCAGCAAGUGUUUUGUGAUGUGAUAUGGCCAAAGUUGUGAUGAAUGAUGAAUGAUAUAUAUGUGAUGUAUGAGAUGUUCAUGCUAUUGUAAUAGGAAUCAUGACUUGCAUGUCGAUGAGUAUGACAACCGGCAGGAGCCAUAGGAGUUGUCUUUAUUUUUUGUAUGACCUGCGUGUCAUUGAGAAACGCCAUGUAAAUUACUUUACUUUAUUGCUAAACGUGUUAGCCAUAGUAGUAGAAGUAAUAGUUGGCGAGCAACUUCAUGGAGACACGAUGAUGGAGAUCAUGAUGAUGGAAAUCAUGGUGUCAUGCCGGUGACGAGAUGAUCAUGGAGCCCCAAGGUGGAGAUCAAAGGAGCUAUGUGAUAUUGGCCAUAUCAUGUCACUAUUAUUAUUUGAUUGCAUGUGAUGUUUAUCAUGUUUUUGCAUCUUAUUUACUUAGAACGAAGAUAGUAAAUAAGAUGAUCCCUCAUAAUAAUUUCAAGAAAGUGUCCCCCCUAACUGUGCACCGUUGCGACAGUUCGUUGUUUCGAAGCACCACGUGAUGAUCGGGUGUGAUAGAUUCCAAUGUUCACAUACAAUGGGUGUAAGACAGAUUUACACAUGCAAACACUUAGGUUGACUUGACGAGCCUAGCAUGUACAGACAUGGCCUCGGAACACAGAAGACCGAAAGGUCGAGCAUGAGUCGUAUAGAAGAUACGAUCAACAUGAAGAUGUUCACCGAUGUUGACUAGUCCGUCUCACGUGAUGAUCGGACACGGCCUAGUUAACUCGGAUCAUGUUAUACUUAGAUGACUGGAGGGAUGUCUAUCUGAGUGGGAGUUCAUUGAAUAAUUUGAUUAGAUGAACUUAAUUAUCAUGAACUUAGUCUAAAAUCUUUACAACAUGUAUUGUAGAUCAAAUGGCCAACGUUGUCCUCAACUUCAAUGCAUUCCUAGAGAAAACCAAGCUGAAAGACGAUGGCAGCAACUAUACGGACUGGGUCCGGAACCUGAGGAUCAUCCUCAUAGCUGCCAAGAAAGAUUAUGUCCUACAAGCACCGCUAGGUGAAGCACCUGCUCUCCCUACAGAACAAGACGUUAUGAACGCUUGGCAGACACGUACCGAUGAUUACUCCCUCGUUCAGUGCGGCAUGCUUUACAGCUUAGAGCCGGGGCUCCAAAAGCGUUUUGAGAGACACAGAGCAUAUGAGAUGUUCGAAGAGCUGAAAAUGGUUUUUCAAGCUCAUGCCCGGGUCGAGAGAUAUGAAGUCUCCGACAAGUUCUUCAGUUGUAAGAUGGAGGAAAACAGUUCUGUCAGUGAGCACAUACUCACUAUGUCUGGGUUACACAACCGCUUGACUCAGCUGGGAGUUAAUCUCCCAGAUGACGCGGUCAUUGGCAGAAUCCUUCAGUCGUUUCCAUCGAGCUACAAGAGCUUUGUGAUGAACUUCAAUAUGCAGGGGAUGGAAAAGACCAUUCCUGAAGUAUUUGCAAUGCUGAAAUCAGCAGAGGUAGAAGUCAAAAAGGAACAUCAAGUGUUGAUGGUGAAUAAAACCACUAAGUUCAAGAAAGGCAAGGGUAAGAAAAACUUCAAGAAGGACGGCAAGGGAGUUGCCGCGCCCGGCAAGCAAGCUACCGGGAAGAAGCCAAAGAAUGGACCCAAGCCCGAGACUGAGUGCUUUUAUUGCAAGGAAAGUGGUCACUGGAAGCGGAACUGCCCCAAAUACUUAGCGGACAAGAAGGCCGGCAAAACGAAAGGUAUAUGUGAUAUACAUGUAAUUGAUGUGUACCUUACCAGUACUCGUAGUAGCUCCUGGGUAUUUGAUACCGGUGCAGUUGCUCACAUUUGUAACUCAAAGCAGGAGCUGCGGAAUAAGCGGAGACUGGCGAAGGACGAGGUGACGAUGCGCGUCGGGAAUGGUUCCAAGGUCGAUGUGAUCACCGUCGGCACGCUACCUCUACAUUUACCUACGGGAUUAGUUUUGAACCUCAAUAAUUGUUAUUUAGUGCCAAGUUUGAGCAUGAACAUUGUAUCAGGAUCUCGUUUAAUACGAGAUGGCUACUCAUUUAAAUCCGAGAAUAAUGGUUGUUCUAUUUAUAUGAGAGAUAUGUUUUAUGGUCAUGCUCCGAUGGUGAAUGGUUUAUUCUUAAUGAAUCUCGAGCGUAAUGCUACACAUAUUCAUAGUGUGAGUACCAAAAGAUGUAAGGUUGAUAAUGAUAGUCCCACAUACUUGUGGCACUGCCGCCUUGGUCACAUAGGUGUCAAAUGCAUGAAGAAGCUCCAUGCAGAUGGACUUUUAGAGUCUCUUGAUUACGAAUCAUUUGACACGUGCGAACCAUGCCUCAUGGGUAAAAUGACCAAGACUCCGUUCUUAGGGACAAUGGAGCGAGCAACCAACUUAUUGGAAAUCAUACAUACUGAUGUGUGCGGUCCAAUGAGUGUUGAGGCUCGCGGUGGCUAUCGUUAUGUUCUCACCCUCACUGAUGACUUGAGUAGAUAUGGGUAUGUCUACUUAAUGAAAUACAAGUCUGAGACCUUUGAAAAGUUCAAGGAAUUUCAGAGUGAGGUUGAGAAUCAACGUGACAGGAAAAUCAAGUUCUUGCGAUCAGAUCGUGGAGGAGAAUACUUGAGUCACGAGUUUGGCACACACUUAAGAAAAUGUGGAAUAGUUUCACAACUCACGCCGCCUGGAACACCUCAGCGUAAUGGUGUGUCCGAACGUCGUAAUCGCACUCUAUUAGAUAUGGUGUGAUCUAUGAUGUCUCUUACCGAUUUACCACUAUAUUUUUGGGGCUAUGGUUUAGAGACUACCACAUUCACUUUAAAUAGGGCUCCGUCAAAAUCCGUUGAGACGACACCGUAUGAAUUAUGGUUUGGGAAGAAACCUAAGCUGUUGUUUCUAAAAGUUUGGGGAUGCGAUGCUUAUGUCAAGAAACUUCAACCUGAAAAGCUCGAACCCAAGUCGGAAAAAUGCGUCUUCAUAGGAUACCCUAAAGAAACUAUUGGGUAUACCUUCUACCUUAGAUCCGAAGGCAAGAUAUUUGUUGCCAAGAAUGGAUCCUUUCUAGAGAAGGAGUUUCUCUCGAAAGAAGUAAGUGGGAGGAAAGUAGAACUUGAUGAAGCAUUACCUCUUGAACCGGAAAAUGGCGCAACUCAAGAAAAUGUUCCUGAGGUGCCUGCACCGACUAGAGAGGAAGUUAAUGAUGAUGAUCAUGAAACUUCAGAUCAAGUUGCUACUGAACUUCGUAGGUCCACAAGGACACGUUCCGCACCAGAGUGGUACGGCAACCCUGUCUUGGAAAUCAUGUUGUUAGACAACGGUGAACCUUCGAACUAUGAAGAAGCGAUGGCGGGCCCGGAUUCCGACAAAUGGCUGGAAGCCAUGAAAUCCGAGAUAGGAUCCAUGUAUGAAAACGAAGUAUGGACUUUGACUGACUUGCCCGUUGAGCGGCGAGCCAUAGAAAAUAAAUGGAUCUUUAAGAAGAAGACAGACGCGGAUGGUAAUGUGACCAUCUAUAAAGCUCGGCUUGUCGCUAAGGGUUAUCGACAAGUUCAAGGGGUUGACUACGAUGAGACUUUCUCACCGGUAGCGAAUCUGAAGUCUGUCCGAAUCAUGUUAGCAAUUGCCGCAUUCUAUGAUUAUGAGAUAUGGCAAAUGGACGUCAAAACGGCAUUCCUUAAUGGUUUCCUUAAGGAAGAAUUGUAUAUGAUGCAGCCGGAAGGUUUUGUCGAUCCUAAGAAUGCUGACAAGGUGUGCAAGCUCCAACGCUCGAUUUAUGGGCUGGUGCAAGCAUCUCGGAGUUGGAACAUUCGCUUUGAUGAGAUGAUCAAAGCGUUUGGGUUUAUGCAGACUUAUGGAGAAGCCUGCGUUUACAAGAAAAUGAGUGGGAGCUCUGUAGCAUUUCUCAUAUUAUAUGUAGAUGACAUACUUUUGAUGGGAAAUGAUAUAGAGCUUUUGGACAGCAUUAAGGCCUACUUGAAUAAGAGUUUUUCAAUCAAGGACCUUGGAGAAGCUGCUUAUAUAUUAGGCAUCAAGAUCUAUAGAGAUAGAUCAAGACGCCUCAUAGGUCUUUCACAAAGCACAUACCUUGAUAAGAUAUUGAAGAAAUUCAAUAUGGAUCAGUCUAAGAAGGGGUUCUUGCCUGUGUUGCAAGGUGUGAAAUUGAGCUCAGCUCAAUGUCCGACCACAGCAGAAGAUAUAGAAGAGAUGAGUGUCAUCCCCUAUGCCUCAGCCAUAGGUUCUAUUAUGUAUGCCAUGCUGUGUACCAGACCUGAUGUAAACCUUGCUGUAAGUUUGGUAGGUAGGUACCAAAGUAAUCCCGGCAAGGAACACUGGACAGCGGUCAAGAAUAUCCUGAAGUACCUGAAAAGGACUAAGGAAAUGUUUCUCGUUUAUGGAGGUGAUGAAGAGCUCGUCGUAAAGGGUUACGUCAACGCUAGCUUCGACACAGAUCUAGAUGACUCUAAGUCACAAACCGGAUACGUGUAUAUUUUGCAUGGUGGGGCAGUAAGCUGGUGCAGUUGCAAGCAGAGCGUCGUGGCGGGAUCUACAUGUGAAGCGGAGUACAUGGCAGCCUCGGAGGCAGCGCAUGAAGAAAUUUGGGUGAAGGAGUUCAUCACCGACCUAGGAGUCAUACCCAAUGCGUCGGGGCCAAUCAAACUCUUCUGUGACAACACUGGAGCUAUUGCACUUGCCAAGGAGCCCAAGUUUCACAAGAAGACCAGGCACAUCAAGCGUCGCUUCAACUCCAUUCGUGAAAAUGUUCAAGAUGGAGAUAUAGAUAUUUGUAAAGUACAUACGGACCUGAAUGUAGCAGAUCCAUUGACUAAACCUCUCCCUAGAGCAAAACAUGAUCAACACCAGAAUUCCAUGGGUGUUCGAUUCAUCACAAUGUAACUAGAUUAUUGACUCUAGUGCAAGUGGGAGACUGUUGGAAAUAUGCCCUAGAGGUAAUAAUAAAAGGAUUAUUAUUAUAUUUCCUUGUUCAUGAUAAUUGUCUUUUAUUCAUGCUAUAAUUGUGUUAUCCGGAAAUCGUAAUACAUGUGUGAAUACAUAGACACCAACAUGUCCCUAGUAAGCCUCUAGUUGACUAGCUCGUUGAUCAACAGAUAGUCAUGGUUUCCUGACUAUGGACAUUGGAUGUCAUUGAUAACGAGAUCACAUCAUUAGGAGAAUGAUGUGAUGGACAAGACCCAAUCCUAGACAUAGCACAAGAUCGUAUAGUUCGUUUGCUAGAGUUUUUCCAAUGUCAAGUAUCUUUUCUUAGACCAUGAGAUCGUGUAACUCCGUGAUACCACAGGAGUGCUUUGGGUGUACCAAACGUCACAACGUAACUGGGUGACUAUAAAGGUAUACUACGGGUAUCUCCGAAAGUGUCUGUUGGGUUGACACGGAUCAAGACUGGGAUUUGUCACUCCGUAUGACGGAGAGGUAUCUCUGGGCCCACUCGGUAAUGCAUCAUCAUAAUGAGCUCAAAGUGACCAAGUGUCUGGUCAUGGGAUCAUGCAUUACGGUAUGAGUAAAGUGACUUGCCGGUAACGAGAUUGAACGAGGUAUUGGGAUACCGACGAUCGAAUCUCGGGCAAGUAACGUACCGAUUGACAAAGGGAAUUGUAUACGGGGUUGCUUGAAUCCUCGACAUCGUGGUUCAUCCGAUGAGAUCAUCGAGGAGCAUGUGGGAGCCAACAUGGGUAUCCAGAUCCCGCUGUUGGUUAUUGACCGGAGAGCCAUCUUGGUCAUGUCUACAUGUCUCCCAAACCCGUAGGGUCUACACACUUAAGGUUCGGUGACACUAGGAUUGUAGAGAUAUGAAUAUGCAGUAACCCGAAAGUUGUUCGGAGUCCUGGACGAGAUCCCGGACGUCACGAGGAGUUCCGGAAUGGUCCGGAGGUGAAGAAUUAUAUAUAGGAAGUGCAGUUUCGGCCAUCGGGAGAGUUUCGGGGGUCACCGGUAUUGUACCGGGACCACCGGAAGGGUCCCGGGGUCCACCGGGUGGGGCCACCCAUCCCGGAGGGCCCCAUGGGCUAAAGUGGGGAGGGGAACCAGCCCAUAGUGGGCUGGUGCGCCCCCCUUGGCCCACCCCAUGUGCCUAGGGUUGGGAACCCUAGGGUGGGGGGGCGCCCCACCUGGCUUGGGGGGCACUCCACCCCUUGGCCGCCCCCGCUAGGAGAUCCCAUCUCCUAGGGCCGGCGCACCCCCUAGGGGGCCUAUAUAAAGGGGGGAGGGAGGGGGAAGCCACACCCUUGAGUCUAGGCACCUCCCUCUCCCCUGCUACACCUCUCCCUCUCGCAGUAGAACGGCGAAGCCCUGCUGCGGUGACCCCUGCAUCCACCACCACGCCGUCGUGCUGCUGGAUCUUCAUCAACCUCUCCUUCCCCCUUGCUGGAUCAAGAAGGAGGAGACGUCACGCUAAUCGUACGUGUGUUGAACGCGGAGGUGCCGUCCGUUCGGCGCUAGGAUCUCCGGUGAUUUGGAUCACGUCGAGUACGACUUCCUCAUCCCCGUUCUUUGAACGCUUCCGCGCGUGAUCUACAAAGUAUGUAGAUGCAAUCUGAUCACUCGUUGCUAGAUGAACUCAUAGAUGGAUCUUGGUGAAACCGUAGGAAAAUUUUUGUUUUCUGCAACGUUCCCCAACACUAUGCCCAUUUUUUGCACCGUAUCCUGGUAAAGCAGGUUCAGGCUGCUGCCGCCGUCCAUGAGGACUCUUGUGAGAUGAAAUCCAUCAAUGAUUGGGUCUAGAACCAAUGUGGCGAAGCCGCCGUGACGGAUGCUAGUCGAGUGGUCCCUUUGAUCAAAGGUGAUCGGGCAGGAGGACCAUGGGUUGAACUUUGGGGCGACUGGCUCCAUCGCAUAUACGUCCCGUAACGCAUGCUUCUGCUCCCUCUUAGGGAUGUGGGUUGCGUAUAUCAUGUUCACCGUCCGCACUUGCGGGGGAAAUCCCUUCUGUCCAUCAUUGUUUGGUGGCCUGGGCUCCUCCUCGUUGUCUCUAUACAGCCCCUUGUCUUUGUUUUCGGCUCUUAACUUGCCUGCCUGCUUGAACACCCAACAAUCCCUGUUGGUGUGAUUGGCUAGCUUUUCGGGGGUGCCAUGUAUCUGGCACAAGCGGCCGAGUAUUCGGUCCAAACUGGAUGGGCCCUGAGUAUUUCUUUUGAAUGGCUUUUUCAGUUGACCGGAUUUGUAGCCUCGGAAUCCAACAUUAACUGCCGUAUCCUCGUUGCUGUCGCUGUUAACGCGGCGCUUUUGUUUGUUCCGACGCGACCUAUCACUUUUGUCCUUGGUAUUCGAAUUACCAGGGUUCUUGGUUAAAUUGUUGCUGCGAGCCAGCCAGCUGUCUUCUCCCGCGCAAAAGUGGGUCAUGAGUGUCGUGAGGGCUUCCAUAGAUUUCGGCUUUUCCUGUCCCAGGUGCCGGGCAAGCCACUCGUCACGGAUAUUAUGCUUGAAGGCCGCUAAGGCCUCUGCAUCCGGACAGUCGACUAUCUGGUUUUUCUUUGUUAGGAACCGUGUCCAGAAUUGCCUGUCCGAUUCCUCUGGCUGCUGAAUUAUGUGGCUUAGGUCAUCAGCGUCCAGUGGUCGCACAUAAGUGCCCUGGAAGUUGUCAAGGAAUGCGGCUUCCAGGUCCUCCCAAGAACCGAUUGAGUCUGCUGGCAAGCUGUUAAGCCAAUGCCGGGCCGGUCCCUUAAGUUUGAGUGGGAGGUAUUUGAUGGCGUGUAGAUCAUCGCCGCGGGCCAUGUGGAUAUGAAGGAGAUAAUCCUUGAUCCAUACCACAGGAUCUGUUGUGCCAUCGUACGAUUCGAUGUUUACGGGUUUGAAGCCCUCAGGGAUUUUAUGAUCCAUUACUUCAUCUGUGAAGCAUAGCGGGUGUGCGGCGCCUCUGUAUUGGGCUAUAUCACGACGCAGCUCGAAGGAGCUUUGUCUGUUGAAUUCGGCCCGGCCGGAUUUAUUGCAUCCGGAGUGACGAUCACCGUCACGUGCCGUGGGGCGACUGCGCGAUCCGUAGACCGAUCUUGUUUGCCUUGCCUUGUCCUCCAGUAUGUCGUGCAGGUCGGGCGCAUUUUCCCGUGCCUUAGUAUGCUUGACGCGGCGUCGGGGCAUGGCUUGAGUGGAGGGCCAAGAGGCCUCUCUGUCGCGGCCACGAGGUGGCCGGUCGGCCAUGUCUUGCGCUGGUGAUGUAGGUGCUUCCUCCUCUAGUCGGGGUAGCAGCCUGCGCUUUGGGUAACUCUUGUAGGGGCGUUCGAGUUCAUACUCUUCGGCCGCAAGGACUUCAGUCCAUCUGUCAGCUAGCAAAUCAUGAUCAACUCUAAGCUGUUGCUGCUUUUUCUUGAGGCUGCUUGCCGUGGCCAUAAGCCUGCGUUUAAAACGCUCUUGUUCGGUGAGAUCCUCUGGCACGACGAACUCGUCGUCGUCGAGGCUUGCCUCGUCUUCGGAGGGAGGCAUAUAAUUAUCGUCCUCAACCUCUUGGUCCGCCGCCCUCUCAUGAGGGCUGGCUUCUCUGUCCUCCUGUGCUGAAUCUUGCUGGAGGGGGUGUUCCUCGGCGCUAUCCGGAGUAGUAUUAUCUCCUGUGCCGGAAUCACCAUUUUUGCUUUGGCGGGAUUUAGAGCGGCACCGCUGACGCCGGCGCUUGGGCUGUUUCUUAGAGGUAUCGUGCCCCGCUGUUCCAUCGCCAUCUCCAUCCUUUGGAGUGUCCACCAUAUAUAUGUCAUAUGACGAGGUGGCCUUCCAGCGCCCUACAGGUGCUGGUUCUUGUUCGUCUCCUGCAUCGUCGUCCAUGCCGUCGAUGUCUUCGGAGUCGAAGUCAAGCAUGUCGGUUUAGUCGUCGACAGUGGCUACGAAGUGGGUGGUGGGUGGGUUUUGAAUUUCUUCAUCGUCCGUAUCCCAACCUUGCUGACCGUAGUCCGGCCAGGUCUCUCCUGAUAAAGAGAGAGACUUUAGAGAAUUCAGGAUGUCGCCGAAGGGCGAGUGCUGAAAGAUGUCCGCGGCGGUGAACUCCAUUAUCGGCGCCCAAUCGGAUUCGAUCAGCAGGGGCGCGGGGGGCUCGGAGUUCGGAGAGGAUUCCGGCUCCUCGGAGUCACGGGCCAUGCGGAGUGCAGGGCUGGAGUUCGGCUCGAUCGCCUCUGAGAUCGCAGCCCCUGAGGCAGCGUCCAACCGCUGAUCCUCGAUCGGCAUAGUAGGCUCCGAAUCAAUGGUCGGAACUGAUGCGUGUGCGGCCUCCAAGGCGCUGUUCGGCGGAAGAGCUAUAUCAUGCCCAUCGAGACAGUGCGGCGCGCUUGGCUGUGGCUCGAAUCCAUCGAAGAUCAAGUCCCCGCGGAUGUCAGCCGUGUAGUUUAGGCUUCCAAACCUGACCUGAUGGCCAGGGGCAUAGCUUUCGAUCUGCUCAAGGUGGCCAAGCGAAUUGGCCCGUAGUGCGAAGCCGCCGAAGACGAAGAUCUGUCCGGGGAGAAGAGUCUCACCCUGGACUGCAUCGUUGUUGAUGAUCGAAGGAGCCAUCAGGCCUAAAAGCGACGACACAGAGGAACUCUCAAUGAAAGCACCAAUGUUGGUGUCAAAACUGGUGGAUCUCGGGUAGGGGGUCCCGAACUGUGCGUCUAGGCCGGAUGGUAACAGGAGGCAAGGCACACGAUGUUUACCCAGGUUCGGGCCCUCUUGAUGGAGGUAAAACCCUACAUCCUGCUUGAUUAAUAUUGAUGAUAUGGGUAGUACAAGAGUAGAUCUACCACGAGAUCAAGGAGGCUAAACCCUAGAAGCUAGCCUAUGGUAUGAUUGUUGUAUGAUGAAGUUGUCCUACGGACUAAAACCCUCCGGUUUAUAUAGACACCAGAGAGGGUUAGGGUUACACAAAGUCGGUUACAAUGGUAGGAGAUCUUGAAUAUCCGCAUCGCCAAGCUUGCCUUCCACACCAAGGAAAGUCCCAUCCGGACACGGGACGAAGUCUUCAAUCUUGUAUCUUCAUAGUCCUGGAGUCCGGCUGAAGGUAUAGUUCGGCUACCCGAACACCCCCUAAUCCAGGACUCCCUCAACGCGCCUUCACGUUCAACACACGUGCAGCCCGGUGACGUCUCCUGCACCUUGAUCCAGGACGGAGGAGGGAGAGGUUGGGGAAGAAAACUCCAGCAACAGCACGAUGGCAUGGUGGUGGUGGAGCAGUGUGGUUCUCCAGCAGGGCUUCGCCAAGCACUACGAAAGACGAGGAGGUGGAGAGGUAGGGCUGCGCCGAGAGAGAGAGAGACCUUCGUGUAUGGCAGCCCCAAAAACCCCACUAUAUAUAGGAGGAGGGGAGGGGGCUGUGCCCCCUCUAGGGUUCCCACCCUAGGGGGGCGGCAGCCCUAGAUGGGAUUGAAGGGGGCGGCCAAGGGGGAGAGAGGGGGUGCGCCCUAGGGUGGGCCUUAGGCCCAUCUGCGCCUAGGGUUUCCCCCUCUUCCCUUGUGCUACGCCUUGGGACUUGGUGGGAGGCGCACCAGCCUACUCAGGGUCUGGUCCCUUCCCACUCUUGGCCCAUGCAAGCCUCCCGGGCUGGUGGCCCCUCCCGAUGGACCCCCGGAACCCUUCCGGUGGUCCCGGUACAUUACCGGUGAUGCCCGGAACACUUCCGGUGUCCAAAUCCUCACUUCCUAUAUAUAAUUCUUUACCUCCAGACCAUUCCGGAACUCCUCGUGACGUACGGGAUCUCAUCCGGGACUCUGAACAACAUUUGGUAACCACGUACAUACUUUCCCUAUAACCCUAGCGUCAUCGAACCUUAAGUGUGUAGACCCUACGGGUUCGGGAACCAUGCAGACAUGACCGAGACAUCUCUCCGACAAAUAACCAACAGCGAGAUCUGGAUACCCAUGUUGGCUCCCACAUGUUCCACGAUGAUCUUAUCGGAUGAACCACGAUGUCAGGGAUUCAAUCAAUCCCGUAUACAAUUCCCUUUGUCUAUCGGCAUGUUACUUGCCCGAGAUUUGAUCGUCGGUAUCUCUAUACCUCGUUGAAUCUUGUUACCGGCAAGUCUCUUUACAUGUUCUGUAACACAUGAUCCCGUGGAUAACUCCUUACUCACAUUGAGCUCGUUAUGAUGAUGCAUUACCGAGUGGGCCCAGAGAUACCUCUCCAUCAUACAGAGUGACAAAUCCCAGUCUCGAUUCGUGCCAACCCAACAUAUACUUUCGGAGAUACCUGUAGUGCACCUUUAUAGCCACCCAGUUACAUUGUGACGUUUGGUACACCCAAAGCAUUCCUGCAGUAUCCGGGAGUUGCACAAUCUCAUGGUCUAAGGAAAUGAUACUUGACAUUAGAAAAGCUUUAGCAGAUGAACUGCACAAUCUUGUGCUACGCUUAGGAUUGGGUCUUGUCCAUCACAUCAUUCUCCUAAUGAUGUGAUCCUGUUAUCAAUGACAUCCCAUGUCCAUGGUCAGGAAACCAUGACCACCUAUUGAUCAACGAGAUAGUCAACUAGAGGCUUACUAGGGACAUAUUACGAUCUAUCUAUUCACACAUGUAUUACGGUUUCCGGUUAAUACAAUUAUUGCAUGAACAACAGACAAUUAUCAUGAACACAGAAAUAUAAUAAUAACCACUUUAUUAUUGCCUCUAGGGCAUAUUUCCAACAGUCUCCCACUUGCACUAGAGUCAAUAAUCUAGUUACAUUGUGAUGAAUCGAACACCCAUAGAGUUCUGGUGUUGAUCAUGUUUUGCUCGCGGAAGAGGUUUAGUCAACGGAUCUGCGACUUUCAGAUCCGUACACACUUUACAAUUAUUUAUGUCUCCAUCCUGAAUAUAUUCACGAAUGGAGUUGAAGCAAUGCUUGAUAUGCCUAGUCUUCUUGUGAAACCUGGGCUCCAUGGCAAGGGCAAUAGCUCGAGUGUUGUCACAGAAGAGCGUCAUCGGGCCCGACGCAUUGAGCAUAACUCCUAGGUCGGUGAUGAACUCCUUCAUCCAGACUGCUUCCUGUGCUGCCUCCGAGGCUGAUAUGUACUCCGCUUCACAUGUAGAUCCCUCCAUGACGCUGAUGUAUACUACACAACUUCCUUCUUGUAGACGUUGUUGGGCCUCCAAGUGCAGAGGUUUGUAGGACAGUAGCAAAUUUCCCUCAAGUGGAUGACCUAAGGUUUAUCAAUCCGUGGGAGGCGUAGGAUGAAGAUAGUCUCUCUCAAGCAACCCUGCAACCAAAUAACAAAGAGUCUCUUGUGUCCCCAACACACCCAAUACAAUGGUAAAUUGUAUAGGUGCACUAGUUCGGUGAAGAGAUGGUGAUACAAGUGGUAUAUGGAUGGUAGAUAAUGGUUUUUGUAAUCUGAAAAUAUAAAAACAGCAAGGUAACUAAUGAUAAAAGUGAGCACAAACGGUAUUGCAAUGCGUUGAAACAAGGCCUAGGGUUCAUACUUUCACUAGUGCAUGUUCUCUCAACAAUAAUAACACAAUUGGAUCAUAUAAACAUCCCUCAACAUGCAACAAAGAGUCACUCCAAAGUCACUAAUAGCGGAGAACAAACGAAGAGAUUAUGGUAGGGUACGAAACCACCUCAAAGUUAUCCUUUCUGAUCUAUCUAUUCAAGAGUCCGUAGUAAAAUAACAUGAAGCUAUUCUUUCCGUUCAAUCUAUCAUAGAGUUCUUACUAGAAUAACACCUUAAGACACAAAUCAACCAAAACCCUAAUGUCACCUAGAUACUCCAAUGUCACCUCAAGUAUCCGUGGGUAUGAUUAUACGAUAUGCAUCACACAAUCUCAAAUUCAUCUAUUCAACCAACACAAAGUACUUCAAAGAGUGCCCCAAAGUUUCUACCGGAGAGUCAAGACGAAAACAUGUGCCAACCCCUAUGCAUAGGUUCAUGGGCGGAACCCGCAAGUUGAUCACCAAAACAUACAACAAGUGGAUCAAUAGAAUACUCCAUUGUCACCACGGGUAUCCCACACAAGAUAUACAUCAAGUGUUCUCAAAUCCUUAAAGACUCAAUCCGAUAAGAUAACUUCAAACGACAAGAGAGUAGAGGGGGAGAAACAUCAUAAGAUCCAACUAUAAUAGCAAAGCUCACGAUACAUCAAGAUCGUAUCAUCUCAAGAACACGAGAGAGAGAGAUCAAACACAUAGUUACUGGUACAUACCCUCAGCCCCGAGGGGUAACUACUCCUUCCUCGUCAUGGAGAGCGCCGGGAUGAUGAAGAUGGACACCUGUGAAGGGUUCCCCCUCCGGCAGGGUGCCGGAACGGGUCUAGAUUGGUUUUCGGUGGCUACGGAGGCUUCUGGCGGCGAAACUCCCGAUCUAUUCUGCUCCCUGAAGUUUUUAGGGUAUAUGGAUAUAUAUAGGAGGAAGAAGUACAUCAGUGGAUCUCCGAGCUGUCCAUGAGGUAGGGGGGCGCGUCCAGGGGGGUGGGCGCGCCCCCACCCUCGUGGGCAGCCUGGGACUCUUCUGGUCUAUCUCCGAUACUCCGUGGGCUUCUUAUGGUCCAAAAAUAAGUUCCAUGAAGUUUCAGGUCAAUUGGACUCCGUUUGAUUUUCCUUUUCCACGAUACUCUAAACAAGGAAAAAACAGAAACUGGCACUAGGCUCUAGGUUAAUAGGUUAGUCCCAAAAAUCAUAUAAAAUAGCAGAUAAAUGCAUAUAAAACAUCCAAGGUUGAUAAUAUAAUAGCAUGGAAUAAUAAAAAAUAUGGAUACGUUGGAGACGUAUCAGACGCUUUGCUUGCAACUACACCAGUUGACUACCCCACCAUUGAAAAUGUACACGCAUCUGGUUUGUGACUUGGAGUCAUCCAGAUCUGUGUCUAAGCUUGCAUCGACGUAACCCUUUAUGACGAGUUCUUCAUCACCUCCAUAAACAAGAAACAUAUCCUUAGUCCUUUUUAGGUACUUUAGGAUAUUCUUGACCGUUGUCUAGUGUUCCAUGCCGGGAUUACUUUGGUACCUCCCUACCAAACUUAUGGCAGGGUUCACAUUAGGUCUGGUACACAACAUGGCAUACAUAAUAUACCCUAUGGCUGAGGCAUAGGGGAUGACACUCAUCUUUUCUCUAUCUUCUGCCAAGGUCGGGCAUUGAGCCGUGCUCAAUUUCACACCUUGCAAUACAGGCAAGAACCCCUUCUUGGACUGAUCCAUAUUGAACUUCUUCAAUAUCUUGUCAAGGUAUGUGCUUUGUGAAAGACCAAUGAGGCGUCUCGAUCUAUCUCUAUAGAUCUUGAUGCCUAAUAUGUAAGCAGCUUCUCCAAGGUCCUUCAUUGAAAAACACUUAUUCAAGUAGGCCUUUAUGCUUUCCAAAAGUUCUAUAUCAUUUCCAUCAAUAGUAUGUCAACCACAUAUAAUAUGAGAAAUGCUACAGAGCUCCCACUCACUUUCUUGUAAACACGGGUGAGGGAGUCCUGGAUUAGGGGGUAUCCGGACGGCCAGAUUAUAUCCUUUGGCCGGACUAUUGGACUAUGAAGAUACAAGAUUGAAGACUUCGUCUCGUGUUCGGAUGGGACUCUACUUGGCGUGGAAGGAAAGCUAGGCAAUACGGAUGUGUAUAUCUCGUCCUUUGUAACCGACCUUGUGUAACCCUAGCCCCUUCUGGUGUCUAUAUAAACCGGAGGGUUUUAGUCCGUAGGACAACAUAUAAUCAUAGCAUGGGCUAGCUUCUGGGGUUUAGCCUCUCCGAUCUCGUGGUAGAUCAACUCUUGUAAUACUCAUAUCAUCAAGACUAAAUCAAGCAGGACGUAGGGUUUUACCUCCAUCAAGAGGGACUGAACCUGGGUAAAACAUCGUGUUCCCUGCCUCCUGUUACCAUCCGCCUUAGACGCACAGUUUGGGACCCCCUACCCGAGAUCCGCCGGUUUUGACACCGACAUUGGUGCUUUCAUUGAGAGUUCCUCUGUGACGUCGCCAGAAGGAAGGAUGUCUCGUCUCGUCUUUAAAGACGGCACUAAUGUUGGGGGAGCUUUGGCUGUUGGCCAAACUCUCCGGCUAGGCGGUUUCAUCAUGACUGCCUGUUCGGCCGCCGCGCCGACGAUGACUUCUCGGGUCAUCGAAAACAGCCUCCACGUCAAAUCGGCACUCGCCGAACAGAUGGAUCCAGUGGAGCUCGCCUCCCUAAACGAGCUCUUGGAUCGCAUCGCCGCCCUGGGAGUCGCUAUGGACUAUGAUUGGAUUGGGCUUAAACCCAAUCAAAGGGAGAUUAACUCUCCACCGGUCACCCAUCAUAUUGCAGUGGUGGAGGAACAAUGCGGCGUCCUCUCCUCCAUAUUGAGGACCAACUAUGUCUAGAUUCCUGAGCUCUCCGAGCCGGAUAUCCAUUCGCGGGAGGACAACAUCCAAUCCCUGAACUUAGAGUCAGGCAGCGGGCCAGGAUUAUCGGGCAACACCCCGGAACCAGAAUUUCCAAAAUUGGAAAUUCCUCGGCCCCUAGAUCCCGGAUCGGGUAAGGGUUCGGAUUCAAUUCCACCCACCCACCCAAACAUAAGUGAUCUUUCCCACAUCAGGUAAGAGCCCCAGGAAACAGUACAUCACUAUUGGGCCAGAUUCCUCCUUGCGAUGAACAAGGUUAAGGACUGUCGCGAGGAAGACACAAUCUUAUUUUUCUGCAAUAAUUGCACGGACAAGGGAAUCCUUAACGCCAUAAAUCGCCGUGAGAUAUCAUGCUUCGCUGACUUGGCGUACAUAGUACGAAAGUACUGUGCAAUGGAAAGUGCCUGGAAAACCGAAACAAACUUUUGGGAUAAUCCGGCCCUAAAUACGAACCCAGUCCAAAAUAAAAGGGUGCACUAUCAAAAGACACCCGGGUCAACUACCAAAAAGCAAAAACCCUCUAUAGGGCAUGGAACCGUACUGGAGGGAUGGCUCAAUGGACCCUGGAAAAUUCAUAGUACAACGGACACAAUACCAAUGCACAGCCUUAGAGCAUGUUGGAUACUCCGGCAGGUGGCCGAAAGUGGUGAGGAUCUUCUUAUCCCAAAUGCCACAGAGCACCAUCCCGUGGAUAACAAUAUGGUGUUAAUAGUCUUUGAGACAUUUGCGUCAAAUAAUAGGCGCAAGCGAGCACUCCGCAGCAUGGCCGAAAUCUGCCACGUAGCAGCAAUAAAUCCAUGGAGUGACACGGCUAUUACCUUCAAUGCCAGUGAUGAACUUAAAUUCCGAACAGCCCGAGCACCAGUCGCACUGGUCCUUAGUCCAAUUGUGGACGACUUUCGACUCACCAAAGUACUCAUGGAUGGCGGCAGCGGAUUAAACCACAUCUACGAGGAAACUCUUCAAAAAAUGGAAAUUGACUGGAGCUGCAUUGAGCAAAGUAGCACAACCUUCAGAGGAAUCAUACCCAGUCGGGAGGCACGAUGCGCUGGGAAAAUCACACUAGAUGUGGUAUUCGGUACGCCAGAGAAUUAUAGGUCCGAAGAAAUUACAUUUCAAGUGGCCCCGUUUAGCAGUGGAUACCACGCCCUUUUAGGACGUGAGGCAUUCACGAUCUUCCAAGCUGUACCCCAUUAUGGGUACAUGAAGCUCAAAAUGCCCGGGCCCAACGGAAUCAUCACUCUCGCCAUUGAUCCGGAGACAACACUCCGCGCCGAAAACAAAACAGCCGCACUGGCCCUCGAGGCAUUAUCCGGAGCCCUCUCGGCCGAGGAAUUAACUAUGCUACACUCCAUAGUGGACAGGGACGACGUGAUACUCGAUAAGAGAUCCAAGUCCACCUCUUUUAAAGCAGCGGAUGAAAUAGUCAAAUUCCAAGUCCACCCAACGGACCCUACAAAAACAGCCUCCAUCGGGGCACAGUUAAACCCCGCCGUGGACGCCGCACUAUGAGAGUUCCUGCUCGAGAAUUGGGACAUAUUCGCCUGGCACCCCUCAGACAUGCCAGGAAUCCCACGCAGGCUGGCCGAGCAUAGCCUCAGUAUCCUAAAGGGAUUCAAGCCGGUCAAGCAAGCUCUUCGGCGUUUCUCCGAACCUAAGAGACAGGCCAUGGGAGAGGAACUAGCCAAGUUAUUAGAGGCCGGAUUCAUCAGAGAGAUAAAACACCCGGACUGGCUAGCAAACCUGGUGAUGGUACCAAAGAAGGAUAAAUCCUGGCGCCUUUGUGUCGAUUUAAAGGACCUCAAUAAAGCUUGCCCAAAGGAUCCCUCCCCCCCCGCAUCGAUCAAAUUAUCGAUGCUACCGCAGGACACGAGUCAUUGUGUUUCCUCGACGCAUACUCUGGUUACCACCAAAUAAAGAUGGCGGAGUCCGACCAAGCCGCAACGGCAUUCAUCACACCAUACGGUCCCUUCUGUUUCAACACAAUGCCUUUUGGGCUCAAAAACGCCGGCGCAACAUAUCAACGCAUGAUUCAGACAUGUCUGGAGAAACAAAUCAGCAAAACAGUAGAGGCAUACAUAGACGAUGUGGUCAUCAAAACCAGGCACAUUGACUCUUUGAUAGACGACUUGAGGCUCACAUUUGACAACCUCCGAACAUACGACAUCAAGCUCAAUCCGGAAAAAUGCGUUUUUGGCAUACCAGCCGGAAAGCUCCUGGGUUUCAUUGUCUCCGGUACAGGUAUUGAAGCUAAUCCGGCCAAAAUCCAAGCUUUGUCACAGUUGGCUACCCCAACAGACCUCAAACAAAUCCAGAAGUUAACUGGAUGCAUGGCGGCUCUAAGCCGCUUUAUAUCCCGCUUAGGAGAAAAGGCUUUACCCCUUUAUAGCCUCCUUCGGCGCACCGAACACUUUGAGUGGACGAACGCUGCCACAGCCGGAUUGGAAGAAAUAAAGGCCAUUUUGGCAACCAACCCAAUCCUGGCCGCGCCAAACAUCGAUGAACCAAUGCUGUUGUACAUUGCGGCAACUCAUCAAGUCGUAAGCGCAGUGCUCGUCAUCGAACAAGAAGCUGCCGGACAUAAAUUCCCUCUUCAAAAGCCGGUAUACUAUGUAUCCAAUGUCCUCACUCCAUGCAAAUCACGGUACCCACAUUAUCAAAAGAUAGCCUAUGCGGUAUUCAUGGCAUCCCGGAAGCUGUGACACUACUUUCAAGAGUGUUCGAUUACAGUAGCCUCGGAAGUGCCACUUAAUGAUAUUAUAAACAACCGCGAUGCUACGAGCCGGAUUGCUAAAUGGGCCAUUGAGCUCCUCCCGUUCAACAUAACAUACAAACCUCGACGGGCCAUUAAGUCGCAAGUAUUGGCCGACUUUGUCGCCGAAUGGACGGAGGCCAAACUCCCUAAAGAGUACGGUGCAUACUCCAAUUGGAUCAUGCACUUCGAUGAUUCUAAAAUGCUGGCUGGUCUAGGGGCUGGCAUCGUCCUGACGUCCCCAACCGGAGAUACCGUUCAGUAUGUACUGCAAAUAUUGUAUACAGACUCCAACAACGCAGCCGAAUACGAAGCUCUGUUGCAUGGUCUUCGGAUGGCAGUCUCCAUGGGCAUUCAACGCCUGGAGGUGUGUGGGGAUUCAAACCUUGAAAUAUCCCAAAUAAAUGGAGACUUUGAUGCCAAGGAUCCGAAAACGGUGGCCUACCGAAAUGCCGUCCUAAAAAUGUCAGCUCGGUUCGAGGGACUCGAAUUUCACCAUGUGGCUCGGGAAAACAAUCAAGCGGCGGAUAUCCUCGCCCGCAUCGGUGCAAAACGUGACGCAGUCCCCCCCAACAUAUUUCUGGAAAGGCUGUUCAAACCAUCCAUAGUAUGGGAAGGGGACACCGGUAACAAUAGUCCGGACCCGGCCAAAAUGCCCGAUACCGAAUACUCUGACACAAUUGGGGGCUCCGCCACGGAAAUAACACCUUCAGCCCACGUAAUCAUGGGCAUUAUCGCCCCGUGGACAGAACCAUUCCUGGCCUACCUAACUAGGCAGGAACUUCCGGAGGACCAAAAUGAGGCACGCUGCAUAGUGCGGCGACCUAAUGCCUAUAGGGUCCACGAGGGAGAAUUGUAUAAAAUAGCACUACCGGAGUCCUUCAAAGGUGCAUCUCCGAAGAGGAAGGGCGGAACCUUUUGGCAGAAAUCCAUGCCGGACUCGGCGGUCACCAUGCCGCAGCCCGGGCUCUUGUAAGCAAGGCCUUCCGUACAUGAUUCUAUUGGCCAACGGCCCGGGCAGAUGCACAGGACUUGGUCCAACGUUGCGCCGGCUGCCAGCUCUUUGCAAAUCAAAGCCACAUGCCACCCACCGCCCUCCAAACAAUCCCCAUUACGUGGCCCUUCGUGGUCUGAGGGCUUGACAUGGUUGGACCCCUUAAAGGGGGAACCCACAAGAAAAAAAUACUUACUGGUCAUGGUGGAUAAAUUCACCAAAUGGAUAGAGGCCAAACCUGUUAAAACAGCCGAAUCCGGACUAGUGAUAGACUUCAUAUCUGGGGUCGUACACCAUUAUGGCGUCCCCCAUAGCAUCAUCACUGACAACGACAUAAACUUCACAGCCGAUGAGGUAAAACUCUGGUGCAGCAAAAUGGGCAUUAAGCUCGAUUAUGCUUCAGUCUAUCACCCACAAACCAACGGUCAAGUCGAGCCAGCAAACGGUCUUAUAAUGAGCGGCAUUAAACCCAGAUUAGUGCGUUCCUUAACGGAGUCUAACACGCACUGGGUAGAGGAGCUCGACUCCGUAAUCUGGGGGCUGCGGACCACGCCGAAUCGUAGUACCUGAUAUACACCCUUCUUUAUGGUGUACGGCGCAGAGGCAGUCUUGCCUUGUGACAUAAUUCAUGACUCACCUCGAGUGCGCAUGUACGAAGAAAGAGAAGCCGAGCUUGAUCGGCAGGACAGUCUAGACACCCUGGAGGAGGAGUGCGACGUAGCCAACGCCCGUUCCGCACUUUAUCAGCAACAGGGUCACAGAUACCAAAGUAGAGAAGUACAGGCCAAAACUUAUAACGUUGGCAAACUAGUUCUACGCCUACCGGAUAAGAAAAAGAACAAGCUCGAGCCCAAAUGGGAGGGUCCCUUCAUUAUUGACCAAGUUCUGACCGGUGGAGUGUACCGACUGCGGGAUGCAUCGACUAGUUGACUUGAGCCAAACCCAUGGAACGCGGCCAGGCUCCGAAGAUUCUACGCCUAGCGCUGGACCCUAUGUUCGUCCCCUCCCUUUGUCCAUUUUUUGCAUGUACAUUAUCUGUCUUGUUCUUCUUUCUUCCUUUCUGUUAUUAUUUCUCUAGGCCUUUAAGGGCCAACUUGUGCCUCGCUUGCACAUUAUAGAUGCGCUAGCCACGCUCAUAAUACCCGGGGGUUCUUUCACAGAAGCUUAAUUAUUUAUCUAGGCCUCAGGCCCCGAACAUGUGUCAUGCUUCUGCAUGUACCUUUUUUCGCCAUUAUAUGCAUCGAUAUGACUUAAGUUUUGGCCAAGAUGGGUUGCCUGGCUCUUGUAUUUAUGCCCUACGUUCCCGUUAAUUUGGCUAGGGCAUAAGGGGAGCACCUCUGCAAUUGUUACUGCCGGGUCAGCCGGACGUGUACCUCAGACUGGGUGAAGCCGAAAGCUAGCAUUCUUAAGGGAAUAUUCGGUCGGUGAACAAAAGAUGAUUUUUAUUUAUUGUCCAUAUCUGCCCCCAGAUGUUUUUCCUGUGUUUCCUAUCGCAGUCCGGACAUGCACUUUAGGGCAUGCUUACCCAGGGAAAGGAACCCUUAACGGAACUAUUCUCCCUGGAAGAUGUUUCUUACUACCCAUGUAAUAUAACAUAACUAGUUGGGCACUUGUCUGUUCAAGCACUUAUGACCCCUACGCCUAGUCUCCACGCAUGCCCCGGUUCUUAUAUAACUGCGCGGGUAUUCGGAUACACUCCGGACUAUCAGGUCCCGAGGUUGAAGCGAAAAGGUCCGCCAAGACAAAUGAUCUACAAUCCGGCUAGAAGGCAUUAUACAUGUCACUUUCAUUACAUAGUCAUGCAGACUGACUAAAUUCCUCUUCUAUACCAUCCAACAGGUGGUCUAGCUUACAAUCCUGUUGGGAAUACUUUGCGGCUAAUUCUACUUGCCCAUAAACUAAGCUAACGGGGAUCUCUUUUCCGUUGGGCCCCACAGGUCCGACCUCGGUCAUGUGAUUUGGGUCCGCCUUGGUAUACCGCGUCUUCACCAUGGCACAGGCUUCUCUGGCACCCUGUCGGCAGGCUGAUAUCUUCCAUAAUCGGAAGCGCCGCUGUGCUCCCUUGAGCUUCUCCGCAAGCUCUACAACGCCCUCUGGCAGGGAGACAGACGGCCACAAGGCCUGGGCAACACCCUGCAUCAUCUGCCGAACUUGUUCAUGCAGAUGUGACAACUCAGAUAGAAGAUCACCCACAGACCCGGGCAUUUCCUCCACGGGAUGACCCGUCAGCAUACCUACAGACAUAACGCUGUUAGUUGGCUUCUUCACCGAACUCCUUUAAAAGGAUUCGUUCAAGCACUUACUGAAAAUACCGCACUGAAGCCGCUUAUUCUCCUUCUCGGAGUCCGCAAGCUAGCCCUGAACGUCUUUUAGUUCCACGCUCAGCUUAAUAUUGACGUCUUGGAGAUUUUUUUCUCCCGCCUAACCUCAGUCAGCACGCGUUUGCCAGUCUCUAGCUGUCGCAUAACAUGCUGGUCCUCCGGAUUUUCUCCGGAUUCAUCUGCAACAUCUGUUGUUAGAUCUGGAGCCAUGCCGCACAUUAUAUGGUAACCAUCAUUCUUUAAAGUAAAUGUUACCAGCAGGUGACUUUUUCGGUUCCUGCAAUGCGGCCACAGCAGCCCGCAGUUGGAUCUUGCAUUCCUCUAGCUCUUGUGAUAGCCUAGUAUUCUUCUCUGUAAGAACCUGCACAAUAAAGAUGAUCCUUAAAUCAGUUCUGCUAACUGUUUCAAGUCUCAGGGGCUACUGAUACAUAUAAAUCGUCAUAUUUACUUACCCAUACAUCCUUUACAUACUGAUCCGUGGCUCUAGCUAGACCAUCUUGAGCAGCUCGGAGGUACACCUCUCCACAAUUGAAGGCAUCAAAUGCCUCUGGGGAGAAACAAGCGUCACGGAGUACGGCCCGGCAGCGCCUAUGAUUCAUGGCGCUUUCCACCUUAGAGUUUGUAGCGGAUAAUCUAUCCGCAUCCUAUGUAGGGGGAUUAUCCGGUGCCCGCCCCAUAUCGGCUUCCGCCUCUAUGUCCGGUCCUGGUGCCCGGCUGGUGGAAGCGUGAUUAGUAACAUCGCCGGACAUAUUCCGGCGAGCGUUUUUUCUAUUAAAGAAACACAUGCGUCAUUAUAUUUCGAAAAAGACGACAACCACGGAGCGGGGUUUGUUAUACCUUUGCGCCGGCGUCUCCGUCCUGACCGCCUUCCUUUUUGGCCUUCCCGGCCUCGGUGCCUCCUGUUGGCGCAUUGCUGCGGGUUCGGCAGGGCGUCCCGAAUGCCUUCCCUGUAAAAAGGCCAUGUGUAUAUGGUGGGUGAAGCGUCUAAAAGGGGAUCCUAGUUUUGGAGUUGGGAUUUUUGGUUUUUCUUACGUGCGAUGCAGGGAGCAGUCCGGGAUAGUCGACCGUAAUGGCCACCAUGGCAUCGUCGCAGCUUAACUGAUAGAACCGCCGGUCUAUCAACUCCACGAAUAUAACCGAAUCUUCUUCAAGUCCAGAGUCGAGGACCCGGUCAGGGUCCUCUAGUUGUGGAGAAGGGCUGCUGACCUCCUUUAUGGCUUUUCGCAGUUCCUGCCGCAAAGUGGCAAGGUGAAUACUUACGACAAAGAAUGCGGGAAAAAUGGGAGCAGGGAGAUAUAACUUACCCAGCUUGGAGGAUUGUACAUGGAGAAUCCAUCCCGUGGCUUGAUGCGGGUGAACUCCUCUUCCUCACCCUUGAACAAUUCAGAUAGAAUUUUCGCUAAAGCGGCAGCAUGGUCUGGACCCUUGCGUCCGCAGCGGGUGGCGUCAUCCGCCCCGUUAUAACACCACAAAGGGGUGCCUACGAUAUUGAAGUGGUUGCACUCCCCGCAUUAUGCAAAUCGACAUAACUUCGAUUACUGUCAAUCCUGAUCGGGCUAGUGCUUUAAUUUGGUUCAUCAGAUAGAGGACUUCUCCAUUGUCUUCCACCUGGGGGCUCCGUGGGCGCGAACUUCGGCAUUUUUUCAGAGGAGCAUUGUUGAACUCAGGAAGACCCCGCCGAACAGGGUCCGGAAGGGGAACGUCCUCCAUAUAAAACCAUUCUGAAGGCCAGUCUUCGGGUGACUUCUUCGGGGUACCGGACAGGUAUCCGGUAUCGGCGAUGCGCCAUAUUUCGGCUCUGCCCACUUGAUAAAGUGACCCCCUCUGUGUGCGAGGGACGAGGAAAAAUAGCCUUUUCCACAGCUCGAAGUGAGCCUCGCAGCCCAGGAACAACUCGUAGAGAGCCACAUAGCCGGCGAUAUGUAGGAUGGAGGCGGGGGUGAAAUUGUGUAAUUGGAGGCCGUAGAACUCCAGGAGCCCGCGGAGGAAUGGAUGAAUUGGAAAUCCGAGUCCCCUUAAUGGAUAGGGAACAAGGCAGACCCGUUCCCCCAUAGAGGGACAGGGAAAGCUCUCCGCUUGCUCCCCGCCAUUAUAGGUGGCAAGCCCGGCUCGAACGGGCACCAUGUACGCCGGAGGGAGAAAUCCCUUGGUCUGUAGUUCGACUAAACGACUGUGUGGGACUGAACACCUCUCCCAAUCACCGGGCUUAGGGCUUCGGGGGCGGGAGGAGGAGCUGCGGAGGUCGGCCAUGCUGGAAUGGAUCUUUCUGGAACGCGCUCUGAUGGACUCUCGCUGGGGGAGGAUGGUAUGGAUCGGAUCUAAGGAUCCCCAUCCCUUUAAUAGACAAUUUAUUUAUCUGGCUAGGGGGGGGGCGAAUGUAAAAAUGCCCUGGCACCUCGUAUUCAUUCGACGCGUGGGAGAAAGCCCUUAUUGGGCACAGAAGCCAAGAGGCCCAAACAUUUAUGGGACCGGACACUGCUUUACAAACGUUUGAAAGAUGGAGAAGAACCCGCCUUGCAAUGCCGAAGACAAUACUGCGCGCUGGACUCAUCGUCAUUGAAGCCUGGUUCAGGGGCUACUGAGGGAGUCCUGGAUUAGGGGGUAUCCGGACAGCCGGAUUAUAUCCUUUGGCCGGACUGUUGGACUAUGAAGAUACAAGAUUGAAGACUUCGUCUCGUGUCCGGAUGGGACUCUACUUGGCGUGGAAGGCAAGCUAGGCAAUACAGAUGUGUAUAUCUCCUCCUUUGUAACCGACCUUGUGUAACCCUAGCCCCCUCUGGUGUCUAUAUAAACCGGAGGGUUUUAGUCCAUAGGACAACAUACAAUCAUACCAUAGGCUAGCUUCUAGGGUUUAUCCUAUCCGAUCUCGUGGUAGAUCAACUCUUGUAAUACUCAUAUCAUCAAGAAUAAAUCAAACAUGACGUAGGGUUUUACCACCAUCAAGAGGGCCCAAACCUGGGUAAAACAUCGUGUUCCCUGCCUCCUGUUACCAUCCACCUUAGGUGCACAGUUCGGGACCCCCUACCCGAGAUCUGCCAGUUUUAACACCGACAACAGGCUUCUCCAUAAGUCUGCGUAAACCCAAAUACUUUGAUCAUCUCAUCAAAGCGAAUGUUCCAACUCCGAGAUGCUUGCACCAGCCCAUAGAUUGAGUGCUGGAGCUUGCAUACCUUGUCAGCAUUCUUAGGAUCGACAAAACCUUCCGGUUGCAUCAUAUACAAUUCUUCCUUAAGGAAACCAUUAAGGAAUGUAGUUUUGACGUCCAUUUUCCAUAUCUCAUAAUCAUAAAAUGCAGCAAUUGCUAACAUGAUUCGAACGGACUUCAGCUUCGCUACGGGUGAGAAGGUCUCAUCGUAGUCAACCGUUGAACUUGUCGAUAACCCUUAGCGACAAGCCGAGCCUUAUAGAUGGUCACAUUACCAUCCGCGUUUGUCUUCUUCUUAAAGAUCCAUUUAUUUUCUAUGGCUUGCUGAUCAUCGGGCAAGUCUGUCAAAGUCCAUACUUUGUUUUCAUAAAUGGAUCCUAUCUCGGAUUUCAUAGCUUCAAGCCAUUUGUUGGAAUCCGGGCCCGCCAUCGCUUCUUCAUAGUUCGAAGGUUCACCGUUGUCUAUCAACAUGAUUUCCAGGACAGGGUUGCCGUACCACUCUGGUGCGGAACGUGUCCUCGUGGACCUAUGAAGUUCAGUAGCAACUUGAUCUAAAGUUUCAUGAUCAUCAUCAUUAACUUCCCCUCUACUGGUACAUACCCUCAGCCCCGAGGGAGAACUACUCCCUCCUCGUCAUGGAGAGCGUCGUGAUGAUGAAGGUGGCCAACGGUGAAGGGUUCCCCCUCCGGCAGGGUGCCGGAACGGGUCUAGAUUGGUUUUCGGUGGCUACGGAAGCUUCUGGCGGCGGAACUCCUGAUCUAUUCUGCUCCCUGAAGUUUUUAGGGUAUAUGGAUAUAUAUAGGAGGAAGAAGUACAUCGGUGGAUCUCCGGGCUGUCCACGAGGCAGGGGGCGCGCCCCCACCCUCGUGGGCAGCCCGGGACUCUUUUGGUCCAUCUCCAAUACUCCAUGGGCUUCUUCUGGUCCCAAAAUAAGUUCCGUGAAGUUUCAGGUCAAUUGGACUCCAUUUGAUUUUCCUUUUCUGCGAUACUCUAAAAUAAGGAAAAAAUAGAAACUAGCACUGGUCUCUAGGUUAAUAGGUUAGUCCCAAAAAUCAUAUAAAAUAGCAUAUAAAUGCAUACAAAACAUCCAAGGUUGAUAAUAUAAUAGCAUGGAACAAUCAAAAAUUAUAGAUACGUUGGAGACGUAUCAGCAUCCCCAAGCUUAAUUCAUGCUCGUCCUCGAGUAGGUAAAUGAUAAAAACAGAAUUUUUGAUGUGGAAUGAUACCUAACAUAUUUAGCCAUGUAGUUCUAUUUAUUGGGGGAAGAAUAUUCAGAUCCAUAAGAUACAAGACAAAAGUUUAAUAUUGACAUAAAAAUAGUAAUACUUCAGGCAUACUAACCAAGCAAUCAUGUCUUCUCAAAAUAACAUGGCCAAAGAAAGCUAUCCCUACAAAAUCAUAUAGUUUGGCUAUGCUCUAUCUUCAUCACACAAAAUAUUUAAAUCAUGCACAACCUCGAUGACAAGACAAGCAGUUGUUUCAUACUUUUGAUGUUCUCAAACCUUUUCAAUCUUCACACAAUAUAUGAGCGUGAGCCAUGGAUAUAGCACUAUAGGUGAAAUAGAAUGGUGGUUGUGGAGAAGACAAAAAGGAGAAGAUGGUCUCACAUCAACUAGGCGUAUCAACGGGCUAUGGAGAUGCCCGUCAAUAGAUAUCAAUGUGAGUGAGUAGGGAUUGCCAUGCAACGGAUGCACUAGAGCUAUAAGUGUAUGAAAGCUCAACAAAAGAAACUAGUGGGUGUGCAUCGAACUUGCUUGCUCACGAAGACCUAGGGCAUUUUGAGGAAGCCCAUCAUUGGAAUAUACAAGCCAAGUUCUACAAUGAAAGAUUCCCACUAGUAUAUGAAAGUGACAACAUAGGAGACUCUCUAUCAUGAAGAUCAUGGUGCUACUUUGAAGCACAAGUGUGGCAAAAGGAUAGUAGCAUUGUCCCUUCUCUCUUUUUCUCUCAUUUUUUUGUUUGGGCCUUUUCUCUCUUUUUAUGGCCUCUUUUUUUAGUCAGGACUCUGAAGUCUCAUCCUGAUUUGUGGGGGAAUCAUAGUCUCCAUCAUCCUUUCCUCACAUGGGACAAUGCUCUAAAAAUGAUGAUCAUCACACUUUUAUUUACUUACAACUCAAGAAUUACAACUCGAUACUUAGAACAAGAUAUGACUCUAUAUGAAUGCCUCCGGCGGUGUACCGGGAUGUGCAAUGACUCAUGAGUGACAUGUAUGGAAGAAUUAUGAACGAUGGCUUUGCCACAAAUACGAUGUCAACUACAUGAUCAUGCAUAGCAAUAUGACAAUGAUGGAGUGUGUCAUAAUAAACGGAACGGUGGAAAGUUGCAUGGCAAUAUAUCUCAGAAUGGCUAUGGAAAUGCCAUAAUAGGUAGAUAUGGUGGCUGUUUUGAGGAAGGUAAUGGUGGGUCAUACGGUACCGGCGAAAAUUGGACGGCACAAGAGAGGCUAGCAUGUGGAAGGGUGAUAGUGCGUAUAAUCCGUGGACUCAACAUUAGUCAUAAAGAACUCACAUACUUAUUGCAAAAAUCUAUUAGUUAUCAAAACUAAGUAUUACAUGCAUGCUCCUAGGGGGAUAUAUUGGUAGGAAAAGACCAUCGCUCGUCCCCGACAACCACUCAUAAGGAAGACAAUCAAUAAAUAAAGCAUGCCACGACUUCAUCACAUAACGGUUCACCAUACGUGCAUGCUACGGGAAGCACAAAAUUUAACACAAGUAUCUCUCAAAUUCACAACUACUCACUAGCAUGACUCUAAUAUUACCAUCUCCAUAUCUCAAAACAAUCAUCAAGUAUCAAACUUCUCAUAGUAUUCAAUGCACUUUAUAUGAAAGUUUUUAUUAUAUCCCUCUUGGAUGCCCAUCAUAUCAGGACUAGUUUCAUAACCAAAGCAAACUACCAUGCUAUUCUAAAGACUCUCAAAAUGAUAUAAGUGAAGCAUGAGAGUUCAUUAAUUUCUAUAAAAUAAAACCACCGCCGUGCUCUAAAAAGAUAUAAGUGAAGCACUAGAGCAACAACAAACUACUUCGAAAGAUAUAAGUGACGAUCAAUGAGUAGUCAAAAAAUUAUGCAACUAUAUGAAGACUCUCUAACAUUUAAGAAUUUCAGAUCAUGGUAUUUUAUUCAAGCAGCAAGCAAAACUAAAUAAAAUAAAAUGAUGCUCCAAGCAAAACACAUAUCAUGUGGUAAAUAGAAAUAUAGCUCCAAGUAAAGUUACCGAUGAACGAAGACGAAAGAGGGGAUGCCUUCCGGGGCAUCCCCAAGCUUAGGCUUUUGGUUGUCCUUGAAUAUUACCUCGGGGUGCCUUGGGAAUCCCCAAGCUUAGGCUCUUGCCACUCCUUAUUCCACAGUCCAUCGAAUCUUUACCCAAAACUUGGAAACUUCACAACACAAAACUUAACAGAAAACUCGUAAGCUCUGUUAGUAUAAGAAAAUAAAUCACCACUUAGGUACUAUUGUGAACUCAUUCUAAAUUCAUAUUGAUUUAAUAUCUACUGUAUUCCAACUUAUCUAUGGUUCAUACCCUCCGAUACUACUCAUAGAUUCAUCAAAAUAAGCAAACGACACAUAGAAAACAGAAUCUGUCAAAAAUAGAACAGGCUGUAGUAAUCUGUAGGUUCCGAAUACUUCUGUAACUCCAAAAAUCCUGAGAAAUUAGGAAAUUCUAUGAAAUUUGUUAAUGAUCUACUUCACUUGGAAUUGGUAUUUUAUCGCUCUCUGGUAAGAAAUGAAAAUUAUUCUCGUGAGCGCAUACUUUCUGUUUUUUCAGCAAGAUCAAAUAACAAUCGCCCAAUAAGGUCCUAAAGGCUUUACUUGGCACAAACACUAAUUAAAACAUAAAAAGCACAAUCAUAACAGAGGAUAGAUGAUUAAUUUAUUACUAAACAGGAACAAAAAACAUGGAGCUAAAAUAAAAUUUGGGUUGCCUCCCAACAAGUGCUAUCGUUUAAUGCCCCUAGCUAGGCAUGAUGAUUUCGACGAUGCUCACAUAAAAGAUAAGAAUUGUAACAUAAAGAGAGCAUAUUGAAGAAUAUGACUGGAAAAUUUAAGUCUAAACCACUUCCUAUGCAUAGGGAUUUUGUGAGCAAACAACUUAUGGGAGCAAUAAUCAACUAGCAUUGGAAGGCAAAACAAGCAUAACUUUAAAACUUCAAGCACAUAGAGAGGGAACUUGAUAUUAUUGCAAUUCCUACAAGCAUAUAUUCCUCCAUCAUAAUAAUUUUUAGUAGCAUCAUGAAUGAAUUCAACAAUAUAACUCUCACAUAAAGCACUAUUUUCAUGAUGCACAAGCAUAUAAUUUUUAUUACUCUCCACAUAAGCAAAUUUCUUCUCAUGAAUAGUAGUGGAGGCAAACUCAACAAAAUAACUAUCAUGUGAGGCAUAAUCCAAUUGAAAACUAAAAUCAUGACGACAAGUUUCAUGGUUAUCAUUACUCUUUAUAGAAUACAAGUGAUCACAAUAAUCAUCAUAUAUAGCAACUUUAUUCUCAUAAUCAAUUGGAACCUCUUCCGAACUAGUGGAUUCAUCACUAAAUAAAGUCAUGACCUCUCCAAAUCCACUUUCAUCAAUAUAAUCAUCAUAAAUAGGAGGCAUGCAUUCAUCAUAAUAAAUUUUCUCAUCAAAACUUGGGAGACAAAAAAUAUCAUCUUCAUCAAACAUAGCUUCCCCAAGCUUGUGGCUUUGCAUAUCAUUAGCAUCAUGGAUAUUCAAGGAAUUCAUACUAACAACAUUGCAAUCAUGCUCAUAAUUCAAAUAUUUAGUGCCAAAUGUUCUAAUAUUCUUCUUCUAACACUUUGGCACAAUUAUCGGAAUCCUUAUUUUCACGGCAGACAUUAAAAAGAUGAAGCAUAUGAGGCAUCCUUAAUUCCAUAUUUUUUAGUUUUCUUUUAUAGACUAAACUAGUGAUAAAACAAGAAACAAAAAGAUUCGAUUGCAAGAUCUAAAGAUAUACCUUCAAGCGCUAACCUCCCCGGCAACGGCGCCAGAAAAGAGCUUGAUGUCUACUACACAACUUUCUUCUUGUAGACGUUGUUGGGCCUCCAAGUGCAGAGGUUUGUAGGAUAGUAGCAAAUUUCCCUCAAGUGGAUGACCUAAGGUUUAUCAAUCUGUGGGAGGCGUAGGAUGAAGAUAGUCUCUCUCAAGCAACCCUGCAACCAAAUAACAAAGAGUCUCUUGUGUCCCCAACACACCCAAUACAAUGGUAAAUUGUAUAGGUGCACUAGUUCGGCGAAGAGAUGGUGAUACAAGUGGUAUAUGGAUGGUAGAUAAUGGUUUUUGCAAUCUGAAAAUAUAAAACAGCAAGGUAACUAAUGAUAAAAGUGAGCACAAACGGUAUUGCAAUGCGUUGAAACAAGGCCUAGGGUUCAUACUUUCACUAGUGCAAGUUCUCUCAACAAUAAUAACAUAAUUGGAUCAUAUAACUAUCCCUCAACAUGCAACAAAGAGUCACUCCAAAGUCACUAAUAGCGGAGAACAAACGAAGAGAUUAUGGUAGGGUACGAAACCACCUCAAAGUUAUCCUUUCUGUUCUAUCUAUUCAAGAGUCCGUAGUAAAAUAACAUGAAGCUAUUCUUUCCAUUCAAUCUAUCAUAGAGUUCGUACUAGAAUAACACCUUAAGACACAAAUCAACCAAAACCCUAAUGUCACCUAGAUACUCCAAUGUCACCUCAAGUAUCCGUGGGUAUGAUUAUACGAUAUGCAUCACACAAUCUCAGAUUCAUCUAUUCAGCCAACACAAAGUACUUCAAAGAGUGCCCCAAAGUUUCUACCGGAGAGUCAAGACGAAAACGUGUGCCAACUCCUAUGCAUAGGUUCAUGGACGGAACCCGCAAGUUGAUCACCAAAACAUACAUCAAGCGGAUCAAUAGAAUACCCCAUUGUCACCACAGGUAUCCCAUGCAAGACAUACAUCAAGUGUUCUCAAAUCCUUAAAGACUCAAUCCGAUAAGAUAACUUCAAAGGGAAAACUCAAUCCAUUACAAGAGAGUAGAGGGGGAGAAACAUCAUAAGAUCCAACUAUAAUAGCAAAGCUCGCGAUACAUCAAGAUUGUAUCACCUCAAGAACACGAGAGAGAGAGAGAGAGAUCAAACACAUAGCUACUGGUACAUACCCUCAGCCCGGAGGGAGAACUACUCCCUCCUCGUCAUGGAGAGCGCCGGGAUGAUGAAGAUGGCCACCGGUGAAGGGUUCCCCCUCCAACAAGGUGCCGGAACGGGUCUAGAUUGGUUUUCGGUGGCUACAGAGGCUUCUGGCGGCGGAACUCCCGAUCUAUUCUACUCCCAAAAGUUUUUAGGGUAUAUGGAUAUAUAUAGGAGGAAGGAGUACAUCGGUGGAUCUCCGGGCUGUCCAUGAGGCAGGGGGGCGCGCCCAGGGGGUGGGCGCCCCCCCACCCUCGUGGGCAGCCCGGGACUCUUCUGGUUCAUCUUCGAUACUCCGUGGGCUUCUUCUGGUCCAAAAAUAAGUUCCAUGAAGUUUCAGGUCAAUUGGACUCCGUUUGAUUUUCCUUUUCUGCGAUACUCUAAAACAAGGAAAAAACAGAAACUGGCACUGGGCUCUAGGUUAAUAGGUUAGUCCCAAAAAUCAUAUAAAAUAGCAUAUAAAUGCAUAUAAAACAUCCAAGGUUGAUAAUAUAAUAGCAUGGAACAAUCAAAAAUUAUGGAUACAUUGGAGACGUAUCAGACGCUUUGCUUGCAACUACACUAGUUGACUACCCCACCAUUGAAAAUGUACACGUAUCCGGUUUGUGACUUGGAGUCAUCCAGAUCUGUGUCUAAGCUUGCAUCGAUGUAACCCUUUAUGACGAGUUCUUCAUCACCUCCAUAAACAAGAAACAUAUCCUUAGUCCUUUUGAGGUACUUUAGGAUAUUCUUGACCGUUGUCCAGUGUUCCAUGCCGGGAUUACUUUGGUACCUCCCUACCAAACUUACGGCAAGGUUCACAUUAGGUCUGGUACACAACAUGGCAUACAUAAUAUACCCUAUGGCUGAGGCAUAGGGGAUGCCACUCAUCUUUUCUCUAUCUUCUGCCGAGGUCGGGCAUUGAGCCGUGCUCAAUUUCACACCUUGCAAUACAGGCAAGAACCCCUUCUUGGACUGAUCCAUAUUGAACUUCUUCAAUAUCUUGUUAAGGUAUGUGCUUUGUGAAAGACCAAUGAGGCGUCUCGAUCUAUCUUUAUAGAUCUUGAUGCCUAAUAUGUAAGCAACUUCUCCAAUGUCCUUCAUUGAAAAACACUUAUUCAAGUAGGACUUUAUGCUUUCCAAAAGAUCUAUAUCAUUUCCAUCAAUAGUAUGUCAUCCACAUAUAAUAUGAGAAAUGCUACAGACCUCCCACUUACUUUCUUGUAAACACAUGCUUCUCCAUAAGUCUGCGUAAACCCAAAUGCUUUGAUCAUCUCAUCAAAGCGAAUGUUCCAACUCCAAGAUGCUUGCACCAGCCCAUAGAUUGAGUGCUGGAGCUUGCAUACCUUGUCAGCAUUCUUAGGAUCGACAAAACCUUCCGGUUGCAUCAUAUACAAUUCUUCCUUAAGGAAACCAUUAAGGAAUGCCGUUUUGACGUCCAUUUGCCAUAUCUCAUAAUCAUAGAAUGCGACAAUUGCUAACAUGAUUCGAACGGACUUCAGCUUCGCUAUGGGUGAGAAGGUCUCAUCGUAGUCAAUCCGUUGAACUUGUCAAUAACCCUUAGCGACAAGCCGAGCCUUAUAGAUGGUCACGUUACCAUCCGCGUCAGUCUUCUUCUUAAAGAUCCAUUUAUUUUCUAUGGCUUGCCGAUCAUCGGGCAAGUCAGUCAAAGUCCAUACUUCGUUUUCAUACAUGGAUCCUAUCUCGGAUUUCAUGGCUUCAAGCCAUUUGUUGGAAUCCACGCCCGCCAUUGCUUCUUCAUAGUUUGAAGGUUCACCAUUUUCUAACAACAUGAUUUCCAGGAUAGGGUUGCCGUACCACUCUGGUGCGGAACGUGUCCUUGUGGACCUAUGAAGUUCAGUAGCAACUUGAUCUGAAGUGUCAUGAUCAUCAUCAUUAACUUCCUCUCUAGUCGGUGCAGGCACCAUAGAAACAUCUUCCUGAGCUGCGCUACUUUCCGGUUCAAGAGGCAGUACCUCAUCAAGUUCUACUUUCCUCCCACUUACUUCUUUCGAGAGAAACUCUUUCUCUAGAAAGGAUCCAUUCUUGGCAACAAAGAUCUUGCCUUCGGAUCUGAGGUAGAAGGUAUACACGACAGUUUCCUUAGGGUAUCCUAUGAAGACGCAUUUUUCUGACUUGGGUUCGAGCUUUUCAGGUUGAAGUUUCCUUAGGUUUCUUUCCAAACCAUAAUUCAUACGGUGUCGUCUCAACGGAUUUCGACGGAACCCUAUUUAAAGUGAAUGCGGUAGUCUCUAAAGCAUAACCCCAAAAUGAUAGCGGUAGAUCGGUAAGAAACAUCAUAGAUCGCACCAUAUCCAAUAGAGUGCGAUUACGAUGUUCGGACACACCAUUUUGCUGAGGUGUUCCAGGCGGCGUGAGUUGUGAAACAAUUCCACAUUUCCUUAAGUGCGUGCCAAACUCGUGACUCGAGUAUUCUCCUCCACGAUCUGAUCGUAAGAACUUUAUUUUCCUGUCACGUUGAUUCUCUAUCUCACUCUGAAAUUCCUUGAACUUUUGAAAGGUCUCAGACUUGUGUUUCAUUAAGUAGACAUACCCAUAUCUACUUAAGUCAUCAAUGAGGGUGAGAACAUAACGAUAGCCACCGCGAGCCUCAACGCUCAUUGGACCGCACACAUCAGUAUGUAUGAUUUCCAAUAAGUUGAUUGCUCACUCCAUUGUUCCGGAGAACGGAGUCUUGGUCAUUUUGCCCAUGAGGCAUGGUUCGCACAUGUUAAAUGAUUCAUAAUCAAGAGACUCCAAAAGUCCAUCUGCAUGGAGUUUCUUCAUGCGUUUGACACCAAUGUGACCAAGGCGGCAGCGCCACAAGUAUGUGGGACUAUCAUUAUCAACCUUACAUCUUUUGGCAUUCACACUGUGAAUAUGUGUAACAUCACAUUCGAGAUUAAACAAAAAUAAACCAUUGACCAGCUAGGCAUGACCAUAAAACAUAUCUCUCUUAUAAAUGGAACAACCAUUAUUCUCGGAUUUAAAUGAGUAGCCAUCUCACAUUAAACGAGAUCCAGAUACAAUGUUCAUGCUCAAAGCUGGUACUAAAUAGCAAUUAUUGAGGUUUAAAACUAAUCCCGUAGGUAGAUGUAGAGGGAGCAUGCUGACGGUGAUCACAUCGACCUUGGAACCAUUCCCGACGCGCAUCGUUACCUCGUCCUUCGCCAGUCUCCGCUUAUUCCGCAGCUCCUGUUUUGAGUUACAAAUAUGAGCAACCGCACCGGUAUCAAAUACCCAUGAGCUACUAUGAGUGUUGGUAAGGUACACAUCAAUAACAUGUAUAUCACAUAUACCUUUGGCGUUGCCGGCCUUCUUAUCCGCUAAGUACUUGGGGCAGUUCCGCUUCCAGUGACCAUUUCCCUUACAAUAAAAGCAAUGAGUCUCGGGCCUGGGUUCAUUCUUUGGCUUCAUCCCGGCAACUGAUUUACCGGGCGUGGCAACUCCCUUGCCAUCCUUCUUGAAGUUCUUCUUACCCUUGCCUUUCUAGAAACUAGUAGUUUUAUUCACCAUCAACACUUGAUGUUCCUUUUUUGAUUUCCACCUCCGCUGAUUUCAGCAUUAAAUAUAACUCAGGAAUGGACUUCUCCAUCCCUUGCAUAUUGUAGUUCAUCACAAAGCUCUUGUAGCUAGGUGGAAGUGACUGGAGGAUCCUGUCAAUGACCUAGUCAUCUAGAAGAAUAACUCCCAGCUGAGACAAGCGGUUGUGCAACCCAGACAUUUUGAGUAUAUGCUCGCUGACAAAACUGUUUUCCUCCAUCUUACAACUGUAGAACUUGUCGAAGACUUCAUAUCUCUCGACCCGGGCAUGAGCUUGGAAAACUAUUUUCAGCUCUUGGAACAUCUCAUAUGCUCCGUGCUGCUCAAAAUGCUUUUGGAGCCCCGGUUAUAAGAUGUAAAACAUGCCGCACUGAACCAGGGAGUAAUCAUCACUACGCGACUGCCAGACGUUCAUAACAUCUUGAGUUGCUGGGAAAAUGGGUGAGUCACCUGAUGACCCACAAGUAUAGGGGAUCUAUCGUAGUCCUUUCGAUAAGUAAGAGUGUCGAACCCAACGAGGAGCAGAAGGAAAUGAUAAGCGGUUUUCAGCAAGGUAUUCUCUGCAAGUACUGAAAUAAGUGGUAACAGAUAGUUUUGUGAUAAGAUAAAUUGUAACAAGCAACAAGUAACAAAAGUAAAUAAAGUGCAGAAAGGUGGCCCAAUCCUUUUGUAGAAAAGGACAAGCCGGAACAAACUCUUAUAAUAGGAAAAGCGCUCCUGAGGACACAUGGGAAUAUCGUCAAGCUAGUUUUCAUCACGUUCAUAUGAUUCGCGUUCGGUGCUUUGAUAAUUUGAUAUGUGGGUGGACCGGUGCUUGGGUGCUGUUCUUACUUGAACAAGCAUCCCACUUAUUAUUAACCUCUAUUGCAAGCAUCCGCAACUACAACAAAAGUAUUAAGGUAAACCUAACCAUAGCAUGAAACAUAUGGAUCCAAAUCAGUCCCUUACGAAGCAACACAUAAACUAGGGUUUAAGCUUCUGUCACUCUAGCAACUCAUCAUCUACUUAUUACUUCCUAAUGCCUUCCUCUAGGCCCAAAUAAUGGUGAAGUGUUAUGUAGUCGACGUUCACAUAACACCACUAGAGGCUAGACAACAUACAUCUUAUCAAAAUAUCAAACGAAUACCAAAUUCACAUGACUACUAAUAGCAAGACUUUUCCCUUGUCCUCAGGAACAAACGUAAUUACUCACAAAGCAUAUUCAUGUUCAUAAUCAGAGGGGUAAUAAUAUGCAUAUAGGAUCUGAACAUAUGAUCUUCCACCAAAUAAACCAACUAGCAUCAACUACAAGGAGUAAUCAACACUACUAGCAACCUACUAGCACCAAUCCCGGACUUUGGGACAAGAAUUGGAUACAAGAGAUGAACUAGGGUUUGGAGAUGAGAUGGUGCUGGUGAAGAUUUUUCUUUAUUUAUUUUAAGACGUUCCGUGGAGUUUCAGGACUUUUGGAGUUGCGCAGAAUAGGUCUCUAAUAUUUGCUCCUUUUCCAGCCCAGAAUUCCAGCUGCCGGCAUUCUCCCUCCUUAUGUAAACCUUGUAAAAUAAGAGAUAGUAGCCAUAAGUAUUGUGACAUGAAGUGAAAUAACAGUCCAUAAUGCAAUAAAUAUCAAUAUAAAAGCAUGAUGCAAAAUGGACGUAUCAACUCCCCAAGCUUAGACCUCGCUUGUCCUCAAGCGAAAAGCCGAUAACAAUAAAUAUGUCCUCAUGUUUAAAGGUAGAGGCGUCGAUAAAAAUAAAAUACGGACAUGAAGGCAUCAUGAUUAUUCUCAUAACAACAACAUAUAUAGAUUUUGUCAUAUGAUUACUUAUGUUCAAGUGAUGAUCUAUUCACAAUGCAAAAGUAUAAAUCAUAAACCUUAUUGGGCUCCGACAAACUAUAAUCUCAGUCAUUGAAGCAAUUGGAAUUUAUCAUAACAUCGGAAAGAGUCUAUGUCAGAGCUUAAAAGCAAGUCCACAUACUCAACUAUCAUUUAGUCCUUCAUAAUUGCUAACACUCACGCAAUACUUGUGGUUCCGGAGUUUUAAUCGGACACAGAGAAAGAUAGGGGCUUAUAGUUUUGCCCCACAACCUUUUACCUCAAGGGUAAUGUCAACAAUAAUGGUUCAUGCUCCCCUACAUCCAAUUAGAUAUAUAUAUAUAUAUAUAUAUAUAUAUAUAUAUAUAUAUAUAUAUAUAUAUAUAUAUAUAUAUAUCAUGUUCUUUCCAACAUGCUGAGCUUGCCAAAGGAUAAAAUGAAAAAAAGGAAAGGUGAAGAUCACCGUGACUCUUGCAUAAGGUAGAAGAUAAUAAUAAAGGAUAGGCCCUUCGCAGAGGGAAGCAGAGGUUGCCAUGCGCUUUUAUGGUUGGAUGCAUAAAAUCUCAAUGCAAAAGAACAUCACUUUAUAUUGCCCCUUGUGAUAUGAACCUUUAUUAUGCAGUCCGUCGCUUUUAUUACUUCCACAUCACAAGAUCGUAUAAAGCUUAUUUCUCCCACACCAAUCAAUCAUACAUAUUUAGAGCAAUUUUUAUUGCUUUGCACCAAUGACAACUUACUUGAAGGAUCUUACUCAAUCCAUAGGUAGAUAUGGUGGACUCUCAUGGCAAAACUGGUUUAAGGGUAUUUGGAAGCACAAGUAGCAUUUCUACUUGGUGCUGAGAAUUUGGCUAGCAUGAGGGGGAAAGGCAAGCUCAACAGGUUAGAGGAUCCAUGACAACAUACUUUAUCUCAGAUAUAAGAAAGACAUAACUCAUUACGUUGUCUUCCUUGUCCAACAUCAACUCUUUAGCAUGUCAUAUUUUAAUGAGUGCUCCCAAUCAUAAAAGAUGUCAACGAUAAUAUAUCUAUAUGUGAAACCUCUCUUUCCUUAUUACUUCCUAUUAAUUACAACAAUGACCAAAGCUAUGUCUGCCAACUCCCAACAACUUUUAAUCAUCAUACUCUUUCUAUGUGAAGUCAUUACUCUCAAUAAGAUCAAUAUGAACUUUUUGUUUCUUUUUAUUCUUUUCUUCCUUCUUUUAUUCACCCAAGAUCAUGGAAAAAUAAUCAAGCCCUUGACUCAACACUAAUCUUUAUUAUAUAUAACUCACGGACUCGAUUACAAAGAGAGAUCAUAAAGCAAAACUCAAAACUAGAUCAUGCCAUAAACUUUAUUCUACUAGAUCAAGAUACUACUAAUAAGAUUGAACUAUGAAAAACGAUAAAGAUAGGAGUUGUGAUGGUGAUACGAUACCGGGGCACCUCCCCCAAGCUUGGCAGUUUCCAAGGGGAGUGCCCAUACCCAUGUGAUUAUAUCUCCUUGGUUGGUGAAGAAGGCGGAGGUGACGGAUAAUCGCACAUCGAGUGUAAGAGGUCCUCCAGCUUGCGAAUGAUGCCCUUGAGUGCGACAAUAUGCUCCUUCAACAAAAUAUUUUCUUGUGUGAGAUACUUGUUUUGUAUACGAGCUAACUCAAUCAUCUUGAAAGCUUCGAUCUCAGUUGGGGUAAGAUGGUUAUGAUCAAGUUGAAGGAUGUCUUUUGCUGCCGGAGCUUGAUCCUUCGUGGCUUUCUUGACACUUUCAUACUUGUUGACCCUCGUGGGUUCUUCCCUCUUCAGAUCUAUCUUCAUUAGCCAAGCAUCGUUGUCACCAUUGUUGGAGGAGGGGGACAACAUGAUGCCUAGUCUGGAAAACCCUGACAGAAAACAGCUCGAAACAAGAACAGAGGAGGUUUGCAUGAUACGGGAGUCAAAACCUUCGGGAGAUUAUAUAAUGAAUUUUUACCGACCAAAAUACGUAUCGUGCAAGAAAACAGAGUCCGGAGGGCACACGAGGUGCUCACGAGGUAGGGGAGCGCGCCCAGGGGGGUAGGGCGCGCCCACCACCCUCGUGUCCUUCCCGGACUGCUACUUAUUUUUCUAUUUUUCUAAAUAUUCCAAAACAGAGAAAUAUUGCCUGAAAAAUUGUUUUGGAGUCGGUUUACUUACCGUACCACAUACCUAUUCCUUUUCGAAGUCUGAAACGUUCCGGAAAGUGUCCCUUAUGUAUUCCUCCGGGGUUACGGUUUCAAUAAUAUUGGUUUCAACAUUUAUGGGAUUACCUGAGAUAUAAUGUUUGAUUCUUUGACCAUUUACCACCUUCGGAUUUGUGCCCUCGAAGUUGUUGAUUUUUAUGGCACCGGAACGAUAGACCUCUUCGAUAACAUAGGGGCCUUCCCAUUUAGAGAGAAGUUUUCCUACAAAAAAUCUUAAACGAGAGUUGUAUAGCAAUACAUAAUCACCUACAUUAAACUCAUGCUUUUGUAUCCUUUUGUCAUGCCAUCUUUUAACUUUUUCUUUAAACAACUUGGCAUUUUCAUAAGCUUGGGUUCUCGAUUCAUCAAGUGAGCUAAUAUCAAAUAACCUCUUCUCACCGGCAAGUUUAAAAUCAUAGUUGAGCUCUUUAAUAUCCCAAUAUGCCUUAUGUUCUAGUUCGAGAGGUAAGUGGCAUGCUUUUCCGUAAACCAUUUUAUACGGAGACAUACCCAUAGGAUUUUUAUAUGCAGUUCUAUAAGCCCAUAAUGCAUCAUCAAGUUUCUUGGACCAAUUCUUCCUAGACCUAUUAACAGUCUUUUGCAAAAUUAAUUUGAGCUCUCUAUUGCUCAACUCUACUUGACCACUAGACUGUGGGUGAUAAGGAGAUGCAAUUCUAUGAUUAACAUCAUACUUAGCAAGCAUUUUACGGAAAGCACCAUGAAUAAAGUGUGAACCACCAUCAGUCAUUAAAUAUCUAGGGACUCCAAACCUCGGGAAAAUAACUUCCUUAAGCAUUUUAAUAGAAGUGUUAUGAUCAGCACUACUAGUUGGAAUAGCUUCUACCCACUUAGUAACAUAAUCAACAGCAACUAGAAUAUGUGUGUAUCCAUUAGAGGCAGGGAAAGUUCCCAUAUAAUCAAAGCCCCAAACAUCAAACAGUUCAAUAACAAGAGAAUAAUUCAUAGGAAUUUCUUGACGUCUACUAAUAUUUCCAAUUCUUUGGCAUUCAUCACAAGACAAGACAAACUUACGGACAUCCUUGAAGAGAGUAGGCCAAUAAAAACCAGAUUGCAAUACCUUAUGUGCAGUUCUAUCUCCAGCGUGGUGUCCUCCAUAAGACUCGGAGUGACAUUUGCGUAGGAUCUGUUCCUGUUCAUGCUCAGGUAAACAACGUCUAAUAACACCAUCUACUCCUUCUUUAUAAAGAUGUGGAUCAUCCCAAAAGUAAUGUCUCAAGUCAUAGAAAACCUUUUUCUUUUGCUGGUAUGUGAAGCUAGGUGGUAUAAACUUGGCAACAAUAUAAUUAGCAUAAUCAGCAUACCAUGGAGUACUACGAGAAGUACUUAUAACAUUUAACUGUUCAUCAGGAAAGCUAUCAUUAAUAGGUAGUGGGUCAUCAAGAACAUUCUCUAACCUAGACAAGUUGUCUGCAACAGGGUUCUCAGCUCCCUUUCUAUCAACAAUAUGCAAAUCAAAUUCUUGUAGCAAGAGAACCCAUCUAAUAAGUCUAGGUUUAGCAUCUUUCUUUUCCAUAAGGUAUUUAAUAGCAGCAUGAUGAGUUUGAAUAGUUACUUUAGAAUCAACAAUAUAAGGUCUGAACUUAUCACAAGCAAAUACAACUGCUAAAAGCUCCUUUUCAGUAGUAGCAUAAUUUCUUUGAGCAUUGUCUAGAGUCUUACUAGCAUAAUGAAUAACAUUUAAUUUCUUAUCAACUCUUUGCCCUAGAAUAACACCUACAGCAUAAUCACUAGCAUCACACAUAAUUUCAAAGGGUAAAUCCCAAUCAGGUGGCUGAACAACAGGUGCAGAGACUAAUGCUUUCUUAAGUAUUUCAAAUGCUUCUACACAAUCAUCAUCAAAGACAAAUGGUAUAUCUUUUUGCAAUAAAUUAGUCAGAGGCCGAGAAAUUUUUGAGAAGUCCUUAAUGAACCUCCUGUAAAAUCUGGCAUGACCAAGGAAACUUCUUAUACCUUUAAUGUCCUUGGGACAUGGCAUCUUUUCAAUAGCAUCAACCUUGGCUUUAUCAACUUCAAUACCUCUUUCAGAAACUUUGUGCCCCAAGACAAUACCUUCAUUAACCAUAAAGUGGCACUUUUUCCAAUUCAAGACAAGAUUAGUUUCUUCACAUCUCUGCAAAACUCGAUCAAGAUUGCUCAAGCAAUCAUCAAAAGAGGAACCAUAGAUGGAAAAAUCAUCCAUGAAAACCUCACAAAUCUUUUCACAAAAGUCAGAGAAUAUAGCCAUCAUGCAUCUUUGAAAGGUAGCAGGUGCAUUACAUAAACCAAAAGGCAUACGUCUAUAAGCAAAAGUACCAAAAGAGCAUGUAAAAGUAGUCUUUGAUUGAUCUCUAGCCGACAUAGGUAUUUGAGAGAAACCAGAAUAACCAUCUAGAAUGCAAUAGUGUGUAUGCUUGCAUAAUCUUUCUAGCAUUUGAUCAAUAAAAGGUAAGGGGUAAUGAUCUUUCUUAGUAGCUUUAUUUAAUUUGCGGAAAUCAAUUACCAUCCUAUAACCUGUGAUAAUUCUUUAUGGAAUCAAUUCAUCUUUAUCAUUAGGAACAACAGUGAUACCUCCCUUCUUAGGGACACAAUGGACAGGACUUACCCACUCACUAUCAGCAACGGGAUAGAUUAUACCUGCCUCCAGAAGCUUUAGUAUUUGUUUUCUUACCACUUCUUUCAUUUUAGGAUUCAGACGUCGUUGAGGAUCACGAAUUGGUUUGGCAUCCGCUUCCAAAUUUAUUUUAUGUUGACAUAGAGUGGGACUAAUGCCCUUAAGAUCAUCAAGAGUACAUCCAAUAGCAGCACGAUGCUUCUUCAGAGUUUUCAAUAAUCUUUCUUCUUCAUGCUCUGAAAGGUUAGCACUAAUAAUAAUAUGAUAUAUCUUCUUUUCAUCAAGAUAAGCAUAUUUAAGAUUAUCAGGCAAAGGUUUAAGCUCAAACACGGGAUCACCCUUGGGUGGAGGAGGAUCCCCUAAAAUUUCAACAGGCAAAUUGUGUUGCACAAUAGGUUCCUGUUUAAAGAAUACUUCAUCUAUUUCCCUUCUUUCAUUCAUGAACAUAUCAUUUUCAUGGUCUAGCAAAUAGUGUUCUAAAGGAUCACUAGGAGGUACGGCAAUAGAAGCAAGACCAAUAAUUUCAUCCUUACUAGGUAAUUCUUCCUCACGAUGUUGUUUACUAAAUUUAGAGAAAUUAAAUUCAUGAACCAUAUCACCUAAGCCAAUAGUAACAACAUUCUUUUCGCAAUCUAUCCUAGCAUUAACAGUGUUCAAGAAGGGUCUACCAAAUAUAAUGGGACAAAAGCUAUCUUGCGGAGAAGUAAGAACACGAAAAUCAGCAGGAUAUUUAGUUUUCCCACACAAGACUUCAACAUCUCUAACAAUUCCAAUUGGUGAAGUAGUAUCUCUAUUGGCAAGUUUAAUUGUGACAUCAAUACCUUCUAACUCAGCAGGUGCAAUUUCAUUCUUAAUUUCUUCGUAUAAAGUAUGCGGUAUAACACUAGCACUCGCACCCAUAUCACAUAAGCCAUGAUAACAAUGAUCUCCUAUUUUAACAGAAAUAACAGGCACGCCUACCAUAGGUCUAUGUUUAUCUUUAGCACAAGGUUUAGCAACUCUAGCAGUUUCACCUUCUAACUGAAUAACAUGCCCAUCAAUAUUAUCAGACAAGAGAUCUUUAACAAUAGCAGUAUUAGGUUCUACUUUAACUUGCUCAGGAGGUGUAUAAGUUCUAAUAUUGCUUUUACGGACAACAGUUGAAGCUUUAGCAUGAUCCUUUAUUCUAACAGGGAAAGGGGGUUUCUCAACAUAAGAAGUAGGAACAAUAGGAUCAUUAUAAGUGACAGUCUUUUCUUCAACUUUAAUAGGUGCAGCUACUUUUACUUCUAUGGGAGGAUGAUAUUUAAACCACUUCUCCUUAGGGAGAUCAACAUAAGUAGCAAAAGAUUCACAGAAAGAAGCUACUAUCUCAGAGUCAAGUCCAUAUUUAGUGCUAAACUUACGGAAAAUAUCAGUUUCCAUAAAAGAUUUAACACAAUCAAACUUAGGUGUCAUACCUGACUCCUUACCUUCAUCGAGGUCGCAAUCUUCAGAGUUGCGUCUAAUUCUAUCCAAUAAAUUCCAUCUGAAUUCAAUAGUCUUCAUCAUAAAAGAGCCAGCACAAGAAGUAUCGAGCAUGGUGCGAUUGUUAUCAGAAAGCCGAGCAUAUAAAUUUUGAAUAAUCAUUUCUCUUGAGAGCUCAUGGUUGGGGCAUGAAUACAACAUUGAUUUAAGCCCCCCCAAGCUUGAGCGAUGCUUUCUCCUUCGCGAGGCCAGAAAUUAUAUAUAUAAUUGCGAUCACGAUGAACAAGAUGCAUAUGGUAAUACUUUUGAUGAAAUUCCAAUUUCAAUCUUUUAUAGUCCCAUGAUCUCAUAUCAUCACAUAGCCUAUACCAUAUCAAUGUGUAUCCCUUCAAAGAUAAAGGGAAGACCUUCUUCUUAGCAACAUCAUCGGGUAUACCUGCAAGCUUAAAUAAUCCACAAACUUCAUCCACAUAUAUUAAGUGCUCAUCAGGAUGCUUUGUUCCAUCUCCUGUAAAAGGGUUAGCCAACAGUUUCUCCAUCAUACCCAAAGGAAAUUCAAAAGGAGUUUCAUUUUCAAUAGGUUCAGUAGGUUGAGGAGCAGCUCUUUGCUCUAUUGGACGGGGUGAAGAUACCCCAAACAAGCCCCUCAGAGAAUUACUUUCCAUAGUAACAAGUGACAGUAAAUUUCAGCACACUAUAUAAAUUUUUCCGUACCAAAUUCCACCUACCAAAGGCGCUACACUCCCCGGCAACGGUGCCAGAAAAGAGUCUUGAUGACCCACAAGUAUAGGGGAUCUAUCAUAGUCCUUUCGAUAAGUAAGAGUGUCGAACCCAACGAGGAGCAGAAGGAACUGAUAAGCGGUUUUCAGCAAGGUAUUCUCUACAAGUACUGAAAUAAGUGGUAACAGAUAGUUUUGUGAUAAGAUAAAUUGUAACGAGCAACAAGUAACAAAAGUAAAUAAAGUGCAGCAAGGUGGCCCAAUCCUUUUGUAGCAAAGGACAAGCCGGAACAAACUCUUAUAAUAGGAAAAGCGCUCCCGAGGACACAUGGGAAUAUCGUCAAGCUAGUUUUCAUCAUGUUCAUAUGAUUCGUGUUCGGUACUUUGAUAAUUUGAUAUGUGGGUGGACCGGUGCUUGGGUGCUGUUCUUACUUGAACAAGCAUUCCACUUAUGAUUAACCUCUAUUGUAAGCAUCCGCAACUACAACAAAAGUAUUAAGGUAAACCUAACCAUAGCAUGAAACAUAUGGAUCCAAAUCAGCCCCUUACGAAGCAACGCAUAAACUAGGGUUUAAGCUUCUGUCACUCUAGCAACCCAUCAUCUACUUAUUACUUCCCAAUGCCUUCCUCUAGGCCAAAAUAAUGGUGAAGUUUUAUGUAGUCGACAUUCACAUAACACCACUAGAGGCUAGACAACAUACAUCUUAUCAAAAUAUCAAACGAAUACCAAAUUCACAUGACUACUAAUAGCAAGACUUCUCCCUUUUCCUCGGGAACAAACGUAAUUACUCACAAAGAAUAUUCAUGUUCAUAAUCAUAGGGGUAAUAAUAUGCAUAUAGGAUCUGAACAUAUGAUCUUCCACCAAAUAAACCAACUAGCAUCAACUACAAGGAGUAAUCAACACUACUAGCAACCUACUAGCACCAAUCCCGGACUUUGGGACAAGAAUUGGAUACAAGAUAUGAACUAGGGUUUGGAGAUGAGAUGGUGCUGGUGAAGAUGUUGAUGGAGAUUGCCCUCUCCCGAUGAGAGGAGCGUUGGUGAUGAUUUCCCCCUCCCGUAGGGAAGUUUCCCUGGCAGAACAGCUCUGCCGGAGCUCUAGAUUGGAUCCGCCAAGGUUCCGCCUCGUGGCGGCGGAGUCUCGUCCCGAAAAUUUCCUCCCUAUUUUUUUUCUCAUCAAAAGACUUCAUAUAGGAGAAGAUGGGCGUCGGAGAGCCACCAGGGGGCCCACAAGGUAGGGGGGCGCACCCUAGGGGGGGGGGGGCGCCCCCACCCUUGUGAGUAGGGUGUGGGCCCCCUGGCCUUCAUCUUUGGCGAGGAUUUUUCUUUAUUUUUUUAAGACAUUCCGUGGAGUUUCAGGAAUUUUGGAGUUGCGUAGAAUAGGUCUCUAAUAUUUGCUCCUUUUCCAGCCCAGAAUUCCAGCUGCCGGCAUUCUCCCUACUUAUGUAAACCUUGUAAAAUAAGAGAGAAUAGCCAUAAGUAUUGUGACAUAAAGUGAAAUAACAGUCCAUAAUGCAAUAAAUAUCGAUAUAAAAGCAUGAUGCAAAAUGGACGUAUCAUCACCUAGCGGUGCUUCAAGGACAUAUGAUUUCUUAACAGCUAUGAGGAUGAUCCUCAAGUUACGGACCCAAUCCGUAUAGUUGCUACCAUCGUCUUUCAGCUUGGUUUUCUCUAGGAAUGCGUUGAAGUUGAGGGCAACAUUAGCGUGGCUCAUUUGAUCUACAAGACAUAUUGUAAAGACAUUCUAGACUAAGUUCAUGAUAAUUAAGUUCAUCUAAUCAAAUUAUUUAAUGAACUCCCACUCAGACAGACAUCCCUCUAGUCAUCCAAGUGAUACAUGAUCCAAAUCGACUAGGCCGUGUCCGAUCAUCACGUGAGACGGACUAGUCAUCAAUGAGAUCCAGUAGUGGGUCAGAUCAACUCCAGUUAACCCGUUCCCUAACAGAGCAUUAAUCCUUUUGAUGGAGGGUAUCAGCCUCUUGCGUUCAACGGCAGUAAGCUUGUCGGCAAGCACGAACUUGGAGUCAAGACGAUCGGGGCGAUAACCCAACAGUGGCAUCUCGUUUGCCGGUGAAAUGUCUUGACAGUAGAACCAAGUCUGGUUCCAGUCCUUUGGGUGACUUGGUAAGACUAUGAGAGGGAAGAGAGCACCCUGCUGGCGCUGAAUUGAGAUGCCUCCAAGCUCUAAGCUAAGGCCAUUGGUGCAUUCGUUUUGCCGGUUCAGAUAAAAGUAUUCUCUAAACAACUUCACGGUCAGCUCUUGUUGAAGAUACACCUCACAGAGCACUUGGAAGUUACAGAUGUUAGAUAUGGAAUUGGGCCUGAUAUCUUGAUGUAGCGACCAGACCUCAAACAGUCUGAUCUCUGUGCUCCGGUGUCAUCCCUGGAUCAGUAAUGCUGACACCACACAGUACUCGGAGGAUUUAUAACAGAGUAGCAAUCACACACUUCUUACAUCGAGUGUCUAAAUAGAGAACUUAUUACAAUAAAUAUGGCUUAAGGCCAUCUAAUAACAAUAACAGCGGAAGGCUUGGAAGAUAAGUGAGUCCAUCAACUCCAAUGGCGUCACUGAGUAUAGAACCACGACCUAAAAAACUCCUUAAUCAUCGUCUAAAAAGUCUGCAACAUUAACGUUGCAGCCCGAAAUGGGUCAGCACAUGGAAUAUGCUGGCAAGGUAACACAUAGAGAGUAAUGGAAUGAAACAACUAUACUAUAUGCAUAUCUGGCUGGUGGAAAGCUCUAUGGUUACAGUUUUGCGUAAAGCCAAUUUUUCCCUACUUCAAAGGAAUAAAUUUAUUUAACUAUCAUGGUAGUUGUUAAACAUUGAGAACGGCUGACAGCAUUCUCAAUCCCAAUUAAGCAUCAUCAUUAAACAAAACACAACAAAAUUAAUUUAGAGUAACAUGUUGAGAUUCACAUGAUAAUCCAAGUACUAGAUACUCAAGGUUGUCCAUAACCGGGGACACGGCUAACCAUGAUUAGUUUAUUACACUCUGCAGAGGUUUGCACACUUUUCCCCACAAGACUCGAUCGCCUCCGUUUGGUUUCUCGCACUACAUGGUGUUUGAGAAGACGGAUGACCGAGACAUAGUCUUUCAGAAGCGCUAGCACCUUAUGAUCGGGUAGACCGUACCACCUACAUCCCCUACAUCUGCUAGUCUACUACUGUAAGAGUUCGCAUGACUUAGUCAACUAUGCUAGAGCCCAUAAUAGCUUGUGGCUGCACACAGAAGUUUCUAGUAUGAAUAGUCUCAUGAUCCCUUUGAGUCUAGGUGGCGGUCCAAAAGAAAACAGGCAAGUCCUGGAAUACCCAGGUGCCUCAAUCCACCCAGAUGUGUGUUUAAGUUGCCACCUUAGAUAAACCAUCAAUUAACAAACUCACAUCUGUCAUGGAUAUCACUCACCCAAUCCACGUCUACUAGCAUAGCAUGGCAUAAUAAGCAAACGUAGAAGUAACUCCCAAAGGUUUGAUAAUAAACAGGUAAUAGGUACUACCUCAACUACUUCCCAUCCCACAAUUUAAUUAGAUCCUAAUCAUGCAAUGUGUGAGGAUUGAUCUAAUGCAAUAAAACUGGGUAGUAGGAAAGGUAUGAUCAAAGUGUUACUUGCCUUGCUGAUGAUCCGGGAAACCUAGCGAUUCGAAGUAACAAGCCGCGCACUCUGGGUAUUCUAUCGCAGACAAACAGAUAAGCAUACAAUAAGUACUAAUCUAAUGCACAGGUAAAAGUCAAAUAAGAGAUCUAACCAGAAGGUUCAACUUAAGAACUCCGGUUUGCAAAAAGAAUCAAAUCGAACGAAGCAACGAAAGUCAAACGGCGAAAGAAAACAACUUCGUUCUACUAAUCUGGAUCUAAGGCAAAUUUUAUAGUAUCAAAAACUUGUUUAAGUUGGUUAAACAGAUAGAGGGUUUUGAGAUGAAACUCCAGGCGCUUGAAUCGCCUAAUUCCGAUAAACGAGCGAAAAGUUAUACUAAAACGAAAAUCGGAUCAGGAAUCACGAUCAAAAAAUCGCGGAUUAAAUCCGAGAAAAGAAAAACGACGAACGUUCAUUAGAAUGAACGGACGGACGAACGCUCGCUAUUUAAAAAAAUCGAAAAAAACGAUCUAUUUAAAAAAACUGAAACGAAACUAAAAAAACCGACGGAAAAACCGAACGGUUUUUCGAAAAAAAUAAAAUAAAAAAAACUGGCGCGGAAAUCGAGACGACCUCGGGCGGCGUGUUGGCGGCGGGCGGCGCGGCGGCGGGGCGGCGCUAGGGGCGGCUCGGCUAGGGUUUGGCUGGGGCUGGGCCUCCCCCCGGCUUAUAUAGCCUAGUCGGGCCGGAGUCCGGGUCGGACACAGCCCGUUAGGCCGGUUCGUUUUUUUAAAUAAUUACGUGCGGAAGAAAAAUAAAAAGAAAUACUAAACGGACUCGAAAAAUCCUGAAAUAAAUUUUCCCGGGAUUCUAAAAUCAAGCCGCACAAGGUGAACAUUUAUUUGGGGCCUAAAUGCAAUUUUGAAAAACGCACAUUUUUCCUAAAUUCAAAUAAAAUAACGAAAAACUCCGAAACAAAAUCUUAUUUGAUUUUCUUAUUAAAUCCUCAAUAUUUCUUUAUUUUGGGAAAGUCAUUUUAUUCCCUCAUAUUUUUGUAAUAGAAAUAAUUGACGAUAAAAUAACAAAAUCAAAUUAUCCUAUUCUCAAAAUUUGAGAAAACUCAAAUAUGAAAAUAAUGAAAUCCCCAACUCUCUCUGAGGGAGUCCUGGAUUAGGGGGUGUUCGGGUAGCCGGACUAUACCUUCAGGCGGACUCCUGGACUAUGAAGAUACAAGAUUGAAGACUUCGUCCCUUGUCCGGAUGGGACUUUCCUUGGCGUGGAAGGCAAGCUUGGCGAUGCGGAUAUUCAAGAUCUCCUACCAUUGUAACCGACUCUAUGUAACCCUAACCCUAUCCGGUGUCUAUAUAAAUCGGAGGGUUGUAGUCCGUAGGAAAUCAACUCCAUAUACAACAAUCAUACCAUAGGCUAGCUUCUAGGGUUUAGCCUCCUUGAUCUCGUGGUAGAUCUACUCUUGUACUACCCAUAUCAUCAAUAUUAAUCAAGCAGGACAUAGGGUUUUACCUCCAUCAAGAGGGCCCGAACCUGGGUAAAACAUCGUGUUCCCUGCCUCCUAUUACCAUUUGGCCUAGACUCACAGUUCGGGACCCACUACCAGAGAUCCACCGGUUUUGACACCGACAUUGGUGCUUUCAUUGAGAGUUCCUCUGUGUCGUCGCCUUUAGGCCCGAUGACUCCUUUGAUCAUCAACAACGAUGCGGUCCAGGGUGAGACUUUUCUCCCCAGACAGAUCUUCGUCUUCGGCAGCUUCGCUCUGCGGGCCAAUUUGCUCGGCCACCUGGAGCAGAUUGAAAGCUACGCCCCUGGCCAUCAAGUCAGGUUUGGAAGCUUAAACUACACGGCUGACAUCCACGGAGACUUGAUCUUCGACGGGCUCGAGCCACGGCCAAGCACGCCGCACUAUCUCGAGGGGCAUGAUCUAGCUCUGCCCCCGGACAGUGUCCUGGAGGCCGCACACGCAUCGCUUCCAACCCCUAACUCGGAGCCUAUUGCGCCAAUCGAGGAUGAGAUGUUGGACGUCACCUUCGGGGCUGCGAUCCCGAAAGCGAUCGAGCCGAACGCUAGCCCCGCACUCUGCACGACCCGUGACUCCGAGGAUCCGGACUCCUCCCCGGACUCCGAACCCCCCGCGCCCCUGCCAAUCGAAUCCGAUUGGGCGCCGAUAAUGGAGUUCACCGCCGCAAACAUCUUUCAGCAUUCGCCUUUUGGCGACAUCCUGAAUUCUCUUAAGUCUCUCUCUCUUUAUCAGGAGAGCCCUGGCCGGACUACGGUCAGCGAGGGUGGGAUACGGACGAUGAGGAAACUCAAAGCCCACCCACCAUCCACUUUGUAGCCACUGUCGACGAUCUAAUGGACAUGCUUGACUUCAGCUCCGAAGACAUCGACGGCAUGGACGACGAUGUAGGAGACGAACAGGAACCAGCACCUGUAGGGCGCUGAAAGGCCACCUCGUCAUAUGACAUAUAUAUGGUGGAUACUCCAAAAGGUGGAGAUGGCGAUGGAACAGUGGGGGAUGACGCCCCCAAGAAACAGCUAAAGCGCCGGCGUCAGCGGCGCCGCUCUAAAUACCGCCAAAGCAAAAACGGUGAUUCCGGCACGGGAGAUAAUACUACCCCGGAUAGUGCCGAAGAACACCCACCUCAGCAAGAUUCGGCACAGGAAGAUGGAGAAGCCAGCCCUCAUGAGAGAGCGGCAGACCGAGAGGUCGAGGAUGAUAACUAUACGCCUCCCUCCGAAGACGAGGCAAGCCUCGAUGACGACGAAUUCGUCAUACCAUCAGACCCCCGCCGAACAAGAGCGUUUUAAACGCAGGCUUUUAGCCACGGCAAGCAGCCUCAAGAAAAAGCAGCAACAGCUUAGAGCUGCCCAAGAUUUGCUAGCUGACAGAUGGACUGAAGUCCUUGCAGCCGAAGAGUAUGAACUCGAACGGCCCUCCAAGAGUUACCCGAAGCGCGGGCCGCUACCCCGAUCAGAGGAGGAAGCACCUACAUCACCAGCGCAUGACAUGGCAGACCGGCCACCUCGCGGCCGCGAUAGAGAGGCCUGUCGGCCCUCCACCCAAGCCAUGCCCCGCCGCCGCUCAACUAAGGCACGGGAAAAUGCGCCCGACCUGCGAGACAUACUGGAGGAUAAGGCAAGACAAACAAGAUCGAUCUAUGGAUCACGCAGGCGCCCUACGGCAUGUGACAAUGAUCUUCACUCUGGAUACAACAAAUCCGGCCGGGCCGAACACAACAGACAUAGCUCUUCCGAGCUGCAUCAUGAUAUAGCCCAGUACAGAGGCGCCGCACACCCGCUAUGCUUCAUGAAUGAAGUAAUGGAUCAUAAAAUCCCAGAGGGUUUCAAACCCGUAAACAUCGAAUCAUACGAUGGCACAACAGAUCCGGCGGUAUGGAUCGAGGAUUAUCUCCUUCACAUCCACAUGGCACGCGGCGAUGAUCUACACGCCAUCAAAUACCUCCCGCUCAAACUUAAAGGACCGGCCCAGCAUUGGCUUAACAGCUUGCCAGCAGACUCAAUCGGUUCUUGGGAGGACAUGGAAGCCACAUUCCUCGACAACUUCCAGGGCACUUACGUGCGACCACCGGAUGCCGACGACUUAAGCCACAUAAUUCAGCAGCCAGAGGAAUCGGCCAGAAAAUUCUGGACACGGUUCCUAACAAAGAAAAACCAGAUAGUCGACUGUCCGGACGCAGAGGCCCUAGCAGCCUUCAAGCAUAACAUCCGCGACGAGUGGCUUGCCCGGCACCUGGGACAGGAAAAGCCGAAAUCCAUGGCAGCCCUCACGACACUCAUGACCCGCUUUUGCGCGGGAGAAGACAGCUGGCUAGCUCACAGUAACAACUUAUCAAAGAACCCUGGUAAUUCGGAUACCAAGGACAAAAGUGGCAGGACACGUCGGAAUAAGCAAAAACACCGCGUUAGCAGCGACAGCAAUGAAGACACGGCAGUCAAUGCCGGAUUCAAAGGCUAUAAAUCCGGUCAGCAGAAAAAGCCAUUCAAAAAGAAUACUCAGGGCCCGUCCAGUUUGGACCGAAUACUCGAUCGCUUGUGCCAGAUACAUGGCACCCCCGAAAGGCCAGCCAAUCACACUAACAGGGAUUGUUGGGUGUUCAAGCAGGCAGGCAAGUUAAGGGCCGAAAACAGAGACAAGGGGCUGCACAGCGACGACGAGGAGCCCAAGCCGCCGAACAACAAUGGACAGAAGGGCUUUCCCCCACAAGUGCGGACUGUGAACAUGAUAUACGCAACCCACAUUCCCAAGCGGGAGCGGAAGCGUGCGCUACGGGACGUAUACGCGAUGGAGCUAGUCGCCCCAAAGUUCAACCCAUGGUCCUCCUGCCCGAUCACUUUUGAUCGAAGGGACCAUCCCACUAGCAUCUGUCAUGGCGGCUUCACCGCAUUGGUUCUCGACCCAAUCAUCGACGGAUUUCAUCUCACAAGAGUCCUCAUGGACGGCGGCAGUAGCCUGAACCUGCUUUAUCAGGAUACAGUGCGGAAAAUGGGCAUAGAUCCCUCAAGGAUUAAGCCCACAAGAACGACCUUUAAAGGUGUUAUACCAGGUGUAGAAGCCAACUGUACAGGCUCAGUAACACUUGACGUGGUCUUCGGAUCCCCGGACAAUUUCCGAAGCGAAGAGUUAAUCUUUGAUAUAGUCCCGUUUCGCAGUGGCUAUCACGCCCUGCUCGGACGAACCGCAGUCGCAAAGUUCAAUGUGGUGCCGCACUUCGCAUAUCUCAAGCUCAAGAUGCCAGGCCCUCGAGGAGUAAUUACGGUCUACGGAAACACCGAACGCACCCUCCGUACGGAGGAGCAUACGGCGGCUCUCCAGUCCGGCCAUUAAAAAGCCAGACACUGCCAAGCGUGCCCGGAGUAACCCACAGCAGGACCGCCUGACACACUCUAAGCAAGCGUAACAAUGCGGCCCCAACCCCAGCUUUCGCGACAUGGCGAAACCAGUACCUCGCGUACAUAACUACGCCCUUGAAAUACCAUGCGCACAGGGGAAGGGGCACAAUAAUGGCACGCCCAAAAUACGGCUUAAAACGUACUAGGGGCUGCCGAAUUCUUUUUUUAAUUUUUUCUUACUUUGAGGACUCCAUACUUCGGACGACCUAUUCGGCAAUUCGACUGCCGCACAAACGAUGCAUGAUCCAGGGAGGCAGACAAGCCAUGCCGCAUUAUGGAACUCCCAGGUGGUCUCUGUUACGAGCGGUAUACCUGUUUUAAAUACAAUUCCGCGGCCUGCCCCUGGUCAGGACAUAUUGAAUAGUCCAAUAUCUUUCGCUUACCGCACUAUUUGUAUCGUUCGGCUUUGAUAAAUAGCCUCUCUAUAAACAAUGCUUAGCUUCUAGUCUUUUUUUGCAUUAUCUUCUUUUCACAUUUAUGUUUAUUAAAUGACAUGAUUGCACCCGUACACCAUGGUACAGCAAACAUGCCAGGGGCUUCAGUACCCCUCAUAAUGGUGUGAGAAGUCCGUACACUUUCACAAGUGCGUCACCCCGAACUUAUAGCACUAUAUGCAUCGGCUCCGAAUCAUGAUUUGGGUCAAUAGUUGGGUUUGCCCGGCUCCUAUGUUUUGGUGCCUUACGUUCCGCUCUAUCGGCUAAGGUAGCACUAGGAGAACCACUGCGAUUGUGCCCCGGUUCAGCUGGGUUAAGCACCUCAGUGGAGAAAGCUAAAACUGACUAUCAUGAUGUGGCGAGAGACCGGUCGCUGUUUGAGAGGUUUUUCGAGUCCCUAAAGGCUUAUGCCGCUUCGAGCGAGGAGCUGGCUUUGUCCGACCAAGGCGUGGAUAGCGCCCCCAACUCGGUCUUCCAAACUAGGGGCUUCGCCGAAAUUUAAAAUUAUAGAGUUCUAUGGCUAAGUGAGAGUGUUCAAGCAUUAUAGUCCGAUUGCCUGGUUCGUUGUGCUAAGCGUCUCCCUCGAAGGACCCAACUAUGGGAAAAAGAGCGCUCAGGUUUAUCCCGAACACCCCAGCACUAGUGGCACGGGGGCAGAAGCCGACGACUGGCCAUCUCUCAAUUUUUGAUAAACGGCCGCACAAAAAGUAAUAUUUUAAAUUCAAUAAGCAUUGCUUAGCGCAUAUGAACAAGUUUUCAGCGCACAGGAUAAACACGAGCGAGUUCAUUCAAACAUCACAUCCUUGGUACAUUCAUCCGCCACAAGGCGGGCACCUGCAAGAACAUCCUUGUAGUAGUUCUCGGGCUUGCGAUGCUCCUUCCCCGGUGGCGGCCCGUCCUUCACAAGCUUCUCACCGUCCAGCUUACCCCAGUGCACCUUCGCACGGGCAAGGGCCCGACGGGCACCUUCGAUGCAGACAGAGCGCUUGAUGACCUCAAGCCUCGGACAGGCCUCCACCGGCCGCCGCACCAGCCCAAAAUAGCUCCCUGGCAGGGCCUCUCCGGGCCACAGCUGAACUAUGAAGCCCUUCAUGGCCUGCUCGGCCGCCUUGUGGAGCUCGACCAGCUAUUUCAGCUGGUCGCUCAAGGGCAUAGGGUGUCCGGCCUCAGAAUACUGAGACCAGAACACCUUCUUCAUCGAGCUACCCUCUUCAGCUCGGUAGAAUGCGGCGGCAUCGGAUACGCUGCAGGGAAGAUCUGCGAAUGCCCCUGGAGAGCUCCAGAUUCGGGUAAGUAACAGGUAGUUCACUUUUGUAUUUCUUCUUUGCAUAAAGAAUGCCUUACCCACUGCUAUCUUCCUCAUCUCCUCCAACUCUUGGAGGGCCUUUUGGGCUUCGGCCUUGGCAGACUUGGCAGUCUCUAGGGCUGUUGCAAGCUCGGAUGCUUGUGCCUUCGACUCCAGCUCCAAACUCUCAUGUUUUUUCAUGAGAGCCUGAAGCUCUUGCUGCACCUCGCCGACCUGAGCCCCAAGUCUGUCUCGCUCAGUGCGCUCCGCGGUCGUUUUCUUUUCGGCCUCAGACAGCGCCUGCUUAAGGGUCGCCACCUCAGUCGUGGCCCCUACAAUAAGCAGUACAAUCCUGUUACUCUUUUUGCAAUCAAGCCUUUUUAUAGGCACUUUUCCUGUAAGGUAUUUCUUACCUUCUUCCUCCUCGAGCCGCCGCUUGGCAAGGCCGAGCUCUUGCUCGGUCCGCUCGAGGUCCUGCUUCAGGACACCCACCUCCGCAGUCAGUGCGGCGGUGGAUAGCAGCGAAGCCUGCAUACGCAUAUUGACACUUUUAUUUUAGACUCCUGCAAAUUUAAUAGAUCCUCUAUUCGGCUUUUCUUUCCGAAUGCCAAACAGAGCAUCAGGGGCUACUGUCUAUGCGGCAAUAUUUUUACUUACCUCGAUGCCUGUUAGAAGGCUAGCGCAAGCUUCAGUCAGUCCGCUCUUGGCGGACUGAACCUUCUGGAUCACCGUACUCAUAAUAGUACGGUGCCGCUCAUCGAUGGAGGCGUCGUCAAGCACCUCCAGCAGAUUGUCUGGCACCUCCGGUUGGAUGGAGGCCGCCGGCUCAGAAGGCUUGCUCCUCUUGGAAGGAUUUCGCCUACCGCGGUCCGGAACUGUGGAAGAUUCCGGCGCGGUGUCCGGCACAAAGCCGGACUAAGAGCCCUGGGGAGCCUUAUCCCCUUCACUCCCGGAGUCCGGGAGGUUGCCUUGCGGCUCCUCCAGGACCACCUCCUCCUGCCCUGGAGCUUAUCGCGACGCCACUUCGGCGUCGUCUGCAGUGCGGGGGGAGACAGCGGGCGGAACUGAGUUCACGUCCGAUGAGUCCAGGGAGCCGCCCGACGAUUCGUCAAAUUCGGCCCGGGGCGGACUUCAUAAUUACAUUCGACAUUAGGGAAAGCUGUGCAACAAAGGAACAUCAUGAGUUACUCUGAUAUCCGAACUUACAAUUCGCCGGACGCUUGGCCCUGUUUGGUCACUCCUCUCUGCCCUCUCCGGUGUUGGGGCCGUAGUCCGGCGGAGGGGUCUUCCUUUUCCUAGACCCCUCGGCCUCCCCCAUUGGGGAGGCCUUCCUCUUCUCUCCUCCCUCUGCUGGGGGGGGGAGUGUUUUCUUCUUCCUCCUCCUCGUUUUCGCGGGAGGAGGGCGUCUCGGACUCGUCAGAUGACGAGUCCAAGACGCCCAUGUUGCGGGCACUCUUUCGAGUCCCCGUGGUCUUCUUCUUCUUGGCCUUCUUCUCCGGCACCACAUAAGGCGCCGGAACCAGCAGCUUUGCUAGUAGAGCUGGGGCUGGGUCUUCGGGCAGCGGAGCCGGACAGUUAAUCGGUCCGGAUAUCGCCCGCCAAGCCUGUCAAAGGUAAGGGAGUUUAGAUCCCGCAUAGAGUCAAACUAUGAAAAAGCUUAACAUCCUAUAAAAGGUGUAGAUGGCAUACCUCGCUAGCGUGACGCUGCGAGCUGUAUCCGCGGUCCUCGGAAGCGGAUGCGGGAGCCUCGGCGCCCUUGAAUAGCAUCUUCCAGGCGUCUUCGUACAUCGUGUCGAAGAGCCUGCUAGAGUUUGAUGCUGUGCCGGGUCGAACCCCCACAGAUUAAAAUCCCGUUGUUGGCAUGGGAGGAUCUGGCGGAUGAGCAUAACCUGGAUUACAUUAACAAGCCGGACUGGCUUGUUCACCAGGGACUGGAUGCAUGUUUGCAAUCCGGUCACCUCUUUUUCGUCACCCCACGACAGGCCCAUCUCCUUCCAGGACAUAAGCCGUGUAGGGGGUCCGGAUCGGAACUCGGGGGCUGCGGUCCAAUUCGGAUCGCGCAGCUCGGUGAUAUAAAACCACCCGCAUUGCCAUCCCUUUAGGGUCUCCACGAAAGAGCCCUUGAACCAUAGGACGUUGGCCAUCUUGCCCGCCAUGGCGCCUCCGCACUCCGCCUGGCUUCCGCGCACCACCUUGGGCUUGACGUUGAAGGUCUUGAGCCAGAGGCUGAAAUGAGGGCGGACGCGGAGAAAAGCCUCGCACACGACAAUAAACACCGAGAUGUUGAGGAUGAAGUUCGUAGCCAGAUCGUGGAAAUCCAGGCCGUAGUAGAACAUGAGCCCCCGGACAAAUGGGUGGAGUGGAAAACCCAGUCCGCGGAGGAAGUGGGGGAGAAAUACUACCCUCUCAUGGGGCCUUGGGGUGGGGAGAAGCUGCCCCUCUUCGGGAAGCCGGUGCGCGAUGUCCUUGGACAGGUAUCCGGCCUUCCUUAGCUUCUUGACUUUGCCCUCCGUGAUGGAGGAGACCAUCCACUUGCCUCCCGCUCCGGACAUUGCUGGAGAAGGUUGAGGUGGGAAGUGCGGGCUUGGGCGCUGGAGCUCGGGUGUGCAGGAGAUGGAUAGGCAAAGGAGGAAGAAGGCGUAGGUAAAAAGGUGGAUCCUUGUCCCCUUAUAUGGGCGGAUGCGGUUGUGCGUCCCCACCUGCCUAGUAAAACUCGCUUGCCUCCCAAGCGCCGUGAUAAGUGGCGCAGUUGGGUUACCCAUGUUCGUAUUGAUGAGAAUCCCGUAAAAGGGGGGUACACAAUCUCUGCUUUGACAAGACGUGCCAAGGAAACCGCCUCGCAAAACACGCUGAGGUGGAAAAGUGAAAACGAUUCGAGUGAAGGACUUGGCUGUAGUGUGUUGACGCACUGCGGAAUACGUCAGCAGAUUUGAUUUGUGUUAAUAUUAUUCUCUCUAUGGCAAUAUGUGGAAGCUUAUUUUACAGAGCCGAACACUACCCUUGGUGUUUACAAUCUUCUAUGAAGGACUUGGAGGAGGAACCCGCCUUGCAAUGCCGAAGACAAUUUGCGCGCCGGACUCGUCGUCAUUGAAGCCUAGUUCAGGGGCUACUGAGGGAGUCCGGGAUUAGGGGGUGUUCGGGUAGCCGGACUAUACCUUCAGCCGGACUCCUAGACUAUGAAGAUACAAGAUUGAAGACUUCGUCCCGUGUCCGGAUGGGACUUUCCUUGGCGUGGAAGGCAAGCUUGGCGAUGCGGAUAUUCAAGAUCUCCUACCAUUGUAACCGACUCUAUGUAACCCUAACCCUAUCCGAUGUCUAUAUAAACCGGAGGGUUGUAGUCCGUAGAAAAUCAACUCCAUAUGCAACAAUCAUACCAUAGGCUAGCUUCUAGGGUUUAGCCUCCUUGAUCUCGUGGUAGAUCUACUCUUGUACUACCCAUAUCAUCAAUAUUAAUCAAGCAGGACGUAGGGUUUUACCUCCAUCAAGAGGGCCCGAACCUGGGUAAAAGUUCGUGUUCCCUGCCUCCUGUUACCAUCCGGCCUAGACGCAUAGUUCGGGACCCACUACCCGAGAUCCGCCGGUUUUGACACCGACACUCUUCGUGGGUCCUUGAGUUGCGUAGAAUUUCUAGGAUCAGCCAAAAUGCAAAAUUAAAAUAUGAUAUGCAUAGAUGAUCUAAUGUAUAACAUUCCAAAUUGAAAAUUUGGGAUGUUACAAACCUACCCCCCUUAAGAUGAAUGUCGCCCUUGAGAUUCGGGUUGGCUAGAAAAUAGGUGAGGGUGGUCCUUGAGCAAAUCUUCCUCUCGUUCCCAGGUGGCUUCGUCCUCCAUGUGGUGGCUCCACUGAACUUUGCAAAACUUGAUAACCUUGCUGCGAGUGACUCGGCUAGCAAACUUGAGAAUCUUAAUUGGUUUCUCCUCGUAGGUUAAAUCGUUAUCCAACUGAAUAGUUUCCAAUGGCACUGUAUCUCUCAAAGGUAUGUCAGCCAUAUCCGUGUGGCACUUCUUAAACUGGGAAACCUGGAACACAUCAUGAACUCCUGACAAUCCUUCGGGUAAUUCCAACUUGUAGGCCACUUCUCCCAUACGCUCCAAAACUCGAUAUGGUCCUACAAAUCGUGGCGCUAACUUUCCCUUAACACCAAAAUGCUUUGUUCCCCGAAGUGGUGAUACUCGAAGAUAAGCUCUAUCUCCGACUUCGUAAACUGUCUUCUUGCGUUUAGAAUCUGCAUAACUCUUCUGUCUGGACUGAGCUACCUUGAGCCUAUCGCGAAUCAACUUCACCUUCUGUUCAGACUAUUUAAUCAAGUCAGGUCCAAACAACUGGCGGUCUCCAACUUCGUCCCACGACAACGGUGUUCUGCACCUCCUUCCAUACAAGGCUUCGAAAGGGGCCAUCUUCAAACUGGUUUGGUAACUGUUGUUGUAAGAGAACUCUGCAUAUGGCAAAUUGUUGUCCCAACUAGAUCCAUAAUCUAGCGCACAAGCUCUCAGCAUAUCCUCCAAAAUCUGAUUGACUCUCUUGGUCUAUCCAUCUGUAUGUGGAUGAAAAGCUGUACUGAAUUCUAGCCUGGUUCCCAAAGUUUCAUGCAACUGCUUCCUGAACUUUGAGGUAAACUGGGUUCCUCUAUCCGAUAUGAUACUCCUCGGAACUCCAUGCAGACAUACGAUCCUGGUCAUGUAUAUCUUUGCCAACUUUGCACUGGUGUAAGUGGUCUUUACUGGGAUGAAAUGAGCUACCUUCAUCAAUCGAUCAACUACAACCCAAAUCGAGUCAUAGCCUGAACAAGUCCUGGGUAAUCCCGUGAUAAAAUCCAUGCCUAACUUAUCCCACUUCCAUUCGGGUAUCGGCAAUGGUUGUAACAAUCCUGCUGGCUUCUGAUGCUCUGCCUUUACUCUCUGACACACAUCACAGGCUGCUACAUACUCUGCAAUAUCCUUCUUCAUUCCGGUCCACCAGAAAAUAUCUUUCAAAUCCAAAUACAUCUUGGUAUUUCCUGGAUGAAUCGAAUAUGGUGAAUCGUGUGCCUCUUGCAGAAUCAACUUCCUAAUCUCCGGGUCAUUGGGCACAUAAACACGGUCUUCAAACCAUAGGGUGUCGUGCUCAUCCUCACGAAAUCCUUUAGCCUUUCCUUUGCUAAGUUUCUCCUUAAUAGAGGCAAUCUCCUUGUCAGUCUUUUGAGCUUCUCUGAUUCUAUCCAUCAAAGUUGACUGAAUCUCCAAUGCUGCUACAUAGCCUCUCGGAACUAUUUCCAAACAUAGUUGACGAAGAUUUUCUGCUAACUCCCUUGGUAUUUCUCCUGUCAUUAAUGUAUUGACGUGGCUCUUACGGCUUAAUGCGUCAGCUACUACAUUAGCCUUUCCGGGAUGGUAAUGCAAUCUCAUAUCAUAAUCCUUGAUGAGCUCCAACCAUCUCCUUUGUCUGAGGUUUAACUCCUUCCGUGUGAGGAUGUAUUUCAAACUCUUAUGAUCCGUGUACACGUCACAAUGAUUUCCAAUCAGAAAAUGUCUCCAUGUUUUCAAUGCAUGCACUACGGCUGCUAAUUCCAAAUCAUGCGUAGCAUAAUUCAACUCAUGAGGCUUCAGUUGUCUUAGGGCAUAUGAAACAACUCUCUCUUCCUGCAUAAGCACUGCUCCAAGUCCUCGACGUGAAGCGUCGCAAUACACCUCAUAAUCUUUGGUCUGGUCUGGCAAAAUCAACACUGAUGAGCUAACCAAACGUUUCUUCAACUCCUGGAAACUAGCCUCACAUUCCUCCGUCCAUAUGAACUUGGUAUCUUUCUUUAAUAACUCCGUCAUAGGCUUCGCAAUCUUGGAGAAAUUCUCAAUGAAUAUCCGGCAGUAUCCUGCGAGUCCAAGAAAACUCCGGAUCUCUCCCACGGUGGUUGGUGCUUCCCACUUGGUCAUGGCAACAACUUUAGUGGGAUCUACUGCUAUACCUUCUCCAGAUAUAACGUGUCCGAGGAAUCCUACUUCUUUCAACCAAAACUCACAUUUGCUAAACUUGGCAUAUAAUUGAUGUUCUCUGAGCUUCUCAAGUACCAAACGCAAAUGCUCCUUAUGCUCCUAUUCAUUCUUCGAGUAGACCAGGAUGUCAUCAAUGAACACUAUGAUGAACUUAUCCAAAAACUCCAUAAAUACUUUGUUCAUCAUGUUCAUAAAAUAUGCGGGUGCGUUAGUCAUACCAAAUGACAUAACGGUAUACUUGUACAGCCCAUACCUGGUGGUAAAAGCUGUCUUAGGAAUAUCCUGUUCUCGAAUCUUCAACUGGUGAUAUCCUGAUCGCAGAUCGAUCUUGGAAAAUACCUUAGCUCCUUGCAAUCGAUCAAAUAGAUCAUUGAUCAUUGGUAGUGGGUACUUGUUCUUGAUCGUUACUUCAUUCAAUCCUCGAUAAUCAACAACCAUCCUUAACGAUCCAUCCUUCUUCUCCACUAGAAGUACUGGCGAUCCCCAAGGUGAAGAACUUGGGCGAAUAUAUCCCUUAUCCAGUAACUCCUUAAUCUGCUUCUUAAUUUCCACCAAAUCUUUUGCAGGCAUCCUGUAUGGUAUCUUUAAUAUUGGCCCUGUGCCUGGCAAUAUCUCAAUCAAAAACUCAAUAUCUCUAUCUGGUGGCAUGCCUGGCAACUCCUCUGGAAAUACUUCAGGGAAAUCCUUUACCACUGGUACUUCCUCCUGUACUACUCUUGCUAAACAAUUUACUUGAGUCCCUUUUGGCACAUGUCGGGAUACAUACUUGAUCCUUCUCCCUUCUGGGGUGGUAAGCAAAAUUGACUUACUAGCACAUUCAAUAUUCCCUUCAUACUUUGACAACCAAUCAUGCCUAAUAUCACAUCCAAUCCUUGGGAUUCCAAUACUAUUAGGUCUGAGGGAAAAACAUAGUUACCAAUCCUUAAUGGUAACCGAUCACACCAUCGACUAGCCAAAUAUUCUGCUCCAGGCGAGGUUACUAACAUGGGUGACCUAAGGGCUUGGGUUGACAUGUUAUACUUAUCCACAAAUCCCCUUGAGAUGUAUGAAUGCGAUGCACCAGUAUAAAAAAGAACGAGUGCAGUAAAUGACUUAACCAAAAACUUACCUAGUACUGCAUCAAGCUGAGCUUCAACCUCCUCCACGCUAACGUGGUUCACCUGUCCCCUGUUGAAAGGGUUCGGCUUCUUCCUAGAGCUUCCAUUGCUAUUUCCAUUUUGUAUUUCAGGGCAUUCAUUGGCAUAAUGUCCGGUCUUCGAACACUUAAAGAAAGUGACUUGGCUCAGGUCCUUCUUGGCUGGGGUUGAUGGGUUGGUGCGAUUCUGGCCAUUGCUUCCUCCAUUCCCAUUACCAUUCCUGGUGCCAUUGUGAUUGUGCGAGCUACCUCGUCCAUGGGUAUGCUAAAAAUGUCCUCCCGGUCUAGGGGUAAAACGUGGCUUCUGCUGGGCUCCUGAAUUGUACUUUCCUUGUCCAUACUUCCUCUUGCGAUUCUCAAUUUGCUGUUGCUUGCCUUCAAUCAUAAGAGCACGGUCUACCAACUCCUGGUAGUUGUUGAAGGUUGCUACCAUCAACUGCAUGCUCAACUCAUCAUUCAGUCCCAGAAACUUCUCCUGCUUAGCUGGAUCCAUAGCAACGUCAUCUGGGGCAUAACGUGCUAACUUACUAAAGUCCUCCACAUACUGGCCUACUGUCCGUCCUCCUUGGCGCAAGUUGCGAAACUCACGCUUCUUCAUGGCCAUAGCUCCUGCUGAAACAUGGGCAGUACGAAAGGCCUGCUGAAACAGGUCCCAUGUGACAGUGUCGACAGGGAAAGUGGCUGUAAAAUUCUCCCGCCGUGAUGCUGUGGGUCCUUCAAGCUGAUGUGCGGCAAACUUCACCUUCUCCGCAUCCGUGCAUCCUGCUGUGGUCAACUCUCUAGCUGUCUUGCGGAGCCAAUCAUCUGCGACUAUCGGCUCGGUGCUACUGGAAAACACCGGCGGAUUUAGCCUAAGAAAACGGGCUAAGUGAUCAACAUGUGGUGGUGGUGGUGGGUUGUUGUUGUUGUUCCCCUGGUUCUGAUUCUGUACUAGCAACUGCAUCAAUGUGUUCUGCUGCUGGAUCAACUGGGUGAGCUCCGGUGGAAAGGUAAAUCUGGGGUCACGUCUCGGAGGCAUCUGAGGGUUUAGAAAAGAUGAGAUGUAAGAAUAGAGGGGGUCUAAAGACAAAACACUACCCAUAUGCACAUGAGGCAAAAGCAAACAAUUCACUUCAUUCAAUCAAACAAGGGCAUACAAUCGAUCGAACUAUCGCAAAAGUGCUCGGACUACUAUAUUUACAUGGUGGACUACUACUACUGAUGAGGUGGUCUACUAGAAAUAUUCUUCGGUUGCAGACUCCAUGAUAUCUGCUCCAGCUUCAUCAACAUAGUCAUCAUCGCUGUCAUCUGGGUCCGAGUCGGUGUCGUCGAUGAUGAUGUAGUCUUCCGGGCUAAUCUCCUUGGGUUCUUCGUCUUCAUCUACUGGUGUAGGGCCUCCCAUAAAUAUCCCGAUCUUCUUGAUCAGAUCGUCAUUCUUCUCCACUAGUACUUCUAUUUCCUCUUCCUAAUCUUCAUGUGUAGCCUUGAGUUCUUCCUCCAGUUCCUUGAUUCUUGUCUUAGCCUUCUUCAGAUCUAUCAUGUCGGCGCACAUCUGGUUCUCCUGUCGUCGAAUGUGCUGGUUUAACUCCUGGAUAAAAGCUGCAAUUGAUCUAUCCUUUCUGGUGCUGAUCAUCUCCCAGUGCUCAUCUCGGCGCCCACAAAUCUGGUAGAUAGUAUCCUUGAGAUCAUUGCGGUAGACUUCUCCAAUGCGUCCCAUGGCGAUGUGAGCUGCCAUGCUCUUUCCUAGACUCCAAGUUGGUGCGUCAAAAGAAAACUCUAUGGGCUCAGUGACUGGCAUGAACGUCCUUCCUGGAACUUGAACUUGAAUCAUCCAGCGCUCUUCUUCAGGUAAAGUGGCGUUGUAGGUUCCGGUGAAGCUUGGUACUCCUAUGUUCAGGUAUCUAGUGACUUCCUUCAAGUGACGUCCAAAGGGUGUAUGUUCAUCCGGUUGUGUGAACUUGUUCCUUGCAUCCGCCAUCCUAAAAGAGUAGAAAAGAUGAGGAGUCAUAAGAGAAGAGAGUGAAUAGUGAUCUAGGGCUUUAGCUUAGUGGUCGUGUCCUACAGUCAGCGUGUGCUCUAAUACCAUCUCUGUAGCGACCAGACCUCAAACAGUCCGAUCUCUGUGCUCCGGUGUCAUCCCUGGAUCAGUAAUGCUGACCACACAGUACUCGGAGGAUUUAUAACAGAGUAGCAAUCACACACUUAUUAUAUCGAGUGUCUCAAUAGAGAACUUAUUACAAUAAAUAUGGCUUAAGGCCAUCUAAUAAUGAUAACAGCGGAAGGCUUGGAAGAUAAGUGAGUCCAUCAACUCCAACGGCAUCACUGAGUAUAGAACCAUGACCUAAAAAACUCCUUAAUCAUCGUCUGAAAAGUCUGCAACAUUAACGUUGCAGCCCGAAAUGGGUCAGCACAUGGAAUAUGCUGGCAAAGUAACACAUAGAGAGUAAUGGAAUGAAACAGCUAUACUAUAUGCAUAUCUGGCUGGUGGAAAGCUCUAUGGUUACAGUUUUGCAUAAAGCCAAUUUUUCCCUACUUCAAAGGAAUAAAUUUAUUUAACUAUCAUGGUAGUUGUUAAACAUUGAGAAUGGUUGACAGCAUUCUCAAUCCCAAUUAAGCAUCAUCAUUAAACAAAACCCAACAAAAUUAAUUUAGAGUAACAUGUUGAGAUUCACAUGAUAAUCCAAGUACUAGAUACUCAAGAUUGUCCAUAACCGGGGACACGGCUAACCAUGAUUAGUUUAUUACACUCUGCAGAGGUUUGCGCACUUUUCCCCACAAGACUCGAUCGCCUCCGUUUGGUUUCUCGCACUACAUGGUGUUUGAGAAGACGGAUGACCGAGACAUAGUCUUUCAGAAGCGCUAGCACCUUACGAUCGGGUAGACCGUACCACCUACAUCCCCUACAUCUGCUAGUCUACCACUGUAAGAGUUCGCAUGACUUAGUCAACUAUGCUAGAGCCCAUAAUAGCUUGUGGCUGCACACGGAAGUUUCUAGUAUGAAUAGUGUCAUGAUCCCUUUGAGUCUGGGUGGCGGUCCAAAAGAAAACAGGCAAGUCCUAGAAUACCCAGGUGCCUCAAUCCACCCAGAUGUGUGUUUAAGUUGCCACCUUAGAUAAACCAUUAAUUAACAAACUCACAUCUGUCAUGGAUAUCACUCACCCAAUCCACGUCUACUAGCAUAGCAUGGCAUAAUAAGCAAACGUAGAAGUAACUCCCAAAGGUUUGAUAAUAAACAGGUAAUAGGUACUACCUCAACUACUUCCCAUCCCACAAUUUAAUUAGAUCCUAAUCAUGCAAUGUGUGAGGAUUGAUCUAAUGGAAUAAAACUGGGUAGUAGGAAAGGUAUGAUCAAAGUGUUACUUGCCUUGCUGAUGAUCCGGGAAACCUAGCGAUUCGAAGUAACAAGCGGCGCACUCCGGGUAUUCUAUCGCAAACAAACAGACAAGCAUACAAUAAGUACUCAUCUAAUGCAUAGGUAAAAGUCAAAUAAGAGAUCUAACCAGAAGGUUCAACUUAAGAACUCCAGUUUGCAAAAAGAAUCAAAUCGAACGAAGCAACGAAAGUCAAACGGCAAAAGAAAACAACUUCAUUCUACUAAUUUGGAUAUAAGGCAAAUUUUACAGUAGCAAAAACUUGUUUAAGUUGGUUAAACGGAUAGAGGGUUUCGAGACGAAACUCCAGGCGCUUGAAUCGCCUAAAUCCGAUAAACGAGCGAAAAGUUAUACUAAAACGAAAAUCGGAUCAGGAAUCGCGAUCAGAAAAAUCGCGGAUUAAAUCCGAGAAAAAGAAAAACGACGAACGUUCAUUAGAACGAACGGACGGACGAACGCUCGCUAUUUAAAUAAAUCGGAAAAACCGAUCUAUUUAAAAAACCCAAAACGAAACUAAAAAAACCGAUGGAAAAACUGGACGGUUUUUCGUAAAAAAUAAAAUAAAAAAACCGGCACGGAAAUCGAGACGACUUCGGGCGGCGUGUCGACGGCGGGCGGCGCGGCGGCGGCGGCGGGGCGGCGCUGGGGGCGGCUCGGCCAGGGUUUGGCUGGGGCUGGGCCUCCCCCCGGCUUAUAUAGCCUAGUCGGGCUAGAGUCGGGUCGGACACGGCCCGUUAGGUCGGUUCAUUUUUUUAAAUAAUUAUGCGCGGAAGAAAAAUAAAAAGAAAUACUAAAUGGACUCCAAAAAUCCCAAAAUGAAUUUUUCCGGGCUUCUAAAAUCAAGCCGCACAAGGCGAACAUUUAUUUGGGGUCUAAAUGCAAUUUUGAAAAACGCACAUUUUCCUAAAUUCAAAUAAAAUAACGAAAAACUCUGAAAUAAAAUCUUAUUUGAUUUUCUUAUUAAAUCCUCAACAUUUCUUUAUUUUGGGAAAGUCAUUUUAUUCCCUCUCUCAUAUUUUUGUAAUAGAAAUAAUUGACGAUAAAAUAACAAAAUCAAAUGAUCCUAUUCUCAAAAUUUAAGAAAACUCAAAUAUGAAAAUAACGAAAUCCCCAACUCUCUCCGUGGGUCCUUGAGUUGCGUAGAAUUUCUAGGAUCGGCCAAAAUGCAAAAUUAAAAUAUGAUAUGCAUAGAUGAUCUAAUGUAUAACAUUCCAAAUUGAAAAUUUGGGAUGUUACACUUGAGGGUGGAGUUUGAAAAAGUGGAGGACCUCUCUGAAGAACUUUGAGACGGGCGGUGAGAAGCCACGGUUCAUGUGGUCAGUAAAAACAAUCACUUCGCCGUCUUUUGGAUUGGGCCGUUCUUCUUCCGAGUCAGGAGCACGGUAAGACAUGACGUCUUUUCCUGGCAAAAAUCCUAUGGUGAAAAAAAUCCUUUAAACGUUCUUCAGUGACAGUUGAGGGAACCCAGUUACAGAUGGUUGGUGCUUUUGGCGGCAUGAUGUUCAAAGAUGAACUGAAAAGGAAAUAGCAUGUCGGUUCAAUUCAAUGGUGAGAUUAAUAGUUAAGUGAUGAUGAUGCAAAUAAUUAAUGGCGGCUUAGUAAAGGGCUAAUGACAUAUAAGGAAAAGUAAGACGGCAUAGUAAGCCGCCAUGACUACAGAUAUUUGAAGAAGGCAAAUUCAGCUAAGUGUUGAGAUAAACAAGUUUCCUAAAUUGCUUGGUAUUAUUCCAGAUCAAAUGGUUAUUCAAAAUGAAAAAAAUUCUAGACCUAAAAAGUCCAGCGCAAAGGAGUCUGUACGUUCUAAUGCAGUCUUUGAAUCAGAGAAAGGGGUCUGUGGAUCAAGAAAAGGCACAAAAACACUACCGCACGAGUAUAUAUAUAUAUAUAUAUAUAUAUAUAUAUAUAUAUAUAUAUCUUUUUGGAUGAAGAAGAGACCUGCGGUGGAAAAACUACAAGGGACUGCGAUGAACUCGGAAGAACACGAAGGAAUCUGGAAACCCUAAUGCGGAUCUGAGAAGUGAAAAGAAGAGAGCUUACAGUCACAGGUCUUCUGCGGAGGUCGCCACCGUUCUCUAGAUCGGUUCGGGUUGAUGCAGCGGCCAACGUCGACGGAGACGGAGGUGAAGCGCGGCGGUGGCAAAGCUCGAGCAGCAGGGGGUUUGCGAGAGGAAGAAGACAGAGCGAGAGAGGAGAAUGAGAAGGACGAGGCAUGCCUAUUUAUAAGGGAAAGAUGUGAACAGACGGGUGCGAAAAUUGAGGGAGAGCCAAAUAAUGGUUAUCCAGCUACACAGGCGCCUCGAUUCUCGGGAAACAUUAAAGAUAAAAGAUCCGUUGGGAGAUGACGUCAUGAAAGUUUUUUGCGUUUUCAAGAGAUGACGUCACGGCGGGUUACAAAAACUUCAGCGAAGAUAAGAUGGAUUUUUGUCUAAGUAUUGAAGAUUGACAAAGAACGAAGUUCAAAGUCAACCUGGGGCCUAAUGUUGGGGAUAUUACUAUCAGUUAUGAACCGCCCAGGAGGGGCCGGGUCUGCCCCAAUGGCGGGUUACACAAGAAGCCCAGUAAACAUUAAGAUGUUAAUUCAUUAAAUCUUAUAGAAGGCCCAAAGGCCUGAAGGCGGCUUAAGGCCCGAUAUUGUAAACCGCCAUAUGUAAGGAAAGACUUGUAAAGAAAGGCAUAAAGGAAGUCACCGAGCCGAACAUGAUUAUGAGCCAGCCGGGACUCUGUAAGCCACCAGGCGUCAACCCAUGUAUAUAAGGGGACGACCUGGUGGUGGCUUAGCGCAGGAAAGAAAAGAUCGAUACCAAGCCAGCGAGUUGAGCCUCUUGGUAAUCGAAACCCCAGCAAUACCAAGACAACUAGACGUAGGCUUUUACCUUCAUCGUAAGGGGCCGAACUAGUAUAAAACCUCUCGUGUCCUUUUUCCCGAUUAACCCCUUUAAGCUUCCUAGUUGCGAUGGCCCUACGACUAAGUCCUUUCUCUAGGACAUCUGCCGUGUCAAUUCCACGACAAGCUCUGUCAUUGGCUUCGCAAUCUUGGAAAAAUUCUCAAUAAAUCUCCAGUAGUAUCCUGCGAGUCCAAGAAAACUGCGGAUCUCGCAAACUGAAGUGGGUGCCAACCAUUCAGUGACUGACUGUACCUUGGUGGGGUCUACUGCUUUACCUUCUCCUGAUAUAACAUGUCCAAGGAAUCGAACUUCUUUCAACCAAAACUCACAUUUGCUGAACUUGGCAUACAACUGAUGUUCCCUGAGUUUCUCGAGAACUAAACGCAAAUGCUCUUUGUGCUCCUCUUCAUUCUUUGAGUAUACCAUUAUAUCAUCAAUGAACACCACAAUAAACUUAUCCAAAUAUUCCAUGAACACCUUGUUCAUCAUGCUCAUGAAAUAGGCAGGGGCGUUAGUUAGUCCAAAGGACAUGACCUUAUACUCAUAUAACCCGUACCUUGUGGUAAAUGCGGUUUUAGGUAUAUCCCUUUCCCGGAUCUUCAGCUGGUGAUAUCCUGAUCACAGAUCGAUCUUCGAGAACACCUUAGCUCCUUGCAACUAGUCAAACAAAUCAUUGAUCAUCGGCAGUGGGUAUUUGUUCUUGAUCGUCACCUCAUUCAAUGCAUGAUAAUCAACAACCAUCCUUAGAGACUUAUCAUUCUUCUCAACCAAAAGCACUGGGGCUCCCCAUGGUGAUGAACUCCGUCGGCUGUAACCUUUCUCCAAUAACUCCUUGAUCUGCUUCUUAAUCUCCUCCAGAUCAUUUGCGGGCAUCCGGUAGGGUCUCUUUGAUAUUGGCCCGGCACCUGGCAAUAGCUCUAUCAAAAACUCGAUGUCUCGAUCCGGUGGCAUGCCUGGUAACUCCUUUGAAAAAACAUCUGGGUAAUCCUUCACUACAAGCACUUCCUCCUGAACAACUCACGUGAGGGUAUUUGCUUGGCUCCUCCUAGGUGCAUGUCUAGAUACAUACCUGAUCCUUUUUCCCUCCGGGGUGGUGAGACAAAUUGAUUUACUAGCACAGUCAAUGCUUCCUCCAUACUUUGACAUCCAGUCCAUGCCUAAUAUCACAUCCAAUCCUUGUGACUCCAAAAUUAUUAGGUCUGGCGGAAAAACAUGGCUACCAAUGGUUAGGGGUAUCUGGUCGCACCAUCGGUUGGCCAUAUACUCUGCUCCAGGUGAACUUACUAACAGAGGGGUCCUAAGGGUUUGGGUUGGUAGUUUAAACUUAUCCACGAAUCCCCUUGAUAUGUAUGAAUGUGAUGCACUAGUAUAUUCUGCUGUUGGAUCAACUGAGUGAGCUCCGGUGGGAAAGUAAAUCCGGGGUCACGUCUCAGAGGCAUCUGAGGGUUUAGCGGGAAGAGAAUAGAAUAGAAUGAGGUCUAGUGAGAAAAACACUACCCACAUGCACAUGAGACAAACACAAUCAUAUCACUCAAUCAAUCAAGCAAGGCAUACAAUCGAUCUAACUAUCGUUACAAAAGUGCUCGGACUAUACUAUAUACAUGGUGGAAUACUACUGCUGAUGUGGUGGUCUACUAGAAACAUUGAUCGGUCGAAGACUCCAUGAUGUCUGGUCCAGCUUCGUCUUCAUAGUCAUCAUCGCUAUCGUCGGGGUCCGAGUCGGUGUCGUCGAUGAUGAUGUAGUCCUCAGAACAAAUCUCCUUGGGUUCAUCGUCUUCUCCUCCUGGCGCGGGGUCUCCCAUGAAUAUUCCUAGCUUCCUUUCCAGAUCAUCAUUCUUCUCCACUAGUACGAUGAUUUCCUCCUCAUAAUCUUCGCAAGUAGCCUUGAGUUCUUCCUCCAGUUCCAUGAUCCUUGUCAUUGCCUUCUUCACAUCUAUCAUGCCUGCGCACAUCUGGUUCUCCUGGCGACGAAUGUGCUGGUUUAACUCCUGGAUGAAAGUUGCGAUUGAUCUAUCCUUCCUGGUGCUGAUCAUCUCCCAUUGAUCAUCUCGGCGCCCACAAAUCUGAUAGAUAGUAUCCUUAAGCUCCUUAUGGUAAACUUCUCCAAUGCGUCCCAUGGUGAUGUGAGCUGCCAUACUCUUUCCUAGACUCCAGGUUGGUGCAUCAAAGGAAAACUCUAUGGGUUUGUUGACUGGCGCGAAUGUCCUUCCAGAAACUUGAACUUGAAUCAUCCAUCGCUCCUCUUUUGGUAAAGUGGCAUUGUAAGUCCCGGUGAAGCUUGGUAUUCCAAUGUUCAGGUACUUAGUGACUUCCUUCAAGUGUCGUCCAAAAGGUGUUUCUUCAUCCGGUUGUGCAAACUUGUUCCUUGUGUCCGCCAUCCUAAAGAGUAGAAAAUGGAGAGGAGUCAAAAAUGAGAAGAGAGUGGUGAUCUAGGGCUUUAGCUUAGUGGUCGUGUCCUACACUCAGCGUGUGCUUUGAUACCAUCCUGUAGCGACCCGACCUCAAACGGUCAAGUCUCUGUGCUUUAGUGUCAUCCCUGGAUCGGUAAUGCUGACACACACAGUACUCGAAGGAUUUAUAACAGAGUAGCAAUCACACACUUAUUACAUCGAAUGUCUCAAAAGAGAACUUAUUACAAUAAAUAUGCCUUAAGGCCAUCUAAUACGAUAACAGCGGAAGGCUUGGAAGAUAAAGUGAGUCCAUCAACUCCAACGGCAUAGCUGAGCUGUACGGCAACGACCUAAUGAACCUUACUCCUCAUCUAAAAAGUCUGCAACAUAAUAUGUUGCAGCCCGAAAACGGUACAGCACAUGGAAUAUGCUGGCAAUAUAACAUGGUGGAGCAAGAACAGAAUAAUGCUAUCACUAUAUGCAUAUUUGGCUGGUGGAAAGCUCUACAGUUAAAGUUUUGCGAAAAGCCAAUUUUUCCCUACAAUAAAGGAAUAGAUUUUAUUUUACUAUCAUGGUAGUUGAAACAUCAUUGAGAAGGUUCUUCCAACUCAAUCCCAAUUAAAAGUAAUUAUCAACCCAACAAUAUUAAUUUAGAGUGAUGAGAUACAUAUGAUAAUCCAAGUACUAGAUACUCAAGAUGUCCAUAACCGGGGACACGGCUAACCAUGAUUAGUUUGUACACUCAGCAGAGGUUUGCGCACUUUUCCUCACAAGACUCGAUCUCCUCCGUUGGAUUUCUCACACUACAUGGUGUUUGAGAAACGGAUGACUGAGACACGGUCUUUCAGAAGCAUUAACUCUCUACUCCGGAUAGACUAUACCACCUACAACCCACUACCUCUGCUAGUCUACCUCUUCAAGAGCUUCACGUAACUUACUCAACUAUGCUAGAGCCCAUAAUAGCUUGUGGCUGCACACGGAAGUUUCUAGCAUGAAAUAUCUCAGUUCCCUUUGAGCCUAGGUGGCGGACCUUAGGAUUAUCACACGGGUACUCCGGGAUAUCCUAGGACACUGGAUUCUCCAGGUGCCCGACAAGCAAUCAACCCAGAUGUGUAUGAAAGUUGCCACCUUAAGUUGAACCAUUUAUUAACAAUCUCACAUCUGUCAUGGUUUCACUCACCCAAACCACGUCUACGAGCAUAGCAUAGCAAUAUAAGCAAUACGUAGAAGUAACUCCCAAGGGUUUGAUCAUAAACAGGUGAAUAGGUACUACCUCAUCUACUCCCCAAUCCCACAUGUUAUCAAGUCCUAACCAUGCAAUGUUUGAGGGUUGAAACUAAUGCAUAAAAACUGGGUGAUAAAGGGAUAUGAUCAAAGUGUUACUUGCAUUGCUGAUGAUCCGUGAAACCUAGAGACUUGAUGUAGCACGCUUCGCACUCUGGGUACUCUAUCGCAAUCAAACAAGCAUACAAUAAGCAAUCAAGCAAGUGCAUGGGUAAAACUCAAAUAAGAGAUCUAAACAGAAAGUUCAACUUAAGAACUCCGGUUUGCAAAAAGAAUCAAAUCAAAUGGAGCAACGAAACUCAAAUUGCGAAAGAAACAAGAUCCGAUUACUAAUCUGGACUAAAGUCAAGUUUUACUGUAUCAAAAUCUUGUUCAAGUUGGUUAAGCGGAAAGAGGGUUUCGAGACGAAACUCCAAGCGCUUGAAUCGCCUGAUUCCGAUAAACGAGCGAAAAGUUAUACUAAAAUGAAAAUCGGAUCAGAAAUCGCGAUCGAAAAUAAUCGCGGAAAAUCCGAGAAAAAGAAAAACUGACGAACAGGCUAACGAAUGAACGUUCGUCGUCUGCGGCUAAAUGGUGAAAACCGUUCGUAAAAACGAACGUAAAAACGGGCGUUCGUUGAAUAACUAAACCGAAAAAAUAAACCGAACCGGAUCUAAAAAAAACAGAUCUAGGGUUUCAACAAAAAACCAAACGGUUUUCUCACGAAAACCGAGGCGGCUACCUCGGGUCCGGAGGGAUACGGGGACAGCGGGGCGGCUCCGGUGCGGCGGCGGCAGCGGCGCGGCACGGCGGCGUGGAUCGGCUAGGGUUAGGGUUUGGGGCGGCGGGCGGACGGGCUGCGGUGGGCUUCGGCGGCGCGGCUUAAAAAGGCCCCCGGGUGGAGUCCCGCUCGGGUACGGCCCGGAGUCGGUUCACUUUGUUUUAAAAUAAUUCCGACAUGCAGAAAAAUAAAGAAAAGAAAUACUAAACGGACUCCAAAAAUCCCGAAAUAAAUUUUCCCCGUCCUCUAAAAAUAAGCCGGACAAAUUGAACAUUUAUUUGGGCCUAAAAUGCAAUUUUGAAAAACGCAUAUUUUUCCUAAUUCAAAUAAAAUAGCGAUAAAACUCCGAAUAAAAAUCUUAUUUGAUUUUAAUAUUAAAUCUUCGAUAUUUCUCUAUUUUGAGGAAGUCAUUUUAUCCUCUCUCUUUUAUUUUUAUAAAAAAAGAAUCGAAGAGAAAAUAAUUAAAAUCAAACGAUCCUCUUUCCAAAAUUCGAGAAAACUCGAAUAUGAAAAUAAUGAAAUCCCCAACUCUCUCCGUAGGUCCUUGAGUUGCGUAGAAUUUCUAGGAUCAAGCCAAAAAUGCAUUAAAAUAUGAUAUGCAAUGAUGAUCUAUGUAUAACAUUCCAAAUUGAAAUUUUGGGAUGUUAAAGUCUUGUCCAUCACAUCAUUCUCCUAAUGAUGUGAUCCCGUUAUCAAUGACAUCCCAUGUCCAUGGUCAGGAAACCAUGACCAUCUAUUGGUCAAUGAGCUAGUCAACUAGAGGCUUACUAGGGACAUAUUAUGAUCUAUCUUUUCACACACGUAUUACAGUUUCUGGUUAGUACAAUUAUAGCAUGAAUAAUAGACAAUUAUCAUGAACAUGGAAAUAUAAUAAUAACCACUUUAUUAUUGCCUCUAAGGCAUAUUUCCAACACAUUAAAUACUAUGAGAAGUUUGAUACUUGAUAACUGUUUUGAGAUAUAAAGGUGGUGAUAUUAGAGUUGUUCUAGUUGAGUAAUUGUGAAAUUGAGAAAUACUUGUGUUGAGGUUUGCAAGUCCUGUAGCAUGCACGUAUGGUAACCGUUGUGUGACAAAUUUGAAGCAUGAGGUGUUCUUUGAUUGCCUUCCUUAUGAGUGGCGAUCGGGGAUGAGCGAUGGUCUUUUCCUACCAAUCUAUCCCCCAAGGAGCAUGCACGUAGUGCUUGGUUUUGAUGACUUCUAGAUUUUUGCAGUAAGUAUGUGAGUUCUUUAUGACUAAUGUUGAGUCCAUGGAUUAUACACACUCUCACCCUUCCAUCAUUGAUAGCCUCUUUGGUACCAUGCAUUGCCCUUUCUCACCUUGAGAGUUGGUGCAAACUUCGCCGGUGCAUCCAAACCCCGUGAUAUGAUACGCUCUAUCACACAUAAGCCUCUUUAUAUCUUUCUCAAAACAGUCACCAUACCUACCUAUUAUGGCAUUUCCAUAGCCAUUCCAAAAUAUAUUGCCAUGCAACUUUCCACCGUUCCAUUUAUUAUGACACGGUUCAUCAUUGUCAUAUUGCCUUGCAUGAUCAUGUAGUUGACAUCGUAUUUGUGGCAAAGCCACCGUUCAUAAUUUUUAUACAUGUCACUCUUGAUUCAUUGCACAUCCCGGUACACCGCCAGAGGCACCUACAUAGAGUCAUAUUUUGUUCUAGUAUCGAGUUGUAAUUCUUGAGUUGUAAAUAAAUAAAAGUGUGAUGAUCUUCAUUAUUAGAGCAUUGUCCCAUGUGAGGAAAGGAUGAUGGAGACUAUGAUUCCCCCACAAGUCGGGAUGAGACUCCGGAUGAAAAAAAGAGGCCAUAAAAAAAGAGAAGGCCCAAACAAAAAAUGAGAGAAAAAGAGAGAAGGGGCAAUGUUACUAUCCUUUUUCCACACUUGUGCUUCAAAGUAGCACCAUGAUCUUCAUGAUAGAGAGUCUCUUAUUUUGUCACUUUCAUAUACUAGUGGGAAUUUUCAUUAUAUAACUUGGCUUGUAUAUUCCAACGAUGGGCUUCCUCAAAAUGCCCUAGGUCUUCAUGAGCAAGCAAGUUGGAUGCACACCCAUUUAGUUUCUUUUGUUGAGCUUUCAUACAAUUAUAGCUCUAGUGCAUCCAUUGCAUGGCAAUCCCUACUCCUCGCAUUGACAUCAAUUGAUGGGCAUCUCCAUAGCCCGUUGAUUAGCCACGUUGAUGUGAGACUUUCUCCCUUUUUGUCUUCUCAAUAUAACCUUAAGCGUGCAGACUUUAAGCGUGCGGACCCGAUGGGUUUGAGAACAAUGUAGACAUGACCGACACACGUCUACGGUCAAUAACCAAUAGCAGAACCUGGAUGUUCAUAUUGUCUCCCACAUAUUCUACGAAGAUCUUUAUUGGUCAAACCGCAUAACAGCAUACGUUGUUCCCUUUGUCAUCGAUAUGUUACUUGCCCGAGAUUCUAUCGUUGGUAUCUCAAUACCUAGUUCAAUCUUGUUACCUUCAAGUCUCUUUACUCGUUCUGUAAUGCAUCAUCCCACAACUAACUCAUUAGUUACAAUGCUUGCAAGGCUUAUAGUGAUGUGCAUUACCGAGUGGGCCCAGAGAUACCUCUCCGACAAUCGGAGUGACAAAUCCUAAUCUUGAUCUAUGUCAACUCAACAAGUGUCAUCGGAGACACCUGUAGAGCACCUUUAUAAUCACCUAGUUACGUUGUGACGUUUGGUAGCACACAAAGUGUUCCUCCGGUAAUCGGGAGUUACAUAAUCUCAUAGUCAUAGGAACAUGUAUAAGUCAUGAAGAAAGCAAUAGCAGUAAACUAAAACCAUCAAGUGCUAAGCUGACAAAAUGGGUCAAGUCAAUCACAUCAUUCUCCUAAUGAUGUGAUCCCAUUUAUCAAAUGACAACUCAUGUCUAUGGUUAGGAAACAUAACCAUCUUUGAUCAAUGAGCUAGUCAAGUAGAGGCAUACUAGUGACAAUCUGUUUGUCUAUGUAUUCACACAUGUAUCAUGUUUCCGGUUGAUACAAUUCUAGCAUGAAUAAUAAACAUUUAUCAUGAUAUAAGGAAAUAAAUAAUAAAUUUAUUAUUUCCUCUAGGGCAUAUUUCCUUCAAGCAUCUUAUAAUGCUACCGCCGUACUAAGCAAAAUAAGAUGCAUAAAGGAUAAACAUCACAUGCAAUCAAUAUAAGUGAUAUGAUAUGGCCAUCAUCAUCUUGUGCCUUUGAUCUCCAUCUCCAAAGCACCAUCAUGAUCACCAUCGUUACCGCCUUGACACCUUGAUCUCCAUCGUAGCAUGGUUGUCGUCUCGCCAACUAUUGCUUCCACAACUAUCGCUACCGCUUAGUGAUAAAGUAAAGCAAUUACAUGACGAUUGCAUUUCAUACAAUAAAGCGACAACUAUAUGGCUCCUGCCAGUUGCCGAUGACCGUGUUACAAAACAUGAUCAUCUCAUACAACAAUAUAUAUAAUCACGUCUUGACCAUAUCACAUCACAACAUUCCCUGCAUAAACAAGUUACACGUCCUCUACUUUGUUGUUGCAAGUUUUACGUGGCUGCUACAGGCUUAGCAAGAACCGUUCUUACCUACGCAUCAAAAACCACAACGCGGUAUAGUGAUUGCUUUUUGAUCUUUAGAAAGAACCCUGUUCAUUGAAUCCGAUUCAACUAAAGUUGGAGAAACAAAAACCUGUCAGCCACCUAUGUGCAAAGCACGUCGGUAGAAGCAGUCUCAUGAACGCGGUCAUGUAAUGUCGCUCCGGGCCGCUUCAUCCAACAAUACCACGGAAUCAAGAAACAACUAGUGACGGCAAGCAAUAUGUAUAUACCCAUGCCCACAACUCCUUUGUGUUCUACUUGUGCAUAUAACAUCUACGCAUAGACAUGGCUCUGAUGCCACUGUUGGGGAAUGCAGUAUUUCAAAAAAAUUCCUACGAUCACACAAGAUCUAUCUAGGGAUGCAUAGCAACGAGAGGGGAGAGUGUGUCUAUGUAGUCGAACGUCUUCGCGAUCCAACCGAUCAAGUACCGAAUGCAUGACACCUCCGCGAUCUGCACACGUUCAGCUCGGUGACGUCCCUCGAACUCUAGAUCCAGCUGAGGCCGAGGGAGAGUUUCGUCAGCACAACGGCGUGUUGACGGUGAUGAUGAAGUUAGCGACGCAGGGUUUCGCCUAAGCACUAUGAUAAUAUGACCGAGGUGGAAAUCUGUGGAGGUGGGCACCGUACAUGGCUAAGAGAUCAACUUGUGUGUCUAUGGGGUGCCCCCUCCCUCGUAUAUAAAGGAGGGGGAGGAGGAGGGCCGUCCACAAGGGGCGCCCCCAAAGGGGGGAUUCCUAUUCCUAGUAGGAGUAGGUUUCCCCCUUUCCUAGUCCAUGUAGGAGCAGAAGGAAGGAGAGGAGAGGGAGAAGGAAAGAGGGGGGCGCUGCCCCCUCCCUAGUCCAAUUCGGACCAGCCCAUGGGGGGGGGGCGUGCUACCUCUUGAGCAUGCGUUGGUUUUCCCUUGAAGAGGAAAGGGUGAUGCAGCAAAGUAGCAUAAGUAUUUCCCUCAGUUUUUGAGAACCAAGGUAUCAAUCCAGUAGGACACUACACGCAAGUCGCCUAGUACCUGCACAAACAAACAAGAACCUCGCAACCAACGCGAGGGUUGUCAAUCCCUUCACGGUCACUUACGAAAGUAAGAUCUGAUAGAGAUAAUUGAUAACCCACAAGUAUAGGGGAUCAAUUGUAGCCUCUUUCGAUAAGUAAGAGUGUCGAACCCAACAAGGAGCUAAAGGUAGAACAAAUAUUCCCUCAAGUUCUAUCGACCACCGAUACAACUCUACGCACGCUUAACGUUCGCUUUACCUAGAACAAGUAUGAAACUAGAAGUAUUUUGUAGGUGUUGUUGGAUAGGUUUGCAAGAUAAUAAAGAGCACGUAAAUAAAAAGUAGGGGCUGUUUAGAUAGAGACACAUCUAAGUUAGUUUUAGUAGAGAGCUUGUUGUCACGAGGAAGUUAUUUGUCCCUAGGCAAUCGAUAACUAGACCGGUAAUUAUUAUUGCAAUUUUAUUUGAGGGAGAGGCAUAAGGUAACAUACUUUCUCUUCUUGGAUCAUAUGGACUUAUGAUUGGAACUCUAGCAAGCAUCCGCAACUACUAAAGAUCAUUAAGAUUAAGAUAAAACCCAACCAUAGCAUUAUAAGGCAUCAAGUCCUCUUUAUUCCCAUACGCAAACAACCUACUUACUCGGGUCUGUGUUUCUAUCACUCACGCCACCCACCAUAAGCAAACCAUGAACAUAUUGGAAACCCUACAGCGGGGAUCCCUCACGCUUGCGCGACAUGGAGAGCACCAUAGGAAAGUACCAAUAAUAAAACAUGCAACUCAAACCAAUCACGAUCAUCAAUUAACCCAUAGGACAAAACGGAUCUACUCAAACAUCAUAGGAUAGCCAUACAUCAUCGGGAAAUAAUAUAUAGCGUUGAGCACCAUGUUUAAGUAGAGAUUACAGCGGGUAAAAGAGGGGUUACACCGCUGCAUAGAGGGGGAAGAGUUGGUGAUGAUGGCGGUGAAGUUGUUGGUGUAGAUUGCGGUGAUGAUGAUGGUCCCAACGGCGUUCCGGCGCCACCGGGAGAGAGGGGGAGAGAGCCCCCCUUCUUCUUCUUCUUCUUCUUAUUCUUCCUUGACCUUCUCCCUAGAUGGGAGAAGGGUUUCCCCUCUGGUCCAUGGCCUCCAUGGCAUGGGAGGGGCGAGAGCCCCUCCGAUAUUGGAUAUGUCUCUCUGUCUCUCUCUCUCUGUGUUUCUGCUUUCCAGAUUCUGCCCUUUCACCUUUCUUAUAUUCCCAGAGAUCCGUAACUCAGAUUGGGCUGAAUUUUGGACACGAUUUUUAUCCGGAUAUUAGCUUUAUUGCGGCAAAAGAAGGGCAACAACCGCCUUACGAGGUGUCCAUGAGGGUCAGGGGCGCGCCUGCCCCCUUGGGGCGCGCCCCCUGCCUCAUGGGCCCAUCGAGCAUCAUCUCACGUUGAUUCCACUUCCCAAAAUUCACAUAUAUUCCAAAAAAUCACCGUCAGUUUUUAUCCCGCUUGGACUCUGUUUGAUAUGGAUUUUCUACAAAACAAAAAACAUGCAACAAACAGGAACUGGCACCGGGCACUGGAUCAAUAUGUUAGUCCCAAAAAUAGUAUACAAAAGUUGCCAAAAGUAUAUGAAAGUUGUAUAAUAUGGGCAUGGAACAAUCAAAAAUUAUAGAUAUGACGGAGAUGUAUGAGCAUCCCCAAGCUUAAUUCCUCCUCGUCCUCGAGUAGGUAAAUGAUAAAAAAGAUAAUUUUUGAUGUGGAAUUCUACCUAGCAUAAUCUAUCAUUUUACAUUAAGAUAAUAAUACUUCAAGCAUACUAAUAAAGCAAUCAUGUCUUUUCAAAAUAACAUGGCCAAAGAAAGUUAUCCCUACAAAAUCAUGUAGUCUGACUAUGCUCCAUAUUCACCACACAAAAUAUUCAAAUCAUCCACAACCCCGAUGACAAGCCAAGCAAUUGUUUCAUACUUUUGACAUUCUCAAACCUUUUCAACUUUCACGCAAUACAUGAGCGUGAGCCAUGGACAUAGCACUAUAGGUGGAAUAGAAUAUGAUGGUGGAGGUUGUGUGGAGAAGACAAAAAAGGAGAAAGUCUCACAUUGACGCGGCUAAUCAACGGGCUACAGAGAUGGCCAUCAAUUGAUGUCAAUGCGAGGAGUAGGGAUUGCCAUGCAACGGAUGCACUAAGAGCUAUAAGUGUAUGAAAGCUCAAACUGAAACUAAGUGGGUGUGCAUCCAACUUGCUUGCUCAUGAAGACCUAGGGCAUUUGAGGAAGCCCAUCGUUGGAAUAUACAAGCCAAGUUCUAUAAUGAAAAUUCCCACUAGUAUAUGAAAGUGAUAACUCAAGAGACUCUCUAUAUGAAGAACAUGGUGCUACUCUGAAGCACAAGUGUGGUAAAAGGAUAGUAACAUUGUCCCUUCUCUUUUUUUUGUAGGCUUCUUUGGCCUCUAUCUUUUUUUGGGAGGGAUUCUUUGGCCACUUUUAUUUUGAUCAUGGGACAAUGUUCUAAUAAUGAUGAUCAUCACACUUUUAUUUACUUACAGCUCAAUAUUACAACUUGAUACUAGAACAAAGAUAUAACUCUAUAUGAAUGCCUCCGGCGGUGUACCGGGAUGUGCAAUGAUCUUGCGUAGCAAUGAAAUCAAAAAACGGACAAGCCAUGAAAACAUCAUGCUAGCUAUCUUACGAUCAUGCAAAGCAAUAUGACAAUAAAUGCUCAAGUCAUGUAUAUGAUGAUGAUGGAAGUUGCAUGGCAAUAUAUCUCGGAAUGGCUAUGGAAAUUCCAUAAUAGGUAGGUAUGGUGGCUAUUUUGAGGAAGAUAUAAGGAGGCUUAUGUGUGAUAGAGCGUAUCGUAUCACGGGGUUUGGAUGCACCGGUGAAGUUUGCACCAACUCUCAAGGUGAGAAAGGGCAAUGCACGGUACUGAAGAGGCUAGCAAUGAUGGAAGCGUGAGAGUGCGUAUGAUCAUGCAAGGCAAUAUGACAAUGAUGGAGCGUGUCAUAAUAAACGGAACGGUGGAAAGUUGUAGCGACCAGACCUCAAACGGUCCAAUCUCUGUGCUCAAGUGUCAUCCCUGGAUCAGUAAUGCUGACACCACACAGUACUUGAAGGAUUUAUAACAGAGUAGCAGUCACACACUUAUUACAUCGAGUGUCUCAAAAGAGAACUUAUUACAAUAAAUAUGGCUUAAUGCCAUCUAAUAACGAUAACGGCGGAAGGCUUGGACGAUAAGUGAGUCCAUCAACUCCAACAGCAUCACUGAGUAUAGAACCACGACCUAAAGGCACCUUAAUCGUCAUCUGAAAAGUCUGCAACAUUAACGUUGCAGCCCGAAAUGGGUCAGCACAUGGAAUAUGCUGGCAAUGUAACACAUAGAGAGUAAUGGAAUGAAAUAAGCUAUUCUAUAUGCAUAUAUGGCUGGUGGAAAGCUCUAUGGUUGCAGUUUUGUGUAAAGCCAAUUUUUCCCUACUGCAAAGGAAUAAAUUUUAUUUAACUAUCAUGGUAGUUGUUAAACAUUGAGAAUGGUUGACAGCAUUCUCAAUCCCAAUUAAGCAUCAUCAUUAAAACCCAACAAGAUUAAUUAAAGUCACAUGAUGAGAUUCACAUGAUAAUCCAAGUACUAGAUACUCAAGAUGUCCAUAACCGGGGACACGGCUAAUCAUGAUUAGUUUAUACACUCUGCAGAGGGUUGCACACUUUUCCCCACAAGACCCGAUCUCCUCCAUUGGUCUUCUCGCACUACAUGGUGUUUGAGAAACGGAUGACCGAGACAUAGUCUUUCAGAAGCGCUAGCACCUUACGAACGGGUAGACCGUACCAACCUACAUCCCCUACAUCUGCUAGCACUGUAAGAGUUCGCACGACUUAGUCAACUAUGCUAGAGCCCAUAGUAGCUUGUGGCUGCACACGGAAGUUUCUAGUAUGAAUAAUCUCAUGAUCCCUUUGAGCCUGGGUGGCGGUCCAAAAGAAAACAGGCAAUCUCUGGAAUACCCAGGUGCCUCAAUCCACCCAGAUGUGUGUUUAGGUUGCCACCUUAAAUAAAUCAUUAAUUAACAAUCUCACAUCUGUCAUGGAUACACUCACCCAAUCCACGUCUACUAGCAUAGCAUGGCAUAAUAAGCAAACGUAAGAGUAACUCCCAAAGGUUUGAUAAUAAAUAGGUAAUAGGUUCUACCUCAACUACUUCCCAAACCCACAGUUUAAUUAGAUCCUAAUCAUGCAAUGUGUGAGGAUUGAUCUAAUGCAAUAAAACUGGGUAGUAGGAAGUAUGAUCAAAGUGUUACUUGCCUUGCUGAUGAUCCGGGAAACCUAGCGAUUCGAAGUAGCAAGCGGCGCACUCCGGGUACUCUAUCACAAACAAACAAGCAUACAAUAAGUACUCAACUAAUGCACAUGUAAAACACGAAUAAAAGAUCUAACCAGAAAGUUCAACUUAAGAACUCCGGUUGGCAAAAAGAAUCAAAACAAAUGAAGCAACGAAGACAAACGGCAAAAGAAACAAGCUUCGUUUACUAUUCUGGAUCUAGGGCAAUUUUUUACAGUGGCAAAAACUUGUUUGAGUUGGUUAAACGGAAAGAGGGUUUCGAGACAAAACUCUAGGCGCUUGAAUCGCCUGAUUCCGAUAAACGAGCGAAAAGUUAAACUAGAACGAACAUCGGAUCAGGGAUCACGAUCAAAAAACAGCGGAUUUAAUCCGAGAAAAAGAAAAACGACGAACAGUUAACGAACGAAUGUUCGUUAACAGAAACUAAACGAAAAACACGUUCGUUAAAACGAACGGACGAGCAGGCGCUCACUAAAUAAAUAAAGCGAAAAAAACCGAUCUACUUAUUAAAAAACGAAAACUAGGGUUUUCAAAAAAAACCGAAUCGGUUUUUUUCUCAAAAACCGGCCGGCGGCUACCUCGGCGGCGGCGGCGGGGCUCUGNNNNNNNNNNNNNNNNNNNNNNNNNNNNNNNNNNNNNNNNNNNNNNNNNNNNNNNNNNNNNNNNNNNNNNNNNNNNNNNNNNNNNNNNNNNNNNNNNNNNNNNNNNNNNNNNNNNNNNNNNNNNNNNNNNNNNNNNNNNNNNNNNNNNNNNNNNNNNNNNNNNNNNNNNNNNNNNNNNNNNNNNNNNNNNNNNNNNNNNNNNNNNNNNNNNNNNNNNNNNNNNNNNNNNNNNNNNNNNNNNNNNNNNNNNNNNNNNNNNNNNNNNNNNNNNNNNNNNNNNNNNNNNNNNNNNNNNNNNNNNNNNNNNNNNNNNNNNNNNNNNNNNNNNNNNNNNNNNNNNNNNNNNNNNNNNNNNNNNNNNNNNNNNNNNNNNNNNNNNNNNNNNNNNNNNNNNNNNNNNNNNNNNNNNNNNNNNNNNNNNNNNNNNNNNNNNNNNNNNNNNNNNNNNNNNNNNNNNNNNNNNNNNNNNNNNNNNNNNNNNNNNNNNNNNNNNNNNNNNNNNNNNNNNNNNNNNNNNNNNNNNNNNNNNNNNNNNNNNNNNNNNNNNNNNNNNNNNNNNNNNNNNNCUCUGGCAGGGCGGCGGGGCGGUGGCAAGCGGCGGCCGCGCAGGCGGCGGCGCGGGGCGGCGGGGGUGAGGAGAGGGCGGCGACAGGGCGGCUAUUUAAGAGGGGGAGGGGGGCUGACUUGGGGAGGGGGUCGGCGGCGGCGAGGCGGCUCUGGCUUGGACUCUCCCCCGAGUCCGGCGGGAAGGCGGCGGCGGCUGGGCCGGCCUGGCUCGGCUGGGCCCUUGGCCCAGUCUGGCACGGUUUUUUUUCUUUUUUUAAAACAAUUUUGCCGCGCCUAAAAAAUUCUAGAAAAAUAAAUAAAAAUAUAAAAAUGCCAAAACAAUUUUUCUCCGUCUAAAUAAAAUAUUUAGAACAGGAUGAACAUUUUUUGGCUCUAAAUGCAAUUUUUGAAAACAUGCAAUUUUUCCUAAAUUCAAAUAAAAUAGCAAAUAAAACCAAAUAAAAUCUUAUUUGAUAUUUUUUAUUAAAUCCUCAGUAUUUCUUUAUUUUGGGAACGUCAUUUUAUUCCCUCUCUCAUAUUUUGAUAAAAGAAAUAAAUGAAGAUUAAAUAAAUAAAAUCAAAUGAUCCCUAUUUCAAAAUUUGAGAAAACUCAAAUAUGAAAAUAACGAAAUCCCCAACUCUCUCCGAGGGUCCUUGAGUUGCGUAGAAUUUCUAGGAUCCACCAAAAGCAAUAAAAUAUGAUAUGCAAUGAUGAUCUAAUGUAUAACAUUCCAAAUUGAAAAUUUGGGAUGUUACAAACCUACCCCCUUAAGAUGAAUCUCUCCCUCGAGAUUCGGGUUGGCUAGAAAAUAGGUGAGGGUGGUGCUUCAGCAAUUCUUCCUCUCGCUCCCAGGUGGCUUCAUCCUCUGUGUGGUGGCUCCACUGAACUUUGCAAAACUUGAUAACCUUGCUGCGGGUGACUCGGCUGGCAUACUCAAGAAUCUUGACUGGUUUCUCCUCAUAGGUCAGAUCACUGUCCAACUGAAUUGCUUCCAGCGGCACUGUAUCUCUUAGCGGUAUAUCAGCCAUCUCUGUGUGGCACUUCUUCAACUGGGAAACGUGGAACACGUCAUGAACUCUGAUAAUCCUUCAGGUAAUUCCAACUUGUAGGCUACUUCUCCCAUACGCUCCAAAACCUUGUAUGGUCCUACAAAGCGUAGAGCUAACUUUCCCUUAACUCCAAAGCGCUUAACUCCUCGAAGUGGAGAUACUCGAAGAUAAACCUGGUCUCCGACUUCGUAAACUGUCUCCUUGCGUUUAGAAUCUGCGUAGCUCUUCUGCCUGGACUGGGCUACCUUGAGCCUAUCGCGAAUCAAUUUCACUUUCUGUUCAGACUCCUUAAUCAAAUCCGGUCCAAACAACUAGCGGUCUCCAACUUCAUCCCACGACAAUGGGGUCCUGCACCUCCUUCCGUACAAGGCUUUGAAAGGGGCCAUCUUCAAACUGGAUUGAUAACUGUUGUUGUAAGAGAACCCUGCAUAUGGCAAAUUCUCAUCCCAACUAGAUCCGUAAUCUAGUGCACAAGCUCUAAGCAUAUCCUCCAAAAUCUGAUUGACCCUCUCGGUCUGUCCAUCCGUGUGUGGAUGAAAAGCUAUGCUGAACUCUAGUCUGGUACCCAAAGUUUCAUGCAACUGAUUCCAGAACUUUGAGGUAAAUUGGGUUCCUCUAUCUGAUACAAUGCUCUUUGGAACUCCAUGCGGACAUACGAUUUUGGUCAUGUAUUUCUUUGCCAACUUUGCACUGGUAUAGGUAGUCUUCACUGGAAUGAAAUGGGCUACCUUUGUCAAACGAUCGACUACAACCCAUAUUGAGUCAUAGCCUGAACGAGUUCUGGGUAAACCCGUAAUAAAAUCUGUGCCUAACUUAUCCCACUUCCAUUCGGGUAUCGGCAAUGGCUGUAGCAAUCCUGCUGGCCUCUGAUGCUCUGCCUUUACUCUCUGACAUACAUCGCAAACUGCUACAUAAUCCGCAAUAUCCUUCUUCAUUCCGGUCCACCAGAAAGUAUCCUUCAAAUCCAAAUACAUCUUGGUAUUACCUGGGUGAAUCGAAUAUGGUGAAUCAUGUGCCUCUUGCAGAAUUAACUUCCUGAUCUCUGAAUCAUUUGGUACAUAAACCCGAUCUUCAAACCAUAAGGUAUCGUGCUCAUCCUCACGAAAUCCCUUAGCUUUUCAUUUGCUCAUUUUCUCCUUUAUAGAGGCAAUCUCCUUAUUAGUCCUUUGAGCUUCUCUGAUCUUAUCCAUCAAAGUAGACUGAAUCUCCAAUGCUGCUACAUAUCCUCUCGGAACUAUCUCCAAAUAUAGUUCAUGAAGAUUUUCAGCUAACUCCCUUGGUAAAUCUCCCGUCAUUAAUGUGUUAACAUGACUUUUACAGCUCAACGCGCCAGCUACUACGUUAGCCUUUCUGGGGUGAUAAUGUAAUCUCAUAUCAUAAUCCUUGAUGAGCUCCAACCAUCUUCUUUGCCUGAGAUUCAACUCUUUCUGUGUGAAAAUAUACUUCAAACUCUUGUGAUCUGUGUACACCUCACAAUGAUUUCCAAUGAGAAAGUGUCUCCAGGUUUCCAAUGCAUGCACUACGGCUGCUAACUCCAAAUCAUGCGUAGCGUAAUUCAACUCAUGAGGCUUAAGCUAUCGUGAGGCAUAGGAAACAACUCUUCCUUCCUGCAUAAGCACUGCUCCAAGUCCUCGACGUGAAGCGUCGCAAUACACCUCAUAAUCCUUGGUCUGAUCUGGCAAAAUCAACACAGGUGAUGUAACCAAAAUUUUCUUCAACUCCUGGAAACUGGCCUCACAUUCCUCAGUCCAUAUGAACUUGGUAUCCUUUUUCAACAACUCCGUCAUAGGCUUCACAAUCUUUGAGAAAUUCUCAAUGAAUCUCCGAUAGUAUCCUGCGAGUCCAAGAAAACUCCGGAUCUCUCCAACUGUUGUUGGGGCUUCCCAAUUUGUCACGGUGUCAACCUUAGUAGGAUCUACUGCUAUACCUUAUCCAGAUAUAACGUGUCUGAGAAAUCCAACUUCCUUCAACAAAAACUCACAUUUGCUAAACUUUGCAUAUAAUUGAUGUUCUCUGAGUUUUCCAAGAACCAAACGAAAAUGCUCCUUAUGCUCCUCUUCGUUCUUUGAGUAAACCAGGAUGUCAUCAAUGAACACUACCAUGAACUUAUCCAGAAACUCCAUAAACACCUUGUUCAUCAUGUUCAUGAAAUAUGCAGGUGUGUUAGUCAAACCAAAUGACAUAACGGUAUACUCGUACAGCCCAUACCUGGUGGUAAAAGCCGUCUUAGGUAUAUCCUGUUCUCGAAUCUUCAACUGGUGGUAUCCUGAUCGCAGAUCGAUCUUGGAAAAUACCUUAGCUCCUUGCAAUCGAUCAAACAGAUCAUUGAUCAUCGGUAGUGGGUACUUCUUCUUGAUGGUUACUUCAUUCAAUCCUCGAUAAUCAACAACCAUCCUUAAUGAUCCAUCCUUCUUUUCUACUAGAAGUACUGGCGAUCCCCAAGGCGAAGAACUUGGGCGAAUAUAACCUUUAUCCAGUAACUCCUUAAUCUGCUUCUUAAUCUCCACCAAAUCCUUUGCGGACAUCCUAUAUGGUCUCUUUGAUAUUGUCCCUGUGCCUGGCAAAAGCUCAAUCAAAAACUCAAUACCUCUAUCCGUUGGCAUGCCUGGCAAUUCCUCUAGAAAUACAUCAGGGAAAUCCUUCACUAUUGGUACUUCCUCCUGCACAACUCCUGUUAGGCAAUUUACUUGAGUCCUUUUUGGCACAUGCCAUGAUACGUACUUGAUCCUUCUUCCUUCUGGGGUGGUAAGAAAAAUUGACUUACUGGCACACUCAAUAUUCCCUUCAUACUUUGACCACCAAUCCAUGCCUAAUAUCACAUCCAAUCCUUGAGAUUCCAACACUAUUAGGUCUGAGGGAAAUACGUAGUUACUAAUCCUUAAUGGUAACCGAUCACACCAUAGGCUAGCCAUAUAAUCUGCUCCAGGCGAGGUUACUAACAUGGGUGACCUAAGGGCUUGGGUUGGUAGUUUAUACUUAUCCACAAAUCCCCUUGAUAUGUAUGAAUGCGAUGCACCAGUAUCAAAAAGAAUGAGUGCAGUAAAUGACUUAACCAAAAACUUACCGAUUACUGCAUCUGGCUGCUCUUCAACCUCCUCCACGUUAAUGUGGUUCACCUGUCCCCUGUUGAAAGGGUUCGGCUUCUUCCCAGAGCUUCCAUUGCCAUUACCAUUCUAUGAUUCAGGACAUUCGUUGGCAUAAUGUCCGGUCAUCUGGCACUUAAAACAAAUGACUUGGCUCAGGUCUUUCUUGGCUGGGGUUGAUGGGUUGGUGCGGUUCUGGCCGUUGCUUCCUCCAUUCCCAUUACCAUUCUUGGGGCCAUUGUGAUUGUGCGAGCUACCUCCUCCAUGGGUAUGCUGGAAAUGUCCUCCCAGUCUAGGGGUUAAACGUGGCUUCUACUGAGCUCCCGAAUUGUACUUCCCUUGUCCAUACUUCCUCUUGCGGUUCUCGAUCUGCUGCUGCUUCCCUUCAAUCAUGAGAGCACGAUCUACCAACUCUUGGUAGUUGUUGAAGGUUGCUACCAUCAACUGCAUGCUCAACUCAUCAUUCAGUCCUUCCAAAAUCUCCUGCUUAGCUGCAUCUGUAGCAACGUCAUCUGGGGCAUAACGUGCUAGCUUACUAAAGUCCUCCACAUACUGGCCAACUGUCCGUCCUCCUUGGCGCAAGUUGCGAAACUCACGCUUCUUCAUGGACAUAGCUCCUGCUGAAACAUGGGCAGUACGAAAAGCUUGCUGAAACUGGUCCCAUGUGACAGUGUCGACACGGAAAGUGGCUGCGAAAUUCUCCCACCAUGAUGCUGCGGGUCCUUCUAGCUGAUGUGCGGCAAACUUCACAUUUUCUGCAUCUGUGCAUCCUGCCAUGGUCAACUCUCUUGCUGUCUUGCGGAGCCAAUCAUCUGCUACUAUCGGCUCGGUGCUACUGGAAAACACCGGCGGAUUCAGCCUCAGAAAACGGGCUAAGUGAUCAACAGGUCGUGGUGGUGGUGGGUUGUUGUUGUUGUUGUUGUUGUUCCCUUGAUUCUGAUUCUGGACUAGCAACUACAUCAAUGUGUUCUGCUGCUGGAUCAACUGAGUGAGCUCCGAUGGAAAGGUAAAUCCGGAGUCACGUCUCGGAGGCAUCUAAGGUUUUAGAAAAGAUGAGAUUUAAGAAUAGAGAGGGGUCUAAAGAGAAAACACUACCCAUAUGCACAUGAGGAAAAAGCAAACAAUUCACUUCAUUCAAUCAAACAAGGGCAUACAAUCGAUCUAACUAUCACAAAAGUGCUCGGAUUACUAUAUUUACAUGGUGGACUACUACUACUGUUGGGGUGGUCUACUAGAAAUAUUCUUUGGUUGCAGACUUCAUGAUAUCAGCUCCAGUUUCAUCAACAUAGUCAUCAUUGCUAUCAUCUGGAUCCGAGUCGGUGUCGUCGAUGAUGAUGUAGUCUUCCGGGUGAAUCUCCUUGGGUUCUUCGUCUUCUUCUACUAGUGUAGGGCCUCCCAUAAAUAUUCCGAUCUUCAUUGUUAGGUCGGCAUUCUUGUCCACUAGUAGUUCGAUUUCCUCUUCAUAAUCUUCAUGUGUAGCCUUGAGUUCUUCCUCCAGUUCCUUGAUUCUUGUCUUCGCCUUCUUCAAAUAUAUCAUGUCGGCGCACAUCUGGUUCUCCUAACGUCGAAUGUGCUAGUUUAACUCCUGGAUAAAAGCUGCAAUUGAUCUAUCCUUCUUGGUGCUGAUCAUCUCCCAGUGCUCAUCUCGGCGCCCACAAAUCUGGUAGAUAGUGUCCUUGAGAUCAUUGCGGUAAACUUCUCCAAUGCGUCCCAUGGCGAUGUGAGCUGCCAUGCUCUUUCCUAGACUCCAUGUUGGUGCAUCAAAAGAAAACUCUAUGGGUUCAGUGACUGGCAUGAACGUCCUUCCUAGAACUUGAACUUGAAUCAUCCAGCGCUCCUCUUCCGAUAGAGUGGCAUUGUAGGUUCCGGUGAAGCUUGGUACUCCUAUGUUCAAAUAUCUAGUGACUUCCUUCAAAUGACGUCCAAAGGGUGUAUCUUCAUCCGGUUGCGUGAACUUGUUCCUUGCAUCCGCCAUCCUAAAAGAGUAGAAAAGAUGAGAGGUCAGAAUGAGAAGAGUAAGUAGUGAUCUAGGGCUUUAGCAUUAGUGGUCGUGUCCUACAGUCAGCGUGUGCUCUGAUACCAUCUUGUAGCGACCAGACCUCAAAUGGUCCAAUCUCUGUGCUCAGGUGUCAUCCCUGGAUCAGUAAUGCUGACACCACACAAUACUUGAAGGAUUUAUAACAGAGUAGCAGUCACACACUUAUUACAUCGAGUGUCUCAAAAGAGAACUUAUUACAAUAAAUAUGGCUUAAGGCCAUCUAAUAACGAUAACAGCGGAAGGGUUGGAAGAUACGUGAGUCCAUCAACUCCAACGACAUCGCUGAGUAUAGAACCACGACCUAAAGGAACCUUAAUCGUCAUCUGAAAAUUCUGCAACAUUAACGUUGCAGCCCAAAAUGGUCCAGCACAUGGAAUAUGCUGGCAAUGUAACACAUAGAGAGUAAUGGAAUGAAAUAAGCUAUUCUAUAUGCAUAUAUGGCUGGUGGAAAGCUCUAUGGUUACAGUUUUGCGUAAAGCCAAUUUUUCCCUACCGCAAAGGAAUAGAUUUUAUUUAACUAUCAUGGUAGUUGUUAAACAUUGAGAAUGGUUGACAGCAUUCUCAAUCCCAAUUAAGCAUCAUCAUUAAAACCCAACAAGAUUAAUUAAAGUCACAUGAUGAGAUUCACAUGAUAAUCCAAGUACUAGAUACUCAAGAUGUCCAUAACCGGGGACACGGCUAAUCAUGAUUAGUUUAUACACUCUGCAGAGGGUUGCACACUUUUCCCCACAAGACCCGAUCUCCUCCGUUGGUCUUCUCGCACUACAUGGUGUUUGAGAAACGGAUGAUCGAGACAUAGUCUUUCAGAAGCGCUAGCACCUUACGAACGGGUGGACCGUACCAACCUACAUCCCCUACAUCUGCUAGCACUGUAAGAGUUCGCACGACUUAGUCAACUAUGCUAGAGCCCAUAGUAGCUUGUGGCUGCACACGGAAGUUUCUAGUAUGAAUAAUCUCAUGAUCCCUUUGAGCCUGGGUGGCGGUCCAAAAGAAAACGGGCAAUCGCUGGAAUACCCAGGUGCCUCAAUCCACCCAGAUGUGUGUUUAGGUUGCCACCUUAAAUAAAUCAUUAAUUAACAAUCUCACAUCUGUCAUGGAUACACUCACCCAAUCCACGUCUACUAGCAUAGCAUGGCAUAAUAAGCAAACGUAAGAGUAACUCCCAAAGGUUUGAUAAUAAAUAGGUAAUAGGUUCUACCUCAACUACUUCCCAAACCCACAGUUUAAUUAGAUCCUAAUCAUGCAAUGUGUGAGGAUUGAUCUAAUGCAAUAAAACUGGAUAGUAGGAAGUAUGAUCAAAGUGUUACUUGCCUUGCUGAUGAUCCGGGAAACCUAGCGAUUCGAAGUAGCAAGCAGCACACUCCGGGUACUCUAUCGCAAACAAACAAGCAUACAAUAAGUACUCAACUAAUGCACAGGUAAAACACGAAUAAAAUAUCUAACCAGAAAGUUCAACUUAAGAACUCCGGUUGGCAAAAAGAAUCAAAACAAACGAAGCAAUGAAGACAAACGGCAAAAGAAACAAGCUUCAUUUACUAUUCUGGAUCUAGGGCAAUUUUUUACAGUGGCAAAAACUUGUUUGAGUUGGUUAAACGGAAAGAGGGUUUCGAGACGAAACUCUAGGCGCUUGAAUCGCCUGAUUCCGAUAAACGAGCGAAAAGUUAAACUAGAAUGAACAUCGGAUCAGGGAUCACGUUCAAAAAACAGUGGAUUUAAUCCGAGAAAAAGAAAAACGAUGAACAGUUAACGAACGAAUGUUCAUUAACAGAAACUAAACGAAAAACGCGUUCGUUAAAACGAACGGACGAGCGGGCGCUCGCUAAAUAAAUAAACCGCAAAAAACCCGAUCUUUUUAUUAAAAAAACGAAAACUAGGGUUUUCAAAAAAAACCGAAUCGUUUUUUUUUCAAAAACUGGCCGGCGGCUACCUCGGCGGCGGCGGCGGCUCUCCGGUGGGGCUCUGGCAGGGCGGCGGGGCNNNNNNNNNNNNNNNNNNNNNNNNNNNNNNNNNNNNNNNNNNNNNNNNNNNNNNNNNNNNNNNNNNNNNNNNNNNNNNNNNNNNNNNNNNNNNNNNNNNNNNNNNNNNNNNNNNNNNNNNNNNNNNNNNNNNNNNNNNNNNNNNNNNNNNNNNNNNNNNNNNNNNNNNNNNNNNNNNNNNNNNNNNNNNNNNNNNNNNNNNNNNNNNNNNNNNNNNNNNNNNNNNNNNNNNNNNNNNNNNNNNNNNNNNNNNNNNNNNNNNNNNNNNNNNNNNNNNNNNNNNNNNNNNNNNNNNNNNNNNNNNNNNNNNNNNNNNNNNNNNNNNNNNNNNNNNNNNNNNNNNNNNNNNNNNNNNNNNNNNNNNNNNNNNNNNNNNNNNNNNNNNNNNNNNNNNNNNNNNNNNNNNNNNNNNNNNNNNNNNNNNNNNNNNNNNNNNNNNNNNNNNNNNNNNNNNNNNNNNNNNNNNNNNNNNNNNNNNNNNNNNNNNNNNNNNNNNNNNNNNNNNNNNNNNNNNGUGCGGCAGCGGCGGUGGUGCAGGCGGUGGCGGCGACGCGGGGCGGCGGGGGUGAGGAGAGGGUGGCGGCGGGGCGGCUAUUUAAGAGGGGGAGGGGGGCUGACUUUGGGAGGGGGUCGGCGGCGGCGAGGCGGCUUCGGCUUGGACUUCCCCCGAGUCCGGCGGGAAGGCGAAGGCGGCUGGGCCGGCCUGGCUCGGCUGGGCCCUUGGCCCAAUCGGGCGCGGUUUUUUUUUCUUUUUUUUAAACAAUUUUGCUACGCCUAAAAAAAUUCUAGAAAAAUAAAUAAAAAUCUAAAAAUUCCAAAACAAAUUUUCUCCGUCUAAAUAAAAUAUUUAGAACAUGAUGAACAUUUUUUGGCUCUAAAUGCAAUUUUUGAAAAUGUGCAUUUUUUCCUAAAUUCAAAUAAAAUAGCAAAUAAAACCAAAUAAAAUCUUAUUUGAUUUUUUUAUUAAAUCCUCAAUAUUUCUUUAUUUUGGGAAAGUCAUUUUAUUCCCUCUCUCAUAUUUUGAUAACAGAAAUAAAUGAAGAUAAAAUAAAUAAAAUCAAAUGAUCCCUAUUUCAAAAUUUGAGAAAACUCAAAUAUGAAAAUAACGAAAUCCCCAACUCUCUCCAAGGGUCCUUGAGUUGCGUAGAAUUUCUAGGAUCCACCAAAAGCAAUAAAAUAUGAUAUGCAAUGAUGAUCUAAUGUAUAACAUUCCAAAUUGAAAAUUUGGGAUGUUACAAAAGUUGCAUGGCAAUAUAUCUCGGAAUGAAUAUGGAAAUGCCAUAAUAGGUAGGUAUGGUGGCUGUUUUGAGGAAGAUAUAAGGAGCACUAAAAAAAGACACUUCCGUGAUGACACGUGUUUGUCACAGUAGGUCACGUUUUCUGUCAUGCAUGUACAUUGAUACGUCUCCAACGUAUCUAUAAGUUUUGAUUGAUCCAUGCUAUAUUAUCUACUGUUUUGGACAUUAUUGGGCUUUAUUAUCCACUUUUAUAUUAUUUUUGGGACUAACCUAUUAACUGGAGGCCCAGCCCAGAAUUGAUGUUUUUUGCCUAUUUUAGGGUUUCGAAGAAAAGGAAUAUCAAUCGGCGUCCAAACGGAAUGAAACCUUCGGGAACGUGAUUUUCUCACCGAACAUGAUCCAGGAGACUUGGACCCUACGUCAAGAAACAAAGGAGAAGGCCACGAGGAAGGGGAGCGCCUACCCCCCCAGGCGCCCCCUCCACCCUCGUGGGCCCCCUAUUGCUCCGCCGACAUACUCCUUCCUCCUAUAUAUACCUACGUACCCCCAAACAAUCAGAUACGGAGCCAAAACCCUAAUUCCACCGCCGUAACUUUCUGUAUCCACGAGAUCCCAUCUUGGGGCCUGUUCCGGAGCUCCGCCGGAGGGGGUAUCCAUCACGGAGGGCUUCUACAUCAUCACCAUAGCCCCUCGGAUGAAGUGUGAGUAGAUUACCUCAAACCUUCAGCUCCAUAGUUAUUAGCUAGAUGGCUUCUUCUCUCUCUUUGGAUCUCAAUACAAUGUUCUCCCCCUCUCUUGUGGAGAUCUAUUCGAUGUAAUCUUCGUUUUGCGGUGUGUUUGUUGAGAGCGAUGAAUUGUGGGUUUAUGAUCAAGUCUAUCUAUGAACAAUAUUUGAAUCUUCUCUGAAUUCUUUUAUGUAUGAUUGGUUAUCUUUGCAAGUCUCUUCGAAUUAUCAGUUUGGUUUGGCCUACUAGAUUGAUCUUUCUUGCAAUGGGAGUAGUGCUUAGCUUUGGGUUCAAUCUUGCGGUGUCCUUUCCCGGUGAUAGUAUGGGCAGCAAGGCACGUAUUGUAUUGUUGCCAUCGAGGAUAACAAGAUGGGGUUUUCAUCAUAUUGCAUGAGUUUAUCCCUCUACAUCAUGUCAUCUUGCUUAAGGCGUUACUCUAUUUUCAUUAACUUAAUAGUCUAGAUGCAUGCUGGAUAGCGGUCGAUGAGUGGAGUAAUAGUAGUAGAUGCAGGCAGGAGUCGGUCUACUUGUCUCGAACGUGAUGCCUAUAUACAUGAUCAUACCUAGAUAUUCUCAUAACUAUGCUCAAUUCUGCCAAUUGCUCAACAGUAAUUCGUUCACCCACUGUAAAAUACCUAUGCUCUUGAGAGAAGCCACUAGUGAAACCUAUGGCCCCCGGGUCUAUCUUCAUCAUAUUAAUCUUCCAAUACUUAGUUAUUUCAUUUGCUUUUACUUUGCUUUUAUUUUACUUUGCACCUUUAUCAUAAAAAUACCAAAAAUAUUAUCUUAUUAUAUCUAUCAGAUCUCACUCUCGUAAGUGGCCGUGUAGGGAUUAACAACCCCUUAUCACGUUGGUUGCGAUGAUUUAUUUGUUUUGUGCAGGUGCGAGGGACUCGCGCGUAGCCUACUACUGGAUUGAUACCUUGGUUCUCAAAAACUGAGGGGAAUACUUAAGCUACUUUACUGCAUCAUCCCUUCCUCUUCGGGGAAAACCAACGCAGUGCUCAAGAGGUAGCAUACAUCCAUGAGAAAUUUAUGACAGAAUCAAGAUAGUCAUACCUGUGCUGUCAUAGAAGUGAUCCAUGACAUUAACAAAAUUAUCAUCAUGGAAGUGUCCACUUCCAUGACGAUAAAUCGCGCAUCAUGGAAGUGCUUUCGUCAAGGUUGACCGACACGUGGCAUCCACCAUAACGGGACACCGUUAAGCUAUCGGGUCCAGUUUUGGAUCCGAUAACCCACUAACAGCCCAGACCAAUGAGGAUUUUUCACGUGUAAAAUUCUCAUUGGCCGGAGGAAACACGUGUUGGCCCACCGUUCGGACAGAUGUCAUCCAUUCAUUGGACAGGAGGCGCCUAUGAUACGUUGACACAUGGCACGGCCCAACAGAGGCCCAUUCCGGUGAAAAGGCCGGCCCGUUUGACUUAGUCAAUAGGUAACGGGCCGGUCCACGGAAAGCCUAUUAAUGACAUGUUCGUAUAUAGCCCAUUUACGGCCCGCUAAAUCACGGCCCGUUAUGACCUAUCCGAAUUAAGCCCAGUAGCUUCAUGUGGGCCUUCCAAUAUGAUUCCCCGCCCGUUGUAACUUCCGGCCCAUGUAUGGCCCAUGAUGUCUUUUGGCCCAUACGAGACGAUUUGUAACUCUUGGCCCAUUAAUGGCCCGUGGUGAAUCUAGCCCGCAAUGAACAGUGUACCCCAUUAACGGCCCAUUAUUCCAUUGGGCCGUUUCCAACCCGUGUUAUCUUUCGGCCUUCUUAGGGCCCAUUUAUUCUUGGGCUAAUUUCCAGCAUCCAGUUACUUAAGGCCCGUCAUUGGCCUUUUCUGCAUGUGGGCCAAAUUCAGCCCGCGGUUACAAUCAGCCCGUUUGCGGCCCCUUACUCUGUUGGGCCGUUUUUAUAACGUCAUCAAAUACGGACGAUUAACGACGGCAUGUUAUUGUCGGCCCAUGAACGGACGAUUCCAACUCUAGCCCGUUUACAGCCCAUAAUGCGGUAUGUUAUUUGCCCAUGUUUGGUCUAUCGAUCAUACGGCACGUAGAAGGCCCAUUGAUGCUACGGCCUGUAGAAGGACCAUUGAUGCUACGGCCCGUAGAAGGCCCAUUCUUUCUAUGGCCCUAAGAAGGCCCAUUGUUUCUACGGCCUGUAGGAGGCCCAUGGUAACUACACUAAAUAUGUAGCACAUGGUUAUUGUGGCCUAGUUUUAAAAACAGGUUAUUGUGGCCACUAGCAAACCGUGGAAAAAGAACAACACUAACUACAGCAAACAAACAAACAAGACAACAAGGAAAUAAAUAAGCAAGCAACUUACGCUAGGCUAUCACGGCAUAUUACAUCAACUGGGCAUCCAAGUUUGCCACCAGUGCAAAUAUAGGGAACAAAGCAGCAUAUCAUAUACACUGGUUGUCAAAGUUGGCGACUAGUGCAAAUAAACGCCGCAGCAAAACAAGUCCAGAACUGAAACCACUUCAGAAGAGCUCAAGAAACAAUAUCCUGAGUACCCAUAAUGCUGGCAAGAUGCUUAGCAAGCUUAUUAACAUUCUCUUGUUUGGCGCUUAAAUCCUCCAGCACUUGCUGUUGCACCAGAAAGUAUGCAUCUGAAUUCUGCAGGGCCUUCCUCAGUCCUUCGGCUUCCUGUCGCAUAACAUCCAAUUGAUGUCUUUCAACUUGAAGUUGAGACUCAAGAAGCCGAACUAAUUCAGGUAGCGAGUUUGAAGAGCUAGUGCCAGCAGUAGUAGCUAGUAACUCGAACACUACAUCAAGACAUGACUUUGGGGUUGUCUCAGUGUCUUCAAUAUAGUUUUUAUCAGCUUUCUUGGAGACCAACAGGGAUCUCUCACUAUCUUGAACCUUAUCUGCAUUACUUCCUUUACCAUUGCAUAACGGGGUACUCUUCUCCAAUAUUUUAUCCGUGUUCUAAAACAGAAACGAACAAACACAUCACAUGUUUACAAUGUAGCAUAUGAAACUCAUUUUGGUAAACCAGUUCAGUAGUAAGGUGGUGUUGCCAAAUCAAGAUAGAUACAGUUUGAAUCAUAUCUAUAUAAGACAAAGCAACAUAGACAGAAUAUAAGUGUGGGAAACUACACAUCAAUAACAACACUUGUAAUGUGCAUGACAUGAGAACAUAACUUUUUAUUCAAUUGAAACCGCAAUCAACAUAGAGCAAGUUACAACGGCAAACACGUUAAAGAAACAAGUUUAAAACAUACCUGUUGCACCAUUGGAGUUUCAAUUGCAUCCUUCAAUUUGAAAUUAGUUCGUAUGAGUAAAUACAGUGAUGCAAGAGCAAAGUAGUAUGAACCAUUGCUACGGAACCUGACCUGAGAACAAUUCUUCUUCUGCUUUAAGCGUUGACUUGGGGUUCGGAGUGGUGGUCCUCGUGCUUUGGGCACUGCAGUUGCCUUACUAAUUGCUCGUGUUUGGGUGCUCUGUGGUGGAGACGGUGUUGUGUCAACUGGAACUGGAUUACUAUCUUCCGGGGUUGGGGUUAGAAGGGGUGUAGCUGGUUCUCUGUCCAACUGGGUAGGGGUACAAUCUGCGUGAGUCUGAGUUAUGUGUGGUGGGGUUGGUUCUUGGGCAAGUACAAUUGUGGUUCUAUCUGCAUCGACAAGUAGCACAAUCUUUUCUGAAGACCGUGUUUUUACUCCCACAGAUACUGCCAUCACCCCCUCCAAUUCAUAUGGCUGAUAAACAAGAAAAGUAAUUGAAUGUACAUACAUUGUAAGAUAGACAGGUGCAAUGGAUAGUAGGGAAGAAAACAGGCAUGAAAUAAUUCACAUUUAUGUUGUCUAACCAAACAGAUAGCAGGACAUAAUUUCACAUAUAUGAUGGCUAAUUAAACAGGAUAGCAUGACACAAUUUCAAAUGUAUGAUGGCUAACUAAACAGGAUAGAAUGACAUAAUUCAAAAUAUGAUGACUAUGUAAACAGGAUGAGAUGAUAUAACUAUAUUAUGUCUUUAGAAAAUGGGUUGGCAUGCCAUAAUUCAGAUACAUGCUGUAUAUGUAAACAUCUUGGCAUGAUAUAAUUCAAAUAUAUGAUUUAUAUACUAAGCAAGUGAGCAGAGGGCAAUCGCAUAUAUGAUGUGUCAACUAAGGAGAUGGAAUUCAAUAUUGUGCAUAUGAUGUAAAAACUAAGCAUUGCAAUACAACAUAUGCAUGAUAUGAGUAAUAUAACCCUGCCAAGUUUGAGCAUACACCUCAGGGGGAUAAUAGGACUGGCCAUCUGCCUCUGAAUCCUCCUCUGAAGAGCUAUCUGUAACCAACAAGAUAUCUGCUUCAGCAGGUAGCAUUGUCUGCUCUCAAGACCUUGUUUUCAAUCCAGAUUUCUCCAUCACCAAUUCAAAUGGCCGAUGCACAGGAAGAGCAGUUGAAUAUACAAACAUUGUCGACAAAUGCAACGAGAAAUACAAAAAAAGGAUGACAUGAUAUAAUUCACAUAUAUGACGCUUGGCUAAACAGCAUGGCAUUGCAUAAUUCACAUAUAUAAUGCCUUGCAACAAGAUAGCAUUGCAUAAUUCACAUAUAUAAUGUCCUGCAAGAAGAUGUCAUCGCAUAAUUCACAUAUAUGGUAAUUAGACACUAAACAGGUGGCAUUCACACAAAGCAUGUAUAAACUAAGCAAAUGACAUAUCAAUGCAAGAUACCAUACGCACGAUAUGAGCAACAUAACCCUGCCAAGUUAGAGCAUGCACCUCGGGGGGGGGGGGAUAGGACUGGUCAUCUGUCUCUGAAUCCUCCUGUGAGGAGCUAUCCGUAACCAACAAGACAUGCGCUUCGUCAGAUAGCAUUGUCUGCUCUAAAGACCUUGUUUCCACUUCAUAUUUUUCCAUGACCUUGCCGAAUGGCUGAUGCAUAGGAAGAGUAAUUGAAUGUACUAAAAUUGUUGACAAAUUUAACACAUAAAAAAUGAUGGCAUGAUAUAAUUCACAUAUAAGAUGACUGGCUAACUAGGGUGGCAUUGCAAAAUUCACAUAUAUGAUGCCUGGCUAAACAAGAUGGCAUUGCGUGAUUCACAUAUACGAUAAAGAAACUAAACAGAUGGCAUUGACACAACGCAUGUCUAAACUAAGAAGAUGACAUAUUUGAUGUAUCCAGUAAGCAAUGCAAGGCACCGUAUGCAUGAUAUUACCAACAUCAGCAUGCCAAGUUAGAGCGAAGACCUCAGGGGUAAAUAGGAGUGGUCUUCUCCUUCUGAAUCCCCCUCAGAACAGUUAUCUUCCUCUUGAUUACGAUCCGAUAUGGGUGGAGGGGGACCUCCUUUGCGCCCACCAUGGAGCGACGUCUGCAUGAAAUUUUAUUGCCACGCAAGGCUCGUCUCUUUUGCUCUACAUGUUCAGUUCCAUUGUGUACAAUAACUGACAUGCAUAGGAAUAAAACAUAGUGAGAUUAUGUAAGGAGUGCAUGCACAAAUCCAGAGUGAUGGUAGCAAACUGUGGAUAGACCCAAAACCAAUGAUAGCAGGCAGAUAAUAGCUUUAGUUACAAAAUAUAGAUAAUGGAUGCUUUAAUAUUUGUUUGCACCCAACAUGAAACUCGUAGUAGACACCCGAGAUUAACCAGAUAGUAGACAGAUAGUACUGAUUGCUUUCCCAAUAUGUACCCCACAACCAUUUAAAAACUCAAGUUUCAGCAUUAGUUUGGACAUGACUCGGAGUCUAAUAGGUGAACAUGACGAUAAAGUAGCAUGUCAUCAUAUUAAGCGAUGCAUAACGUAAGCAGACAUGGAAGAGUGCGACCUCUCUUGCGGACCCGUGUAGUCCUCAAGGUCAUCUGCUUAGUUGAUGAUGGUAAUGUAGUUGUCAUGGCUGCCAGCGGCGGGGAAGAAGAUCUGAGGCGGCGAAAGACAGUCUGGAGAGUGGAUUGCUGUGGUGAACCCUUCCAUUGUUGGAGCAGCUGAGCUCGGGUGGCACACAACGUAGCAGGAGCAGGACAAACCACACAAGGUUUACUUUGACACAUAUCUGUAACAGAAGUAAUUGUGUAAGGGCUUGUUUGAAUUUGAGGAUACUACAAUGCAGGGAUAGGAAAUAGACAGGAAUAGGAUAGGAAUGCACGUGCAAAAUAGAGAAUUUAAAAACAUAGGAUUUAUGCCAAUCUGGGUGUUUGAUUCACAAGAAUUGGAAGAUCACAGGAUGCAAAGAAGUAAGGUGAUAUUAAGUCAAACCAUAAGAAAAUGUACGGUUAUAAUGCUAUUAUGCUACUAUCUCUUAGUCUUGUGCUUCAUGAAUAGGAAUUUAAAAAGGAGGACAAGUGGAAAUUAAAAUUCCUAUGGUUUUUAUUUCAAGGAGACACUAAAGGAACAAAUCCUACAGUUUUCCUUUGCUCCAUUCCUUUGAACCAAAUUCAUGAAUAGUAGUACCAUAGGAAACUUUCCAAUUCCUAUAUUUUCCUUCACUUUUCCUUUCAAGCACUGGCGAUUCUAGUAGGCAGGCUUGAGCAAGGAAAAGCCUACACUCAAAAAAUGUUUUUGUGCUACUUCUAUUACUUUGGACCCAGGCCACUGCCCUACUAGCUCAACUCCCAGGCCCAUCGACAAAUGCACAGCUCAAACGCGCAGAGAUUAAUAAUGAUGGCCUUCAAGAGAGUCCAUCACGGAUAGCUAAGUUGCCUGGUACCUCACUGCUUGUCAUAUAGUAGGAGAAACAAAUCGUAUUUCACAUUACUACGUGUGCUCAGUGGACAAUAUAUAUAACAUGUAGAGUAAAAAAGGAUGCAACAAGUGUACAACCUCUUUGGCGAAGCCAUGUCGAUCUCGACGUGACUGGGUUGGUCGGUGAGGAUGAUCCGGUGACUUGGCUGUCGGAGGAGGAGAAGAAGAUCUUAGGCGUCUAGAGAUGGAGGCCGGGUUACUGCUCCACUGUGAUGGAGGGUUUCGUCGUUGGAGCAGCCCCGGUGAGUUGUACGAUGCUGAGGCUGAAGCAGGACAAGAGAGACAACGUUAACCUGAGUGGAAUUCUAAUAGCAUCUCCAAUAGAUGACGUAAAAUACAUAACCACAAAGUGCUAGAUGUAAAUACAUCAGUCGCUCAUCUCUGAACUUAGCUGCCAAAACUGAAUUUAACUAUCAAAACUGAAUUUUUCUAUGGAAACUGAACGCACUAGUAGCAGAAAAGCAGUAGCAGUAGCAGCGCCUGCGAGAGCCGGGGCAGCUGGUCGUGUAGCAGCAUCAGGUGAGGCUACCCUGAGCCGCCAGCCACCACCGGCCAAACAGCCGCCCCCGCCGCCCGCGGCCGGUGGUGCGCUGCCCCGCCCGCCCCGAAACCACUCCCCACCGCCGGUCCGCCGCCGCCCGGGCCAUCCCUCUAGGCCCCCCGUGCCGAGCUUUUUCUCCGGCGAUCCCCACGCCACCACCCUACCACCGUCCCUACCCUGUACCCUAAGAUAGAUACUGGGGUACCUCUUCGGCGAGCCCCCCUCCCCGCUGCGGCUGGUUCUUCCUUAACUCCGGCAAGCCCCCCCACCCCCUGAAAAUCGACUAACCCGAAAGUCGAUUCAGUUGACUGAAGUGUAGCUAAAUCGGAGCAGCAUCGCAAGCAAGAGCAAGAGCAACAGCGCGAGCAAGAGAAAGAGCAAGAGCAGACCAAGCAGGGGACCAAGAGCAAGAGCAGAGCAGCGGCGCGAGCGAGAGCUAAAGCAGCAGCACCUCCUACUGAUGUGGACGUCGCCGCCUAAUACGUCUCCGUCGUAUACAUAAUUUUUGAUUGUUCCAUGCCAAUAUUCUACAAUUUUCAUAUACUUUUGGCAACUUUUUUAUACUAUUUUUGGAACUAACAUAUUGAUCCAGUGCCCUGUGCCAGUUCCUGUUUGUUGCAUAUUUUUUGUUUCAUGGGAAAUUCAUAUCAAAUAAAGUUCAAAUGGGAUGAAAACUGACGGAGAUUUUUUUGAAAUAUAUGUGAUUUUUGGGAAAAAGAAUCAACGCGAGACGAUGCCCGAGGGGGCCACGAGGCAGGGGGCGCACCCUGGGCCCUCGUGGCCACCCCGUAAGGCGGUUGGUUCCCUUCUUUCGCCGCAAGAAAGCUAAUGUCCGGAUAAAAAUUGUGUCCAAAUUUCAGCCCAAUCGGACUUACGGAUCUCCGGGAAUAUAAGAAACGGUGAAAUGGCAGAAUCUGGAACAUGGAAAUAGAGAGAGACAGAGAGACGGAUCCAAUCUCGGAGGGGAUCUCACCCCUCCGCCGCCAUGGAUGCCAUGGACCAGAGGGGAAACCCUUCUCCCAUCUAGGGAGAAGGUCAAGGAAGAAGAAUAAGAAGGGGGCUCUCUCUCCCCCUCUCUCCCGGUGGCGCCGGAACGCCGUCGGGGCCAUCAUCAUCACCGCAAUGUACACCAACACCUCAUUCAUCUUCACCAACAUCUCCAUCACCUUCCCCCAUCUAUCUACAGCGGUCCACUCUCCCGCAAACUGUUGUACCCUAUACUUGAACAUGGUGCUUUAUGGUUCAUAUUAUUAUCCAAUGAUGUGUUGCCAUCCUAUGAUGUCUGAGUAGAUUUUCAUUGUCCUAUCGGUAAUUGGUGGAUUGCUAUGAUUGGUUUAAUUUGCUUGUGGUUAUGUUACUGUCCUUUGGUGCCCAUCAUAUGAGCGCGCGCAUGGAUCACACCAUAGGGUUAGCUGUAUGUUGAUAGGACUAUGUAUUGGAGGGCAAGAGUGACAGAAGCUUCAACCUAGCAUAGAAAUUGAUGCCUACGGAAUUGAAGGGGGACCAAUAUAUCUUAAUGCUAUGGUUGGGUUUUACCUUAAUGAAUGUUAAUAGUUACGGAUGCUUGCUAAUAGUUCCAAUCAUAAGUGCAUAGAAUUCCAAGAAAGGGAUGACAUGCUAGCAGUGGCCUCUCCCACAUAAAACUUGCUAUCAGUCUAGUAAAGUAGUCAAUUGCUUAGGGACAAUUUCACAUUCCUACCGCCACUUUUGCACACUAAAUAUACUAACUUUAUUGCUUCUUUACCUAAAUAGCCCCUACUUUUUAUUUAUGCGCUCUUUAUUAUCUUGCAAACCUAUCCAAAAACACCUACAAAGUACUUCUAGUUUCAUACUUGUUCUAGGUAAAGCGAACGUUAAGCGUGCGUAGAGUUGUAUCGGUGGUCGAUAGAACUUGAGGGAAUAUUUGUUCUACAUUUAGCUCCUCGUUGGGUUUGACGCUCUUACUUAUCAAAAGAGGCUACAAUUGGUCCCCUAUACUUGUGGGUUAUCUAGACCUUUUUCUGGCGCCGUUGCCGGGGAGUUAUAGCGUGGGGUGAAUAUUCUCGUGUGUGCUUGUUUGCUUUAUCACUAAGUAGUUUUUAUUUUGUUCUCUUGUUUUCUAUCUUUAGUUAUGGGUAGGAAACGGAAAAUACCAAUAAAAAUAGUGGUACCUACUGAACCAAUGGUUGAAGAACCACUCAAAAUCUAUCACACUACUGAAGCGUUUUUACUUGGAUCAUCUUCGAUCCCUAUGUGCUCAGGCUGAAACCCCAACUAGAUUAGUUGAGGGAAAAUGUUUAGAUGAGCAUGGUUGUUAUGUGCGACACCGCAUAUCUAAAAAAUGGAAACUUUUACUGGAUCAAAUUCACCGUUUGCAGUGUUAUGCUUGGAAUUUAUAUGAAAUAUAUGAUUGUACUUGUUGUUCUAAUGACCCUAAGAAACACCUUCCUUACCAAUAUGGGUUUAGUGAUAAUGGAAUCGUAUCUUCGUAUACUAAGGGUGUUUAUAAUUAUUAUGAUGUUCAACAAAUUGAAUAAUUUGUUGCUUUUAGGGGUACUUGUGAAAUUGCUUCUUUUAUUGAACAGUGUGAUACUACUCUCUACAAUCUGAAAAUUUGGGCAUACUUAAAUAUUGCUAUGAUAAGUAUGCUUAUAAUCCUUAUAUCAAACCAUAUAUUGAGGACUCCUUCGCUGUCCAAGAAGAGACUAAUAUUUUGUAGGAGUCUAUGGAAGAAGAAAUUAGUGACAUUGUGAGCUCAUUGGAUGAAAAAGAUGAGGAGGAGAGCGAAGAACAAAAGGAGGAAGAGCGGAUUGAUCACCUGUUCCCACCAUCUAAUGAGAGUAACUCUUCAACUCAUACAUUGUUUAAUUUCCCUUCGUGCUUACCGAAGGAUGAUUGUUAUGAUGAUUGUAAUGAUCCCAUUGAUUCUUUUGAAAUAUCCCUUUUUGAUGAUGCUUGCUAUGCUUGUGGCCAAGAUGCCAAUAUGAAUUAUCCUUAUGGAGAUGAACUUGCUAUAGUUCCUUAUGUUAAACAUGAACUUGUUGCUAUUGCACCCACGCAUGAUAGUCCUAUUAUCUUUUUGAAUUCUCCCGACUACACUAUAUCGGAGAAGUUUGCCCUUAUUAAGGAUUAUAUUGAUGGGUUGCAUUUCACUACUACACAUGAUGAUUUUGAUGACUAUAAUAUGCAUGUUCUUGCUGAUCCUACUUGCAAUUAUUAUGAGAGAGGAACUGCAUCUCCUCCUCUUUAUGUUUCCAACACAAUAGAAUUGCAAGAAACUACUUAUGCUAUGUAUUGGCCUUUACUUGAUGUGCAUGAAUUGUUCUUGUAUGACAUGCCGAUGCAUAGGAAGGGAGUUAGACUUCGCCAUUGCUUGAUAUAUGUUACUUUGUGCUCACUACUAAAUUACAAAUCAUUGUUGAUUCACAUUGGCUUUGAUAUACCUUGGGAUCCCGGUGGAUCCAUUACUUGAGCACUAUAUGCCUAGCUUAAUGGCUUUAAAGAAAGCGCUGCCAGGGAGACAACCCGGAAGUUUUAGAGAGUCAUUUAUUUCUGUUGUGUGCUUUUAUGAAGUUUAAAAACAAGAAUAAUGUGCCAUGAUUUUCCUUUAAGAUGUUUACAUUGCUUGUUGGUUUGUGCGGUGCAAGACAGAAACUUUAGCUGUAGUGCGUGAUUUUACAUUUUUACUGGAAUGUGAAACAGUUCUGAAAGUUUUUGAACUGUCUUUCUAUACAAAUUGUUUAUUUUUCCUAAUUAUUUCAAAAUUUUUGGAGUACCAGAGGUAUGGUGAAUGUUCAGAUUAUUACAGACUGUCCUGUUUAAGACAGAUUCUGUUUUGAUGCAUAGUUUGCCUGUUUUGAUGAAACUAUCGAUUUUUGUCAGUGGAUUAAGCCAUGGUAAAGUUAUAUUACAGUAGCUACAAUGAAAAAUAAAAUAUGAAUUGGUUUGCAACAGUACUUAGAUUAGUGAUUUUCUUUAUUAUACUAACGGAUCUUACCGAGCUUUCUGUUGAGAUUUAUGUGGAUGAAGUGUUCGAAGAACGAGGAGGUCUAAAUGUGAGGAGAAGGAGGAGAGGCAAGAGCUCAAGCUUGGGGAUGCCCAAGGCACCCCAAGUAAAUAUUCAAGGAGUCUCAAGCGUCUAAGCUUGUGGAUGCCCCGGAAGGCAUCCCAUCUUUCUUCAACAAGUAUCAGUAUGUUUUCGGAUUUGUUUCGUUCAUGUGAUAUGUGUGAAUCUUGGAGCGUCUUUUGCAUUUAGUUUUCAUUUUUAUUUUAUGCACCAUGCUGGUAUGAGAUAGUCCAUGGUUGAUUUAUAGAAUGCUCAUUGCACUUCACUUAUAUCUUUUGAGUAUGGCUUUAUAGAAUGCUUCAUGUGCUUCACUUAUAUCAUUUGAAGUUUGGAUUGCCUGUUUCUCUUCACAUAGAAAACCGCCAUUUGUAGAAUGCUCUUUUGAUUCACUUCUAUUUGUUAGAGCGUGGGCAUAUAUUUUGUUGAAAGAAUUAAACUCUCUUGCUUCACUUACAUCUAUUUAGAGAGAUGACGGGAAUUGGUCAUUCACAUGGUUAGUCAUAAAAUCCUACAUAAAACUUAUAGAUCACUGAAUAUGAUAUGUUUGAUUCCUUGCAAUAGUUUUGCGAUAUAAAUAUGGUGAUAUUAGAGUCAUGCUAGUGGGUAGUUGUGGAUUGUAUAAAUACUUGUUGAAGUUUGUGAUUCCCAUAGCAUGCACAUAUGGUGAACCAUUAUGUGAUGAAGUCGGAGCGUGAUUUAUUUAUUGAUUGUCUUCCUUAUGAGUAGCGGUCGGGGACGAGCGAUGGUCUUUUCCUACCAAUCUAUCCCCCUAGGAGCAUGCUGAUACGUCUCCGUCGUAUCUACUUUUCCUAACACUUUUGCCCUUGUUUUGGACUCUAACUUGCAUGAUUUGAAUGGAACUAACCCAGACUGACGCUGUUUUCAAGAGAAUUGCCAUGGUGUUAUUUUUGUGCAGAAAUAAAAGUUCUCAGAAUGACCUGAAAAUCAACGGAGAAUUAUUUUGGAAUAUACAAAAAAUACUGGAAGAAAGAUCCACUUCAGGGGGGCCUCCACCCGUCCACAAGGGUGGGGGCGCGCCUGCCCCCAUGGGCGCGCCCCCUGCCUCGUGGGCCCCCGGAUGCUCCACCGACCUCAACCCUGACUCCAUAUAUUCACUUUCAGGGAGAAAAAAAAAUCAGAGAGAAGGAUUCGUCACGUUUUACGAUACGGAGCCGCCGCGAAGCCCUAAACUCUCUCGGGAGGGUUGAUCUGGAGUCCGUUCGGGGCUCCGGAGAGGGGAAUCCAUCGCCAUCGUCAUCAUUAACCUUCCUCCAUCACCAAUUUCAUGAUGCUCACCACCGUGUGUGAGUAAUUCCAUCGUAGGCUUGCUGGCCGGUGAUGGGUUGGAUGAGAUUUAUCAUGUAAUCGAGUUAGUUUUGUUAGGGUUUGAUCCCUAGUAUCCACUAUGUUCUGAGAUUGAUGUUGCUAUGACUUUGCUAUGCUUAAUGCUUGUCACUAGGGCCCGAGUGCCAUGAUUUCAGAUCUGAACUUAUUAUGUUUUCAUGAAUAUAUGUGAGUUCUUGAUCCUAUCUAGCAAGUCUAUAGUCACCUACUAUGUGUUAUGAUCCGACAACCUGAAGUGACAAUAAUCAGGACCACUCCCGGUGAUGACCAUAGUUUGAGGAGUUCAUGUAUUCACUAUGUGUUAAUGCUUUGGUCUGGUACUCUAUUAAAAGGAGGCCUUAAUAUCCCUUAGUUUCCAAUAGGACCCCGCUGCCACGGGAGGGUAGGACAAAAGAUGUCAUGCAAGUUAUUUUCCAUACGAACAUAUGACUAUAUUGGGAAUACAUGCCUGCAUUACAUUGAUGAACCGGAGCUAGUUCUGUGUCACCCUAGGAUAUGACUGUUACAUGAUCGAUCGCAUCCGGCAUAAUUCUCCAUCACCGAUCCAAUGCCUACAAGCUUUUCCUAUAUCGUCCUUCGCUUAUUUACUUUUCUGUUGCUACUGUUAUAAUCACUACAAAACCCAAAAAUAUUACUUUUGCUACCGUUACCUUUUGCCACCGUUACCACUACUAUCUUAUUACUUUGCUACUAAAUACCUUACUGCAGAUAUUAAGUUUCCAGGUGUGGUUGAAUUGACAACUCAGCUGCUAAUACUUGAGAAUAUUGUUUGGCUCCCCUUGUGUCGAAUCAAUAAAUUUGGGUUGAAUACUCUACCCUCGAAAACUGUUGUGAUCACUACAAAAAAGACACAUCCGUGACAUUUUGGGCCAAACGAAUUUUUUUUUGUCAUACAUAUGACACUUCUAUGACGAUAAUUGUGACAAAACCCGGUAUCAUCAUAGAUGUGGUGGGCUCCUACUUCUAUGACAAAAAAUCAUGACAGAAAAUGGGCUUUUCGUCCUGGGCGGGCCGGAGACGCAGCUGCAUGACAUUCUUUGGGCCGUCCAUGAUGGAAAAAACCGUGGUAGAAGCGAGGGGGAGGAAAAUUUCAGGGAGUUCCCGGUUACGGUGGAGGUCGGGGGCUGAGCGAUGCGCGUUUCUCUCGUACACGUACGCGCGUGUGUGCGAGGCGUUGGCUCUAACUGAACCCGAGCGAGGCGUUGGGCUCUAAUUGAACCCGAGCGAUUGCACUGCAGGCUACGCGUUACUGAACCCGAGUGAUCGAUCGAUGGCUGUUAACUGAACCCGAUCGAGCAAUUCCUUCGCUACUGCUGCUAACUGAAGCCGAUCGAUCCUGCCUCUGUAUGAACAGUGAGCGUUGCGGGGGGUUUGGAUGAACAGUUGCCGGUGGGGGUGGAUGAACAGGACCUCGUGGUGUUGCCUCUGGAUGAACAGGACCCCGAUCGAUCGAGCUAGUUGGGGCUGGAUGAACAGGACCCCGUGGAGGGCUGGAUAAACUGGACCACCCCGUUGAGGGCUGGAUGAACAGUAGAAGGUGGAGGGCGGGAUGAAUAGUAGCCCUGGAGGGGUGGUUGAACAGGAGCCCGUGGAGAGGGCUGGUUGAACAGUAGCCGCUGAAGUAGCGCGCGGUGGAGGCUGGAUGAAUAGAAGCCCGUGGAUGAACAGUCGCAGGUGGAGGCCGACGGUGGAUGAGCAGUAGCUCGUGGAGGCUGGAGGGGGUCGACGGUGGAGAUGAACAGUAUCCUGUGGAGUCCCGUUUUGCGGUACGCCACACCCCUCCCGAUGAACAGGAACCCCAUUUCGACCGUAGCGCUCCAACACAAGUCUGUUUCGUCCGUUGUGCGGUACGCCACACCCUCCCGAUCAACAGGACCCCCGUUUUGACCGUAGGAUGUCCGUUUCCUCCGUUUUGCGGUACGCCAGACCCCUCCCAAUGAACAGGAUCCCGUUUCGAACAUGGCCGGUCGAACACAAGGCUGUUUCUUCGUUCCGCGGUAUGCCAUGCCUCGUUUCCAUCGCAUGUUCCGUCCAAGCCCUCCCGAUGAACACGACGAAUUUCGUUGCCUCCCCAUGAACACGACGACGAUGCUGUUUCUCCGUUCCGACCGAGCAAUGUACACGAGCCCUGGCCGUACGUAUGCGCGAGUAGGCGUUCGAGACCUCGCCCGUAUGUACACAUACGUGGCCGUAUUUUUUUCUUGCACCCUGGCCGCUGUACGUACGUGUACAUGCUACGUGCACGCCUCUACUACGACACGUGCACGCGUCUACUACGACACGUGCGCGCCUCUACAUCGAAUAGUAUGUACAUACACGUUCGCGACCAGAAUGACAACGCUAUGUACGCUUCGUUCAGGUGGGUCCCGACUGUUAGGCACUUCCUUGCCUGCGAAGAUGUAGCUGGUGGGUCCCAGCAGUCAGGGGGCGAAUCGUUUUUUUGCCCGGACGCACUUCCUUGCGUGCGAAGAUGUAGCUGGUGGGUCCCAGCAGUCAGGGGGAAAUGUUUUUUCGUGAAAUACAGUGGCCCGUCCGAUGGGUCCCAGCUGUCAGGUGGAGGAAUCAUUAUUUUCCAUGUAAUAAGGAGGAACUUCCUUGCUGCGGCCGUGGACCCAGCUGUCAGCCUCUCCACGUACAGUCCACGUCCGAUGGAAGUCAUUCCUUCACCACGUUGACCAUGCCGCGCCGAGAGCACCAGGGCGGUGGACGACGGCGAGGCCCAGGAAGGGGGCGACACAGAGGCAAGGAAGACUCAGCAGUUAUUUCCCACGCGGAGGGGAGUACGAUUGUACGAGGGUUUACUGGUUCGUCUGUCGUCGCUGGAGAAUAACAGCAGGUGUGGGUGAGUAGAGGGAUGGCUAGGCCACCGAUGGGAGUAUGGUCGGGCGGUGAGGACUGCGCGGCAGCACAGCCGGCCGCGAGGAAGAGGGAGCAGGCAGUCCCGCUGGCCCUUGUUUGAGCCGCUGGAGCAGGAAGAGCGGAGAUUGAAGAAGCAUGACAGCCGUUGUAUGGACAUCCAACAGUCAGUGCUUGUGCGUCAACCUUUUUUUAGGAAAGCGUCAAAUCUGUGGAAAACAACAUACAAACCAUCUGCCAUUAUUUCUAAUAAUUUAUAGCCCAUUUGCUAAUUCUUAAGGUUUUUUGGAGCCCAUAUUCUUUUCGUUAGCAUUACAGCCCAUAUUAUUGCAACGGUUAAAAAAUUAUAUGAAAUUUUGCAUAUUUCGGUGCGGUCCGAACUAUUUUUAAUCCCGAAAUUUUGUCUCACAUUCAAACUGAUUUUAAAAAUAAAUGUAUAUCAAUAUAAAAUCCAACAAAUUCUCCAUGCACAAAAAUUAAUGUAAUUUAAAAUCUUGAAAUGAAAAAAGAUAUUUGAAACUAAUUGCCGGUUUGAUGAGUUUUAAAAAUGUACAACCCAUUUCUCCUUACUGAUGGGCCAUUUUCUCGGCCAGCCAAAUGAAAGCUCUCCUUGUCUUGAAAGAUUUGCAGCCCAGUAGGCCUGACAAAGCGACUUACUUGGCAAAUCACAAAAAACUUUGCCGUGGCCGUGGACGCAGCUGUCAGCCUCUCCACGUACAGUACUCUUCCGAUGGAAGUGUUUCCUUGACCACAUUGACCACGCCGCGCGGAGAGCACCACGGCGGUGGAUGACGGCGAGGCCUGGGAAGGGGAUGACGCGGCAGUGGAAACCCGCGCGGAGAGGACUACGAGGGUUCACUAGUUCGGCAGCAGUGUGAGGCUGUCGUCGCUGCAGGGCCUGGCCAGCGGUGGGAAUAGUAGGGGGCGGUGAGGCCUCUGCGGCAGCAUAGCUGGCCACGGGACGCAGGAGCAUGCGGCACGACCGACGCUACUUUGGGCGGCUGGAGCAAGAAGACCAGAGGUUGAAGAAGCACUACAGCCGUUGGAUGGACAUCGUACGGUCACUAGAGCUAGAAUCGUUCAUAUUGACUAAGUUGACAAAGCCGUUCGUCCCCGUCAACUUAGUAGGCCCAUAAGUCAGCCUCCCAGCAAGGUGGGUCCCAGCUAGCCGGGGGAGUAUUCAUUUUUUGUGUGUAAUAAGGAGGCACUUCCGGUGGGUCCGAGCUGACAGCGGGGGGAACGUUUUUUUCGCAAAAUACGGUGGCCCGUCCGGUGGGUCCCAGCAGUCAGGGGGAAAUGAUGUUUUUUGCAAAAUACUAGUGGCCCGUCCGGUGGGUCCCUGAUGUCAAGUGGAGGAACCAUUAUUUUCCACGUAAUAAGGAGGCACUUCCUUGCUGCCGCCGUGGGCCCAGCUGUCAGCCUCUCCACGUACAGUCCACGUCCGAUGGAAGUCGUUCCUUCCACGUUGACCACGCCGCGCCGAGAGCACUAGGGCGGUGGACAACGGCGAGGCCUAGGAAGGGGACGACGCGGAGCCGGUGCAGACGCGGCAGUGGAUGCCCACGCGGAGAGGAGUAUGAGGGUUCACUCAUUCGGCUGCGGUGUGAGGCUGCCGUCGAGGCAGGGCCUGGCAAGCGGUGGGAAUAGUAGGGGGUGGUGAGGCCUCCACGGCAGCACAGCCGGCCACGGGAGGCAGGAGCAGGCGGCACGACCGGCGCUGCUUUGGGCGGCUGGAGCAAGAAGACCAGAGGUUGAAGAAUCACUAUGGCCGUUGGAUGGACAUCGUACGAUCACUGCAGCUAGAAUCGUUUAUAUUGACUAAGUUGACAAAGCCCUUGGUACGUCAACUUAGUAGGCCCAUAGGCCAGCUUCCGAAACGGUGCGCCCCAGAUGUCAGGGGGAGGAAUCAUGUUUUGGGCGGGUGAAGCUAGAAUAUCCGAGAUUGAAGAAGAAGCACGACAUCUGUUGGAUGGACAUCCAACGGCCACUGCUGCUAGAACCGUGUGUUGACUAUAAGUUGACAAAGCCUUGCAUACGCGUCAACUCUGUUUUUUUAGAGGACGCGUCAACUUAGUAAGGCCAGAAGUGUGUGGCAGAGAACUUAUAGCCCAUUUGAGAUUUGUAAGAAUGUGUAGCCCAUUUUAAAUUCUAAUGGAAUUUACUAUAGCCCAUUUAUAGUUUGUUAAAGGUACAGCCCAUUUCAGCCAACCGUUCAAAACAGAAUUCAAUAAAAUUUCCCACAUUUUGAUUGGAUCCGAAAUAUUUUUAUCCCGAAAUUUCUAGUCAGAUUAAAUACAAUUUCAAUAUAAAUUUAUAUUAUGUAAAAAUCCAACGAAACAUUGCGCUCGCAACAAUUAAUGAAAUUAAAAUUUUCAAUAUCCAAAACUAAUACUUUAUAAAGUAAUCACGUGUUUGGUGCAUUUUUAUAGUUACUGCCCAGUUUUUAUAAUUACAUCCCAUUUAUUAUUUCUUAAAUCCCAUUUUCUUGUUAAUCCUAAUGCAUCCCUCCUAGGAAAGAUUUGCAGCCCAGCUGGACGGAGAAUAACAACUUGACCUUGCGUGGGUAUUCCUAAAAAAAGUAUUUUCAGCUUGAAAAAAAUUAAUAUCUGGGCUGGAUAUCUGGCCUAAGCUAGACGGGCCACAACCCGCCCAGUUAAUACCUGCAGCGAUGUUUUCGUUGUUGUUCAGAGGAGAAAAAUUAAUAUCUGGGCUAAACAUCGAAAAACUCUGCAGUGCUCACACCUCAAAAACACAAAUACUGCUCGAGCUGCUUGGUCCCAGCUGUCGGCUGCUUCUGGUGCAAUUCUCUCGUUUAUUGACUAGUACUACAUAGGUUGACAAUGGUGUGGGACCGUGAUGUCAGGAAACCAGGGGGAAGCAAAAUAAAUAACUCCAGCAAGCGCUUCCACCUCUGCCUCGUUGUCUCCCGUGGAAACCCCUUUUCUCCCUUUUUUUGCUCGGGCAAGGACCAAUGCAUGCAGCAUGUCCAUGCGGUUAUUAGGCAAGAAAUAAAAGCGCUUUGCAUGCUAUGAAUUACGAUGGCCUGCAUGGGUAGCUAAUAAGGCAUCCUCUUAACUACUGUGAUUUAAAUGUUGUGUUUAGAAGAGAGAAAUAUUCUUCUUUUCCACCAAUCUACUUGCACCUAGGUCAUGAUGCACCUUCUAAUACGACUUAUUCACCUAGACGGAGGGAGUAUAGUUUUACACACAUAUAUAUAUAAUAAGGAGGCACUUGCGUACGUAGGCUAUGGACCUGGUGGGUCCCCAUUGUCAUCCUCUCCAAGUAAAGUCAUCUCCUCGCCCGCGCGCGCUUUCCGCCCGAAACAGUCAGCGCCGCCCGCCCCGCUUCCCGGUGCAGGCGAUUGCUCCGCCUUCAAACGACACAGGUGCGGUCCAUCCGUCCAUCUGCCGCCCACAUUAAUGAUACGCGGUUGCCGAGGCGGCUACUCCGGCACCACACGUCCGUCCGCCCACCAUUGCUAUAUAAACUGCUGCGCCGGCCAUAGCCGCAGUCAUCCGCAUCUGUUGCCUUUCUCCAGUCCACACCACUACUGCCCACCAUGGCUUCCUCGCACUCCAGCACUCUUUGGGACGGGCGGACGACGGACCACAAGGAGAUGGCAUCCAUUGCUGCCGACCGGCUGGCCGGCAGGCAGCCGAAGGACGACGACGUCCCAAUGGAGAACAUGGUAGUCGAUGAUCCGGUGCCAACCCCCUCCUCCGCGACAUCCUCGCCGGUGCAUUGCACCAUGACCAUCGGCGAGGCCCGUGCCCAAUAUAUGGACAGUGUGAGGCAGAUGUGUUAGGAGCAAUUCCGGGAGGCGCAGGCCGACGCCGCCUACAACCACCAUCUCCUCCAGGAGCAUCUGCAGGCGGAGGAGCAGAUCGCCGUGGAGCAGGCGGAGCAGGAGGCGAUGCUCGACUCGUACCACUCCGCCCGCAAGGGCCACCUCGAGCGCUGGCGGGAGCGCAUGCGGGUGGCGGAGGCUGCGACAGCCUACAAAGAGGCUAGCAAAGAUGGCGAUGAAGCAGGGAAGGUGCUGUUUGGCGAGACCGAGGACGAGGCAGAGGACAAUGCCGGCUCCGACGAGUCCCCGCUCCGCUAGCGUCGACGAGGCCCUGCUCCGCCGAGGCCCCACGGCGCCAACUACGAGGCACAGGACACCGCCUGUUCCGCCGAGGCCCCGCCCCGCCAACAACGAGGCAGAGGACAUCGUGGGCUCAGCCUAGGCCCCACCCUGCCGGCAACGCGGGGGAGGAUUUCCACCGCUCCGCUGAGGCGCCGCCCGCCGGCAACGAGACAGAGGACAUCGCCGGCUCCGCCAAGGCCCCGCCCCGCUGACAACGAGGUCAUGCCACACAGAAAACAAGGAAGAGUAGAACACGGUAGGUCGCCACCGCUCAGGUCCAAGUAAGGCCACCGCUACUACCCUCCUGUUGAAGCCAAGCUAGGCAGGUUGACCAUUGACGACCAGUUAGCUUCUUAGUGGCGACGUGGAGUCGGGGAGUUCUGCUGGAGAAUAACGCUGCUUCUGCUUAACUGCUGGUGCAGUCGGCUGACUGACACGUGGGCCCAACAGGCCACAUGUCAGUUACGCAACUGCAACUGCGGUUAAGUCACUGAAGCUUCUGUUCGGCUCAGUGGGACACAGGUGGGUAGCUUCAGUUAAUUAAUUAUACCUCCAGUGCACCCCUUCUUAGUUGAAGAAUGUAUGAAAUGUAAUGAAAUCUAGCAUGUUUAUAUGAAAUCCGACCGCGUAUGAAUGAAUUUAUUUCGAUUAGUUCGAAUUCCUGUAUCACUGGCAUUGGAUGAACAUGCAAAACAAUAUGUACUAGCAUUAUUCCCAGGGUGAUCACCUCGUUUGCAGCAGUUUCACAUGUACUCCCUCCGGUCCUUUCUAGUCUGCAUACAAGUUUUGUCUGCAGUCAAAGUAUCUCUACUUUGACCAAUCUUAUACAAAAAAGUAUGCACUUUCACAAUGUGCAAACUAAAAAGGAACAUAAGGAGUACAAAGAGUUUGAGCAGGUUUUUAGCGCUUCUGUACAUUGCAAUCAAACACACAGGCCUGGCAAUUCAUAGAGAACAUUCAAAACAAUCGAUGAUUAUGCAUCUUAGCGACUCACAUGUUAGAGGCAAUAUUUACUUCACAACUAAAGAAUAAAGAAAAAAUUGAUUGACGCUUCUGGCAGCAAGGGUGUCCCAUUCAAAAAUAUCAAAUGCAUGUCUUGCUAAAAUCAAUGAGCAAAAUUUGACAAGGUUGUCCCAUUCCAAAAUAUCAAAUGCCUACAUUGUGGAAUGGGCAGGGUUUGCUAUCAGUUCGGACAUUGAUAUGGCACCUCGUGCUAAAUAAACCAGCUGUUCUUUUUGUGCAGUUCCACCAAAAUCAACCAAAUUCGCGUGCAGCUUGUAUGAUUUCGCCCUUAUAUGUUGCAAAGCCUUAAACUUAUCGGCACCUCCUUUCUCUUGGUUGAAAUGAAUGAUUCGAUGUAUUCAUGAACAUUUUGUGCAGUUCCCAUUGAAAUCAAGCUGAGCACCCCUGUUUGCACAAAUACAAAAAAGUGAUUAGUAUAGAGAAAACUGUACUAUGAAUUGACAGUUUCAACAGGCACAUACAUGGUCCAUGUAGAGCACACUUUUAGAAAAAUGAAACUCACCAGAAAGAAUCCUAGAACAACAUUAUACUGGUGCAUCACAGCAAAAAAAUGGAGAUUUUGUUAGUCCUUCUGAGCUGAAGUUAGUUUGGUCUUGUGGGGAGUAAUGUAACCAUCCUUCAACUGCUCCUUCUGAUGAUAAGAUAGUCAGGGCUUCUUCAUCCUGGCAUAAUCGGAACUAGUCACUUCAUGUACUCCAUAUUCUUCUUCAGAGGAAGAUGAUCCUGUUGUGCAAAGACAAGAGGACUACUAAAUGCUAGCAUCACUGUUUGCUCAAAAAAAUGGAAAGGAAAUAUUUAAAACAGCACAAAUGAAGCACUUCUCAAGGACAAUACCACUUUUUCAUGACAGGACCGGGAGUUGAUUUUUGUUUUUCUUCCCCUUGUUCUUCCCCUUCAUCACUUGGUUCAAUAACAAACAAGCUUCACCUUCAAUGUAAGAUUUGGCAUGUCAAUUAGGGAGCACAAGUAUAGUACUAAACUUAAUUUUCUGAUGAAAGUGGCAAAAUACAGACCAGCAGUUGUGAAAUAUCCUUAUCUUACCUCAAUGGGAUAUUACGGUGCACAUACAGAUUGGAAGUCUUGUCUCCAUUUGUGCAGUUCACUAAAAUCAAGCAACAUUAUCGUACAAGUAGCACAAUAUAUGAAUGCACACUGCAGAAUCAUGUGAAAGAAGGCUAGUACUGACCUCUCAUGAUGCGGAAUUCAAACAACUCACAAGAAGAAGAUCUGAACCAAAUUCGCCUUAACGGAUAGGAAGUAAGAUCUCCUCUUGUGCAGUUCCACUAAGAUCAAGCAAUCAAGCAACGUUGUCGGUGUGACAUUUUGGUUGAACUUCACAAAACACUCUUAAAACAAAAGUGUUUUGUGUAGUGCAACAAAAGGUCACAAUGGCAACGAGGUGAGGCAGAUAACCCUAUUUACACAGAGGUGCAAAGGAAACAAUUAGUGGUCAAUAACGGUGGAUGACACCCAACAAAAAGAAGCAUCUACCUUAUCUAAAUGGGAAAGAAAGUAAGACAGUAGCAUUUCUCAAAUGGUGGCAUUAAUUAAUAUUAACAUAGAGAUUAUAUUAACAAUAAAAUUCUUUAAACAUGUAAUUUGCUUUUAACUGUGGCAUUGCAUCAAUUUUCCAGUGGCAUUAUUAGAGGGUGUUUGUUUACAGGGACAUUUUAGUGUAGGGACUAAAAAACUCCGUGUCAGUCCCAUCUAAACCAAAGAGGAGGGACUUUUAGGGACUAAAAGUGGGCAAUUGGGACUAAAGAAAGAAGACCCCAAGGGUGUCUUUUUGGGACUUUUUCCAACAGUUUCCCCUCCCACACAUCACACCUUGUCUCUAUUAGUUCAUUACUAGGGGUAACAUGGUCUUUUAGCAUGUCAUUUAAUAACCUCUAGUCCAUGUUUAGUCCCUGGAACCCAGCAGGUAGGGACUAGGGAGUUUUUAACCAAACAGUGCCUUAGAUUAACAACAGCUAAUGAGUUGCACGGGACAGUGGGUGCACCAGCACCAUGUGCAUCUACCGAUGUACUGUGGUCAUGCCCAGUCUGUUGCAACAAAGAACAAGCAACCAAGGAGCAUAUUUGUGUUGGUCCCAGUUUUGUUAUCUUUAGAUGCCUUUCCCUAUGUGAGCGCAGCAAAUCUAAUCCUGCUCAAACUCUACAGCCUUUUCCCUUCCUUUCCUUUUUGAACUAGUACUUUCGCCCCUUCCUUUCCUCUUUGAACCACGUCCUAGAUUUAUGCGAUACAACUUUCCCCGCUACUUUCCCCCAUUCCUUUCCUCUUUGAACCACGUCCUAGAUACAACUUUCCCCCUACAUUUCCUCUUUGAACCACGUCCUAGCUUCAUGCUAUAUACAACUUUUCCCACUACUUUCCCCCACUCCUUUCCUCUUUGAACCACAUCCUAGAUUCAUGGUAUACAUGUAGCUAGAGAAAUGCAUGUGGAGUAAUUAAAUUAUACCUUAAGGUUCUUGGGGCAUGGUUCGGUGGGCAACGGGACGACGGUGAAGAAGAAGGGGUCGGAGGUCCUCCCGCGCCGCCGCUGGGUGGAAAGUGAACAGCUGCACCGGUAGUCCCUCGCCGACGGUGACAGCGUUAAGCCUCCUUCCCUUCCCGACGGACGGAACCUGCCGGCUCUUUGAGCAGCAGUGAGGGGAGAGAGAGAGGCCAACGAAGUCUUGUUUAGAUCUGGAGAGGGCGAGAGAGUGUGAAAAGAGCAACUACAAGCGCUGAGGCUCCAGCGGGAGAGGGCGAGAGAGUGAGUGAACAGGCUAACCAGCUACACAACCCUCCCGUUACAUUCAACGAGAGGGAAAUGACCUUUUAUACAUUCCUGCAUUCGUGUGACAAGCAUGCUGUGUUUGUGUGUGUGUGUGUGUGUGUGUGGGAGUCAUUGGGAUUUCAAUCAUAAUCGUGUCAUGUGGCUUUGGUGGUAAGAGUAUCCACAGUGGUGCAGAAAUAAUGCAGCCUUAGUCACCUUACCUCUCUCCACGUAGUACAUUGGGUCCCACCAGUCGGAGGGUGAAAGAAACAAAUUAAUAACAAAAAUUAAAAGCGCCAGCGGUGUAUCUUACCUCACACAUCUCGCUACUUCUCGGGAACACUGUCCAAUUGGUCCCUCUGUUUGCUCACGUACUAUUUUAAGUGAAUCCUUAUUAUAACAUGCACACAAAUUUUGGCCACUUGUAUUCGACGCAAGCCAGUGUGCCACUGCAUCUCGUAUACUUACUACUCCCUCCGUCUAGAUGUAAUAAGUCACGUUAGAAGGUGCAACGGGACCAAGGUGCGUGCGUGUGCAUGCAUGUGUGUGUGUGUGUGUGUUUAACACCGUGUGUGUGUUAGAGAGAGCGACAGGUCGACCUACUCCUAUAAAGAGAUGUUGUGUAGUGUAUGAUUUUAACCGCGAGAGUCGGUGCAUCCUCUCGUUUCCGGGCGUGUCCGGUAUGGACAUGCGGAUAGCUGCCACGCCCGCUCCUGACCAGCCUGGCCCACCCAAAGCCCCUCCAUCGCCCGCGCGCGCUUCCCGCCCGAAACGGUCAGCGCCGCUCCAAAGAAUCGGUGCCGCAUUCAUGCCCGGGCAGAGCGGACACGACCUCUCACUGGCGCAAGAGUGAUGGUUGCUUCGUCCGUCCAACUUACUGCUGGGUCUAUGUGAUUUGACGGCUCAUUGGUCUUUAUUACUGAGGUGGUAGGACUGCUGGAUGUCCCACACUUUCGGCGAAAGGAGGUAUACUACUACUACUAGAUUACAAUUUUCUCCAUUCUUACAGCGGAGGCGUGCAAGAGCAGUGAAAACACGCAGGCUCAGUGAUUACAUGGCCCACCUCACACUACUAUCACCGUGCGACACCUAACUCUUUACAUAGUACUCACUACGUUCCUAAAUAUUACUAGAUGAGUCCCCGCACGUUGGCGCAGAACAGCGGUAUAUCUCUCUGUGCAAAAUUAUCGAUUUCAUAGAACAAAAAAACUCUAUAACUGCAUGACAAAUGUGGUAGCCAAACUAAAUAAACUCCCAUCAUCAUUUAGAUCAUCCCACGUAAGGAAAAAAGAUCAGCCAACUCCUGAACUCCUACUGCAUAAUGGGAUUAUAUUUUUCUUUUUGACAUGUUAACGGGACUUAAAAGCUCACUUACAUGCAUGUUACCGGUGCAUGCUUGCACGCAGACAUGUUGAUGUGAUUUAAAACCCACUCACAUGCAUGUGGCACGGUAUUUCUCCAUGCUUGCAUGUGGCUUAGUGCAGAGCCUCUCAACGUCAAGAUCAGACGGCUAUUUUGGACUGAUUUACUUCAUCUAACGGCUACAUCAAUUUUGAUGACGUGGCUCAAGGAGAGGAUAGAGAAUUCCUAGUAGUGGGGGCUAGCUAUUACUAGUAGAUAUAAGUCUUUGUAGAGAUUCCACUACAUACGGAACAAAAUGAAUGAAUCUACACUUAAAUGCAUCUAUAUACAUGUGCAUGUGGUUCAUGGUGAAAUCUCUACAAAGACUUAUAUUUAGGAACGGAGGAAGUACUAGUAUAGUACAUACUGUAAUUUAUCAGCGAGAUAAAUUUGUACAAUGUUAUGAAGCUUCCAGCUUCUGUUACAUGUAUCUUGCGUCCAAGGUUGCUCGUUGCAACAUUUCAUCAAAUACAAAGGAGACUAACAUGCAUGCUAUUGCAGCUCAAUGAUUGACAGAUCAUAGCAAAUAUGUACUCCCUCCGUUCGAAAAUAAGUUUCUCAACUUUGUGCAAACUUUAGUACAAAGUUGUACUACUACUAAAGUUGACACUUAUUUUGGAACAGAGACAGCUAAAGAAAAAACGAUCCAUGUAGUCCCUAGCCCUUGAACCAUGAACCCUGACCAGGCUUCAAUUUGCUGGCAACGUUCGAGCUUCCUAAUAAAUGAAGUUUGAAACCUUUUGACCAUCGGAUCAUUUUGUGCAGUUUCACCAAAAUUGAGAUGAGCAUCCCUGUGGCAAAGAAAUUGAACAAGCGUGAUUAGAAUAAGAUUACUGGGACUAGUUGAUGAGACAUAAACUCAUCACAAAUACAGUACGUAGAAGCCAGUAGAGAUAUGUGCGGGGCAAAGAAGUAGAGAAAUAUCCACAGGGAGUGAUGUGGGCAGCUGGAGUAGUGGUGCAAGCCGGCUGUAAAGGGAGUUGUACCUGAGGGACGUAGCUCAACCUUCAGGAGGGCGGCGGGAGGCGGCAACUGCCCACGUUGCGGUAGUGAGCAAGGGAUGAAGGCAACCUCACCGGUUUUGUGAGAGAGAACGGCGGGGACCCCUGAUCGGGACGUGCCGACAGUGGGUUUUCGUCGUCGGGACGACCGCCGCAUCUACACUAAGCAUCCACCCCUUCCCCAAGCGGACGUGAUCCGCCGGGAUGUUAGAGAUGUGGCCAUAGUCGUUUUGUGUGAGAGUGUGUGAAGAGAGCAACCCUAGCAAGCAACCGUGUAAGCUGGCCCGUCCUGACUAUGUACUCCUUUUCUCUCCAUAUGAACCUAUCAUAUUGCGUACGUGCCACUGAAGAAAAAAACUUUAUUCAUAAAUGACGCGGCACCUACUACUCGUUCUACUAUAACCUUGCGCUUGGCAUCUCCAAAAUAUUGACCUUGCGAUUGGCUCUUCGCCUCUUCGGGAAGUCGAGCAAUGAUGGUAGUGCAGUAUAUAUCGUUCUGGCUAUAUGAGACCGAAUGAAUUGCUACACGUCCACCACAUGGGCGAGGGUCGAGGGGCGAGGGAGAGUGCUACAUACGGAGCAAAAUGAGUGAAUCUACACUCUAAAAUACGUCUAUAUACAUCAGUGUUUGGAGUAUGUACUAGUAGUUCAUAUUGAAAUCUACUAAAGGACAUAUAUAUUCCAGACAAUAUGAUAUAAUCUCUAUAACCAAGGUAGUAGGGACGAGGAGUAAACGGAGGGAGUAGUAAAAUUUUGUCCUCGUCUUGCGAGCCACCGCGCGCAUGGGCGAGGGAGCGGGCGUAAGGCGUAGUAAGCAAGCUUCACCUCAUCCUGCGAGCCACCGCGCCCGUGGGGGCGGGAGAGACGGCAUACUAAGCAAGCUUCUCCUCAUUCCGCGAGUUGAUGGGACACAUGAAAAGUACUCCAGUGUAUAGAGCCUUGCCUCUAAGGUAGGCCCCGCAUGGUUUUCCUCUUUUUUUAACAAAACACGUCAAGUCGCAAUUUGAUUGUUCACCCGUUGUAGACGAUCCUCCCUCCACCAAGUGGACAACUAGUACACAUGCCAAAUUACCACGUGGGCUGCCUUUUUCGUACAGAAAUGAGCUCCACCGUGUACCCGCGCGGGUGUGGUUGGGAAAGAGACGGGAGUACGUGCGUCGUGCAUGCACCUCUUCUCUUCGUGCACGUUCCCCACCUACGUGGGUGUGUGUGAGAGAUACAAACCGUGUUCAUGAGUGUUUUUUUCUUUUGGGGUGGGGGUGGGGUGGGGGGUUAAUUUCGUGAAUUAUUUGUGGGAAUAUGUGUCGAUGACAUCUCAAACAAAAUUUUGCAUGCAAUGUGUGUGAAAUGGAGGCCUAUCCAUAUCAUACAUAGAGGGUCGGGCAAUCCACCAGAAGAGAGGGAGGGGUCAUAGCUAUCGAUAGAGUCGAAGAGAGGAUCAAGUGGGUGGGUGCGAGAUCGAUGAAGAGAGCCAUCGAAAUUGUGUGUGUGUACAAGUCAAAGAUAUAGGGCGACUGGCCUACCGGAACAUUAGAGGGCACACGUCAAGUUUGUGUGUGGCAGGGAGACAUGACUAGAGCGCUCGAUGUAUCGGUGUGUGUGGGGGGGAGGGGGUGGUGGGAGGGGUAGGCAGAGGCCUAACUAUAGAGGUAGAAUGACUCGUAUAUGUGUUGAGAAGGAGAGACCCAGCUAUGUCUUGAGGGAGAUCAGUCGACAUCAACACAUAACUGAAGGACGGGAAAUAUGAUGGGAGAGAGAUAGGGGAGAGAGAGAGAGGGAGGGAGAGGGGUAGAGUGCUGGAUGGGUGAUAGAGUUGCUUCUAGAAGAUGGUGGGAGAGGCCUACUAGACAAACUGGGGGUGGAACUGCAAUGUUAUCAAUAAGAGUGGGGAUGUGUUUAUUUCUGUGCUUGUGCGUGAUAGAUCUGUCGGGACGCAUCCAUGGAUGAUGAAGGGAACCAUGUGUUUGGUAAGAAAACCUAACUAGAUCGGUAGAUCAAUUAUUGUUUGUCGGAGGAAGGGAGAGACACAACUAAUGAGGUAGAUUGAUUGACGUGUGGGUAAAAACGAGUUAUAAGGACCUAGCUAGCUAUAUGUAUAGUGAGAGAUCAGUCGGUGUACGUCCAUUUGUUAGAGGCUAAUAAGGCCCAGCGAGACGGAUAGACAGAGAGAAUGGAGCUAGGAGGUGGUGCGAGAGGCCCAACUAGUAGCUAGAUAGGGGGAGGAGUCUGCGGUUGUGAGAGAGCGAUGAAAAUAGGGGCGAGAGUUUAGAUGUGUGUCUGACCGUAUGAGGGACACGAGGCAAGGACACAUAAAGGAGGAGAUUAAAGGUGUGUUUGUAUGUUGUAGGCAGGCAUCGCUGGAGAGGUUUAUCGAUUGGUGUGUGUCGGAAAGGAGUUGUGGAGACUCUGGAAGAACGACAUAAAGAAAAAAAAUGAAUGUGCCCAGUGGAUAGAAUGCCGAGGGAGGGGGAGGGCGAGGAGGGCGUGUGCAUGCACGAGAGAAAGUUAGUGGUAGCUACAAAGUUUAGAGGAUUGUGUGGGUGUAAGAGACUAACAAAGAUCAUAAUUUGAUAUGAAAGAGGAUUCAUAUAUUGAAUAGGAGAUCAUAGUGUUUUAAACAUUGCAUGCAUGAAUAUAGUGGUGAUACACGUGUUGUGCACAUGUUAUACCAUAAUGUGAUAAUGCAUGGUGUUUGCAACUCACAGCUAAAUGUCGAACAAUCUAAACCAUACUAUACAUCAAACAAUCUCACAUUUUAUUUGAAUUUGUGAUAAUGUGUGGCGUUUGCAGCUUACAACUAAAUAUCGAACAAUCUAAUCAAUACUAUAUAUCGAACAUUCUCACAUUUUAUUUGAAUUUGUGGUAAUGUGUGGUGUUUGCAACUCACAGCUAAAUACUUCUAGGCAUAUGGGGCGGGGCACCAUACAUAAUGUGAUAAACACAUUAUACAUAUGAGACAUGGUUUAGAUUAUGAAGAUCUAGCUAGAGCUAGAAAUGUAAUGUGAUUUGAAAUAAAAAUAAAGUGGAUUCAAAAAAUCUAGUUCGAGUUCAUAUAGUACAAAUAGUUCAUAUGUAACUCGAGACUAAUCAUGUGGUGUGCUGUGAAGAUAAUACACAAAUGAUGGUUUAACUUGACAAUAAUGAUGAUUGUAGAUCUUAUUAAAACAAAGAAACGAAUUCAAAUGCUUUGACUUCACAACAAUCAUUACUGUAGAUCUUAUUCAAAUAGAGAAACGAAUUCAAAUUUAGUUCAUAUUGAAGCGGUAGUAUAUACGUUUGGAAUGCACUAAAACGUUCAUUUGAGUAGUAGGUUGCAUGCAUUAUACAUGUAGCGAAAUAUUUUAAUUGAACAUAACAUGAAUUCAAAGUUUUGAAUGACAUUUGUAGGGCGCAUUGAUUUGGUACAGUACACGUUAGUCUUGUCCGGAAAUUUCAACCCGUGCCUUGUUAGCCCGAAAUAUUUAAGAUAUAUCUUUGUCUCGUUGUGCUCCGACAACUCCCUCCAUCUCAGCCCACGCCUUGCUAUUCCAAAAUUACAACGCGCACGAAAACUCCCACCUCCUGUGAAAUCCCGACACGCGAAAUGCCUGUGGUACCCCUGAACCAAAAGAACCGCCUCAAAUCGGUGGGGGUACUUUCGUAACUUACCCCACAUUUCGGACAAGCGCAUCUCUAAGCCAUGGUUCCCCACUGCCAUCCCAUCCGCCCACCCAUUCGUACACCGAGGCCACGAAAACCCGUGACGAAACCCCACACCCUGCUCCGUCCGCCACCCAGCCGGAGCCUCUUCCCCGACGAUGUCGUCCACAGUAACACCUCGACGUCCCUCAUCCACCAUAUCAGAUGAGGAUUCGUCAUCGAUCUCAUCGUCCCGCCGGUUCAGCCACACCAUCCUCCACCUCCAAGGAGCUGCCCCGACAUUCCCUUCGUCUUUCAUGCCACCUCCAUUCCCACACCGCCGUCUUCACCUGCACCACCGAAAGUGCAUCAUCAUCAUCGUUUCCUCGGAUGAAGCUGCAGCCCAAUCGGCGCCACCAAAGAGGUUGUACACUAAUCGCCGCAUUUUCUUCAUGAUUCAAUCUCACGGUGCUGCCAGCGCUCGGUCCUGAGCCGACACAGCGCGGCUCCAUCCACGGUGGCAUCGCUGGCCACGUCCUCCAUGGCAUCGCUCCCUCGGCGGUGACGUCCACAUCAGUAGGACCUGCUGCUGCUUUAGCUCUCGAUCACGCGGCUGCUCUACUCUUGCUCUCGGUCCCCUGCCUGGUCUGCUCUUGCUAUUGCUCUUGCUCGUGCUACUGCUCUCGCUCUUGCUCUUGCUUGCGAUGCUGCUCCGAUUUAGCUACACUUCACUCCGAUGCCGCCGGGGUGAAGGAAGAACCAGCCGCAGCGGGGAGCGGGGCUCGCCGGAGAGGUACCCCACAAUCUAUCUUAGGGUUCAGGAUGGGGGCGGUGGUCGCCGGCGGUGGCAGGGCGUUGGCGUGGGGAUCACCGGAGAAAAAGCUCGGCACGGGGGGCCUAGAGGGAUGGUCGGGGCGGCGGCGGACCGGCGGUGGGGAGUGUUUUCGGGGCGGGCGGGGUAGCGCACCAUGGGCGGCGGGGGGCUGUUGUUUGGCCGGCUCAGGGGGAUGGAGGUUGAAGAUGAACUGCAGGCCCUUGAUUUUGUAUCCAAUGGCUGCAAAAUCGACUGACCAGAGAUGAAACAGUCAGUCGACCAACGUGUAGCCUCACCUUGCUAGUGCGUCUAGUUUCGACAGCAAAAUUCAGUUUCGACAGCAAAAUUCAGUUUCGACAGUUAAGUUCAGUUUCAACAGUUAAGUUCAGUUUCGACAGUUAAAUUCAGUUUCGACAGUUAAGUUCAGAGAUGAGCGGCUGAUGUAUUUUACAUCUAGCACUUUGUGGUUAUGUAUUUUACAUCAUGUAUUGGAGAUGCUAUUAGAAUUCCACUCAGGUUAGCGUUGUUCAUUGUCUCUCUUGUCCUGCUUCAGCCUCGGCGCCGUACAACUCACCGGAGCUGCUCCAACGACGAAACCCUCCAUCACAACGGAGCAGUACCUCGGGCUCCAUCUCCAGACGCCUAAGAUCUUCUUCCCCUCCUCCGACAACCAAGUCAGCCGGAGCAUCCUCACCGGCCAACCCAAUCACACUGAGAUCGACAUGGCUUCGCCAAAGAGGUUGUACACUUGUUUCAUCUCUUUUUUACUCUACAUGUUAUAUAUAUUGUCCACUGAGCACACGGAUUUGUUCCUUUAGUGUCUCCUUGAAAGAAAAAAUGUAGGAAUUUUAAUUUUCACUUGUCCUCCUUUUCAAAUUCCUAUUCAUGAAGCACAAGACUAAGAGAUAGUAGCAUAAUAGCAUUAUAACCGUACAUUUUCUUGUGGUUUGACUUAAUCUCACCAUGCUUCUUUGCAUCCUGUGAUCUUCCAAUUGUUGUGAAUCAAACACCCAGAUUGGCAGAAAUCCUGUGUUUUUAAAUCUCUGUUUUGCACAUGCAUUCCUAUCCUAUUCCUGUCUAUUUCCUAUCCCUGCAUUGUUGUAAUCCUCCAAUUCAAACGAGCCCUUACAGAAUUACUUCUCUUACAGAUAGUUGUCAAAGAAAACCUUGCGUGGUUUGUCCCGCUCCUGCUGCACCGUCGUCCACCCAAGCUCAGCUACUCCAACGACAGAAGGGUCCAGCACAGCAGGGAUCCGGCCUCCAGACUGUCUUUCGUCGCCUCAGAUCUUCUUCCCCUCCGCUGGCAGCCAUGAAAACUGCACUACCAUCAUCAACUGAGCAGAUGACCUCGAGGACUACACGAGUCCACAAGAGAGGUCGCACUCUUUCGUGUCUGCUUACGUUAUGCAUCGCUUAAUAUUACAUGCUACUUUAUUGUCAUGUUCACCGAUUUGACUCUGAGUCAGCUCCAAACUAAUGGUCAAACUUGAUUUUUUAAAGGGUUGUGGGGUACAUAUCGGUGCCGCUAUCAAUAGUGUCUAUCUACUAUCUGGUUAAUCUCCGGUGUCUACUAUGAAUUUCAUGUUGGGUGGGAAACAAACAGUAAAGAAGCCAUUAUCUGUAUUUUUUAACUGAAGCCAUUAUCUGCCUGCUAUUAUUGGUUUUGGAUCUAUCCACAGGUUGCUACCAUCACUCUGGAUUUCUGCAUGCACUCCUUACAUAAUCUCACUAUGUUUUAUUCCUAUGCAUGACAUUUAUUGUAAACAAUGGAACUGAACAUGUAGAGCAAAAGAGACGAGCCUUGUGUCGCAAUAAAAUUUCAUGCAGACGUCGCUCCAUGGUAGGCGCAAAGGCAGGCCCCCUCCACGCAUUUCGGAUUGUAAUCGAGAGGAAGAUAUCUGUUCUGAGGGGGAUUCAGAAGGAGAAGACAACUCCUAUUUACCCCCUGAGGUCUUCGCUCUAACUUGGCAUGCUGAUGUUGGUUAUAUCAUGCAUAUGGUGUCUUGCAUUGCUUACUUUAUACAUUGAAUAUGUCAUCUGCUUAGUUUAGACAUCCUUUGUGUGAAUGCCAUCUGUUUAGUUUAUUCAUCAUUUAUCUGAAUUAUGCAACGCCAUCUUGUUUAGCCAGGCAUCAUAUAUGUGAAUUUUGCAAUGCCAUCCUGCUUAGCCAGUCAUCUUAUAUGUAAAUUAUAUCAGGCCAUCCUUUUUUUUGUUACAUAUUACAUUUGUCAACAAUGUUAUUACAUUCAACUGCUCUUCGUGUGCAUCAGCCAUUUGACACGGUGAUGGCAAAUUCUGGAGUGAAAACAAGGUCUUCAGAGCAGACUAUGCUAUCUGACGAAGCGCAUAUUUCGCUGGUUACGGAUAGCUCCUCAGAGGAGGAUUCAGAGACAGAUGACCAGUCCUAUCCCCCCCCCCCCGAGGUGUAUACUCUAACUUGGCAGGGUUAUGUUGCUCAUAUCGUGUGUAUGGUGUCUCGCAUUGCUAUGUCAUUUGAUUAGUUUAGACAUGCUUUGUGUGAAUGCCACAUGUUCAGUGUCUAAUUACCAUAUAUGUGAAAUAUGCAUUGCCAUCUUGUUGCAAGACAUUAUAUAUGUGAAUUAUACAAUGCUAUCUUGUUGCAAAGGCAUUAUAUAUGUGAAUUAUGCAAUGCCAUGUUGUUUAGCCAAUCAUCAUGUAUGUGAAUUAUAUCAUGCUAUCAUUUUUUGUAUUACGUGUUCCAUUUGGUGACAACGUUUGAAUAUUCAACUACUCUUCCUGUGCAUCAGCCAUUUGAAGCGGUGAUGGAAGUAUCUGGAAUGGAAACAAGGUAUUCAGAACAGACAAUGCUACCUGCUGAAGCAGACAUCUUGCUGGUUACAGAGAACUCCUCAAAGCAGGAUUCAGAGACUGAUGACCAAUCCUAUUUUCCCCCUAAGGUCUAUGCUCAAACUUGGCAGGGUUAUAUUACCCAUGUCAUGCAUGUUGUCUUGCAUUGCUUAGAUUUUACAUCAUAUAUGGAUUGCCAUCUGCUUACUUGCUUACUAUAUAAAUCAUAUAUUUGAAUUAUAUCAUGUUAUCAUGUUUACAUAGUACAUACACAUCAUCUAUCUGAAUUAUGGCAUGGCAACCCAUUUCAUAAAGACAUCAUAUAGUUAUAUCAUCUCAUCCUGUUUAGUGUUUACAGUCAUCAUAUUUUGAAUUAUGGCAUUCCAUCCGUGAAUGUAUGUGAAUUAUGGCAUGCCAACCUAUUUAAUAAAUACAUUAUAUAGUUAUGUCAUGUCAUCCUGUUUACAUAGUCUCAUAUUUUGAACUAUGUCUUUCCAUCUUUUUUAGUUAGCCAUCAUAAUUUGAAAUUGUGUCAUGCUAUCCUGUUUAGUUAGCCAUCAUAUAUGUGAAAUUGUGUCAUGCUAUCCUGUUUGGUUAGGCAACAUAAAUAUGAAUUAUUUCAUGCCCUCUUUUAUUCCCCACUAUCCAUUGCACCUGUCUAUCAUACAAUGUCUAUAAUUUCAAUUACUUUUCUUGUUUAUCAGCCAUUUGAAUUGGAGAGCGUGAUGGCAGUAUUUAAGGGAGUAACAACACGGUCUUUAGAAAAUAUAGUGCUACCAGUUGAUGCAGAUAGAACCACGGUUGUACUUGACCAAGGACCAGAUCCACCACACAUAACCCAGACUCUCGCAGAUUGUACCCCUACCCAGUUGGACAGAGAACCAGCUACACCCCUUCUAACCCCAACCCCGGCAGAUAGUAACCCAGUUCCAGUUGACACAGCACCGUCUCCACCAUAGAGCACCCAAACACGAGCAGUUAGUAAGGGAACUGCAGUGCCCAAAGCACGAGGACCACCACUCUGAAUCCCAACUCAACGCUUAAAGGAGAAGAAGAUUUGUUCUCAAGUCAGGUUCUGUAGCUAUGGUUCAUACUCCUUUGCUCUUGCAUGACUGUAUUUACUCAUACCAACUAUUUUCAAAUUUGAAGGAUGGAAUUGAAACUCCAAUGGCGCAAAAGGUAUGUUUUAAACCUGUUUCUUUAACUGGUUUGCUUUUGUAACCUGCUCUAUGUUGAUUUCAGUUUCAAUUGAAUAAACAGUUAUGUUCUCAUGUCAUGCACAUUACAAGUGUUGUUAUUGCUCUAUAGUUACCCACACUUAUAUUCUAUCUAUUCUGCUUUUUCUUGAACAAAUAUUAUUUGAACUGUGUCUCUAUCUUGAUUUGGCAACAAAAACUAGAAUGGUAUAGACCAUAAAGUGACCAUGGUACAUAGAUAUAUGUUUGUUUCAUGCUGUUAUCCUGUCCACUUUACUAUUGAACUCAUUUACCAAAAUGAGUUUCAUAUACAACAUGGUAAACAUGUGAUGUGUCUGCUUGUUUCUCUUUUAGAAUGCGGACAAAAUAUUGGAGAACAGUACCGUGUUAUCCAAUGGUAAAGGAAGUAAUGCAGAUAAGGUUCAAGAUAGUGAGACAUCCCUGUUGGUCUCCAAGAAAGCUGAUAAAAACUAUCUUGAUGAUAGUGAGGGAACCCAAAAGUCCUGUCUUGAUGUAGUGUUCGAGUUACUGGCCACUACUGCUGGCACAAGCUCUUCGAACUCGCUGCCUGAAUCAGUUCAUCUUCUUGAGUCUCAACUUCAAGUUGGAAGACAUCGAUCAGAUGUGCUGCGACAGGAAGCUGAAGGACUAAGCAAGUCCCUGCAGAAUUCAGAUGCAUAUUUUCUGGUGCAACAGCAAGCGCUGGAGGAUUUAAGCGCCAAACAAGAGAAAGUUAAUAAGCUUGCUAAGCAUCUUGCCAGCAUUAUGGGUACCCAGGAUAUUGUUUCUUGAGAUCUUCUAAAGUGGUUUCAAUUCUGGAUUUGUUUUACUGCGGCGUUUAUUUGCGUUGGUCGCCAACUUUGACAACCAGUGUAUAUGAUAUGCUGCUUUGUUCCCUAUAUUUGCACUGGUGGCAAACUUUGAUGCCCAGUGGAUGUAAUAUGUAUAAUAGCCGUGAUAGCCUAGCGUUAGUUGCUUGCUUAUUGAUUUCCUUGUUGUCUUGUUUAUUUGUUUGCUUGUAGUCAUUGCAGUUAUUUUUCUGCGGUUAGCUAGUGGCUGCAAUAACCUAUUUUUUAAAACUAGGCCACAAUAACCAUGGGCUAAUAUUUACUGUAGUGACACUGAGCCUCCUACUGGCCGUAGAAACAGUGGGCCUUCUACAGGCUGUAGAAACAAUGGGCCUUCUACGGGUCGUAGAAACAAUGGGCCUUCUGCGGGUUGUAUUAUCAAUGGGUCUUAUACGGGUCGUAUAAUCGAUUAGCCAAACAUGGGCCAAACAUACCGCAUUAUGGCCGUAAACGGGCUAGAGUUGGAAUCGUCCGUUCAUGGGCCAACCAUAGCGGGCCAUCAUUAAUAGGUCGUAUUUGAUGACGCUACGAAAUCGGCCCAAUGUAUUAACGGACCACAAACGGGCCGACUGUAACCACGGGCUGAAUUUGGCCCACAAGCAUAAAAUGACGGUAAUGGGCCGUAAGUAAACGAAUGCUGGAAAUGAGCCCAAGAAUAAAUGGGCUCUGAGAAGGCCGAAAGAUAACAUGGGCUGGAAACGGUCCAACGGAAUAACGGGCCGUUAAUGGGUAUAAAGUGAUACACUGUUCAUUACGGGCCAGUUUCACCACGGGCCGUUAAUGGGUGUAAAGUGAUACACUGUUCAUUACGGCCCAGUUUCACCACGGGCCGUUAGUAGGCCAAGAGUUACAUAGGGCCUCACAUGGGCCGAAAGACGUCAUGGGCCAUACAUGGGCCAGAAGUGAAAACGGGCUGGAAUCAUAUUGGAUGGCCCAGAUGACGCUACUGGGCCUAAUUCGGAUAGGGUGUAACGGGCCUUGGGUUAGCGGGCUGUAAAUAGGCUAUAUUCGAACAGGCCGUUAAUAGGCUUUCCAUGGGCGGGCCCGCUAGCUUUAGACCAAGUCAAAUGGGCCGGCCUUUUCACAGGAAUGAGCCUCUGUUGGGCCGUGCCACGUGUCGACGUAUCAUAGGCGCCUUCCGCCCAAUGAGUGGUUGACAUCUGUCCCAACAAUGAGCUGACACGUGUUUCCUCCAGCCAAUGAUGAUUUUACAUGUGGAAAAUCCCCAUUGGUCGUGGCUGUUAACGGGUUAUCGGAUCCAAAACCCGACCCGAUAGCUUAACGACGUUCCGUUAUGGUGGAUGUCACGUGUGGGUCACCCUUGACGAAAGCACUUCUGUGACGCGCGAUUUAUCGUCAUGGAAGUGGACACUUCCGUGAUGAUAAUUUUGGUAAUGUCAUGGAACACUUCUACGACAGCACGGGUAUGACUAUCUUGAUUCUGUCAUAAAUUUUUCAUGGAUGUACAUGCAUGACAAAAAAGUGACCUACUGUGACAAACAUGUAUCAUCACGGAAGUGUAUUUUUUUGUAGUGGAUCCCCUAUACUUGCGGGUUAUCAAGAACAUUUUUUGGUGCCGUUGCCGGGUAGCAUAGCUCUAUUCUUUGAGUCACUUGGUAUUUAUAUCUGCUUAUCAUUAUGAAGAACUUGAAAGAUCAAAGAACCAAGAUUUUUCCCUCAACUACGAGGGGAGGUAAGGAACUGCCAUCUAGCUCUGCACUCGAUUCACCUUCUGUUUUGAGUAAGCUUGCGACACCUAAACCUGCUUCUUCUAUUAAUUCUGAUAUGUCGCAUGUUAUUGAUGAUAUCACUUCUGCUAUGCAGGAUACUUAUGAUGAAACUACUUCUACGCUUGAUACCACUGUGCCACUUGGUGAAUUUCUUGAUGAACAACUUGCUAGGGCAAGAGAGAAUGAAAUUAUUGAAACUAAUAAUAUUGAUGAAAGUGAUGAUGAAGAUUCUCCCCUAGAUAUGAAUUACCUGUUGUUCUUGAAGGUUAUGUUAUGGAUUAAGAAACUGCUAGAGACUUUCUUGCUUGAAAUGAUAGGAGUGGUCUUAAGAAACUAUUAGCUAAGCUGAAACAAAAAUCUCUGAAUGCUAGAAUGAAAUAUGAUCCUGCUUAUGCUACUUCACCUAUCUUUAUUACUGAUAAGGAUUAUGAUUUCUCUGUUGAUCCUGAGUUAAUUAUGUUGGUUGAAUCUCAUCCUUUCUCUGGCAAUGAAUCUGAAACUGUUGUGGCACAUCUUACUAAAUUAAAUGAUAUAGCUACCCUGUUCACUAAUGAUGAGAAAACUCGCUACUAUUAUACCCUUAAAUUAUUUUCGUUCUCAUUAAAGGGUGAUGCUAAGAUAUGGUUCAAUUCUCUUGAUCCUGGUUGUGUGCGUAGUCCCCAGGAUAUGAUUUACUACUUCUCUGCUAAAUAUUUCCCGGCUCAUAACAAACAAGCUGCUUUAAGGGAGAUAUAUAAUUUUGUGCAAAUUGAAGAAGAGAGUCUCCCCCAAGAUUGGGGGAGGCUUCUCCAAUUACUUAAUGCUUUGCCUGAUCAUCCUCUCAAGAAGAAUGAAAUACUUGAUAUCUUUUAUAAUGGACUAACCGAUGCUUCCAGAGAUUACCUGGAUAGUUGUGCUGGUUGUGUUUUCAGGGAAAGAACUGUUGAUCAAGCUGAAAUUCUAUUGAAUAAUACGUUGACUAAUGAAAAUAAUUGGACACUUCCUGAACCAACUCCUAAGCCAACUCUGAAGAAAAGGGGUAUUCUAUUUCUCAGUCCCGAAGAUAUGCAAGAGGCAAAGAAAUCUAUGAAAGAAAAAGGUAUAAAAGCUGAAGAUGUUAAGAAUUUACCACCUAUUGAAGAAAUACAUGGCCUUAAUUUGCCUCCUGUUGAAGAAAUACACGGUCUCGAUAACCCGACGUGGGUAGUAAAGGUUAACUCUCUCUAUAGAUAUGAUAAAGCUGAAAUCCCUCCUGCUAAGUUUGCUAGCCAAUGUUUGGAUGAAGUCAAUAACUUUAUGGUUAAGCAAGAAGAUUUUAAUGCUUAUGUUGGUAGACAAUUGAAACAUAAUGCUUAUAUGAUUGAACACUUGAGAGAUUAUAUGGCUAAUGUUAAAGGUGAACUUAAACUUAUUAGUAAACAUGCUUCUAUGGUUACCACUCAAGUAGAACAAGUACUUAAGGCUCAGAAUGAUUUGCUCAAUGAAUUGAACAAUAAGAAAAAUGAUAAUGUUGUUAGAGUUAUGAGUUAUGACUAGAGGGGGUAAAAUGACUCAGGAACCUUUGUAUCCUGAGGGCCACCCCAAGAGAAUUGAGAAAGAUUCUCAGAGAACUAAUGUUGAUGCACCUAGUCCUUCUAAGAGGAAGAAAAAGAAAAAUGAUAGGACUUUGCAUGCUUCCAGUGAACCUGUUGUUGACACACCUGAGAAUCCAAAUGAUAUUUCUAUUUCUGAUGCUGAAACACAAUCUGGUAAUGAACAUGAACCUAGUGAUAAUGUUAAUGAUGAUGUUCAUGUUGACGCUCAACCUAGCAAUAAUAAUGAUGUAGAGAUUGAACCUGUUGUUGAUCUUGAUAACCCACAAUCAAAGAAUCAACAUUAUGAUAGGAGAGACUUUGUUGCUAGGAAGCACGGUAAAGAAAGAGAACCAUGGGUUCAGAAACCCAUGCCCUUUCCUCCUAAACCAUCCAAGAAAAAGGAUGAUGAGGAUUUUGAGCGCUUUGUUGAAAUGAUUAGACCUAUCUUUUUGCGUAUGCGUUUGACUGAUAUGCUUAAAUGAAUCCUUAUGCUAAAUAUAUGAAAGAUAUUGUUACUAAUAAGAGAAAGAUACCGGAAGCUGAAAUUUCCACCAUGCUUGCUAAUUACACUUUUAAGGGUGGAAUACCAAAGAAACUUGGAGAUCCAGGAGUACCAACUAUACCAUGCUCCAUUAAAAGAAACUAUGUUAAAACUACUUUAUGUGAUCUUAGAACCGGUGUUAGUGUUAUGCCUCUCUCUUUAUAUCGUAGACUCGAUUUGAAUAAAUUGACACCUACUGAAAUAUCUUUGCAAAUAGCUGAUAAAUCAACUACUAUACCUGUCGGUAUUUGUGAGGAUGUGCCUGUUGUGGUUGCAAACGUUACUAUUUUAACAGACUUUGUUAUUCUUGAUAUUCCCGAGGAUGAUAGUAUGUCUAUUAUUCUUGGAAGACCCUUUUUGAAUACUGUAGGGGCUAUUAUUGAUUGCACCAAAGGCAAUGUCACUUUUCAUGUUAAUGGUAAUGAGCAUACGGUACACUUUCUGAGGAAACAACCUCAAGUCCAUAGUAUCAAUUCCAUUGGAAAAUUUUCAAUAAUUACUACUGGAGGUUUUGAAUUUCCUCUUCCUAUUGUUAAGAAGAAAUAUGAUAUUCUUAUUGUUGGGAACAUGCAUAUCCCCAUUGAGGUAACAUAGUGUUAUUUGAAAUUUCUCCGGUUUCAUGUUACUCGAAAUGAGUUUGUUAACAAGACCUGAUCAACCUUGUUAGUGGAUUCCUUUUGAUGAGCAUGAGAUGGACGAAGUUAGAAAACACAACUCUAUGUACCCUCUUUUUACUUUCUGUUAUUUAUAUUAAAUAAAGCAAAAAUAGUAUUUUUCUGUCUGUUUUCUGAAUUAUCAAUGCAAUAAAAAAUACCCUAAAAAUAAAAGUUCUCCAAAUGCCCUGAAAAUUAAAUAUGCUUUUUCUAGAAUAUUUGAGAAUAUCUGGCACUAAGAAUUCAUCAGGGGGAGCAAGCACCUGGCCACGAGGGUCCAGGGCGCGCCCAACCCCUGGGCGCGCCCCCUGCCUCGUGGGCCCAAUGUGGCUCCCCUCCAUUAUUCCAGCUACCACACACUCCUUCUUCCUCCCACAAAAAUCACCAACCAGCUCAAACCCGAGUCCAAGCUCAUUUUGCUGCCAUUUUCGAUCUCCUUGCUCAAAGCUCCAUUCACAAAACUGCUUUGGGGGAUUGUUCCUUGGUAUGUGACUCCUCCAAUAGUCCAAUUAGUUUUUGUUCUAGUGCUUUAUUUCAUUGCAAUUUUUUGCUGCUUAGGUGACCUUGUUCUUGAGCUUGCAUGUCAAAUUUAUAUGGUCCCAAGUAGUUCUAAUACAUGAUAUAGCCUCUAGGCACUUGUAGGAGUAGUUGCUAUCAAUUUUGUUGAGUUUGGUUCACUUUUAUUUUGAAGUUACUAAAAAUUUCAGAAAUUUUUCAAAGGAAGAAAUAUGUUUAGGAAAAUGUACCAAGGUGGUUCUUCAAGGAAGCAAGGACCCAGGACCGCAAUACGCGAUGCGGACGAGGAACCACCAAGAGACGCUCAAGUGCGGCCUUGUGAAUGGCCGUCAGAGGCUUUCAUGAUCCAAGCAGGAAUUAAAGAGGAAUUUGAUGCAUAUGUGUGCAAUGCUGAUCUAGAGAUCUUCGAGGCAGAUAAGUGUCGCCAAUACCUCUAUUUAACUGAUUCAUUUGUGAGAAGGUUUAAAUUCUCAUCAUCACACAAUUCUCAAAUUGUCCUGUUUGAUCUUUAUUAUAAAUCUUAUACCAUGGACUUAGAAGAUUUUAACACUGCUUGUAAACUCCCUCGGUGGGUUGAUGUUAGUGAACCUCGCAAAUCUGAAUUUAGAGAUUUUCUUGCUAGUAUAACUAUGGGAGAGUAUAGAGAUAUAACACAAGCUACCAUAGGGAGAAUUCAUUUUCCUGCUAUACAUUAUUUUGCUCUCUUCAUAGGUAGGUGCAUCAAUGGUAAGGAUGAAGCAUGUCACAUGUGUGUCCCUAAUCUCAGUGUUCACAGGAGUGCUGUAUUAGGAGAUAAACAUUAUAAUUUGGGAGCCAUUGUUGCACGUAGGUUGCAUAAUAAUCGUCUUCAUGGAGAUUUCUUUGGUGGAAUUUAUGCAACUCGUAUAGCUAACUUUCUUGAGAUACCCAUACGUGGAGAUGAUAUUGAGUUGCCUCCUUCUUAUUUAGAUUAUGAGGCUAUGGUUCGUCAUCAGUUUGUUGAGAGGAACGAUCAGUUCCUCCAGUACCGACUAAUCUUUGACAGACGACGCACCUAUCACGUCGCCCUCCCUGCUCCUACUUUCUUUGACUUUCAGGCAAAGGGGUGAUAUUUUAUAACCAGGGAGGAGGCGACCGAGUAUGAGAGGAGGGCGGAGACAGCUCGCUACCAAGCUGCAACUCAUCACGCAAUUGCCGCUGCAUCUUAGUACGACCCCAACUACAACUUUGGAUCUCCGCCAGGCCAGCCGUGGCCAUAGACCAACUUAGGCCAAAAUCCUAAGCUUGGGGGAGUACGUAUUUCUCACCGACAUUACAUUCAUGUUCACACACUCAUGCUAGUUGUCGGUGCUCAUACUUUUUCAUUGUAAUAUCCAUGCUAGUUUAUUUUCCUUUUUAUGCUUUCUUCUUGUGUGUUUGAUAAACCUUAAUAAAACAAAAAAAAUUAGUUGUAGCUUUUUAGCUAGUUUACUUGUCAUGUUGUAGUAGUAGUAAUUAAAAAGAAAACCCAAAAAGAUUUCUCGUUCUUCUUUUGCUUGUUGGGAGCUUUCCCGUGUAAAUAGUUUUAUUUCUUUUCUUGUUCUUUGGGGGUCGAGAGGAGAAGACCAUAAUGAAAAUGUUGAGUGGCUCUUAUAUGCAUUAUUGUUGAUCUAACAAAGAGCCCAUAUUACCUUGUCUUCUCUCUUGAAUUUAAUGCUUGCAGAUUCCAGCUUAGUCCAAUGCACGUGCACUAUUAUUAUUUUCCACACUAUUCGGUCGUGCAAGUGAAAGGCAAUAAUAAUGAUUAUAUGAUGAACUUAUUGAGAUGAGAAAAGCUGGUAUGAACUCGACCUCUCUUGUUUUUGUAAAUAUGAUUAGUUCAUCGUUCCUGAUUUAGCCUAUGAAUAAACAUGUUUGCAAUGACAAUUAGAGAUUGUAGUUGCUUAUGCCAUGCUUAAUUAUCUAGGAGCUUAUAAUGGUUUACCUUGCGUGCCAACAUGCUAUUAAAAUGGUUGUGAUGUGGUAUGAUAGGGUGGUAUCCUCUUUUGAACGAUUCAAGUGGCUUGACUUGGCACAUGUUCACGCAUGUAGUUGAAACAAAAUCAACAUAGCCUCUACGAUAUUUAUGUUCAUGGUGCAUUAUAUCCUACUCAUGCUUGCAUUCGGUGUUGAUUAAUUUUAAUGCAUGUUCAUGACUGUUGUCGCUCUCUAGCUGGUCGCUUCCUAGUCUUUUUCUAGCCUUCACCUGUACUAAGCGGGAAUACUGCUUGUGCAUCCAACUCCAUAAACCCCAAAGUUAUUCCAUAUGAGUCCACCAUACCUACCUAUAUACGGUAUCUACCUGCCAUUCCAAGUAAAUUUGUAUGUGCCAAACUCUAAGCCUUCAAAUAAACAUUUUGUUUUGUAUGCUCGAAUAGCUCAUGUAUCAACUAGGGUUGUCUUUAUCUUCCAUGCUAGGCGGGUUAUUCUCAAGAGGAGUGGACUCCGCUCCUCACUCACGAGAAAAUGGCUGGUCAUCGGGAUGCCCAGUCCCAUGCUUUAUGCCAAUCAAAUCAAAAUAACUGCAAACAAAACUCCCCCGGGACUCUUGUUAGUUGGAGGCACUCAUUGUUUCGAGCAAGCCAUGGAUUGAUUCUUGUUGGUGGAGGGGGAGUAUAAACUUUACCAUUCUGUUUGGGAACCACCUAUAAUCUGUGUAGCAUGGAAGAUAUCAAGAUCUCUCGGUUGUUAUGUUGACAAUGAAAGUAUACCGCUCAAAAUAUUAUUCAUAUCUAUUUCAAAACCGAGCUCUGGCACCUCUACAAAUCCCUGCUUCCCUCUGUGAAGGGCCUAUCCAUUUACUUUUAUGUUGAGUCAUCAUCCUCUUAUUAAAAAGCACUAGUUGGAGAGCACCACUGUCAUUUGCAUUCACUACUGUUAGUUUACAUUGAGUAUGACUUGACUGGAUCUGUUUUACCAUGAAUUACAAUGUCUAGUCGGUCCUUGAUCUUGAAAGGUGAUCUGCAUUUAUUUUUUUGCGGUCUCAGAAAGAGCUAGUGAUGUCUACUACACAACCUUCUUCUUGUAGACGUUGUUGGGCCUCCAAGUGCAGAGGUUUGUAGGACUGUAGAAAAUUUCCCUCAAGUGGAUGACCUAAGGUUUAUCAAUCCGUAGGAGGCGUAGGAUGAAGAUGGUCUCUCUCAAGCAACCCUGCAACCAAAUAACAAAGAGUCUCUUGUGUCCCCAACACACCCAAUACAAUGGUAAAUUGUAUAGGUGCACUAGUUCGGCGAAGAGAUGGUGAUACAAGUGGUAUAUGGAUAGUAGAUAAUAGUUUUUGUAAUCUGAAAAUAUAAAAACAGGAAGGUUACUAAUGAUAAAAGUGAGUGUAAACGGUAUUGCAAUGCAUUGAAACAAGGCCUAGGGUUCAUACUUUCGCUAGUGCAAGUUCCCUCAACAAUACUAACAUAAUUGGAUCACAUAACUAUCCCUCAACAUGCAACAAAGAGUCACUCCAAAGUCACUAAUAGCGGAGAACAAAUGAAGAGAUUAUGGUAGGGUACGAAACCACCUCAAAGUUAUUCUUUCCAAUCAAUCUGUUGGGCUAUUCCUAUAAGUGUCACAAACAGCCCUAGAGUUCGUACUAGAAUAACACCUUAAGACACAACUCAACCAAAACCCUAAUGUCACCUAGAUACUCCAAUGUCACCUCAAGUAUCCGUGGGUAUGAUUAUACGAUAUGCAUCACACAAUCUCAGAUUCAUCUAUUCAACCAACACAUAGAACCUCAAAGAGUGCCCCAAAGUUCCUACCGGAGAAUCACGACGAAAACAUGUGCCAACCCCUAUGCAUAGGUUCAUGGGAGGAACCCGCAAGUUGAUCCCCAAAGCAUACAUCAAGUGAAUCACGUGGUAUCCCAUUGUCAGCACAGAUACGCACGACAAGACAUACAUCAAGUGUUCUCAAAUCUUUAAAGACUCAAUCCGAUAAGAUAACCUCAAAGGGGAAACUCAGUCCAUUACAAGAGAGUAGAGGGGGAGGAGAAACAUAAGAUCCAACUAUAAUAGCAAAGCUCGUGAUACAUCAAGAUCGUGCCAAAUCAAGAACACGAGAGAGAGAGAGAGAGAGAGAUCAAACACAUAGCUACUGGUACAUACCCUCAGCCCCGAGGGAGAACUACUCCCUCCUCGUCAUGGAGAGCACCGGGAUGAUGAAGAUGGCCACCGGAGAGGGAUUCCCCCUCCGGCAGGGUGUCGGAACGGGUCUAGAUUGGCUUUUGGUGGCUACGGAGGCUUCUGGCGGCGGAACUCCCGAUCUAUUGUGCUCCCCGAUCGUUUUAGGGUAUAUGGAGAUAUAUAGGCGGAAGAAGUACGUCAGGGGAGCCACGAGGGGCCCACGAAGGUGGAGGGCGCGCCCCCUACCUCGUGGCCUCCUUGAAGCUUCCCUUACGUGGACUCCAAGCCUUCUGGGCUUCUUCUAAUCCAAAAAUAAGUUCCGUGAAGUUUCAGGUCAAUUGGACUCCGUUUGAUUUUCCUUUUCUACGAUAUUCUAAAACAAGGAAAAACAGGAACUGGCACUGGGCUCUGGGUUAAUAGGUUAGUCCCAAAAAACAUAUAAAAUAGCAUAUAAAUGCAUAUAAAACAUCCAAGGUUGAUAAUAUAAUAGCAUGGAACAAUCAAAAAUUAUAGAUACGUUGGAGAUGUAUCAGCAUCCCCAAGCUUAAUUCCUGCUCGUCCUUAAGUAGGUAAAUGAUAAAAACAGAAUUUUUGAUGUGGAAUGCUACCUAACAUAUUUCACUAAGUAAUUCUUCUUUAUUGUGGCAUGAAUGUUCAAAUCCAUAAGAUUCAAGACAAAAGUUUAAUAUUGACAUAAAAAUAAUAAUGCUUCAAGCAUACUAACCAAGUAAUCAUGUUUUCUCAAAAUAACAUGGCCAAAGAGAGCUAUCCCUACAAAAUCAUAUAGUCUGGCUAUGCUCCAUCUUCACCACACAAAGUAUUUAAAUCAUGCACAACCCCGAUCACAAGCCAAGCAAUUUUUUCAUACUUUUGGUGUUCUCAAACUUUUUCAAUCUUCACGCAAUACAUGAGCGUGAGCCAUGGACAUAGCACUAUAGGUGGAAUAGAAUGGUGGUUGUGGAGAAGACAAAAAGGAGAAGAUAGUCUCACAUCAACUAGGCGUAUUAAUGGGCUAUGGAGAUGCCCAUCAAUAGAUAUCAAUGUGAGUGAGUAGGGAUUGCCAUGCAACGGAUGCACUAGAGCUAUAAGUGUAUGAAAGCUCAACAAAAGAAACUAGUGGGUGUGCAUCCAACUCGCUUGCUCACGAAGACCUAGGGCAUUUUGAGGAAGCCCAUCAUUGGUAUAUACAAGCCAAGUUCUAUAAUGAAAGAUUCCCACUAGUAUAUGAAAGUGACAACAUAGGAGACUCUCUAUCAUGAAGAUCAUGGUGCUACUUUGAAGCACAAGUGUGGUAAAAGGAUAGUAGCAUUGCCCCUUCUCUCUUUUUCUCUCAUUUUUUUUAUUUUUUUAUUUGGGCCUUCUCUUUUUUAUGGCCUCUUUUCUCUUUUUUUAUUUGGGCUUCUUUGGCCUCUUUUAUUUAUUUAUUUUCAUCCGGAGUCUCAUCCCGACUUGUGGGGGAAUCAUAGUCUCCAUCAUCCUUUCCUCACUGGGACAAUGCUCUAAUAAUGAUGAUCAUCACACUUUUAUCUACUUACAACUCAAUAAUUACAACUUGAUUCUUAGAACAAGAUAUGACUAUAUGAAUGCCUCCGGCGCUGUACUGGGAUGUGCAAUGACUCAUAACUGACAUGUAUGAAAGGAUUAUGAAUGGUGGCUUUGCCAAAUACGAUGUCAACUACAUGAUCAUGUGAAGCAAUAUGACAAUGAUGGAGUGUGUCAUAAUAAAUGGAACAGUGGAAAGUUGCAUGGCAAUAUAUCUCGGAACGGCUAUGGAAAUGCCAUAAUAGGUAGGUAUGGUGGCUGUUUUGAGGAAGAUAUAUGGUGGGUUUAUGGUACCGGCGAAAGUUGCGCGGUACUAGAGAUGCUAGCAAUGGUGUAAUGGUGAGAGUGCGUUGUCGGGGGGUGCUGAUUCCACCAACACCUAUGGGGACAGGGCCCCUUUCGCUUCGGUGGGAGGCGGAGAGCGCACAAAGAGCGGAUCGAGGCGGUGCACGCGGGGGGGGGGGGAUUUUACCCAGCUUCGGGCCGCACGGAUGCGUAAAACCCUACUGCUGCUUGUUUGUGUGUAUUGAAUCUUUGCUCAGGAGCGAUCGACGCUACCAGACUGAGCGUGGGAGUGUUUCUGGUAUCUCCAAUGAGCCGAACUGGCCGAACCUCCUCUACGUUGCGCUUGGGCCUCCUUUUAUACUUUGAAGGGGUUACCCACAGGUGGCAACGUAGACUAGAAGGGUAAAAAUGGAAAAGGAUGCGGUAGGUGCAGCUACCGCUACUAUGGAUACAGUGCACCCUACCUAACUCUGACGGCAGGGGACAAGGGCAUUAAAUGCCUGUCUGAGUCUCCUAAAUAGUGCAAAAGGUGACCGUUAGGAGCGCCACCGUUUGUCACGAUGGGCUUCUCUUCAUCUCCGCUUGCCACCACAUACCCCUAGCUGCACGGCCUCCUGCCACGUGUGCUUGGGAGAGUCCCAGAGCGACACGUUAGCAGGUGUGCUGGAGUGCGGGCACGAAGUGGGGGUUUCCCGCGGCAAGCUCCUUGCCGCGGCCGUCGUCUUGUCGCGUCCGGAAGCUUGUCGCUCGCCGGAUCUUGCCGGGACGCAGGGCGCGUCGCAGCAAGCUUUCUUGGUAUGCCUUGAGUAGUCUUCCCGGCAAGCUCCUCUUGCCGGGGUCUUGUCUCUUCCCGGCAAGAUCCUCUUGCCGGGGCCUUGUUUGGCCUCCCCGGCAAGCUCCUCUUGCCGGGGUCUUGGUUUGAGUACUUUGUUCUUGAAUGGUCUUCAAGGGAUCCACGGAGGGUCUUGGCGGUCACCCGGCAAGCCUUGCCGCGGGGUGCUGCAACUGCCCGUGCACGAGUUCGGGAUACUAGGGUACCCCUACUCUAGUACACCGACAGGAGCCCCCGGGCCUGGGCCAUACACGGUGCCGAGCGCUGUUGGGCCAGGCCCAAAACAGUGCACGGGCACGCGCGGCCUAGGUCACGCCGAAUCUAACUCCGCUCCCACCGCGCACGCCCAGAACGGCAAGCGUCAAACGCGGCGUCGUGGGUGAGAUCGUGGGUGGCGUGCGUGGGGCUAAGCCCCCCGAGCAUGCGUCAGGCCACGAUGAUGGGGACGGUUCACGCCCUCCUCCGUAAACGGAGGUAGGCGUGGGUGCGUGGUGCAUUUACUGGACGGGGCCGGUGCGCGGUUUCCGGGACGUCCACUCCCCGCGUUCACGGGGGGGAGCGAGGCCGCCUCAUCUGUCACCUUGGUUCUGCAUCCCCGCCACGCGGCUCCCAUGCGCUUGGGGUCACGGACGGUGGAGUGGGAAACUGGGCCGUCGCGAGCGGGUUGGCCCUGACUCCCUGCCCUUCCCGUGCCUUGAUUCGCUGAGCGGGGCGGCCGAGCCCCCACCUCGCUCCUUUAUCAAGAGCGGGAUGGGAGCACAGAGAUCCGCACUCUCUCAUCUUCUCCUUUCUCCAGCUUCUGCUCCCCUUUCUCUCAUCUGCCAUGGAGAAAGGGAACCCAGGCCCUUCAUCGGUGGCGGCGAGGGUCGCCUCCAGAUAGCGCAUCUCUCCCUCUUCCGCGCCCGAGGUGGCAGAGCCAGCCUUAAGGGGAAGAGGGAGGGGGCGAGGUCGCAGACGAGGUCGAGGACGAGGUCGAGGCGCUCGGGGAAGAGGCGGACGGGGCGGCGCGUCAGCUUCACCUCCGCCGGCGGCUCCUCCCCCCACGGCGGUCCAUAUAGGGGACGACCCUUGCGAGUUCUUCGUCAGGCUGCGCCGGGCGCCUCGUCGUCGCCUCCGGCUUCCAGCUCCGUUUGCGCGCGCGAUGGAGUUGGACCCGCCCGAGACACUGAGGCUGCACAUGAGGGGCUGUGGGAUCAACGGCACGCGAGUCCGCGUUGCAUUCCCAGCCCCUAAUGUGAUGUAUCUUGAUCGAGGGUGGAAGACGUUCGCCCGCAUCCUCAGCUUGACGGAGGGGUUUACCCUCCAUUUUAAGUUGAUGGAGGGCGAUCUCCUCUCCGUCAAGGCCUUCGGGUGCUUCGGCACUCGGGCGAAGUGUUGUGUGGACAGCUCCUUCGACAGCGAAGGCUCCUCCUCGAGCGAGAGCGACGAGGAGGGGAGCGACAGCGACGACGAGGGUAGCGGGCGGCGGGGUAGUGGGUCCGACUAGGCGUCGGGCGCCGCUUUGCACGGCACCGGCGACCCCAUCAUCCGCGUCGCCGGCUUCUUGAACUCCCCGGGGUCGUCUCCUUGGGCGGCUGGCGUAGGGAGGCUGUGGAAGGGGAAGAGGGCAGGCGACAAGGCCGUCAAGCCAGAGUACGAGGGCGUGGUGCCCUCGACAGCAUGCUGACGUCCUGUCGCCCCGUCUUCGAGCCCCGCUUCCAGCGCCACCGUCGCCGUCCAGCCUUCGGACGACCCCCAGAUGUUCCCUUGGUGUCUUCUGGCACCCGUAACUCGCCUAGGCACUCCUCUUGCCCUUUUCGCCUCCUUGACCUGCCUCCUGAAAAGAGGGGCAGGAAAGGGAUUACGGGCAUCUUAUCUUUUUAAUUUGUAAGCCUUCGGGCCUUAGCUGUAUCUAGAACUUGUAAUCCUCUCUUUCAUGUUUUUCAUCCUCUAUGGACUGUACCUGAGUGGGAUGUUUUUUAAUGAAAAGAGGAUGCUUGCCGGGUUAUUUGUCUCGUGAGCUAAACCCACGCCAAGGAGCGAAUCCUUGGUAUCCCUCGGACAGACAUUUCAUCUCCCGGCAACAGGCCCUGCCGCCUUCCCACGUCGCUCAACCCUUCUCACGUUUUAGACGGAGGCAGGAACGAGGUGGGUGCGGUCUCCUCAUUUCAUCCCUUUGCUGCCGCGACUACGACCAAACUUGGCCUCGAGAACGAGCCCCAGGGCCUAGAGUCGAGGGAGCACGGCAGUUUCCGGGAAGAAAUGUGGUUUCGCAUUCCCCAGUCCAUAAGAGGAUGCAUGAUAAGGGAUGAAAGACUUAUCUGAUAUUGCAGCCCCGGCAACUCUAGUUUGCCGUGGACGAUUCUUGGCACUCGCAGCCCCCAGCGAUACUGGCUUGCCGGGGAGGCUUUUAUCCUCAGUAGAGAACUUUGUCGUUCUCGAUGCCGGCUUCCGGCAAGCUGGUCGCCAGGAAGGCUUUUUUCUUCGGCAGAGAACUUUGACGUUCUCGAUGUCGGCUUCCGGCAAGCUUGUUGCCAGGAAGGCUUUUAUCUUCGGCAGAGAAUUUUGACGUUCUCGAUGCCGGCUUCCGGCAAGCUUGUUGCCAGGAAGGCUUUUAUCUUCGGCAGAGAAUUUUGACGUUCUCGAUGCCGGCUUCCGGUAAGCUUGUUUGCCAGNNNNNNNNNNNNNNNNNNNNNNNNNNNNNNNNNNNNNNNNNNNNNNNNNNNNNNNNNNNNNNNNNNNNNNNNNNNNNNNNNNNNNNNNNNNNNNNNNNNNNNNNNNNNNNNNNNNNNNNNNNNNNNNNNNNNNNNNNNNNNNNNNNNNNNNNNNNNNNNNNNNNNNNNNNNNNNNNNNNNNNNNNNNNNNNNNNNNNNNNNNNNNNNNNNNNNNNNNNNNNNNNNNNNNNNNNNNNNNNNNNNNNNNNNNNNNNNNNNNNNNNNNNNNNNNNNNNNNNNNNNNNNNNNNNNNNNNNNNNNNNNNNNNNNNNNNNNNNNNNNNNNNNNNNNNNNNNNNNNNNNNNNCCGGCAAGCUUGUUGCCAGGAAGGCUUUUAUCUUCGGCAGAGAACUUUGACGUUCUCGAUGCCGGCUUCCGGCAAGCUUGUUGCCAGGAAGGCUUUUGGCGAAGAACUUCGUUGUUCUUGACACCGGCUCCCGGCAAGAUCGUUGCCGGAAAGGCUUAUGGCGAAGAACUUCGUCGUUCUUGACGCCGGCUCCCGGUGAGAUCGUUGCCGGAAAGGCUUACGGCGAAGAACUUCGUCAUUCUUGACGCCGGCUCCCGGCAAGAUCAUCGCCGGAAAGGCUCAUGGCGAAGAACUUCGUCGUUCUUGACGCCGGCUCCCGGCAAGAUCAUCGCCGGAAAGGCUCAUGGCGAAGAACUUCGUUGUUCUUGACGCCGGCUUCCGGCAAGAUAGUUGCCGGAAAGGCUUAUGGCGAAGAACUUCGUCGUUCCUGACGCCAAAAAGAUUGGCCCUAAGGGCGUUGCCAGCCCCCGGGCCAUAACUGCGUUCAAACAUAGCAAGUGAUUAGUAUCCGAAGUGCACUUAACUCGUUUGCGAAUUUUGACUUCUGCUACAUAUUCCCUAUGCCUGCUGGAAUGCUUUCCGGUGCGUGUGAUCCAGCCAGCAGCGCUUGAGGGAACGGGCCCUUAGCGGCUAUUCGGGAACAUCGCUUCCCGGAAAGGUUUACCUUCUUGGUUCUAGCGCAACCGCACAAGUUGCCGAGCGGACUCGAGGCAACAUGGAGCGCAACUAGCCCCGAGAAGGCUCCUCGGCAUACAAGUCUAUGCAGAAAUCUCAAAUAAAUAGCACAUGCUAUCUUCCUGUUCAACCCCUCUUUGUACGUCCACCCUACGCUUUCUAGGGAAACUUGCCGAUGCAGGCACCCUUGCCGCGAGCGCCGAGUGCGGAACUUCAGCAGCCUGCUGGCGGGGUCGCUACCGACAAGCAAUCUCGUCGCAACUAGUUGCAGCUCGCUUAAGUUGUUGAGCGGACUCGAAACAAAGUAAGGGCGCUAGCGGCUCACUUAAUUUGCUGAGCGGACUCGAAGCAAAGUAAGGGCGCUAGCAGCUCACUUAAGUUGUUGAGCGGAGUCGAAACAGAGUAAGGGCGCAACUAGCUACGAGUUGAUUCCUCCGCGCACAGGUUUUCCGUACAAAGAGCAAGAUCUCCAAGGCGGAUAACCUUAUACAGAAAGGAAAUGUCUAAAGUCUCGCACGACUUAGCUUUUUCUAUUGCUGCACCGGCGUCGUUCUUUCGCUCACCCGCUCCUUAGGAGCCAUGACGAUGAAGAACAGCCGCCGCCGAAGCCCCCUACCUGGCGCGCCAGNNNNNNNNNNNNNNNNNNNNNNNNNNNNNNNNNNNNNNNNNNNNNNNNNNNNNNNNNNNNNNNNNNNNNNNNNNNNNNNNNNNNNNNNNNNNNNNNNNNNNNNNNNNNNNNNNNNNNNNNNNNNNNNNNNNNNNNNNNNNNNNNNNNNNNNNNNNNNNNNNNNNNNNNNNNNNNNNNNNNNNNNNNNNNNNNNNNNNNNNNNNNNNNNNNNNNNNNNNNNNNNNNNNNNNNNNNNNNNNNNNNNNNNNNNNNNNNNNNNNNNNNNNNNNNNNNNNNNGGGAGGCGGAGAGCGCACAAAGAGCGGAUCGAGGCGGUGCACGCGGGGGGGGGGGGAUUUUACCCAGCUUCAGGCCGCACGGAUGCGUAAAACCCUACUGCUGCUUGUUUGUGUGUAUUGAAUCUUUGCUCAGGAGCGAUCGACGCUACCAGACUGAGCGUGGGAGUGUUUCUGGUAUCUCCAAUGAGCCGAACUGGCCGAACCUCCUCUACGUUGCGCUUGGGCCUCCUUUUAUACUUUCAAGGGGUUACCCACAGGUCGCAACGUAGACUAGAAGGGUAAAAAUGGAAAAGGAUGCGGUAGGUGCAGCUACCGCUACUGUGGAUACAGUGCACCCUACCUAACUCUGACGGCAGGGGACAAGGGCAUUAAAUGCCUGUCUGAGUCUCCUAAACAGUGCAAAAGGUGACCGUUAGGAGCGCCACCGUUUGCCACGAUGGGCUUCUCUUCAUCUCCGCUUGCCACCACGUACCCCUAGCUGCACGGCCUCCUACCAUGUGUGCUUGGGAGAGUCCCAGAGCGACACGUUAGCAGGUGUGCUGGAGCGCGGGCACGAAGUGGGGGUUUCCCGCGGCAAGCUCCUUGCCGCGGCCGUCAUCUUGUCGCGUCCGGAAGCUUGUCGCUCGCCGGAUCUUGCCGGGACGCAGGGCGCGUCGCGGCAAGCUUUCUUGGUAUGCCUUGAGUAGUCUUCCCGGCAAGCUCCUCUUGCCGGGGUCUUGUCUCUUCCCGGCAAGAUCCUCUUGCCGGGGCCUUGUUUGGCCUCCCCGGCAAGCUCCUCUUGCCGGGGCCUUGGUUUGAGUACUUUGUUCUUGGAUGGUCUUCAAGGGAUCCAUGGAGGGUCUUGGCGGUCACCCGGCAAGCCUUGUCGUGGGGUGCUACAACUGCCCGUGCACGAGUUCGGGAUACUAGGGUACCCCUACUCUAGUACACCGACAUGCGUAUAAUCCAUGGACUCAACAUUAGUCAUAAAGAACUCACAUACUUAUUGCAAAAAUUUAUUAGUUAUCAAACCAAAGUAUUACGCGCAUGCUGCUAGGGGGAUAGAUUGGUAGGAAAACACCAUCGCUCGUCCCCGACCGCCACUCAUAAGGAAGGCAAUCAAUAAAUAAACCAUGCUCCGACUUCAUCACAUAACGGUUCACCAUACGUGCAUGCUAUGGGAAUCACAAACUUUAACACAAGUAGCUCUCAAAUUCACAACUAAUCGCUAGCAUGACUCCAAUAUUACCAUCCUCAUAUCUCAAAACAACCAUCAAGUAUCAAACUUCUCAUAGUAUUCAAUGCACUCUAUAUGAAAGUUUUUAUUAUAUCCCUCUUGGAUGCCCAUCAUAUUAGGACCAGUUUCAUAACCAAAGCAAACUACCAUGCUGUUCUAAAGACUCUCAAAAUAAUAUAAGUGAAGCAUGAGAUUUCAUCUAAAACUACCACCACGCUCUAAAAAUAUAUAAGUGAAGUGCUAGAGCAAAUGACAAACUACUCCGAAAGAUAUAAGUGAAGAUCAAUGAGUAGUCGAAUAAUUGUGCAACUAUGUGAAGACUCUCUAACAUUUAAGAAUUUCAGAUCUUGGUAUUUUAUUCAAACAGCAAGCAAAACAAAAUAAAAUAAAAUGACGCUCCAAGCAAAACACAUAUCAUGUGGCGAAUAAAAAUAUAGCUCCAAGUAAAGUUACCGAUGAACGAAGAAGAAAGAGGGGAUGCCUUCCGGGGCAUCCCCAAGCUUAGGCUUUUGGUUGUCCUUGAAUAUUACCUUGGGGUGCCUUGGGCAUCCCCAAGCUUAUACUCUUGCCACUCCUUAUUCCAUAGUCCAUCGAAUCUUUACCCAAAACAUGAAAACUUCACAACACAAAACUUAAGAGAAAACUCGUAAGCUCCGUUAGUAUAAGAAAGCAAAUCACCAUCAUAAGGUACUGUUGUGAACUAAUUCUUGAUUUAUAUUGGUGUUAAACCUACUGUAUUCCAACUUCUAUAUGGUUUAUAAAAUAUUUUAGUAGCCAUAGAUUCAUCAAAAUAAGUAAACAACACAUGAAAAAGAGAAUCUGUCAAAAACAGAAUAGUCUGUAGUAAUCUGGAUCAAACGUAUACUUAUGGAACCCCAAAAAUUCUAAACUAAAUUUCUGUACCUGAGGAAUUUAUCUAUUAAUCAUCUGCAAAAAUAAUUAACUAAAUAUCACUCUCCACAUAAAAAUGGCAGCAAUUCUCGUGAGCGCUAAAGUUUCUGUUUUUUACAGCAAGAUCAACAAGACUUUCCCCAAAGUCUUCCCAACGGUUCUACUUGGCACAAACACUAAUUAAAACAUAAAAAAUAAUAUCAUAACAGAGGCUAUAUAUAUUAUUUAUUACUAAACAGGAUAAAAAAGCAAGGAACAAAAAUAAAGUUGGGUUGCCUCCCAACAAGCGCUAUCGUUUAACGCCCCUAGCUAGGCAUGAUGAUUUCAAUGAUGCUCACAUAAAGGAUAAGAAUUGAAACAUAAAGAGAGCAUCAUGAAGAAUAUUACUAGCACAUUUAAGUCUAACCCACUUCCUAUGCAUAUGGAUUUUUUGAGCAAACAAAUUGUGGGAACAAGAAUCUACUUGCAUAGGAAGGUAAAACAAGGAUAACUUUAAAACUUUAAGCACAUAGAGAGGGAACUUGAUAUUAUUGCAAUUCCUACAAGCAUAAGUUCCUCCCUCAUAAUAAUUUUCAGUAGCAUCAUGAAUGAAUUCAACAAUAUAACCAUCACAUAAAGCACUCUUUUCAUGAUCUACAAGCAUAUAAUUUUAUUACUCUCCACAUAAGCAAAAUUCUUCUCAUUCGGAAUAGUGGGAGUAUCAUAAGAGACCCGAAUACUAUAAAUUGUUUCCACAUUAGAAGAGUAAUGUUCAUAAAAUGGAUAAUCAUAAUCAUGGCAAGUUUUAUAAAUAUAAUCACUACUUUUUAUAGCAUAAGUAUCAUCACAAUAAUCAUCAUAGGUAGGAGGCAUGCUAUCAUCAUUAUAAAUUUGCAUAUCAAAACUUGGGAGACUAAAAAUAUCAUCUUCAUUAAACGUAGCAUCCCCAAGCUUGGGACAAACAUUAAUUGCAGCAAAUAUAUUCUCAAAAACAUCAUAUUCAUCAAACAUAGCAUCCCCAAUCUUGGGCCUUUUCAUAUUAUAAGCAUAAUCACUCUCAUCAUUAAUAGUAUGGAUAGCACCAAUAGUAUAGCAAUUAUCAUAUUCUUCCAAGCAAGUGCCAAAAAGAUUUUCAAGAUCAUAAGAAGUAUCAUUAUCUUCCACAAUUAUAUUUUCAUGAGGCACAAUAGUAAUAGGAGCAGCAUUAUUUGGGAGAGAUAUCUUUUUACCUCUCUUCCUUUUUCUUUUCUUCUUCUUUACCACAUCAUGUGUGGGUUCAAUCCUCUUUUUGGAGCUCCUUAUUAAUGAGAUUGGUUGAAUAGGAGGCUCCUCCUCGUUACCUGAUUCAUCAUAAGAAAUAAUAGGAGGUUAUUGGGAAGUCUCUUCCCUUUCAUUAGUAUUCUCUUCAUCUUCUAUUUGUUUUCUUUUCUUUAUGUAGUUGGCAAUAUAAGGAUUUUCAAUACAAUUCACCGCACAAUACAUAUAAAUUUCCUCUAGAUCAAAAUGAAGAACUCUAUCAAGGGAAAAUUUUGGAAUGUCCUUAGUUAUACAUUUCAUUUCCUCAUAACCCAAGAGCAAACUAAGUUCAUUAUGAUGUGCAAGGGAAAUCAAGUCAUCACAAUUUUUGGACACGAUACGAUCAUGAAACAAUUUGCAUUGGGUAUUGAAAUGAUCAUGUUCAUUGCAAAGCUCACAAGUAUGGCCAAGAUAAUUUAAAUUUUCAGCACAUUCAUCUAGCCUUUCUUGCAACAAUUUAGUUUCUAAGUACUUAUGCCUCUUGCAAUAUCUAUCUUCCCUAUUUGGUGUGUACUUACAAACCCAAUGUACUCCACAAAAAUUGACAUGUUUAUAGGAGACAUCAUAACUAGUGCAAUCAUCAUUAGUAUCAUGGAUAUUCAAAGAAUUCGUACUAACACCAUUGCAAUCAUGCUCAUCAUUCAAAGAUUUAGUGCCAAACAUUUUAUAGACUUAUUCCUCUAGCACUUGAGCACAAUUUUCCUUUCCAUCAUACUCACGAAAGAUAUUAAAAAGAUGAAGCGUAUGAGACAAACUCAAUUCCAUAUUUUUGUAGUUUUAUUUUAUAAACUAAACUAGUGCUAAAACAAGAAACUAAAAGACUCGAUUGCAAGAUCUAAAGAUAUACCUUCAAGCACUAACCUCCCCGGCAACGGCGCCAGAAAAGAGCUUGAUGUCUACUACACAACCUUCUUCUUGUAGACGUUGUUGGGCCUCCAAGUGCAGAGGUUUGUAGGACAGUAGAAAAUUUCCCUCAAGUGGAUGACCUAAGGUUUAUCAAUCCAUAGGAGGCGUAGGAUGCAGAUGGUCUAUCUCAAGCAACCCUGCAACCAAAUAACAAAGAGUCUCUUGUGUCCCCAACACACCCAAGACAAUGGUAAAUUGUAUAGGUGCACUAGUUCGGCGAAGAGAUGGUGAUACAAGUGGUAUAUGGAUAGUAGAUAAUAGUUUUUGUAAUCUGAAAAUAUUAAAACAGCAAGGUAACUAAUGAUAAAAGUGAGCGUCAACGGUAUUGCAAUGCGUUGAAACAAGGCCUAGGGUUCAUACUUUCGCUAGUGCAAGUUCCCUCAACAAUACUAACAUAAUUGGAUCACAUAACUAUCCCUCAACAUGAAACAAAGAGUCACUCCAAAGUCACUAAUAGCGGAGAACAAACAAAGAGAUUAUGGUAGGGUACGAAACCACCUCAAAGUUAUUCUUUCCAAUUAAUCCGUUGGGCUAUUCCUAUAAGUGUCAUAAACAGCCCUAGAGUUCAUACUAGAAUAACACCUUAAGACAUAAAUCAACCAAAACCCUAAUGUCACCUAGAUACUCCAAUGUCACCUCAAGUAUCCGUGGGUAUGAUUAUACGAUAUGCAUCACACAAUCUCAGAUUCAUCUAUUCAACCAACACAUAGAACCUCAAAGAGUGCCCCAAAGUUCCUACCGGAGAAUCACGGCGAAAACAUGUGCCAACCCCUAUGCAUAGGUUCAUGGGCGGAACCCGCAAGUUGAUCACCAAAACAUACAUCAAGUGAAUCACGUGGUAUCCCAUUGUCACCACAGAUACGCACGACAAGACAUACAUCAAGUGUUCUCAAAUCUUUAAAGACUCAAUCCGAUAAGAUAACUUCAAAGGGGAAACUCAAUCCAUUACAAGAGAGUAGAGGGGGAGGAGAAACAUAAGAUCCAACUAUAAUAGCAAAGCUCGCGAUACAUCAAGAUCAUCCCAAAUCAAGAACACGAGAGAGAAAGAGAGAGAGAGAGAGAGAGAGAGAGAGAGAGAGAGACAGAGAGAGACAGAGAGAGAGAGAGAUCAAACACAUAGCUACUGGUACAUACCCUCGGCCCCGAGGGAGAACUACUCCCUCCUCGUCAUGGAAAGCACCGGGAUGAUGAAGAUGGUCACCGGAGAGGGAUUCCCCCUCCUGCAGGGUGCCAGAACGGGUCUAGAUUGGCUUUCGGUGGCUACGGAGGCUUCUGGCGGCGGAACUCCCGAUCUAUUGUGCUCCCCGAUCGUUUUAGUGUAUAUGGAGAUAUAUAGGCGGAAGAAGUACGUCAGGGGAGCCACGAGGGUGGAGGGCGCGCCCCCUACCUCGUGGCCUCCUCGAAGCUUCCCUUACAUGGACUCCAAGCCUUCUGGGCUUCUUCUAAUCCAAAAAUAAGUUCCGUGAAGUUUCAAGUCAAUUGGACUCCGUUUGAUUUUCCUUUUCUGUGAUAUUCUAAAACAAAAAACAGGAACUGGCACUGGGCUCUGGGUUAAUAGGUUAGUCCCAAAAAUCAUAUAAAAUAGCAUAUAAAUGCAUAUAAAACAUCCAAGGUUGAUAAUAUAAUAGCAUGGAACAAUUAAAAAUUAUAGAUAUGUUGGAGACAUAUCAGCUAGCGAGAUACCAUCUUGUCAUAUCAUAUCAUGAUUAUUUUGAGAAAGUGUUGUCAUCUGAGAUUUAUUAUUAUUGCUUGCUAGUUGAUUAUGUCAUUGAUAUGAGUAAACAUGAGACCUAAGUGUUAUUGUGAAUAUAGUUAGUUCAUAAUCUUUGCUGAAAACCUGAAUGCUGGCUUUACAUAUUUACAACAACAAGAGCAAACAGAGUUUGUAAAAGUUUUUCUUUAUCACUUUCAGUUUAUCAACUGAAUUGCUUGCGGACAAGCAAAGGUUUAAGCUUGGGGGAGUUGAUACGUCUCUGUCGUAUCUACUUUUCGAAACACUUUUGCCCUUGUUUUGGACUCUAACUUGCAUGAUUUGAAUGGAACUAACCUGGACUGACGCUGUUUUCAGCAUAAUUGCCAUGGUGUUAUUUUUGUGCAGAAAUAAAAGUUCUUGGAAUGACCUGAAAAUCAAUGGAGAAUUAUUUUGGAAUAUAUAAAAAAUACUCAAAGAAAGAUCCACGUCAGGGGGGCCUCCACCCGUCCACGAGGGUGGGGGCGCGCCCCCCUGCCUCGUGGGCCCCCUGAUACUCCACCGACCUCAACCCUGACUCCGUAUAUUCACUUUCGGGGAGAAAAAAUCAGAGAGAAGGAUUCAUUGUGUUUUACAAUACAGAGCCUCCGCCAAGCCCUAAACUCUCUCGGGAGGGCUGAUCUGGAGUCCGUUCGGGGCUCUGGAGAGGGGAAUCCGUUACCAUGGUCAUCAUUAACCUUCCUCCAUCACCAAUUUCAUGAUGCUCACCGCUGUGUGUGAGUAAUUCCAUCGUAGGCUUGCUGGACGGUAAUGGGUUGGAUGAGAUUUAUCAUGUAAUCGAGUUCGUUUUGUUAGGGUUUGUCGGCGUUCUGGGAACGGGGGUCCCCAGACUUGCCUGCCUGCGGCCUGUGGCGUGGCUCAAAGGGGGGCCCAGCAUGGCCCAUCUUCAUCAACACAGACCCAAGACCCUCGCGAGGGGCCAAGCCUCGCGGGGCGGACGACAUGGAGCUUCCUUAGGCACGGCCUCAUCAGGCUGGCUCGCGAGGAGGCGAAGAGAUCAAGGCAGGGUACCUCACAAGGUGCCCGUGACGCAACCAUGAUGACCAAAGGCGCCAGGCGGGCGCCAGCCCAUGCAGUGUCCUCCUUUCCUCUUUGGUGCAAAGGGAGCAAGCACAGCCGUGGAGUACCGAGGCAUCAGGCAAAGGUUGCCAUUUCGGUGCGACAAGACCAAGAACAGGAAGACUGCAAGACGAAGGUCAUCGUGGAGCCCAAGACGGCGUCACCACCAGAGCUUUGUGCAGGUGAAGACUACUUUUGUCAGGAUAGCUAGUACUAGCUGUCCUCCUUCAAAUUAGCCCGCCAUUGUUGGCUCCCUUCCCGCUCGAUAUUUGGGAAGAGGACCAGGGCCUCUAUAAAUAGGACUAGCCACCAUAGUAGGAAGAGGACAUCGAAAUCCGGGAGGAGAUCGAAAUCAGAGAGGCAGAGGCUAAGGACGAAGAAGAGAAGAUCGAAAUUAGAGAGAGAGAGAGAGAGAGAAGGGUGACUGAACUCCUCCUAGCAGUUCGUCCCCCCCAGCCAAGAACAGACCCUCGCGAGGCUGUUCUUCCUUGUAUUGUUCAUCAUCAUCAGCCCAAGAGGCAAUCCACCACACCACACACUGGAGUAGGGAUUACACCAUAAUGGUGGCCCGAACCAGUAUAAACCCUGUGUCCCUUGUGUCGUUCUUCCCAUAGCCUAGAUCUUAGCGAGGCGGAGGGGUGCAGGUAGGUAGGAGGCGAAAUCUCCGCGCGCACCCUAGUGUUCGAACCUCAAGGGUCUGCCGGAACCCGAAAUCCGACAUUUGGCGUGCCAGGUAGGGGUGCGCCGGAAUUCGUCUUCCACCACCCCGUUCUCCUCCGACCAUCGCGCCCAUGUCUGACGCUUGUCGGGCCCACGCCGAGCGCCGGUCCGCUCUCGCUUCCUGCGUCGCCCAGAUGACUCCUGUCGGCGGGCGUCCUCGCCGUUCCCCGUCACCUGCCGUCAACGCCGCCACCGGCCCGGCGGGGGACGAGCAGCAAGCAUUGUCUCAGCAUCCGUCCGUGCAGCAAGACGGCCGCACCGCAACUCCCUCGCUCACCCCAGCUGGUUCUUCGUCCCGCGCGCUCCGCGCACCCAUGGAGGCUCGAGCUGCGCUCAUCGCGGCAAACGAGUUCCUGCGCUACCAUCCCGUCGACGACGUCUAUGAAGAAUGGCUCGACCGCAUCGCCGAGCUCGUCCGCACCGCAGGGGGCUCUCCUACGCCGUCCGUUCCGCUGCACGGCACCCUGCCCCGCGCGGGCGACGAAGCUCUGGCGGCGCCCCGGCCGCCUCCUCCUCAAGAAGGCGCCAUGGCUCCAAGGCGUGUGGCCCCUGGGCAGAACCCUCUUUGUCAGGUGCCAGCGCGGCAAGAGCAGAGCUGCCAGGAAGUCCCUCGCCCGCACGAAGCCGCUCGGGCGCUCCCUGCUCCAGCACAUCGCGACCAUGCUCCUGCUCCCGCACGUCAAGACCCCGCGCUGCUCCCAGCUGCAGCGUGUGGGGACAUGCAAGACCAAGCUCUCCGUCACCCAAGGCCUCCCGUGGCCACAGCAGGCCGUCGUGCCUUCACCAUGGAGCUACGCAGCAUCGCUUGGCCCAGCAAGUUCAAGCCAGACCUGCCUCCUCGUUACGACGGCACGGCUGACCCUGCGGAGUUCCUCCAGCUCUACGAGCUGGGCAUCGAAGCUGCCAACGGAGACGAGAAGGUCAUGGCGAACUGGUUUCCCAUGGCGCUCAAGGACGGGGCCCGCACCUGGCUCCUGAACCUGGCUCCGGGCACGAUCUCCUCCUGGGACGAGAUGCGCACCCGCUUCAUCGCCAACUUCCAAGGUACUCGCGACCGGCCACCCGCCACGAGCGACAUGCGCCGCAUCAAGCAACAACCCGGGGAGGCCCUGCAGAAGUACAUCCAGCGCUUCAACAACGCACGCCUCAAGAUUCCCAGGGUGACUGAGGAGGCCAUCAUCUCAGCCUUCUCCGACGGCGUGCGCGAUGUCAAGAUGAAGGAGGAGCUGGCGAUGCAUGAAGACCUGUGCGCUUCCUUGGAGCUGUUCAACUUGGCAACCAAGUGCGCCAGGGCUGAGGAGGGGCGUCUCUCCUUCCUCAAGCUGCCUUCCACAGACCCAGAAGAGAAGAAGCCAAAGGCCAAGGAUGUGAAGCGCAAGGGGGCUGUCGUGCUCGCGGCAGAACUAGACACCAAGUGGGGCAAAGAUCAGCCUGAACCUUCCAAGGGCAGUCGGUACUGUGUGUACCACAACCUCCACACCCACAACACCAACGAAUGUCAAGAGCUCCGAGCCGUGCGAGAAGGAAGGAUCGGCCGUCGCCCCGACCGCGGUGACCGGGGCUACGGUCGAGGAGGAGGAAGGAAUGCAGGACGCUGGGAAGACCGUGGCCCGCGCCAAGGGUGGCGCGAUCAACCUCGCGAGGGUCGCUGGCAAGACCCGCCUCGCAAGGGAGACUGGAGGGAGCAGCCUCGCGAGGAUCGCCCGCAAGGCAACGCAGGCCUCCCUCCGCUACCGCCGCAGCCAAGGAGAAACGAGGACCGCCACCAGGACGAGGGGACUGGGGGCUUCCAGGAGCCGCGCGCGAUCGCCUGCAUCCUGGGCAGGGCUCAAGCCCCAGCCUCUCAAUGCAUCUUCAAGCAGUUUGCCUGCGAAGUGAAUGCAAUCCUCCCCAGGCUCGAAGCCACGCGCCCUCUCAGGUAGUCGGCGUGCGCCAUCACGUUCAGCUCAGCAGAUCAGCUCACAUGUGCGGCUACAGUCGGAGUCCUCCCGAUGCUUUGUUCCCCAAUCAUCAGCAACGUGGUGGUCACCAGGACCCUCAUCGAUGGCGGGGCAGGGCUCAACGUCCUGUCCGUGGAAACAUUCAACAAUAUCCAAGUGCCCUACAGCCAGCUUCGGCCAACCAAGCCUUUCUCCGGAAUCACCGACGGCUCCACGGUCCUGAUUGGGCAGGUCCGCCUCCCUGUCACCUUCGGGGCACGCGACAACUACCGCACCGAGCUCAUCGACUUCGACGUCGCUCACAUUCUCCUGUCGUACAACGCCAUCCUUGGGUACCCAGCGCUGGCCAAGUUCAUGGCCGUAACUCACCACGGAUACAAUGUCCUCAAGAUACCAGGAAGUGGCGGAGUCAUCACAGUGCCCUGUGAAGAAAAGGACGUUGUGUGUUCCCUGGAACGAGCCUUUCAGGCCACGUCACUAGAAGACCCGGAUCGCGAAAGCAGGAGGCUUCCCGAGGCCGCCCCCAAGAAGAAGAAGACAUCGUCCGGCCCGGCCCCUCAGGAGGCAGGCCCCUCUGGGCCCGUGCCUACCCAGGAGGAACCUCCUUCCAUCACAUAGGAAAGCGCGCCCGGCGCCCUCCUCAGGCAGGGCUCGGGGGCUCUCCCCUGAAAGGCCACCGACCUGGCUAGGGUCACGAGGGAGGCGCUUGGGCACCACAUGGAAGCGUGUUUCGAAGAAUGUUUCCCUCAAGAAGGAGUAAGGCAAGGAGAGCCAGACCCUCAGGAGUUCGUCAACAAGGCCAUUCAGGAGCUACAGGAGUCAAGAGUCAUGAAAGGCGGUCGCUGCCUACCAGCAGUGGCUCCCCAUCCAGGCGAGGAUGGUGGGCUGCACGUCUGCAUCGACAUACCAGGGCUCAACCGAGUCGCCUCUCUGGAGCACCUCUGGCCCUCGCGAGUGGGGCGCUGCAGAGGCCCACCCCACAGCUACGUUCGCAUGCCUUACGGCUUGCCGAAGGCGGCUGCCACGUACCAGCGCCUCAUGAGGGGCAUCAUGGAGGCACAAGAGGCCAGGCGUUCCGCGGCCCUGGCGGAGAUGGAGAUGGUCCACGAGGAGCCACCAGCGCCUCCGGAGCCUCCCGAGGCUCCUGGGCUUGGGGGCUCAUGAGGAUUGGCUUCCGCAGCCCACCGAGUCUGCUACACCAACACCCCUUCGUCCUCAACGUCAUCAGGUGACAUCUUUCAAGUUUCACUUCCAGCUGGGAGCGCCCCCCAGGGCUGCAUUAUUCCUAGGCCGCGUGGGUCCGUCCCUGCGGCGUGUAUCCCUUUUAUUUCAUGUUGUUAGCUUACCUUGUUGGGAGCGCCGCUCGGGCUGCAUCAUCCCCAAGUCGCUCGGGCCUGACCCAGUGAUGUACGCCUUCCUAGCAUCUAUUUGGAUGAAUCCACUCCUUCGCGGCUAAUGUGUUUGACCUAGCUGCCCGCUCAACUGACGCCAACUGACGGAACUGCUCCCAAACGGCACGACGCUUGCACAUGGGUCCGUCCCUGCAACGUCGACAAACCUGAAUGGCUGAGCUCUAGCCGCGGCAGCCCCGCAUGGCGCCACCUCGUCAAGCCUUUAGUGCCUCGUUACCCCUCGGAAGCAACCAACGGCUGACUGUCAAUUGUCAUGGCAACCCCUUGUUCUUUCUUUGAUGGGUCUACAGGAUCUCUUAAAGGGGCUGCGUCAGGCAAGGCCCUUGCGGUGUCUCCUCCACUCUCAUCCGCGCGAACCGCUUGCACGUUAAAGGGGGGUACCUGAGCAUCGUGACUCAGGGCUCCUACUGGCUCUCCAGCCCUCACCCUCUGGCCUUGUCCACGGCAUCGCGACCUAGCAUACCAGCGACGGCUGACACUCGCUCGAGGGCCGGGACCCGAGGACGUAGAGCAGAAAGGGGAGCAAAGGCGGGAGGGGAGGGACACACGAGGACCUCGCCGAGCAACCUCGCGCCUGCCGAUGCAUGGACCCGGCGACACACGAGAGAGCGGCCCCUGAUUCUCGAGAUAAGUCAUCACCCGGAAGCGUCAACUACCAUGGCACCAUCCUCGCACCUAAUGCAAUCCCGUGUUAGCGACACCGCCCUCCUUUCUCACCGAAUGACGGCUGCUUGGGCGCCAAAGGGGACCUCCCGAGCAUCGCGACUCAGGGGCUCUUACCAGACUCCGGGUCGCUCACCUCCUGGCCUUGACCACGGCAUCGCGACCUGGCAUACCAGCGAUGGCUGAAGCCGCCUUGGGACUAGGACCUGUCGGCGCAGAGCACCAAGCCCUCGUGAGGUUCGAAAGGGAGGAUUGAGCUAAGACGGAAUGAGCAACUCGCACAAUUCUACGACAAGGGUUAUAUUAACAAAACAAGAUCACAGGCACCUUACAAGCCCCCACGGGACGCGUAUUUGAUUCCUCGCAGGGAACAGAUCCUAAAGGGACACUAACUACGUGCGCCCCUGCAGAAGACGCCAUCAUCAACAGUGGGCCGUCAAGCACCGGUGCCAACCCCAUCCAGAUCAGAGUCAGCGGCGGCCUGAUGAGCCCACCCUGCUCCAGGCGCGGCGCCGGCUCGGGGGCUCGUAGCUUUCGUCGCUCGUCUCCGGAGUCACGAAGAGAUCGUCGGAGUCGCUGGAACCUCUGACGCCUCCGCCACCUGAGGAGCCGCCAAGGGAGCGGUCGGCGGGCCCAGUCCUUGCCGCAGUAGGGUCCCGGACACCUCUCCCGGGGCAGCACUCCAACCGGUGCCCGUUCGCAUCAAAGACCUUGAAGAACAUCACCGAAGCACCGUCAUAAUCCAAGUGGAUCGCGAAGGCGCCCCUUGUCCUGCAAACCCGGGCGAUUUCGCCCCAGCCCCAAGUCAUGAAGACCUCGCCCGAGGCAACGACCGCGACCUCUGCCUCGGUCGCGAGGGUGCUGCAGCUAAAGCUCCAGGGGCUCUCCCUGCGGGAUGAUGGAGGCGAAGAAGGGAGGAAGGCGAAUGCAAGACUGAGGAGGCAUGGCGGCGUGGAACACGAACUCUCGGGAGGAGCCCUCGGUGUGGACCCCAGGGGGGACAACCCACACCUUCGUGACCCAUCGGCGCCGACGGUGGCGCCGCCCGUGGCGAUCAGCAUCAGCUCCUUCAGGGCCCUCAUUGUGGGCGUACAAGGGAAGCGGGAACCCCGGCGAUGCCCGCUUGCACCAGGGCCUCGACACCACCUGAUGAGCCCCCUUGUCCGGGCCGCGGAGGAUGGGCCGUUUCUUCGGCGGGAGCGGGUCUGGUUCCUCUCGGGGAGCCUUUUCCUUCUCUUCCAUCGAGAACCGGUGGAUCGGAGCCAUCGCAGCAAGACGGAGCAAGGACUGGGAAGAAGGAGAAGCAAGAAGGGAUAGACUGGAAGGGCACGCGCCGUUCCGUACUUAUAGCCGGCGAAGGCCAACCGCCGACCUCCACGAUCGCAGGUAAUCAUGACCCGCUUUGCAUGCAGGGACUUGUCCAAUCCGUGUAGUUGCCGAGGCACCAUGGGGAAGUGGAGACGCCCACGUCCAAUCAACCACCACGCGGCGCCUAAGGCUGCAGGCUGUUAGGGCCCGCGGCGCUUCGCUCUUGCCCUUCCGCCUCCCUGCACGGCCAAGUCCGGGUGCGCCUUGGGCCCAGGGGCUACUGUCGGCGUUCUGGGAACGGGGGUCCCCAGACUUGCCUGCCUGCGGCCUGCAGCGUGGCUCAAAGGGGGGCCCAGCAUGGCCCAUCUUCAUCAACACAGACCCAAGACCCUCGCGAGGGGCCAAGCCUCGCUGGGCAGACGACACGGAGCUUCCUUAGGCACGGCCUCAUCAGGCUGGCUCGCGAGGAGGCGGAGAGAUCAAGGCGGGGUACCUCACGAGGUGCCUGUGAUGCAAGCCAUGACGACCAAAGGCGCCAGGUGGGCGCCAGCCCGCGCAGUGUCCUCCUUUCCUCUUUGGUGCAAAGGGAGCAAGCGCAGCCGCGGAGUACCGAGGCAUCAGGCAAAGGUUGCCAUCUCGGUGCAACAAGACCAAGACCAAGAGGACUGCAAGACGGAGGUCAUCGUGGAGCCCAAGACGGCGUCACCACCAGAGCUUUGUGCAGGCGAAGACUACUUUUGUCAGGAUAGCUAGUACUAGCUGUCCCCCUUCAAAUUAGCUCGCCAUUGUUGGCUCCCUUCCCGCUCGAUAUUUGGGAAGAGGACCAGGGCCUCUAUAAAUAGGACUAGCCACCAUAGUAGGAAGAGGAGAUCGAAAUCCGGGAGGAGAUCGAAAUCAGAGAGGCAGAGGCUAAGGACGAAGAAGAGAAGAUCGAAAUUAGAGAGAGAGAGAGAAGGGUGACUGAACUCCUCCUAGCAGUUCGUCCCCCCAGCCAAGAACAGACCCUCGCGAGGUUGUUCUUCCUUGUAUUGUUCAUCAUCAUCAGCCCAAGAGGCAAUCCGCCACAGCACACACUGGAGUAGGGUAUUACACCACAAUGGUGGCCCGAACCAGUAUAAACCCUGUGUCCCUUGUGUCGUUCUUCCCAUAGCCUAGAUCUUAGCGAGGCGGAGGGGUGCAGGUAGGUAGGAGGCGAAAUCUCCACGCGCACCCCAGUGUUCGAACCUCAAGGGUCUGCCGGAACCCGAAAUCCGACAGGGUUUGAUCCCUAGUAUCCACUAUGUUCGGAGAUUGAUGUUGCUAUGACUUUGCUAUGCUUAAUGCUUUUCACUAGGGCCCGAGUGCCAUGAUUUCAAAUAUGAACCUAUUAUGUUUUCAUGAAUAUAUGCGAGUUCUUGAUCCUAUCUUGCAAGUCUAUAGUCACCUACUAUGUGUUAUGAUCCGAUAACCCCGAAGUGACAAUAAUCGGGGCCACUCUCGGUGAUGAUCGUAGUUUGAGGAGUUCAUGUAUUCACUAUGUGUUAAUGCUUUGGUCCGGUACUCUAUUAAAAGGAGGCCUUAAUAUCCCUUAGUUUCCAAUAGGACCCCACUACCAAGGGAGGGUAGGACAAAAGAUGUCAUGGAAGUUCUUUUCCAUAAGAACGUAUGACUAUAUUCGGAAUACAUGGGUACAUUACAUUGAUGAACUAGAGCUAGUUCUGUGUCACCCUAGGUUAUGACUGUUACAUGAUCAAUCGCAUCUGGCAUAAUUCUCCAUCAACGAUCCAAUGCCUACGAGAUUUUCCUAUAUAUAUUGUCCUUCGCUUAUUUACUUUUCCGUUGCUACUGUUAUAAUCACUACAAAACCCAAAAAUAUUACUUUUGCUACUGUUACCUUUUGCCACCGUUACCACUACUAUCAUAUUACUUUGCUACUAAAUACCUUGUUGCAGAUGUUAAGUUUCCAGGUGUGGUUGAAUUGACAACUGAGCUGCUGAUACUUGAGAAUAUUCUUUGGCUCCCCUUGUGUCGAAUCAAUAAAUUUGGGUUGAAUACUCUACCCUCGAAAACUUUUGAGAUCCCCUAUACUUGUGGGUUAUCACAUGCGCGUAGGUACUUUGUUUCGAUAGCUAAUGGACUUUUGCAAUAAGUAUGUGAGUUCUUUAUGACUAAUGUUGAGUCCAUGGAUUAUACGCACUCUCACCCUUACAUCAUUGCUAGCCUCUUCGGUAUCGUGCAUUGCCCUUUCUCACCUCGAGAGUUGGUGCAAACUUCGCCGGUGCAUCCAAACCCCGUGAUACGAUACGCUCUAUCACACAUAAGCCUCCUUAUAUCUUCCUCAAAACAACCACCAUACCUACCUAUUAUGGCAUUUCCAUAGCCAUUCCGAGAUAUAUUGACAUGCAACUUCCAUCAUCAUCAUAUACAUGACUUGAGCAUUCAUUGUCAUAUUGCUUUGCAUGAUCGUAAGAUAGCUAGCAUGAUAUUUUCAUGGCUUGUCCGUUUUUUUAUAUCUUUUCUAUGCUAGAUCAUCGCACAUACUGGUACACUGCCAGAGGCAUUCAUAUAGAGUCAUAUCUUUGUUCUAGUAUCGAGUAGUAAUAUUGAGUUGUAAGUAAAUAAAAGUGUGAUGACCAUCAUUAUUAGAACAUUGUUCCAUGUGAGGUUAUCAAAAUAAAAGAGGCCAAAGAAGCCCAAAUAAAAAAGAGGCCAAAGAAGCCCACCAAAAAAACAAAAAAUUGAGAUAAAAGAGAGAAGGGACAAUGUUACUAUCCUUUUGCCACACUUGUGCUUCAGAGUAGCACCAUGUUCUUCAUAUAGAUAGUCUCUUGAGUUAUCACUUUCAUAUACUAGUGGGAAUUCUCAUUAUAGAACUUGGCUUGUAUAUUCCAACGAUGGGCUUCCUCAAAUGCCCUAGGUCUUCAUGAGCAAGCAAGUUGGAUGCACACCCACUUAGUUUUCAGUUUGAGCUUUCAUACACUUAUAGCUCUUAGUGCAUCCGUUGCAUGGCAAUACCUACUCCUCUCAUUGACAUCAAUUGAUGGGCAUCUCCAUAGCCCAUUGAUUAGCCGUGUCGAUAUGAGACUUUCUUCCUUUUUGUCUUCUCCACACAAUCUCCAUCAUCAUAUUCUAUCCCACCUAUAGUGCUAUAUUCAUGGCUCACGCUCAUGUAUUGCGUGAAAGUUGAAAUGGUUUGAGAACAUCAAAAGUAUGAAACAAUUGCUUGGCUUGUCAUAGGGGUUGUGCAUGAUUUGAAUAUUUUGUGUGUUGAAGAUGGAGCAUAGCCAGACCAUAUGAUUUUGUAGGGAUAACUUUCCUUGGCCACGUUAUUUUGAAAAGACAUGAUUGCUUUAUUAGUAUGCUUGAAGUAUUAUUGUCUUAAUGUGAAAUGAUAACUAUUGCUUUCAAUCACUCAUGUCUUAAUAUUCAUGCCAUGAUUAGAUUACAUGAUCAAGAUUAUGCUAGGUAGCAUUCCACAUCAAAAAUUAUCUUUUUUAUCAUUUACAUACUCGAGGACGAGCAAGAAUUAAGCUUGGGGAUGCUGAUACGUCUCCGUCAUAUCUAUAAUUUUUGAUUGUUCCAUGCCAAUAUUCUACAACUUUCAUAUACUUUUGGCAACUUUUUUAUACUAUUUUGGGACUAACAUAUUGAUCCAGUGCCGAGUGCCAGUUCCUAUUUGUUGCAUGUUUUUUGUUUCGCAGAAAAUCCAUAUCAAAUGAAGUCCAAACAGGAUAAAAACUGACGGAGAUUUUUUUGGAAUAUAUGUGAAUUUUGGGAAGAAGAAUCAACGCGAGACGAUGCCCGAGGGGGCCACGAGGUAGCGGGGCGCGCCCCAGGGGGUCAGGCCCGCCCUGGGCCCUCGUGGACACCCCGUAAGUCGGUUGGUGCCCUCCUUUCGCCGCAAGAAAGCUAAUAUCUAGAUAAAAAUCGUGUCCAAAUUUCAGCCCAAUCGGAGGUACGGAUCUCCGGGAAUAUAAGAAACGGUGAAAGGGCAGAAUCUGGAAUGCAGAAACAGAGAGAGACAGAGAGACAGAUCCAAUCUAAGAGGGGCUCUCGCCCCUCCGCCGCCAUGGAGGCCAUGGACCAGAGGGGAAACCCUUCUCCCAUCUAGGGAGAAGGUCAAGGAAGAAGAAGAUGAAGAAGGGGGCUCUCUCUCCCCCUCUCUCUCGGUGGCGCCGGAAUGUCGCUGGGGCCAUCAUCAUCACCGCAAUCUACACCAACACCUCCGUCAUCUUCACCAACAUCUCCAUCACCAUCCCCCAUCUAUCUACAACGGUCCACUCUCCCGCAACCCGCUGUACCCUCUACUUGAACAUGGUGCUUUAUGCUUCAUAUUAUUAUCCAAUGAUGUGUUGCCAUCCUAUGAUGUCUGAGUAGAUUUUCAUUGUCCUAUCGGUAAUUGGUGGAUUGCUAUGAUUGUUUUAAUUUUCUUGUGGUUAUGUUGUUGUCCUUUGGUGCCCAUCAUAUGAGCGCACGCGUGGAUCACACCAUAGGGUUAGCUGUAUGUUGAUAGGACUAUGUAUUGGAGGGCAAGAGUGAUAGAAGGUUCAACCUAGCAUAGAAAUUGAUGCAUACGGGAUUGAAGGGGGACCAAUAUAUCUUAAUGCUAUAUAUGGUUGGGUUUUACCAUAAUGAACAUUAGUAGUUGCGGAUGCUUGCUAAUAGUUCCAAUCAUAAGUGCAUAGAAUUCCAAGUCAGGGAUGACAUUCUAGCAGUGGCCUCUCCCACAUAAAACUUGUUAUCGGUCUAGUAAAGUAGUCAAUUGCUUAGGGACAAUUUCGCAACUCCUACCACCACUUUUCCACACUCGCUAUACUAACUUUAUUGCUUCUUUACCUAAGCAGCCGCUACUUUUUAUUUACGUGCUCUUUAUUAUCUUGCAAACCUAUCCAAAAACACCUACAAAGUACAUCUAGUUUCAUACUUGUUCUAGGUAAAGCGAACGUUAAGCGUGCGUAGAGUUGUAUCGGUGGUCGAUAGAACUUGAGGGAAUAUUUGUUCUACCUUUAGCUCCUCGUUGGGUUUGACACUCUUACAAUUGGUCCCCUAUACUUGUGGGUUAUCAACGCCAUGGAGGAAGUGGCCGGCGACGUCGCCGUGGAUGGGGUCGCGUCGUGUUGGCUCAGGACCGAGCACCGGCAGCACCGUGAGAUCGAAUCAAGAAGAAAAUGCGGCGAUAAGUGUAUAACCUCUUUGGUGGCCGAUUAGGCCUCAGCUUCAUCUGAGGAAACUGUGAUGAUGAUGCUCUUUCGGUGGUGCAGGUGAAGAUGGCGGUGUGGGAAUGGAGGUGGCACGAAAGACGAGGUGAACAUCGGGGCAGCUCCUUGGAGGUGGAGGAUGGGGUGGCUGAACCAGUGGGACGACGAUAUCGAUGACGGAUCCUCAUCCGGUACGGUGGAUGAGGGACGUCGAGGUGUUACUAUGGAUGACGUCGUCGGGGAAGAGGCUCCAGCUUUGUGGCGGAUGGAGGAGGGUGUGGGGCUUCGCGGGUUUUCGCAGCCUUGGUGUACGAAUGGGUGGGCGGAUGGGAUGGGAGUGGGGAACCAUCGCUUAGGGACGCGCUUGUCCUAAAUGUGGGGUAAGUUACGAAAGUACCCCCACCGAUUUGAGCUAGGCGGUUCUUUCGGUUCAGGGUAUCAUGGGCAUUUCGCGUGUCGAGAUUUCGCAGGAGGUGGUAGUUUUCGCGCGCGUUGUAAUUUUGGAAUAGCAAGGCGCGGGUUGAGAUGGAGGGAGUUGUCGGAGCACAACGAGACAAAUAUAUAUCUUAAAUAUUUCAGGGUAACAAGGCGCGGGUUAAAGAGGCGGGAGUUUCGCAGCACGAUAGAUAGAGACGCUAGCUUGAAAUUUCGGCAUAACAAGGCGCGGCUUGAAAUGUCGAGAGAACAAGCUUAACGGGUACCAAAAAAAGACAAUUCGCACCUCAUCACUAGAGAGAGCUAUGUCCCGUUUUACUAUAUUACUAGAAAUGCAUUCAAAUACAACAAAAAAAACUAAAAAAAUCAGGACAACAAACAUAACAUGUACAGUACCAAAACAAUUUGCACUUCCCUCAACAAUUAAAAACAAUGUGUGUUGUCUAGCAUAUGGACUAAAUUUGAGUACAUUUAACCUGUUUGAAUGGGAUUGUACUCGGGUUAAUUAUACAACCAUCUAAAUAUUAUCUUCACAACACAUGACAUGAAUAUAGGACAAGUAAAUUCCUAUAUAAAUACGAACUACGUGUACAUACGAUCUCAAAUUCAAAUAUAUGUGUAGAUUUUAUGUUGAAUUCAAAUCAUAGUACAUGUAUUCUCUAGCUAGAUGUUCGGAAUCUAAACCAUGUAUGACAUACUACGUACAAUGUGUUUAACAAGCACAACACACACACAAACACCAUUUAAACUAGUAAGGUACACGUGCAUUGUACGCAUGAGAUUUGGCAACCAAAUUAUGAAUAAAUACCACGUUAUAGCAUGUAAGCUUUGAGUCAUAUAUGCAUGUUGUAGACGUUCGUUUAAUUCUUAUAGUUCAUUUCAUUCAAAAUCAUCUAGUUUUUAUAUGAAAGCUAAUCUAUUUUAAGAUUCAUGUAAUUGUGUGUUGUAAGGCAUAAAGUAAAAAACAAAUGAUGGCAAAUCAUGUAGAAAAACAUUUGGGCAAUUCUGAUAUGUAAGAUUCUAGAACAAAGAAGAAGUGCUUGUGUUUUGAGAUUGUGCAUUAUACUUAAGUUCAACCAUGGAGUCUUCUAGAUUGUACAUGUGGCAAAAUAUGGUCGAAUCUAGAUGAUAUCCAACGGCCAGUUGUGCUCAGAUUUUCCAUCUCUGCACCAUUGGAUUGGCCUCAUCCAACGACCAUCUUUCAAAGUUAAAGUUAUCUGCACACUAUAUAAAAAUAUAAAAUAUAAUAUAUAUAGGGGUAUAGAUAUAGAUAUGUGAUGCGAAAGCCACCCAUCAUCUCCAAUUAGAAUAGUGUGUCCAUGCACGGAUGCAAUGUGGCUAAACAAUGUCUGCCAUCGAUAUCUCAAAUACAAAUCAGUCUGACCUUGUUCAAUGUGUAUACAGUACAACAUGCUCGUUGAUAACCCACAAGUAUAGGGGAUCGCAACAGUUUUCGAGGGUAGAGUAUUCAACCCAAAUUUAUUGAUUCGACACAAGGGGAGCCAAAGAAUAUUCUCAAGUAUUAGCAGCUGAGUUGUCAAUUCAACCACACCUGGAAACUUAAUAUCUACCACAAAGUAUUUAGUAGCAAAGUAAUAUGAUAGUAGUGGUAACGGUAGCAAAAGGUAAUGAUAACAAAAGUAAUGUUUUUGGUAUUUUGUAGUGAUUGUAACAAUAGCAAUGGAAAAGUAAAUAAGCGGAGAACAAUAUAUGGAAAGCUCGUAGGCAAUGGAUCAGUGAUAGAGAAUUAUGCCGGAUGCGGUUCAUCAUGUAACAGUCAUAACCUAGGGUGACACAGGACUAGCUCCAAUUCAUCAAUGUAAUGUAGGCAUGUAUUCCGAAUAUAGUCAUACAUGCUUAUGGAAAAGAACUUGCAUGACAUCUUUUGUCCUACCCUCCUGUGGCAGCGGGGUCCUAGCGGAAACUAAGGGAUAUUAAGGCCUCCUUUUAAUAGAGUACCGGAACAAAGCAUUAACACAUAGUGAAUACAUGAACUCCUCAAACUACGGUCAUCACUGGGAGUGGUCCCGAUUAUUGUCACUUCGGGGUUGCCGGAUCAUAACACAUAGUAGGUGACUAUAGACUUGCAAGAUAGGAUCGAGAACUCUCAUAUAUUCAUGAAAACAUAAUAGGUUCAGAUCUGAAAUCAUGGCACUCGGGCCCUAGUGACAAGCAUUAAGCAUAGCAAAGUCAUAGCAACAUCAAUCUCAGAACAUAGUGGAUACUAGGGAUCAAACCCUAACAAAACUAACUCGAUUACAUGAUAAAUCUCAUCCAACCCAUCACCGUCUAGCAAGCCUACGAUGGAAUUACUCACGCACGGCGGUGAGUAUCAUGAAAUUGGUGAUGGAGGAUGGUUGAUGAUGACGAUGGCGACGGAUUACCCUCUCCGAAGCCCCGAACGGACUCCAGAUCAGCCCUCCCGAGAGGUGUUAGGGCUUGGUGGUGGCUCCGUAUAGUAAAACGCGAUGAAUCCUUCCCCUUGAUUUUUAUCCUCCCCGAAAGUGAAUAUAUAGAGUUGGAGUUGAGGUCGGAGGAGCUCCAGGGGGCCCACGAGGUAGGGGGCGCGCCUAGGGGGCAGGCGCGCCCCCACCCUCGUGGCUAUGGUGUGGACCCCCUGGUCUUGAUCUUUUGCCGGUAUUUUUUAUUAUUUCCAAAAAUACGCUCCGUGGAGUUUCAGGUCACUCCGAGAACUUUUGUUUCUGCACACAAAUAACACCAUGGCAAUUCUGCUGAAAACAGCGCCAGUCCGGGUUAGUUCCAUUCAAAUCAUGCAAGUUAGAGUCCAAAACAAGGGCAAAAGUGUUUGGAAAAGUAGAUACGAUGGAGACGUAUCAACUCCCCCAAGCUUAAACCUUUGUUUGUCCUCAAGCAAUUCAGUUGACAAACUGAAAGUGAUAAAGAAAGACUUUUACAAACUCUGUUUGCUUUUGUUGUUGAAAAUAUAUAAAGCCAGCAUUCAAGUUUUCAGCAAAGAUUAUAAGCUAACCAUAUUCACAAUAACGCUUAGGUCUCAUGUUUACUCAUGUCAAUGGCAUAAUCAACUAGCGAGCAAUAAUAAUAAAUCUCGGAUGACAACACUUUCUCAAAACAAUCAUAAUAUGAUAUAACAAGAUGGUAUCUCGCUGGCCCUUUCUGAGACCGCAAAACAUAAAUGCAGAGCACCUUUAAAGAUCAAAGACUGACUAGACAUUGUAAUUCAUGGUAAAAGAGAUCUAGUCAAGUCAUACUCAAUGUAAACUAACAGUAAUGAAUGCAAAUGACAGUGGUGCUCUCCAACUGGUGCUAUUUAAUAAGAGGAUGAUGACUCAACAUGAAAGUAAAUAGAUAGGCCCUUCGUAGAGGGAAGCAGGGAUUUGUAGAGGUGCUAGAGCUCGGUUUUGAAAUAGAGAUGAAUAAUAUUUUGAGCGGUAUACUUUCAUUGUCAACAUAACAACCAAGAGAUGGCGAUAUCUUCCAUGCUACACACAUUAUAGGCAGUUCCCAAACAGAAUGGUAAAGUUUAUACUCCCCCUCCACCAACAAGCAUCAAUCCAUGGCUUGAUCGAAACAACGAGUGCCUCCAACUAACAAGAGUCCCGGGGGGAGUUUUGUUUGCAAUUAUUUUGAUUUGAUUUGCAUAAAGCAUGGGACUGGGCAUCCCGGUGACCAGACAUUUUCUCGUGAGUGAGGAGCGGAGCCCACUCCUCUUGAGAAUAACCCGCCUAACAUGGAAGAUACGGACAGCCCUAGUUGAUACAUGAGCUAUUCGAGCAUACAAAACAGGAUAUUUAUUUCAAGGUUUAGAGUUUGGCACAUACAAAUUUACUUGGAACGGCAGGUAGAUACCGUAUAUAGGUAGGUAUGGUGGACUCAUAUGGAAUAACUUUGGGGUUUAUGGGAUUGGAUGCACAAGCAGUAUUCCCGCUUAGUACAGGUGGAGGCUAGAAAAAGACUGGGAAGCGACCAGCUAGAGAUCGACAACAGUCAUGAACAUGCAUUAAAAUUAAUCAACACCGAAUUCAAGCAUGAGUAGGAUAUAAUGCACCAUGAACAUAAAUAUCGUAGAGGCUAUGUUGAUUUUGUUUCACCUAUAUGCGUGAACAUGCGCCAAGUCAAGCCACUCGAAUCGUUCAAAAGAGGAUACCACCCUAUCAUACCACAUCACAACCAUUUUAAUAGCAUGUUGGCACGCAAGGUAAACCAUUAUAAGCUCCUAGCUAAUUAAACAUGGCACAAGAAACUAUGAUCUCUAGUUGUCAUUGCAAACAUGUUUAUUCAUAAUAGGCUGAAUCAGGAAUGAUAAACUAAUCAUAUUUACAAAAACAAGAGAGGUCGAGUUCAUACCAGCUUUUCUCAUCUUAGUCAGUCCAUCAUAUAUCGUCAUAAUUGCCUUUCACUUGCACGACCGAACGAUGUGGAUAAUAAUAAUAGUGCGCAUGCAUUGGACUAAGCUGGAAUCUGCAAGCAUUCAAUAAACAGGAGAAGACAAGGCAAUAUGGGCUCUUUUGUCAGAUCAACAAUAAUGCAUAUAAGAGCCACUUCAACAAUUUAAUUAUGGUCUUCUCCUAUCGACCCCCAAAGAAAAGAAAAGAAAUAAAACUAUUUACACGAGAAAGCUCCCAACAAGCAAAAGAAGAACGGGAAAUCUUUUUGGGUUUUAUUUUUAAUUACUACUACAAGCAUGGAAAUUAAGCUAAUUAAAAGCUACAACUAAUUUUUUUGGUUUUUCUUAAGGUUUAUUAAACACACAAGAAGAAAGCAUAAAAAGAGAAAAUAAACUAGCAUGGAUGAUACAAUGAAAAAGUAUGAGCACCGACAUCUAGCAAUGAGUGUGUGAACAUAAAUGUAAUGUCAGUGAGAAAUACGUACUCCCCCAAGCUUAUGCUUUUGGCCUAAGUUGGUCUAUGGCCACGGUUGGCCUGGCGGAUAUCCUUAGUAAUAGUUGGGGUCGUACUGCGAAGAAGAAGACUCUGAUUGCCACUGGUUGGCAAUCAUCUCCGGAUCCCACUGGUAAUUAGACUGUCGUGGAGGAUCAACUUGUGGUUUCGACUCUGGCUCUGUGGCUGAUGUAGGGUUCCGGUAGGCGUGAAUAGCCUCCAAUGGAACAAGGUAUUUGAUGUUUGCGUUGGUCGUGGAGGAAGGGGGUGAGGCCUCCGCGAUGCAAGGCAGAUUAUAUUUGGGCUUCUUUGCUUCUUACUUUUGCUUUUCCUUCGAGCUUCAGCUCGAUGAGCCCCUCAAAAAUCUCUUCAUUAUUUUCUAAAAAAAACUGAAAUUUUUAGUAACUUCAAAAUAAAAGUAAGCCAAGCUCAACAAAAUUGAUAGCAACUACUCCUACAAGUGCCUAGAGCCUAUAUCAUGCAUUAGAACUACUUGGAACCAUAUAAAUUUGACAUGCAAGCUCAAGAACAGGGUCACCUAGGCAGCAAAAAUAUGCAAUGAAUAAAGCACUAGAACAAAAACUAAUUGGACCAAUGGAGGAGUCACAUACCAAGGAACAAUCCCCCUGUUGUGUUCUUGUGAGAGGUGCUUUGAGCAAGGAGAUCGAAAAUGGCAGCAAAAUGAUCUUGGACUCGGGUUUGAGCUGGAUAAUGGUGUUUGUGGGAGGAACAAGGAGUGUGUGGGUGCAAGAAUAAGUGGAGGAGGGCCACCAUGGGCCACGAGGCAGGGGGCGUGCCCAGGGGGUAGGGCGCGCCCUCCACCCUCGUGGCCAGCUAGAUGCCCCCCUGCUGUGUUCUCAGUGCCAAAUAUUCUCAAAUAUUCCAGAAAAAUCAUAUUUAAAUUUCAGGGCAUUUGGAGAACUUUUAUUUUUGAGGUAUUUUUAUAUUGCACGGAUAAUUCAGAUAACAGACAGAAAAUACUAUUUUUAUUUUAUUUAAUAUAAAUACAGAAAGUAAAAGGAGGGUACAGAGAGUUGUGUUUUCUAAAUUCAUCCAUCUCAUGAUCAUCAAAAGGAAUCCAUUAACAAGGUUGAUCAGGUCUUGUUAACAAACUCAUUCCGAAUAACAUGGAACCGGAGAAUUUUCUAAUAACACUAGGUUACCUCAACGGGAAUAUGCACAUCCCCAAUAAUUAGAAUAUCAUAUUUCUUCUUGAUAGUAGGAAUAGGAAAUUCAAAACCUCCAAAAAUAAUCGAUGGAAUUUUUCCAAUAGAAUUAAUAUUGUGGACUUGAGGUUGUUUCCUCAGAAAGUGUAUCGUACGCUCAUUACCAUUAACAUGAAAAGUGACAUGGCCUUUGUUGCAAUCAAUAACAGCCCCUGCAGUAUUCAAAAGGGUCUUCCAAGAAUAAUAGACAUACUAUCGUCCUCGGGAAUAUCAAGAAUAACAAAGUUCGUUAAAAUAGUAACGUUUGCAACCACAACAGGCACAUCCUCACAAAUGCCGACAGGUAUAGCAGUUGAUUUAUCAGCCAUUUGCAAAGAUAUUUCGGUAGGUGUCAACUUAUUCGAAUAAAGUCUACGAUAUAAAUAGAAAGGCAUAACACUAACACCGCCUCCAAGAUCACAUAAAGCAGUUUUAACAUAGUUUCUUUAAUUGGAGCAUGGUAUAGUGGAUACUCCUGGAUCUCCAAGUUUCUUUGGUAUUCCACCUUUAAAAGUAUAAUUAGCAAGCAUGGUGGAAAUUUCAGCUUCAGGUAUCUUUCUUUUAUUAGUAACAAUAUCUUUCAUAUACUUAGCAUAAGGAUUCAUUUUGAGCAUAUAGGUUAAUCGCAUACGCAAAAAGAUAGGUCUAAUCAUUUCAGCAAAGCGCUCAAAAUCCUCAUCAUCCUUUUUCUUGGAUGGUUUGGGAGGAAAAGGCAUGGGUUUCUGAACCCAUGGUUCUCUUUCUUUACCAUGUUUUCUGGCAACAAAGUCUCUCUUAUCAUAACUUUGAUUCUUUGAUUGUGGGUUAUCAAGAUCAACAUCAGGUUCAAUUUAUAUAUCAUUAUCAGGGCUAGGUUGAGCAUCAACAUGAACAUUAUCAUUAACAUUAUCACUAGUUUCAGGUUCAUUACCAGAUUGUGUUUCAGCAUCAGAAAUAAAAAUAUCAUUUGGAUUCUCAGGUGUGUUAAUAAUAGGUUCACUAGAAGCAUGCAAAGUCCUAUCAUUUUUAUUUUUCUUCCUUUUAGAAGGACUAGGUGCAUCUAUAUUAUUUCUCUGAGAAACUUGCUCAAUUCUCUUAGGGUGGCCUUUAGGAUACAAAGGUUUCUGAGUCAAUUUACCAGUUAUAGUAGCCACUCUAACAGCAUAAUCAUUAUUCUUACUAUUCAAUUCAUUGAGCAAAUCAUUUUGAGCUUUAAGUACUUGUUCUACUUGAGUGGUAACAAUAGAAUCAUGUUUACUAAUAAAUUUAAGUUCACCUUUGACAUUAGCCAUAUAAUCACCCAAGUGUUCAAGCAUAUCAGCACUGUGUUUUAAUUCUCUACCAAAAUAAGGAUUGAAGUCUUCUUGCUUAACCAUAAAUUUAUCAAACUCAUCUAAGCAUGGGCUAGCAAACUUAGUAAAUGGGAUUUCAGCUUUAUCAUAUCUAUAGAGAGAAUUUACCUUCACUACCUGUGUCGGGUUAUCAAGACCAUGUAUUUCUUCAAUAGGAGAUGGAUUUAAGUUAUGCAUUUCUUCGACGGGCGGUAAAUUAAGACCAUGUAUUUCUUCAAUAGGAGGUAAAUUCUUAACAUCUUCAGCUUUAAUACCCUUUUCUUUCAUGGAUUUCUUUGCCUCUUGCAUAUCUUCAGGACUAAGAAAUAGAACACCUCUCUUCUUCGAAGUUGGUUUAGGAAUAGGCUCAGGAAGUGUCCAAUUAUUUUCAUUAGUCAACAUAUUAUUUAAUAGAAUUUCAGCUUCAUUCGGUGUUCUUUCCCUAAAAACAGAACCAGCACAACUAUCCAGGUAAUCUCUGGAAGCAUCGGUUAGUCCAUUAUAAAAUAUAUCAAGUAUUUCAUUUUUCUUAAGAGGAUGAUCAGGCAAAGCAUUAAGUAAUUGGAGAAGCCUCCCCCAAGCUUGUGGGAGACUCUCUUCUUCAAUUUGCACAAAAUUAUAUAUAUCCCUUAAGGCAGCUUGUUUCUUAUGAGCACAGAAAUAUUUAGAAGAGAAGUAAUAAAUCAUAUCCUGGGGACUACGCACACAACCAGGAUCAAGAGAAUUAAACCAUAUCUUAGCAUCACCCUUUAAUGAGAACCGAAAUAUUUUAAGGAUAUAAAAGUAGCAAGUUCUCUCACCAUUAGUGAACAGGGUGGCUAUAUCAUUUAAUUUAGUAAGAUGUGCCACAACAGUUUCAGAUUCAUAUCCAUAAAAAGGAUCAGAUUCAACCAAAGUAAUUAUAUCAGGAUCAACAGAGAAUUCAUAAUCCUUAUCGGUAACAUAGAUAGGUGAAGUAGCAAAAGCAGGGUUGGGUUUCAUUCUAGCAUUAAGCGAUUGCUGCUUCCAUUUAGCUAAUAACCUCUUUAGAUCAUAUCUAUCAUUGCAAGCUAAAAUAGCUCUAGUAGCUUCUUCAUCCAUAACAUAACCCUCAGGAACAACAGGCAAUUCAUAUUUAUUAGGGGGAGAGUCUUCAUCAUCACUUUCAUCAAUAUUAUCAGUUUCAAUAAUUUCAUUCUCUCUAACCCUAGCAAGUUGUUCAUCAAGAAAUUCACCAAGUGGCACAGUAGUAUCAAGCAUAGAAGUAGUUUCAUCAUAAGUAUCAUGUAACACCCUCGAUGCGGCUAUAUCUCACACGUGUCGAAGCAUGACUUAGAGGCAUAACCGCAUUGAAAGCAAUGUCGCAAGUGAGGUAAUCUUCGCAAACAACCCAUGUAAUACAAUAAGGGAAAAGAUACAUAGUUGGCUUACAAUCGCCACUUCACACAAUACAUGAAUAAAGCAUUGAAUCAUCCAAAUACAAUCAAGGUCCGACUAGGGAACCAAAAUAAAAGAAGAACCCCAAAUGCGACAAGGCCCCCGAUCGACCCCAACUGGGCUCCACUACUGAUCAACUAGAACGAAACAACACAAAGUAUAAGAUCUUCAACGAGCUUCUCCUUGAGCUUGGUUGCGUCAUCUGCACGGUCUCAUCGGCACCUGCAAGCUGGUUUUGGAAGUAUCUGUGAGCCACGGGGACUCAGCAAUCUCGCACCCUCGUGAUCAAGACUAUUUAAGCUUAUGGGUAAGGUAAAGGUAUGAGGUGGAGCUGCAGCAAGCGACUAGCAUAUAGGGUGGCUAACAUACGCAAAAGAGAGCGAGACGAGAAGGCAAAGCACGAUCGAGAAACUAUGAUCAAGAAGUGAUCCUACAACAACCUACGUCAAGCAUAACUCCAACACCGUGUUCAUUUCCCGGGCACCGCCGAGAAGAGACCAUCACGGUUACACAUGCGGUUGAUGUAUUUUAAUUAAGGUCAACUUCAGAUUUUCUACAACCGGACAUUAACAAAUUCCCAUCUGCCCAUAACCGCGGGCACGGCUUUCGAAAGUUCAAAUCCCUGCAGGGGUGUCCCAACUUAGCCCAUCACAAGCUCUCACGGUCAACGAAGGAUAUUCCUUCUAGCGGGAAGACCCGAUCAGGCUCGGAAUCCCGGUUACAAGACAUCCUCGACAAUGGUAAAACAAGUCCAGCAACACCGCCCGAAUGUGCCGAGAAAUCCCGAUAGGAUCUGCACAUAUCUUGUUCUCAGGGCACACUCAGAUGAGCAGUCCGUACAACUAAAACCAGCCCUCGAGUUUUCCCGAGGUAGCGCUGCAAGGGGCUCUAGUUUGGACCAACACUCAGAGGAGCACUGGCCCGGGGGGGUUAAAAUAAUGAUGACCCUUGAGUCUGCAGAACCCAAGGGAAAGAAAAGGCUAGGUGGCAAAUGGUAAAACCAAUGUUGGGCAUUGCUGGAGGAGUUUUAUUCAAGGCGAACUGUCAAGGGGUUCCCAUUAUAACCCAACCGCGUAAGGAACGCAAAAUCCGGGAACAUAACACCGAUAUGACGGAAACUAGGGUGGCAAGAGCGGAACAAAACACCAGGCAUAAGGUCGAGCCUUCCACCCUUUACCAAGUAUAUAGAUGCAUUAAUUAAAUAAGAGAUAUUGUGAUAUCCCAACAAAAUAUCCAUGUUCCAACAUGGAACAAGCUCCAAUCUUCACCUGCAACUAACAACGCUAUAAGAGGGGCUGAGCAAAGCGGUAACAUAGCCAAACAACGGUUUGCUAGGACAAGGUGGGUUAGAGGCUUGGCUUAACAAUAUGGGAGGCAUGAUAAGCAAGUGGUAGGUAUCGCAACAUAGGCAUAGCAAAAGAGCGAGCAACUAGCAAGCAAAGAUAGAAGUGAUUUCGAGGGUAUGGUCAUCUUGCCUGAGAUCCCGCAAGGAAGAAGAACGAGUCCAUGAAGAAGACAAACAGACGUAGUCGAACGGUUCCUCACAAACGCGACGUUAUCGGAACUAACCCGAAGAAGCAACACCGGAAAGAAGCAAACAACAUAGUAACCACCCACGACAUAAUCAUGGCAUGAUGCACAAACAAUUAAGAUGCAUGUUCGGUUUAAUGAAGCAUGGCAUGGCAAAGUGCUCAAGCAAUACUACAAGUUAAGUGGAGCUCAAUAUGCAACGAGUUGCAUAUUGACGGAACACCACAACGGUUAUUUAGUUCUCUCCCAUUUAAGUUCUCAACAAUAUUAAAUGUUGGUUAACAUGGCAAGAGGUGAAGCAUAACAAAACUAUACCAUUUAAACAGUUUAAAUGGGGCCGGAUAUAACAAACAACAAAUCCGGUAAUUCCCCACAUGCAUAUAGAAAUUUGAUGGAAACAACAAUUAUAAACAUUCUUGAAGUUGUUAUCAUGAUACGAAUGACAUCCACGUUUUAUGCAAUAUUUAUGAAAAUGUUGAUAAGAGCAUAUUAAGAAGCUUUUGUCACCAUGGUGGAAAGAAAGGGAGUGCCACGGCAACGAUAACGGUUCCGGUAGCUCAUGGAAAUACCGAUGCAAAAGGAAAAGUGAUGGGAGCAUGCAAAAGAUGGUGGGGUGAUCCCGACUACCGGGUUCCCAUGGGUUAGUGGCAUGGAAAACGAGUGACAAAUCAGACAUGGUGCAGACAAAGGGUGCACCCCAUACGACACAAGCAUUCAUUCUUGGACAUUCGUUCUCGGCGGUUAUACCUUCAAAGCAUGCAAAUGGGACGGUUCGAGUUCGUCGAGGGAAGUAGAGGAAGUAGUUGUUCCACGACGGUAGUCGUUCACGUUCAUAGUGGAAGUAGCGGUUCACGCGACGGUAGUAGAACUUGACGUUCGCGUUACACGGGUCUUUGGCGACGGUCGACGUACAUGGUUCGGAGUGGUACUUGCACCUUUGGACUUGACGAAUCCGAGGGCUUCGGGGUUCACUGUUGAACUUGAUGAAACCCACGGCAACGGAGAGGUACACGUCGGCGGUAGUCGUUCGGGCGGAGAGCAUCAUCGAACUUGGCGUUCUUUGGACUUGCUGGUCUCGUCGAAAUGAAGGGGUACUUGGUACAAUCCGCGUAGUUGUGCACUUGUCGUCGAGGGACUUGAUGGUCUUGACAAAACGAAGGGGUACUCGGCAAAACCCUGUUCUUCGGAGGUCGACAGUAGUGGUACUUGGCAAAAUGCACGUCGAGGGUAGUUGUUCUCGUAUCGACGUGGUACUUGGCGAUUUUGGAGACGAUGGAAGACAAACUUGGCGGUCCUCGUAGAACUAGUACUUGGCGUUAGUGAUACACGUUUCGAAAGCAGUUCACGAUGAUGGCAGCCGAAACUUGGUGAUCCGAAGGGGUACUUGACGAAUAACGGCCGUCGUGGUACUUGGUGAAAUCCUCGGAGAUGGACUUGACGCAUGAAAGGUCUUCGGUGCCACGGUACUUGUCAGAUCAUCAUGCAGACGUUCUUUCGAAGAGGAACUUGUCGCGUCCCAAAAUGAGCAAGGCAAAAGCCCUCGUUCAACGAAGCUCGAACUUGACGAAAUCCACAAACAGGACUUGGCGCGGGCGUGACGAUGCAAAGGAAAUGUGCGGCGGACGCUGCUGUUCAUCUGCUUCGAGCAGAGGCGAGGCCAUGGUGGAUGCAGACGAUGACGUAGCAGCAGACUUGACACCGGGGAGCAGCAGAGGGACUAUGAUGAACAACAUGAUGCAGGUUGGGCGGCGGAGCUUGACGGGUCCAGGCGAGGUCGCCGGCAGCAAGGGGCUGUGACGUGGCUGGGCGCCGGGUCUGGUGGUGCGGCGCGAGGAAGGAGAGGCUGGCAGGGGCGCGGAAAACAAUGGAGGCCGGCGGUGCCAUGGACAUGGGGAUCGGCGCGAGGAGAGGACGAAGGAGCUCGCUAAGGCGCGGCAUCCAGAGAAGCAGCGGGCGAAGCCGACGCUCCGGCGUUGUUGCUCCUCUCCUCAUGGAGCUCCUGGACGAGGGGGCUCGGGAACUCAGCGCGCGAGGCUGCAGGAAGGUCCGGUGGAGCUCAUGAACGGAGCAGCAGGGCGGAGGCGCCGCGCUCCAGGUCGCCGAAGUCCAGCAGGGCCACGGCGGCGGCCCCCGGCGAGGAAGCCGAAGGGAGUCGGGGCGAGGCGCAGGGAGAUGGCGGCUCUGGCCGGUCGUCCGGGUCACGGAGGACGAAGAUCCGGCGGGGCACGAAGGUACAGGGCGGUGGAGGCUCUCCUGAUGCUUGAUGUGUACGUGCAUGUGGCACAGGGAAGGAACGGGGAGAUGAGGAAUCGGGAGCAUGGGCUCUUGGCGGCAGGAGGAGGGAGACGAGGGAAGAUGGGAUCCGUCAGAGGGAUCCGGUCAGGGCUAGGGUUAGGAGGGUAGGUGGGCCGGCGCGGGAAUAGGCCUAGGGAGGCCCAGUGGAGAGGGAAGCGUCUAAGCGCAGAUGGGCCUGCCUGGCUGGGCUCUCUUCUCCCCCAUAACCUCUCUACUCAAAACAGAGGAGAGAAGAGAAAAAAAGGAAGGAAGGAAAAGAGAGAAAAGUAAGGAUUAGGGAAGGAAUUUGGGAAUUAAUUUUUCUGGACUCAAGAAAAAGUGCUCGUUCCAAGAAAAUUGGAGUGGCAAGAUUGCAAGAUUUAAAUUCAAACUCAUUUGAAUUUAAUUCAAAUGGUUUGAACUGGGACUUGGGUUUUGAAGUGUCCAAAAAUGUUGAAAUUUUUGGAGGAACCUCGACAAAAGGGAAGAGAAAAGCGGGCAAGGUUUUGAAGUCAAACUUGAAGUAGAAAAGACAUGGGGAAUAUUUGCAAGUGUGUUAUGGUUAAUUCCAAAUAAAUGGAAUAAUUUUUAUCAUAGCUCCCUAAUAUUGGGAUAUAUGUUGUAAAGAGAAUCACCACGUGAAUUCCCUCGGUUUAAAUAGAUCAACGAUCUAUGCAAUUUAUUUAGUUGAGUUGCAAAUGACAUGAUGCAAUGCAAAAAUAAAAGGGCAGGCACAAAUGAAACACACAGCGAAACCCGGAACAUAUGGAAGUCUUCUCGAGCAUCGGUCUCGGGGCAUCACAUAUCAUGCGUAGCAGAAGUGGCAUCGUCUAUAACACGCGACAUAUCAGAAUGAAUAGCAGAAGCAGGUUUAGGUGUCGCAAGCUUACUCAAAACAGAAGGUGAAUCAAGUGCAGAGCUAGAUGGCAGUUCCUUACCUCCCCUCGUAGUUGAGGGAUAAAUCUUGGUUCUUGGAUCUUUCAAGUUAUUCAUAAUGAUAAACAGAUAUAAAUCCCAAGUGACUCAAAGAAUAGAGCUAUGCUCCCCGGCAACAGCGCCAGAAAAUAGUCUUGAUAACCCACAAGUAUAGGGGAUCGCAACAGUUUCCGAGGGUAGAGUAUUCAACCCAAAUUUAUUGAUUCGACACAAGGGGAGCCAAAGAAUAUUCUCAAGUAUUCGCAGCUGAGUUGUCAAUUCAAUCACACCUUGAAACUUAAUAUCUACCACAAAGUAUUUAGUAGCAAAGUAAUAUGAUAGUAGUGGUAACGGUAGCAAAAGGUAAUGAUAACAAAAGUAAUGUUUUUGGUAUUUUGUAGUGAUUGUAACAAUAGCAACAGAAAAGUAAAUAAGCGGAGAACAAUAUAUGAAAGCUCGUAGGCAAUGGACCGGUGAUAGAGAAUUAUGCCGGAUGCGGUUAAUCAUGUAACAGUCAUAACCUAGGGUGACACAGAACUAGCUCCAAUUCAUAAAUGUAAUGUAGGCAUGUAUUCCGAAUAUAGUCAUACGUGCUUAUGGAAAAGAACUUGCAUGACAUCUUUUGUCCUACCCUCCCGUGGCAGCGGGGUCCUAGCGGAAACUAAGGGAUAUUAAGGCCUCCUUUUAAUAGAGUACCGGACCAAAGCAUUAACACAUAGUGAAUACAUGAACUCCUCAAACUACGGUCAUCACCGGGAGUGGUCUCGAUUAUUGUCAUUUCAGGGUUGCCGGAUCAUAACACAUAGUAGGUGACUAUAGACUUGCAAGAUAGGAUCAAGAACUCUCAUAUAUUGAUGAAAAUAUAAUAGGUUCAGAUCUGAAAUCAUGGCACUCGGGCCCUAGUGACAAGCAUUAAGCAUAGCAAAGUCAUAGCAACAUCAAUCUCAGAACAUAGUGGAUACUAGGGAUCAAACCCUAACAAAACUAACUCAAUUACAUGAUAAAUCUCAUCCAACCCAUCACCGUCCAGUAAGCCUAUGAUGUAAUUACUCACGCACGGCGGUGAGCAUCAUGAAAUUGGUGAUGGAGGAUGGUUGAUGAUGACGAUGGCAACGGAUUCCCCUCUCCGGAGCCCCGAACGGACUCCAGAUCAGCCCUCCCGAGAGGUUUUAGGGCUUGGCGGCAGCUCUGUAUCGUAAAACGCGAUGAAUCCUUCUCCUUGAUUUUUUCCUCUCCGAAAGUGAAUAUAUAGAGUUGGAGUUGAGGUCGGAGGAGCUCCAGGGGGCCCACGAGGUAGGGGGGGGCGCCCAGGGGGGCAGGCACGCCCCCACCCUCGUGGCUAUGGUGUGGGCCCCCUGGUCUUGAUCUUUUGCCAGUAGUUUUUAUUAUUUCCAAAAAUACGCUUCAUGGAGUUUCAGGUCAUUCCGAGAACUUUUGUUUCUACACAUAAAUAACACCAUGGCAAUUCUGCUGAAAACAGCAUCAGUCUGGGUUAGUUCCAUUCAAAUCAUGCAAGUUAGAGUCCAAAACAAGGGCAAAAGUGUUUGGAAAAGUAGAUAUGACGGAGACGUAUCACUAGUUUCCAUAACCACACGACGCAUAUCUCAGUUAUAUUCAUGCAUGCAUGGGUUUCAAACAUCAUGAUCUCUUAUUCAAAUAUUUGAAUUCUACUUUACAUUGAUUAUGACGUCACCUAGUCUUUUACACCCACACAGUCAUCUUCUCUUUAUAAUUGUACCAUUAACUUUCUCUCGUGCAUGCAUGCACACACAGUACCAGUCGUCAUUAUCCAUCGCACACAUGCAAUAUUUUUCUUCAGGUCGUUCUCCCAUGCAUGCACACACACACCUCCCCCUCCCCAUCAUAUUGGGCAUUCUUUAUAUCUCACGUGCAUACGCAACGAUCGAUGUUCCUCUUGUGUGUGUAUAUAUAGCUAGGUAUUUCACAGUUUUCCUCACAAACCGAUCAAUCUAUAUAUCUAGUGAGGUCUCACCCUCUUUCCCACGUCCACAUAGAUCAAUCUAUACAUCUCUAUAUAGGAUUACAUAGCUAAUACACCACAUUAAUUAUAUAUCCAACGUCCCCCUCUCAUCAUACAUGCCUCCGCUUCAUCUGUCAGACGCGCGCACAGUGACGAAGACAGGGGCAGCAAGGGCCCUCCCCCCCUAACAUCACUAUAUAUCAAGGCUAAUAUGAAUGUGAUCAUUAGACAAUUGCUGGUAAAAUGAUUUAAGUUGAUGAGUUUGCCCUCCUCGUAAAGGAUUAGCAAUGCUUGGCCCCCUAGCUCAUUUAUUUUUCAUGGCUCUGCCACUGCGUGCAACAGCACACGUUCUCACCCCCUCUCUUCAAAUAUUGAUCUCGCACUUGUGCACUCCUUCAUAUCCUCCCUCCACUUGGCCCCUCGCAGUUGACGCUCAAAAUUGGCACAGUCAUAAAAUUAACAUAGGUUAUAUCAAGACCAAUUCAAACUUAUGAUUGGGAGUCACCUUGGAAUGUCUCUCUUCGAGAAGAUCAAGAUGGAUAUGAAGAUGGUCCAAAACGGAGUUCGGACUCAAAAGUUAUGACAAGUUCAGAGAUGCUUAUGUUGACACCAGAGUAAAGAAAUGCAUAAAACUCAAUCAAUAUGGCCUCUGAUGGAAACUGUUUCAACAUGAAAGUUGUGCGUCUCGUCGAAACGAUAGAUUUUGAUAUAAAAAUCGUCUUAAUCCGAGUUCGUAUGCAACCUGUGGAGACAAAACAAGGUCAGAAACAGAAGCUGCGGAGUCAUUUCGGACCAACCGAGUUGAUUGACUCGGUGAGACCGAGUUGAUCCGAAAAAUUACAGAAAGUUAUAGAAAGUUUGCAACGUUUACUCGGUGGGACCGAAAAAAACUAAUUGGUGAGACCGAGAUUGAUCCGGAAAUUGCCAAAGAUUCCUGUCCGAGUUAGGUUAGGGUUUUUGAUAUUUUGGAUGGAAUUUUUAGUCCUUUUCUUGUACGGGAAGUCCAGCCGCCUCUUAUAUAUGUUGGGGGUGACGGCCGAUUGAAACAACACACAAUCGAACAAAUCUAUCUACAUCUUUUACCUUUACUUUUCCUUCUCCCUUGUUCUUCUUCUUCCUCGUUCUUCGUUCGUUCUUCUUCAUUGUAGGGCGGCGAACCUCGAGGCCCUAGGGGCGAUCAGGUCAACCUAGGGCAGCCCAUAGCCGCUACGCACCCUGACGGGGUCCCUCCCGGGCGUGUGGGGUUUCGGGUCCUCAAAAGCGCCCGCCGGAUUGUCUUGCGUACCGCGCUUCCGGCAGGUCUCCUUCGACGUGAGCUGCGGUGCAUCACCCCCGGCGUCGAGGGUACACGGUGACAUGUUCGUGUGCGAACACACUUUUUGGCGACUCCGCUGGGGACGAAGCUUUGAACGGUCUCCGGCCCGUUCUUGCUACGAAGAGAUCGUCAUCUAGGGUUUGCAAUCUACAAAGGUAAUAUGAAUACCCAAUUCACGUAUAUAGAUGCAAAUAAUGUGUAUGUUGUUGCUAGAUCAGCUAAUGAGCAUAAUGUAUCGGCUAGCCCUAUAUUUAUCAAUCAUGCAUCUAAUUAUGUGCAAGGGCCGAUGCAACAAAAUCUCCAUGAUUCUACUUCAUAUAAUUUUAGCAACAUGCAACAUAUGUAUCCCAACUCCCAUGCAUCGGCAACCCCAAAAAUUUAUAUGUCGAUGAAUAACAUGAUGAGUUUGGGCAAUCAAGUUGAAACACCUCUUGUAGGAACUUCCAAUAUCAUGCGACAAAGUGUUUCACCUUUUUAUUCAUCGGCAACUAAUUUGCAAUAUACUAGUUCAACCAUGGCGAUGGAUGGGAGAAUCGGCCAUGCUACUACUAGCUAUUCGGCCAAUUACUCUCAACCGUCAUAUGCUACACCCCAUCUCAGUAAUCUUUCAGCACCAUACACAACUGUAGAUGUUCAUAAUUCGGCUUCACACCUUUCUGGUCAUAGCCGAAUAAAUGUAAAUUUUACAGGAGAGGUUGUUCCCAAUAUUGUAGAAGAUGAGGUAGUAGUGGCUGCAUUGAAGAGUUUAGUCCAAAAUAAGAGGAUUAGUGCUCUUUGCCUUGAACAACAUGAAAAGGGGCUAUUUCCUGAUUAUGCCGCAAUAAAAGCUAGAGUUUUGCAAGAAGAUGAAUCUUUGCCAAUUGAUAAGAUUGGCGAGCAAAAAUAUGGUUUUACAACAAUGCAUAUGCCUUCACCUAGUACUACAUCAUAUUAUACAGCCCCUACACAAUUGCAAAGUUUCGGCAACACCCAUGUACCAUUGCUGAAAGAAUCUAAAAGCAUUGGGGGGCAAUCGUAUCCGAAGUGGGCUGAAAUUGAGAAAAAGAUUAAAGCCAAUUUUGCCGCUCGCCGCCAGAAACAAAAAGAAACAGAAUUGGCUCAAGUGAAAGAAGCAUUGCCAAUUGGUAGAAGCAAUGUAAAGAAAGAUGAUUCAGAACAUGAAAGUGCUCCGGUUAAAAGAGCCGAAUCAAGAAGUAUAUAUUCCGAAUCCAUCAAAUGCAAAGAGGCAAGCAUUAUUGAGAAAGGGCAUGGCAAGCAUAGCAAAGCGACCAUACUUGAUUUUUCCAAAGUUAAUGGAACCUACUUCCUGCCCUAUGAGUUUCGUGCCAGAGAAAUUGAUGAAUUUCAAGGACAAGAACAAGUAGCCGAACAAAGUUCGGCCGACAAAAUUUUUCAAUGUAAUGAUGCACGGAAUCAAGAAAAAGAUGAUGAAGAGGCGUUGGGGAGCCAUCCAAAGGCGGAGCAAGAUAUUGUUCAAGUCACACCACCAUCGUGCUCUCCCAACAUAUUUGAAGAGGUAUGUUUAGCAAGUAAUUUACCUAUUUUCAGAUUUGGUCAGGACUUUAUUGUUGAUGCAUCUAUUAGAAAAAUCCUCAUAAGUAAUUUUGAAAGACCAAUGAAGAAGGGUAAUUUACUUGCUAGCAAUAAAGUUGUUAUUGAGCAUAUCGGUCAACCCAUUACGCCAUUUAUAAAGACCGGUAGUUACUUAUUAUUACAGCCAAAGCUUUCCCCGUUGCUUUAUCUAAAGUUCAUAUCUAUUUGGGUAGCUUUGCUUAUUUCAUACUUGGCUUGCACUUGGUCUCAAUUGAGACAUGUGUGUUCUAACUAUUUUUGUUUUAGAAAUUUAAAGCCAAGAUUAAAUUCUGUUGAGAAAACCGAUGCUAGUAUAAUAUCUUACCCAAAGACAUCGGAGAUAGAGUGCAAAACACAAUGCAUAGCCGAAUGGUGUGAUGCCAAAUCUGAACCAUUCGUUUGCUUAACUCCAAAGUUGUUCUCACAACAAGAUCGGCUAGAAAACAAAAGGUAUACCUUCAAUUCAAACAUGUGUGAUCAAAUCUUUGCGUUGUUGUUGAAAAAUAAUUACAUUAGAAUUCUUGAUCACCAUGUCAAGCCAUCUAUCCAAGGACGAAUGUAUUGUAAGUUGCAUGAUUCGUCCAAGCAUAAUUUUGAGGACUGCAACAUGUUUCGUCAAAUAUUUAAAUCGGCCAUUGAAAAAGGACGAUUGAAGUUUGUUGAAACACCAAGAUAUGACCUGUCUAUUCCGAUUGGUCCCGAUGGCAAAGAGUUUUUGCAUCGGCUGCUUCAAGCUGAUCCAUUUAAAGAGAAGGUAAAAACUGCAGGUGAUGGGAUCAAGCUUUCAAGUAAAGAAGUUGUUGAAGAGCAUAAUGAACAUAAUCUUGAGGGCAAGAAUUCCAUCGAAGCUACAAUGGAGACGCCAAGGACUGGGGGGCAGCAAGCAAAUCCAACGAUCGAUGAAAGCAAACCAAAAGAAAACAAAGGCCGAAAUAAGCGCAAGUGUAAAAGAUCAAAGUCACCUUCGCUGAACUAUUGGAGAAAUAUCAAAAGAAGAGUGAAGAGAAUAAUGCUUAUCGGCCCAAUCAUGCAAAGAAACCAAGAUCACCCCCAAGGCGCAAAUAUGAGGAUCGGUAUUGGCAAAGUGAGAGUUUCAAUGCAACAUAUUCAUAUCCUUAUUUUGGGCCACCAAUGCCAAUGCUGUGGAGGCCUCCCUAUGCUCAUGUAGAUCCAUAUUCAUCAUGGGACAGGUAUGAUACAAGGGCACAUUCUCCAUCUUAUUUUAGACCAUCUCACCAAUGUUAUGCGGCUCCGAGAAGAUCAACAUUUGAACAGUCACAUAAAGACUGUUUCAAUUAUAAGGAAUCGGUCCGGACACCAUGGAUGAAAAAAGAGGUGGUCAAGCAAGUCUAUCGCGUGAAAAGAGAUGGUCGUAAGUGUGCUACUUCAGAUUUGAUCUCAAAUAAUAAAGAGCCAAUUAACAUGUUGACAUUGGCUACUAAAGGCAAUGAGAUGAAGCAACCAAUUAUCAAGAGUCAAAGUGCCAAAUCUGAAGAAAAGAAGUUAACAGUGCACAAGGUAAAACAAGAAUUUCCAUUGCUUCAAACAAAAUCACAGCCAGGAUGCCUACUCGGCUUAUCGUAUUGGCGAAAGAAGGAAUUACAAAAACUUAGUGCACAAGAGCUGAAAAAGAAGAACAUGGCAUGGGUUCCCAAGAGGAGUAGUCAAAAUAAAAAUGAUGUGCAACCUUCUAUUGCAACAAGUGUUAUAAAAGUGAAGAAAGAGAAGGAUGGAAACCAGAAACAAUUAAGCCGAAGGUUUGCAUCACCCCAUCAAAAUCUUCGGUUAGCACAUCAUCCAUGUUUUUCAACCAUACCAUUGAUGCCUUUGCCAUGGAAUUCAUCAUCAGGUAUGAUAAAUUACCCUCCCUGGAUUUAUUUUGAUCCAUGGAAGCGACAUAAUUUUCUACAUCAUGAGAGGGUAUUACCAAAUCCCUAUACAAUUUAUUAGCUACAUUUUUUCUUGCUAAUCCAAAGGGCCGAAAUAUUUGGUUGCUAUUUCAUUUGUUUAUUUCGGCUAUACAUGAUUUGGUGAAUGAAUUCUACAUGGACCUCAUGGUAGUGGCCGAUACUUAUCUAUCGCCCUAAGAAUAUAUGUAAGAAUGGCCGGUGUGGUGCUCUAACACCGUCCUUAGUUUGAGUGGAGAUUGAGAUAAGUGCUUGCAAAGGAAUUUGUCAAAUUGAUGCCAUUGAGGAUAUUAUGCAUAGACCAAUUCACCAAAAUUGCAAAGUGAACUUAUGUUUUGAUUGGGUGUGCUUUGGCUUGUUAGUUUUCAGAACUUACGUAAGGCCAAAUCAUGGUUGAUUUUAUUAUUGAGCAUCAUAUUGACAUCAUGCAUAAUAUUGAUUUUAGCUUGAUCUCUUUAGUACCAUGGAGAUUAUACUUUGAUGGGUCAGUUUGUGGCAAUGGCCAAGGUGUUGGUAUUGUUUAUAUAUCUCCUCAUGGUGCUGUUUUUGAAGCGUCAUGCCGCUUAGAAUAUUUUUGCAGAAACAAUCAAGCCGAAUAUGAAGCAUUGUUAUUCGGCCUAGAGAUGUUACUUGCUAUAGGUGUUACACAUAUUGAGGCUUAUGGUGAUUCGUUACUAGUGGUACAGCAAAUAUCCAAAGUCUUUCAGUGUUUGGACGAAUCACUUAAUGUUUAUCUUGAUAAAUGUCUAGAUAUAAUCUCUAAUUUGGAUUGUUUUAGCAUUGCACAUAUAUCUAGACAUGACGACUGGAAAGCAAAUGAGUUGGCACAACAAGCAUCUGGAUACCAUGUUGAUCAUGGCAUGUUUCAUAUUUCUCAAAAUCCGAUGGCUUGUCUUACCAGUAUAGAAGAGGCCGAACCAGAACCCACUGAUGCAGUCAUUAACAAAAAAUCUAGUGCAUGUGACAAUUCUGACUAGAGGAAGCCCAUUGUUGCUUACUUGCGUAAUCCGAGUGAAAGGGUGGACAGGGCUGUUCGGCAUAUGGCUUUUAAAUAUACUAUGAGGGAUGAUGAUCUUUAUCGCCGAACGGUUGAUGAUGUUCUUUUAAAGUGCUUGGAUGAGGACCAAGCAAGAGUUGCUAUGGGAGAGGUACAUGAAGGCAUUUGUGGUACUCACCAGUCGGCUCCCAAGAUGAAAUGGUUAUUACGACGUGCUGGGUUUUAUUGGCCGACCAUGAUUAAUGAUUGCUUCAGAUAUUAUAAAGGGUGCGAAGCUUGUCAAAAAUUUGGUGAUAUUCAAUUGGCUCAUGCUGCUAUGUUGCAUCCUAUUAUCAAGUCGUGGCCUUUCAGAGGAUGGGGUUUAGACUUUAUUGGGCAAAUCCAUCCGUCUUCUUCAAAGGGGCAUCGGUUCGUAUUGGUGGCAACUGAUUAUUUCACUAAGUGGUCUGAAGCAGUACCUCUCAAGAACAUGACGCAUACGGAGGUAAUUAAAUUCAUAACCGAGCACAUUAUUCAUAGAUUCGGUAUUCCUCAAACGUUAACUAUAGAUCAAGGUUCAUCUUUUAUGUCACACCAAGUCAGAGAGUCUGCCAAAUCUUAUAACAUAAAGUUGCUCAAUUUCUCCCCAUAUUAUGCCCAAGCUAAUGGACAAGCUGAUUCUAGCAAUAAAAUUUUAAUCAAGCUCAUCAAGAAGAAGAUUGAGGAUAAUCCAAGGAGAUGGCAUGACUUGUUGUCUGAGGCAUUAUGGGCACAUAGAAUCUCAAGGCAUGGUGUUACGAAAGUGACUCCAUAUGAGCUAGUAUAUGGUCAGGAGGCUGUUUUUACCAAUGGAAGUAAAUUUGAAUGCUUUGAGAAUAGCCAAACAAAAUGAUUUAUUGGCAAUAGACUUCUAGAACUUGAUGAUGGACAACAUUAAUGAGGUUGCUGAUAAACGUUUGGCUGCUUUGAAUGCCAUAGAGAGAGAUAAGUUGAGGGUGGCAAGGGCUUACAAUAAGAAAGUCAAGUUGAAGAAUUUUCAAGUUGGUGAUCUCGUCGGGAAAGUGAUUCUACCGAUUGGUUCAAGAGAUAGAAAAUUCGGGAGGUGGUCUCCAAGUUGGGAAGGUCCUUUUAGGAUUACAAGAGUUGUUCCCGGAAAUUCAUAUUUGGUGGAAUCAAUACAGGGGGCAUUGUUACCUCGAGCUCUCAAUGGCAAAUAUUUGAAGAAGUAUCACCCGAGUGUGUGGCAGGAAGCCUAAGUAGGCAACGGCCGAUAUACGAUUAUCGCCCUUAGCACAAAGAUGGCCGAUAAAUAAUUAUCGCCCUGAGAAAAAUAAAAUGGCCGAUGGAGUGUUGGCAUCGUCCUUACAACCAACAUGGUACAAGUUAUUUUUCGGCACGCUAGUUAUGCCGAAAAACAGGGGGGGCAUGUGUUGACGCUCAAAAUUGGCACGAUCAUAAAAUUAACAUAGGUUAUAUCAAGACCAAUUCAAGCUUAUGAUUGGGAGUCACCUUGGAAUGUCUCUCUUCGAGAAGAUCAAGAUGGAUAUGAAGAUGGUCCAAAACGGAGUUCGGACUCAAAAGUUAUGACAAGUUCAGAGAUGCUUAUGUUGACACCAGAGUAAAUAAAUGCAUAAAACUCAAUCAAUAUGGCCUCUGAUGGAAACUGUUUCAACAUGAAAGUUGUGCGUCUCGUCGAAACGAUAGAUUUUGAUAUAAAAAUCAUCUUAAUCCGAGUUCGUAUGCAACCUGUGGAGACAAAACAAGGUCAGAAACAGAAGCUGCAGAGUCAUUUCGGACCAACCGAGUUGAUUGACUCGGUGAGACCGAGUUGAUCCGAAAAAUUACAGAAAGUUAUAGAAAGUUUGCAACGUUCACUAGGUGGGACCGAAAAAAACUAAUCGGUGAGACCGAGAUUGAUCCGGAAAUUGCCAAAGAUUCCUGUCCGAGUUAGGUUAGGGUUUUUGAUGUUUUGGACGGAAUUUUUAGUCCUUUUCUUGUACGGGAAGUCCAGCCGCCUCUUAUAUAUGUUGGGGGUGACGGCCGAUUGAAACAACACACAAUCGAACAAAUCUAUCUACAUCUUUUACCUUUACUUUUCCUUCUCCCUUGUUCUUCUUCUUCCUCGUUCUUCGUUCGUUCUUCUUCAUUGUAGGGCGGCGAACCUCGAGGCCCUAGGGGCGAUCAGGUCGACCUAGGGCAGCCCAUAGCCGCUACGCGCCCUGACGGGGUCCCUCCCGGGCGUGUGGGGUUUCGGGUCCUCAAAAGCGCCCGCUGGAUUGUCUUGCGUACCGCGCUUCCGGCAGGUCUCCUUCGACGUGAGCUGCGGUGCAUCACCCCCGGCGUCGAGGGUACACGGUGACGUGUUCGUGUGCGAACACCAUCUUCUAGCCCCCCACCGGAUUUUGCCACAUGUACAAUCUAGCAGAAUCAAUGGUUGAACUUAAGCAUAAUGCACAAACCUCAAAACACAAGUGCUUCUCCUUUGUUCUAGAAUCUUCCGUAUCAUAACUGCCCAAACUUUUUUUCUAGUUGAAUUGCCAUUAUUUGUUUUUUACUUUAUGCUUUACAACGCACAAUUCCAUGAAUCAUAAAAUAGAUUAAGGGCUUCUUUGAUUCAAAGGAUUCUCAAAGGAAUUUUGGAGGAUUCUAAUCCUUAGGAAUUUUUCCUAUCUUGGUUGUUUGAUUCGUAGGAUUGUAAACCAUAGAUUUUUUUUUCAUAGGAUUCAUUUGCACUAGAUUUCAUAGGAAACAUCCCAUCCACUCAAACCACUUCGAAAGAAUCCUGCGCUUUUUCUAUGCACAAUCAAACACUCGUACAAUCCUGUAGGAUUCAAGACGACAUUCCAUUCUAAUCCCAUGUUUUUCCUAUUCCCGCGUUUUGGAAAUCCUACGAAUCAAAGAGGCCCUAGCUUUUUUAUAAAAACUAAUUUAUUUUGAAUGAGAUGAACUAUAAUAAUUAAACGAAGGUCUACAUUAGGCAUAUACGACUCGGAGCUUACAUGCUAUAGUGUGGUAUUUAUUCAUAAUUUGGUUGCCAAAUCUGAUGCGUGCAAUGCACGUGUACCUUACUAGCUAGUACUUCGAGUAUGUGCAAACACGUAAAUUAGAAUUCCAAUGGCACACUACACUGUGUCUCUCUUACAGUUCAUGAAGCUACGUGGCACAUGUGGAGGCGUUGUCGCGACCUCCUUGUGUGGAUUGAUCACAGUGACGUGCUACUGCUUCCAGAAGAAUGUACUCGUCCUCUCUGAGCCACACUGGCAGUACAUGCAUGAAGCGAAGAUGUGCACGCACGCACUCAUUCCCUUGCACGCACACGCGGGUACACGGGGCGACGCAUUUUUGUACGAAGAUCCACCCCAUGUGAUAAUUUGACGCGUGUAAAGUCUGUCAUUUCGUUGAUGGUCAACUAAUACAGCGCGUGCAAAUUGAGUGGACGUGAGGGCAGAAGAAAGACAUUGCUACUCCACUGCGCGCAUGCGAGUAGUUAAAUCAUGGGGUGCCAGUACUUCCAUUGGUCUCCUUCGUAUUUUGUGCCAAUUUUUUACCAUAUUUGUAAGUAACAUAAUAUUUAUGCAUGUCAUAAAAAGUGGCACAAAAAGGGGGCCAAUAAACCAGGACGCAGGCAGCAUGAUCAAUUUUUGCCAGGGCUACUGUUGGUGGCCUUUGUAUUUAAAUAUGGACGGAGUGGAGUAGUACUAUCUUUAUCUUAGCCUCAUAGGGCUCUCCAGCGCCUAGGCUCGCCUCCCCGCCUCGCCCACCGGAUCCCGCCAUGGAUAAUCCCUUAGAUCCCAGGAUCCCGCAGGCUGCCCUCUCGCUGAGGCCCGUGGCACUACCACCUUUGAGCAAAACCCACAUGUGUUUUAGAGGGGAUCCAUUGCUCUGGAAUCACAGAUCGGUGGCGUCGGAGGACAUGCCAGGGCUGCGUUUCAGGUGGUCAGCAGCAAGGGCAAAUCGGAUCGAGGAAGCGUCGCAUCGAUUGGAGAGAAGUUCCAAGGAGCUGCGCCUGGUGCAGCACAAGGCAUAGGCGCAAGUCGAUCUCAGGGGAGAGAUGCUGAGGGAUGUCAGCAUCUGGCAGCGUCGCGUUGAUUUCGAGCUAGGGCUAAUGGUAGAGAUCAUAUUCACGGAGUCGACUGUGGAGGAAAGAACGCGCAUGCAUGCGCAAUGGCAUGAGCAGCCGGUGCAACUGUUUAAAUGGGCGGUAGGAGAAGCCAAAUCCCAGGACCAGUUGCGGUGGCGCCGCUGGGCAUGCAUUGUAGGCGAGGUGAGCUGCCCUCCUUCCCCACCAGCGAUGCAGUGACCUACUCGGUUGCUGCUGAAGUGAACUUGCAACGCUAUGUCGGUUUGCAACUUUGACAAUCACUCCAUCUAUAUGUAUUGUUUUCCUAUAAAAAAAUACUUGGUCGUUUGGAAAAAGAUGGUAAUUGAUUUAUCACUAGUUUUAGAAUGCUUGGUCAUGACAAUCAACCAAAGCCACAACCAUAAGUCUCCAUCGCGUAAGUACUUUACGGUCGGUCGCACCAACAGACGAUCGGUCGGACCCGCGUCUCACCGAAGGGAUACGUAUCGGCUUGGUCUGACAUGUACAACCAGUUACAUCACUGACUUGUGCGACUGCAUUUGAGUAGUGUAGUACUCCCUCUAUCUCAAUUUACAAGUCUUGCACGUGUACCUAGGUCGUUAAUUUUACCAACUUAAUAAGAGGCAUACAUUACAAAAAAUAUAUCAUUACAAACUUCAAAUAUUCUAUUUUAAUGAUAUGUUUUUUAUGUUAAACAAUUUAUGUUCUACUAAACUCAUCGGGAGUACUUGAAAUUUAUGUUCCACUAAACUCAUAGGGAGCCAUUUCGGGCCUCGAAACCAAAACCAUCAAUUAAUCUUUACCUUGUUCCCAUCACAUUCCAAUGUACUAGUGCUACAACUAAGUGCAAGCCUGCUUACACCUACCAGUACAUACCAAACCUGAACGUGUUCCCACUAUGCAGAUUUUAGUACUAGUGCUAGUACUUAGGUUAUAAAAAGGAGAACUACCAAACCGAAAAUUACUCUACCUUCCUCCUCAUAAGUCUUCCUUCUUCGUCCUUCCUUGCCAUGGCUAGUGUGCAGAGCUCUAGGUCAAGAACUACUCAUAACAAGGGAGCGGCAACCAAGGCUGCGGAAAAAAAGAGAGGGCUCACCACCGUGCAGAGACCUCAAAAGAUCUCUCACGGGCAGGCGAUGGCUCCCAGGAGCGCCCUAGCCGCGGAGGCGAACAUGCCGAGCUGGCGGCGCUGGAGUCGUCAUCCCUCGACGGCAUGCCCGAUCAGCUCAAUAAAGCACCUCAAUAAGCAGAAGGAGUUCAUCCACGGCUUGGUGGAGCUGCUGAAGGAGAGCCUCGACGACAUGCCCACUAAGCUCAAUGAGCAGGGGGAGUUGACCGCCGGCUUGGUGAUGCUGCUGAAGAAGAGCAUUGCCUCGGAGAAGAAGGUGUUGGAAAUAUGCCCUAGAGGCAAUAAUAAAUUAGUUAUUAUUAUAUUUCCUUGUUCAGGAUAAUCGUUUAUUAUCCAUGCUAGAAUUGUAUUGAUAGGAAACUCAGAUACAUGUGUGGAUACAUAGGAAACGCGGAGGUGCCGUCCGUUCGGCGCUAGGAUCAUCGGUGAUUUGGAUCACGACGAGUACGACUCCAUCAACCCCGUUCUCUUGAACGCUUCCGCGCGCGAUCUACAAGGGUAUGUAGAUCCACUCCUCCCUCAUUGCUAGAUGACUCCAUAGAUUGAUCUUGGUGACACGUAGGAAAAUUUUGAAUUUAUGCUACGUUCCCCAACAUAAGGCGACCGGCGAAAUCCUGCAACUUCUGGAGGACAAGGCGAAGCUCUGCCACGAGCUCGACCUGCUGAAGGAGGAGAACGCCGGCUGGAAGAAGCUGCAUGAGAAUAGUAGUUCCUCGAUGAAGAUGCUGCAGGCCCUCGUCAUGGAACAGAAGGAGGAGUUGGCGAAGCUCUGCAUCGAGCACCCGGCUGCUAUCAAGGUACGUAAUGCAGCCGUGGAAUAGAUGAUGAAGGCUCGCGUUGAGAAAUCCCGCAUCAUGGACACAAUGAAGAAGAUGGCGAAGGAUACGCGCAAGGAGAUGGAGGUCGUGGAGGCGAUGAAGAAGCAGUUACGACUCCGCGGCCAGCAACCCUUCAUGUAGUGAGAGCAGCCCCCCAGACUUGUGUGUGCGUCUUCCUUUUGGGGGGGGGUGAUAAUCUUCCUUCUUCUUUUGCUCCUAUGUUUCUUCUUUUGCUUCGGCUGUUUCGCCGCAUGUGUCAUGUUCUCUGCGAGGCAUGAAUAGAACAAUGCUAAAAAUGAGAUGACUAGCAAAUUAGAUCAUUCUUUAUCACCAAUAGAACAAUGCCUCUUGCUAGUAAUAUAUAAUAAGAGUAUAGAGUAGAGAUAUGGCACUGGGCUGCCGUGUUUCGUGCUCCUCCGUCGUACUCCAGUGGAAAAUUUGAGUAUACCGCACGAUACUUUACUCCUCCUCAGGUCGUUGGCACAUUUAUACGAGCAGUCAAAUCACAAGGCCACGCCUUCCAGCAGUAAUGAGCUGUCAAAUCACAAAGGCCCUUGCCUCUCUUGAAACCGACCUAGCUAGACUGCCCCGCCCUCUAGCCUUUUAAAAAAUGUAUACUUUAGCAUAGUAGUAGGAUCAAUGGAUUGCGCCAUGGAGCAAAACUAACAAGAUGAAAUUAAAGAAAAAAGGUGGUACAUAUAGAGAGCGCUCGUCGCCAAAUUAUGCAUAUAGUAUUAUUAAAAAAGCUAGUACAUGCUUAAAUGGGGUGCUAAAUUAUAUUAAAGAAGUUAGCAUACCUAUUUAAUUCUUGGGUUCUUAUUAUUUAUGCCACUAGUUUGUGUAUCACUACUUAGUUUUGCCAUUAUAAGUUACAACUACUCAAAAAUUCCAUCGAUCCGUGAGAUGCCUGCUCAAAAAUGCAAUUAGAUAUCUCAAAAAUUCCAUCGUCAAGUUAGAUGUUUGCUCAAAAAUACCAUUAGACAUUGUGAUUUUCACGUCAAACCCGUUGACCAUGUUACAUGACAAAAAUAAGCCGAUUCUCGCAAUGAUAAGUGUGGCCCCGCUUGUCAGGAGUAACCAAGCAAACAAUUUUACAGGAAAAUAAGAAUGCUAUUGGGAUCAAGUAGGCCCCACACUUUAUUUUACUGUAGUGAGGUAGAGGGAGAGCUGGCAUGUUGGUCCAUCGGUAUUUAUGUCAUUAUAACAAGAGAUUUUAGUCACAAUAAUGGUGUCCAGCACAACACACCCGUCAAAUAAAACUAAGCACCCUGAAGUUCUUUGACAAAACUAAGUCCCCUGAAAUUCUUUGACAACUAAACUACUGGCUAUAUGAUGUUGGCCAUAUAUAUUGUACGUUUAUAAUGUGAAGAAACGAGUGGUAGUCAUAGUACUAUACCAACUAAAAAUGAACUGUAAUAAAUACUAGUAUGUACGUACUGAAGAGUUAAAGUAACGAGAAGAAACAUAACAUAGUUCUGCUGGGGGCUCAGCACAACACACCCCUCAAAUAAAACUAAGCACACCAUAAAUUAAACUAAGCAACUAAUCCGGUAGACACUGCAUUAGAACCAUCAUGAGCAAUGACACUGCCACCUUACUUGGAGUCCUCGUCCACUUCCUCGACUUCGUCCUUGUCCCUCUUCCUCUUGGGCGAUACUUCUUUGCUUGAACUACACACUUGGCUCUUGCUUUUUAUCCAACCCUUGUAGAUAUUGAAACAAAGGUAGCCAUCCAUUUCAGCGUAGUGGAUGUGGUCUAUAUCUAGUACAUUCCACUGCCAUGCACAAUGAAACGUGUGCGGAGGUUUCUUUAGUUUACCGUACGAAGGAUGAACCAUGGCUCCCUGCCAGGGUCAGCAUUAAAGGCUAAUCACGGGAGGGCACCAACCCUUCUUUCUGGAGGUCGAAGGGGUUGCCUACAACGAGGCCUAUCCGACCCAGGAUUUCCUUAUCGUUCCUAAAGUCUACAAUAACGAAUUUGACUCAGUCGCCCUUGAGGAACUUCUUAAAUUCCUCGCACUCAAAGUUGGCAUGGCAUAUGUGGUAGACCAAGCAUAAGUCAUGCACGCAAACCUAGAUCACGGCGGGCUUCUUCUUCUUUGCCUCCUUUAGAUUCUUCUCGCUUCCCAGGACUGUGGUGUACUCAACAUCUAGCCUAGCGACCCACUCAUCAUUUGAGUUUUCGAACAUGCGUUUGAAGCGAGCAAGGCAUUCUUUCACCGUUGCAGAAGAACGAGUGUAGAUGACGUCGAACUCAUCGCUGGUGAUGGUUCUAACCUUGUACUCACCGCCGAUCAUGGUGAUUUGGGACGCCAUGGAUUUGGGAGGAGGGUUAGGAUUAGUGGAACUACCGUAAUGUGAAAGCACGGGACGACUAGGAGCGGUUUAUCGAUUGUAAAAAUGCCGAGUGGGGGCGUGUGCGAACGGCAGGGUAGUGGCUUGCCUGGAUAAAUGGAUUCAUGCACAGUACUAUGGGGCCCAAUUAGAUGACAUGUCUACCCGACACCCAAUUAAAUGGCUUUCGAUGUCAUGUCAAGUGUCAGGAAAAUUACAGGUGAUACGAAGCUUUCCAUUCUCCCAUGAUACGGGCUUCCGAGAGCCCUUGGAUCUGAGAUCGAACGGUUGCAUGUCGUGAUUCUAGACCUAUGGGUGAAUAUCCUAUCCUGGAGGGUUAUUCUGCAAAUUUUCAGCAACUUAGCAUGCGACCGUUCGAUCUUAGAUCCAAGGGCUGCCAGCAGCCCGUAUCAUGGUCGCACCUACCACGACCGACGCCUCACUCACGCGGUCGCACCCUUGGAGAUUUAACACGGUGCGUUAGGCUAUCUGAUGUUGGCAUGUCAUACAUAGUCAUCACUUAGUCACUCAUACAACAAGGUUAGCUAUAAGGUUGGCUAUAAGAGUAUUUUUUUUGUUUACUUAUCUCUAUCUCUUUCUUCGUAGUAUUUAUUGCAUUUGCCAAGGAGUGACCUAUUCCAAUGAAAUGGUGCUUAGAUGAGGUGCUAUGGGCAUUAAAUGGCUUAGCAACUCAAGUCCCCAAUGCAUAGGUGCUUAGUUUUUGUUGCUAAGUUUGCUUCAUCUAGGUACACGCGCUUAGCACUGUUUCUUCCUGGGGUCACCAAACUAGUCUCUCUCUUCUUAAUUAACUUGCCACAUCAGACUUUAUGCCUAUGUGGCAUGCUUUAGCACCUGUAGGAUCAAGUACAAUAGUGGGCUAUAAGCCCACUUUACAUGGCAUUUUUGCAUAUGUGGGGGAAAGAGGCAAGGAAAAAGUGGAGGAGCGGGCUCUCAAGCAAGAGCUAGCCCCUACCUGGUGGAGCAUCGGGAGAGGCACCUGUAUGGAGGUGGUCAGGAAUCGGGAGAAUCACGCCGGUCGUAGCGCUACAGUUAAAAUGAUAAUGGCAAGUUAAAUCACUGGGCCCCACCUGUCCAGCAGUAACUCGCUGUCAAAUCACACAACCCUAUGUUUGAAGUAGCCUACUCCCUCAUAUUCUCACAUCUCUGUCGAACCGACUAGGCGGAACUGCCCCGCCUACCGCGCGGGAAAAGCCCCGCCCUUGACUUUUAAAUAGUACAGUAUACUAAUUUUGUAUCCAUGGAUUGCGCCAUGGAGCAAAGCCUCAAGAAAACGGCGGCAUGCAUUUACGGAGUACAGUAUACAGCACGCCCGUCGCGUUCGCAUCGCACCCCAGAUGGUCGGCCGGUCUGGCACGCUGCUCUCCGAAUGGAAUGCGCAUCAUAUUGCGUUUGCACACACAUGUGGGACCGAAAUUGAGAACCAACCAUAGGCACACUCCCCGUCCCCGCAAGUCAGGUGAGUUAAUAGAAGAGAGAGACGAGCGAUAGUACUAGAGAACUGUUGUACAGACGUUGGUGCCUGGACGAUCCCUGCAUGACACGGAAGAUCAAUUCGUCCAUGCAUGUGACCAGACUCCAGCAGACACGCCUGGAUUGGCUAUCGUCUACAUAUCAUGCAGGCUGUGUUGUACAGGGCUGUAGUUCUGGUGAGAAAUCUAAAAAAAGGUUUCUUGUCAUCUCGCAAAAUUAGCUGUCAUGUGCUUCGGAUCACUACGAGGGUUAAACAGCGACAACUGAGUUCCUCCAAGGCGCCUAUCAUGGGGGCCACAUGCAUGAAGACUACUCGGCUACCAUCUAUGUCAAGCCGGCUAUGUUAAUUAGGGCAUCUAUCGAUGGACCCCUUUUCUACGAGUUUAUCUUUAAUUUGAGCUUUGAUCCUCAUCUAGUUUGUCCGUCAGGAUUCAUGUUGUCUCCUUUGGGCAGUGAGGUUAUGGUUUCUUGUCAUGUUAUAAUCUGGUGCUUUAGAUCAAAAUGAUGACAACCACGCCUUCGGGGCACGUGCAAGAAGACAAUCAUUGACAAGGUCAAGCCGACUCCGGUAGACAAAAGAAAACUAGUAGUACCCCCACUAUAUAUAGGCAGGAGCCUCCGCGCUUGCUUGCUAGUGUUCCUCUCUUCACACUGUCUCGUCCUCUCCAGAUCUAAACACGACAGCGGUGGACACACUCUCUCUCUCUGCUCACCGCUGGUCACAGAUCCAGUCAGAUCCUCUCCGCCGGGGAAGGUGAGAAGGUGCAACAUUCACGUGGUCGUCCUCGGCGAUGGCUCUUACCCACUGUCGGUGCGUCCCGAUUAGCAUGCCUUGCCAUUUUCUCCCAAGCACCGCUGGCUAGGGAGGGCCUCCGACCCCUUCUUCCUCGCUACCGUAGUGUGGGCAGAUUUGGCCUCCCGCCGCCCACCUAGCGACAUCUCGGCAAACCUCAGGUAUAACUUCCUUUGAAACCGGCCUUUCUCUACUUCCCGAGCUCCUGACGUCGCUGCAUUUGUAUCUUUUACUAUUUCCCUGGCCCCCUCGUAGAUACUCCCUCCGUUCCAAAAUAGAUGACCCAACUUUGUAUUAACUUUGUACUAAAGUUAGUACAAAGUUGAGUCAUCUAUUUUGGAACGGGGGGAGUAGGAUCGAUAGGCUGUUUGAAAGCCACCUAAAUUUUUACUGUUAAGAGGUAAAACUAGUUCAUGCACUCAAAUCUGGUACUACUUGGUUCAAACAAGGAAGAAAGGGGUGGGGUAGAUUUGUUACCUGAAUCUAGGACUUGGUCGAAAGAGGAAAUAAUGGGGGCGAAAAGUAGCAGAGACUAGCUAUCCAAUUGGUCUCUAGGUCUAAUAGGGAAAUAAAGGGAAACGCAGUACAAACUCAAUAUAAACCCGAUCUAUUGGUUGAAAAAGGAAAGAAAGUGGGGACUGGGGGACAAGUCAACAGAGUAAGUCCAGCACUGGAUUUGCUAGCGUCACACAAUAUAAGGUGGCUAUACCGAACAAAAAUGGGACCAACCCAGAUAUCCUGUUAUGAUGUUUGUUGCCUCGAGCCACUCUUAUGUAAUGCCACUGGUAAAAUGUAGCAGUCGCGCUGCUAAAAGUAAGGAUGCAUUAAACCAAUGUUGCUAGUAAAAUGAAGCAAUGGCACCAUUAAACUAAUGUCGUAUUUAACGGUUGUCAUAGUUAAUCCUAAUGCCCACACUAAUAUCUAGCAAUGCUGCUGCUUUAGAAAUUGCUACUGUCCUUGUAGGAUUGCCAUUCAGAUAAGGAACAUGUUUCUUUUCAUUUGAUGUAUGUUUCAUCACUUGUUUCUCACCCUCAUUUCCACCUUUUUUGUGCAAAUAGAGACAUACAUUUCACGCUUGAUCUUAGUUCAACUGGACAAAUGAUAUAGUUGAACAUUCCAGGAGCUUCACAACCAACCUUGAUGUUGCUCAAUUUUAUUGCAACUAAUGAAGAAGAAGCUCUGUGGGUUUCGUUUUCUGAUGGAAAUGGAACCGGGGCUGGAGCCCUUUCCUUAAAAAAUGAAGAAGCUACUAGCUCAUGAGACAUUGCUUCAUUUUAGGUGAACUGCAACAAAUGGUCACAUGAAUUGAAUCAUCCAUGUUGGUGACUGGUACUGGCAUCCCUUCUACUAUGGCGUUGACUACAGACAUGGUUCCCAUCACGAGGUAUGUUCCUUUUUGGUCUGACCAUUUGCCAAAGAUCCUGCAUGUUGAGUCUGCUCUUGUGCUACUUGUUUUGGCACUGCCAUGAUAAAGCAGUAAUGUUAUUAUUUUGCACCUUAAUCUAGUGGCACUAUUAAUUUGAGGCAAUGUUUUGACCCCGCUAGUGGCACUAAAUAUUUUUAUAUAUCGAAAGAGGGGGUUUCCUCCGAUUUCAUUAAAUAAAUCCAACCAUAGAGAACCAUUAUCCGACAACAUCUUAGUGUAAACGGGCAGUUAUGCAACUACUACUAGAACGGACUGAGUACUAGCAGGAGACAAGUUUGCCACAUGAGGUAGGCAGGUAGAGGGACACAGCACCAGCUCGACCAAGUUUGGAUUACAACCCAAAUGCUACCACAGAAACAUCAGAGGGGAAGAUAGGGACUGAAAGAGCCAGCUUCAGCAUCCCAAUCUAAGCACCCCCGACCUCCAUCCUUGUGACACACGAUACACCUCGUUUGCCACCUGCUCGACCCUAGUGCCACUGGUAAGAUGAAGUAAUAAUACAGUUAAAAUAGAGCGAGUGUCCUCUCUAUCAUUUCAUUUCCAAUAUAGAUAAAGAAGGUGCUUCUCUUUGUUAGUAUAUGUUUCAUCAACUAGUCCCAUUGUUAAUGUUUAAGCGUUUCUGCAAACUGGGGUGCUUAAUUUUAGUUGAUCUGCACAAAAAUAGAGAUUGGAAUGUCUCAAGGCCCCUCCUUGUACUACCGCUGUACACUGAUGUUCAUCACUGGCAGAAGGUGUAUCGGGGAGACUUGGGUCGAUUUCCAAUAUGAGGCGUACCUAUGAGGCGUCGCAGGGCUCAACUCGCCCUCGCAGCAUGGCAUACUGUAGGAUCUAGAAGUAGAUGUGUCUAGAAGGGGGGGUUAGACACUUAAUGCUAAAGUUGCAAUUUUUAAGCUUUUUCGGUUUGAGUGGAGUUUAGGCAUAAUUUCAACACACACAAUACAUAUCAAGCAAGCAUGCAAAGAGUAUAUGAGCAGCGGAAUGUAAAGCAUGCAACUUGCAAGAAUGUAAAGGGAAGGGUUUGGAGAAUUCAAACGCAAUUGGAGACACGGAUGUUUUUCCCGUGGUUUGGAUAGGUGGUUCUAUCCUACAUCCACGUUGAUGGAGACUUCAACCCACGAAGGGUAACGGUUGCGCGAGUCCACACAGGGCUCCACCCAAGGGUAACGGUUGCGCGAGUCUACACAGGGCUCCACCCACGAAGGGUCCACGAAGAAGCAACCACCCACAAAGGGUCCACGAAGAAGCAACCUUGUCUAUCCCACCAUGGCCAUCGCCCACACAGGACUUGCCUCACUAGCGGUAGAUCUUCACGAAGUAGGCGAUCUCCUUGCCCUUACAAACUCCUUGGUUCAACUCCACAAUCUUGUCGGAGGCUCCCAAGUGACACCUAGCCAAUCUAGGAGACACCACUCUCCAAGAAAUAACAAAUGGUGUGUAGGUAAUGAACUCCUUGCUCUUGUGCUUCAAAUGAUAGUCUCCCCAACACUCGACUCUCUCUCAUAGGAUUUGGAUUUGGUGGAAAGAAGAUUUGAGUGGAAAGCAACUUGGGAAAGGCUAGAGAUCAAGAUUCAUAUGGUAGGAAUGGAAUAUCUUGGUCUCAACACAUGAGAAGGUGGUUCUCUCUUAGAACAUAUGAGUUGGAAUGGUGUAUGCGUUCUAAUGGCUCUCUCCACGAAUGAAGAGGAGGUGGAGGGGUAUAUAUAGCCUCCACACAAAAUCCAACCGUUACACACAGUUUUCCAAUCUCGGUAGGACCGAAUCAACAAACUCGGUCGGACCGAAAAGGUAAACCUAGUGACCGUUAGAGAUUUCGGUGGGACCGACUGGAUCAACUCGGUGGGACCAAUGUGCUAGGGUUAGGGUAAAUCCAAAACUCGGUUUGACUGAUUACUCAAACUCGGUGGGACCGAUUUGGGUAAUAAGUGAAACUGAGAUUUGGCCAAGCAAACUCGGCGGGACCGAUUGCAUAUCUUGGUGGGACCGAGAAUAUUGCAAUGGGUAACAGAGAGUUUGCAAGCCCAUCUCGGUGAGACCGAGAUCCCAUCGGUGAGACCGAACUGAUUAGGAUUUGGCAGUGGCUUAUGACAAGUGAAACUCGGUGGCGCCGGAUAGGAUGAAUCGGUAGGACCGAGUUUGGCUUAGGGUUUAGGUCAUAUGUGGAAGUGGGAAAGUAGCUGAGGGUUUUGAGCAUAUCACUAAGCACAUGAAGCAAGAGGCUCAUUAAGCAACACCUCAUCCCUCCUUGAUAGUAUUGGCUUUUCCUAUGGACUCAAUGUGAUCUUGGAUCACUAAAAUGUAAAAUGAAGAGUCUUGAGCUUUAAGCUUUAGCCAAUCCUUUGUCCUUAGCAUCUUGAAGGAGUUCCCACAACCUUUAGUCCAUGCCACUCCAUUGUUGAACUUAUCUGAAACAUGCUAGAUAGAAAUGUUAGUCCAACAAGAGAUAUGUUGUCAUCAAUUAUCAAAACCACCUAGGGAGCACUUGUGCUUUCAAUCUCCCCCUUUUGGUAAUUGAUGGCAACAUACAUCAAAGCUUUAGAUAAAGAUAUAAAGAACAGCAAGUAAAGCUUUGGAAGGACAUGUAACAAGCAUAGGCUCCCCCUACAUGUAUGCACUCAUGUAAAUAUGAAAUAUAGAGACAUGUGAGAGCAUAACCAUGACAGAGUAGGCAAUGUGUUACAUGCAUCUUGGCCAUAUGCAUCAGAGCAAAAGAUUAUCAAGGAAAAUACCUUCAUGCUCAUGAGUCCUUCUUGCAAACAGUAUGUACAUAAGCAAGAACUCCUCAUACUCAUGAUUUUGAUGCAUAUACUUACCUUGUGGUCUUGAGUUGGCUUAGGAUGGAAUGAACCUGCACAAACAAGGUUAGAUAACACAGGUACGUCCACUAGCCAGAGCAAACAAAAGAAACCACAAGAAUACCAAGACUGGGAUGACAUGUAGAGAGUGAGUACAAGGUACCACAUUGAAUUCAACAUGUCCCCAAGAAUAAAGAUAUGCAAUGAAUUUGACUGAUUUCUUUCCCUUAGGUGUCUUGCUCCCCCUGAAUCUUACAUGGGAUAUUGGGAGAAGAUAGGAAACAGAAAAUCAGAGCUGAAAGAUAUGAAUAGAACUUAAUUCAACUGAGUUCAUAUGAACAUGUCUUUCCCCCAAAAAGACAUGUGGCAUCUCUCCUCUUGAACAUCAAGCAUCUGGGAUCCUUGAGUAUUUCUCUCCCCCUUGAGGUCUCUCUCUCCCCCUUAAUACUUUCUCUCUUGUAGGUUUGGUCCUUGAGACGAUCUCUCUCUCCUACAAGCUUUGAUGUGAUCUCUCUCUCCCCCUUUCACAUCAAUUUCCAAGAAGGUUUUUCCUGGAAUCCGUCAAAUAGGUUUGGUCCUUGAGAUUCAGCACAAAGCAGAGGAUAAAAUUGUGAUGCUUGUAGAGGACAAGAUUCAUUGAGUGGAGCUGGAUCAGAAGAAAUGUAGAACAAGUGGCAAACUGUUUUUCUGAUUGCAAAGUCGGUGGCACCGAGUGGCAUAUUUCGGUGGUACCGAAAAGAUUCGGGACCGAAAAUUGCGAGUCGGUGAAACCGAGUUUACACAGAGAAAAACACUUGUCACCUCAGCUCACUAGACAAGUAAGAUCUCACAAAGAUUUGCAAUGAAUUAGCUGAGAGAUUUGCAAGGAAUUUGAUGCAGAAAUAUGCAGAACAAAGAUCAAAAAGAAAAGAGUGAAAGUUUCUAGAUGAAGUUUUUUUUUGAAAAAGAAGGAAACAAAUAUGCAAGGGACAAAUGCAAUAACUCAGAAAAGAACACAAAAGAACUUCAUCUAGAAUUGGGCGGUGACAUAGUCACCUAUGUUAGAGUAUAUUGACUUAGGAGUCAAGUGAGGACACUUGAUCGUAGGUCAUACUCAUCGUUUCAAGCUCAAAAUGGGGUUACCAUUUUUCGUUUAAGCAUCUUGAUGUAUUCUCACCUUGUUAAGUUGCUUUGACUCAUGUCUUGGAGUAAAGCUUCUCUAAGAUGGAAUAACAUACCUUGGGUGGUGGUGUGGUUCUUGCUCAUGUAGUUGAACUUGUGUGGGUGCUCAAGGUUGAUGUAGCUCAUCAAGAGUUGGGAGCACCACUUGGAGUUUGAGUUCAUCUACCUAUAUGGGUUAGUUCUUGCAAGGAAGAGCACUUGUGUAUCCAAAAAUGACAAUCAUGAAGCUUAACAUAGAAUUUGUCAAAGGAUAUGUUUGAAUGGUUUUGUGCUUCCUUGUCUUCAACCACUAUUGUGUAGAGUCUUGGUCUUGUAGAGAUUUCUCAAGAUGUGAGUGAGUCGUAAUCUCAUGGAAUUAGAUUCAACCAAGCACCUACAUGGGUUAGGCAACAUGCAAGGUGCAAAUAUAUCCAAGACAUAAGAUAGUUAUCAUAAGAGAUAUAUCAUGGAUUAGUCAUAAGCUCAUGUCUUACAUGUAUCCAAUGGAGUUUCUACUCCAAGUUCGAAGCAUCAAUGAUGUUCAAUUCUCCUCUCAACCUGCAAAACACUUUCUCAUCAAGUGGUUUAGUGAAUAUAUCCGCUAAUUGCUUGUCGGUGCGAACAUGCUUAAGAUUGAUGUGACCCUUAGCAACAUGAUCUCGAAUGAAAUGAUGACGAACUUCAAUAUGCUUAGUUCGAGAAUGUUGUACAGGAUUAUGACCAAUUUUGAUAGCACUUUCAUUGUCACAAAGCAGUGGAACAUGUUUCACAUAAAUCCCAUAAUCUUUAAGAGUUUGGGUCAUCCAAAGUAAUUGAGCACAACAUGAACCAGCGGCAAUGUAUUCCGCUUCGGUGGUGGAUAAGGAUACCGAGUUUUGUUUCUUGGAAGACCAAGACACAAGAGAUCUACCAAGAAAUUGACAAGUACCCGAAGUGGACUUUCUAUCAACCUUGUCUCCGGCAUAAUCCGAGUCGGAAUAGCCAACAAGAUCAAAAGAAGACCUCUUAGGAUACCAAAUGCCAAAAUUUGGUGUAUGGAUUAAAUAUCUCACUAUCCUUUUCACAGCCUUAAGAUGACAAUCUUUAGGAGCAGCUUGAUAUCGUGCACACAUGCACACACUUAGCAUAAUAUCGGGACGUGAAGCACAUAGGUAUAACAAUGAACCAAUCAUAGAGCGAUAAACCUUUUGAUCAACUGCUUCACCAUCUUUGGUUAAAUCAUUAUGUCCACUAGUAGGCAUGGGUGUAGACAUACCUUUGCAUUCUUGCAUAUUGAACUUCUUGAAUAAGUCCUUGGUGUACUUUGUUUGAGAGACAAAUGUACCUUCCUUAGUUUGCUUGAUUUGCAAUCCGAGAAAGAAUUUGAGUUCACUCAUCAUAGACAUCUCAAACUUCUCUGACAUUAGCUUUCCAAACUUUUCACUAAAGAGAGGGUUAGUUGAACCAAAUAUGAUAUCAUCAACAUAAAUUUGGCAUACAAAUAGUUAUCCAUUAACCCUUUUAGUAAAAAGAGUAGAAUCAAUUUUACCAAUUUCAAAACCACUCGUAGUAAGGAACUUGGUCAAGCAUUUAUACCAUGCUCUAGGAGCUUGUUUAAGACCAUAAAGAGCUUUGUGAAGUUUGUAAACAUGAUUUGGUUUCUUAGGAUUGAUAAAGCCGGGAGGUUGUUUGACAUAAACUUCCUCCUCUAUUUCACCAUUUAGAAAAGCACUUUUAAUGUCCAUUUGGUACAAGGUGAUAUUAUGGUGAUUAGCAUAGGCAAGUAAGAUGCGAAUGGACUCAACUCUAGCAACGGGAGCAUACGUCUCACCAUAGUCCAUACCUUUGACUUGUGUGUACCCUUGGGCGACGAGACGUGCUUUGUUGUGAACCACUUGUCCAUCUUCAUCUUGCUUGUUGCGGAACACGCAUUUGGUACCAAUGAUGUUGUGGUUGUUGUCGGGCUUCUCGACCAAUGUCCAGACUUGGUUUCUCUCAAAAUUAUGUAGCUCUUCAUGCAUAGCGUUUAUCCAAUUCGGAUCUUCCAAUGCUUCUUCAACCUUCAUAGGUUCAAUGCUAGAGAUGAAUGAAUAGUUUUCACAAAAGUUAGCUAAACGAGUUUUUGAGCGAGUGAUUCUCCCGGUUUGUAUAUCAUUGAGGAUUUGCUCGACGGGGUGAUCUUUGGCAAUUCUUGCUCGAACUCGUGAGAGCUUUUGCUUGGGUCUUCGUUGAACAUCUUCUUCAUCUUGUUCUUCUUCUUGGCCUUCUUCAUUGUUGACAUCGUCGUUCUCUUGUCGUGGUGGAGAAGGAGGUUGUUGAUGUUCAUCUUGACGUACUUCCUCGUUUUCUUCAUCUUGGUGUGUCCCACUUGUGGAUGCUUCCGUGUCGAUUCUUGGUUCACCUUGUCGUGAAGUAGAAGCUUCCACUUGGACGGAUGAAGUACUCUCCUUCACCUCUGUUGGACGAAUUUUGCCAAUGGACAAGUCUUGAAUUGCUUUUGAAGGGUCUUUGUCUCCUACAUCAAUUGGUAAUUGCUCUACUUGCGAGCCAUUAGAUUCAUCAAACUUCACAUCUACCGUCUCUUCAACCUUUCGGGUGAAAUUGUUGUAGACACAGUAAGUGUGAGAGUUUGAGCCAUAACCAAGUAGAAAACCUUCAUGAGAUUUAGGAGCAAACUUUGAAUGAUGAUGCUUAUCAAGAAUAGCACUUUGAGCCGAAUACUCGAAAGUAUCCAACUUGAGGCUUGUUACCGGUGAGGAGCUCGUAUGCCAUCUUGCCGAGUAGCUUGUGAAGAUAUAAGCGAUUUGUUGUGUGACAAGCUGUCUCAACCGCUUCUGCCCAAAAGUGCUUUGGUGUCUUGUAUUCAUCAAGCAUCGUUCUUGCCAUUUCGAUGAGUGUCCGGUUCUUCCUCUCAACAACUCCAUUUUGUUGAGGUGUGUACGUAGCCGAGAACUCGUGUGAAAUCCCUUCUUCGUCAAGAAAGGUGUCCACAUUUGCAUUCUUGAACUCCGUUCCGUUGUCACUCCGAACCUUCUUGAUCUUCACAUCAAACUAAUUUUGGGCCUUCCUAGCGAAGUUUCUGAAGAUCUUCUGGACCUGCGACUUGUCAUUAAGAAAGAACACCCACGUAAAUCUUGAAAAAUCAUCAACUAUAACUAGACCAAAGGAAUUUCCACCGAGACUCUUGUAGGCGUUGGGACCAAAAAGAUCCAUGUGAAGUAGCUCGAGUGGCCUCCUUGUGGUCAUGAUGUUCUUCACGGAAUGUCUUCCUCCAACCUGUUUACCUGCUUGACAAGCACUACAAAGUCUAUCCUUAUCAAAUAUGACAUCGUUGACUCCAAGGAUAUGAUUUCCUUUAAUAAGCUUGUCAAGGUUUCUCAUGCCAACGUGACCUAGUCGUCUAUGCCACAACCAACCUUUUGAGGAUUUAGCAACAAAGCAAGUUUUAGGUUGUGCCUUUUUAGAGAAAUCGACAAUGUAAAGAUCACCUCUACGCAUACCCGUAAAGACCAUUUUAUGAUUGUCUCGACGAAAUACUUGGCAAUCUACCUCAGUAAAUAGGACAUUCAAACCGAAAUCAGCAAGUCUAGAUACUGAAAGUAAGUUGUAGCCAAGAGAUUCAACGAGCAUGACAUUUUGAAUGGAACUAUCAUGUGAGAUGGCCACCUUACCAAGGCCAACCACUUUACCCUUUGAAUUAUCACCAAAGGUGACAUAUUUUCGAGGGCCGUCAUUUUCAGCAAGCUCGCGAAACAUCUCUUCAUCUCCGGUCAUAUGAUUAGUACAUCCACUAUCAAGAACCCAUUCCUUUCCUCCUGAUUCAUAUCCCCGAAGAUUUGCCAUAAGACCAAAAUGUCUCAUUGCAUCAUUAAGAUCGAAGUCACUAUCAUAAUAUUCAUGUUCAUCAUGAUCUUGUGACUCAUCAUUUCCUAGAGAGGGUAAUUCAUUAGAUAAAUGAUCAUCAAAGUGGUCACUUUUAUGAAUUCUUAUAGCUUUGAAUAUGAUAUCAUUAAUGAUUCCAACAUCUCCUUUAGCAUGCUUAAGAUUGGUAAGUUCAAAUAGACAUUUACCAAAACUAGGAUCACUAGAGUUCAUAUUACUCAAGGCAAUAGAUUUAUGGAGAAUUUCAUCCAAAGUUUUCAAGGAAUGAUCGGGAAAUCGUUCCUCAAGAAAUUUCCAUAUAGUAUAGGCACAAUUUUGAGUAGGAAAACUAGCAAUCAAAUUUUUGGGCAAUCCUCUAAUGAUGAGCUCAAUAGUUCUAAGAUUGCGAAUCAUGUCAAUAUCUUCAUCUAGGGUAGGAUGCAAAGGAUCAAUAUGAGGUGCACAAGGGCUAGCAAUAUACUUGUUCAAAUGAUAUUGAUUGAAGAUUACAAGCAUCUCAUUUUUCCACUCAUGAAAAUACUCUCCAUCAAGAAUAGGCACUCUAUGUCUAAGACUCCCUAGAGUAGACACAUCCAUCUUCCUCCAAUGGUGAUUAAACCAAGGCAAUGGAGACCAAGGCUCUGAUACCACUUGUAGGAUCUAGAAGUAGAUGUGUCUAGAAGGGGGGGGGGGUUAGACACUUAAUGCUAAAGUUGCAAUUUUUAAGCUUUUUCGGUUUGAGUGGAGUUUAGGCACAAUUUCAACACACACAAUACAUAUCAAGCAAGCAUGCAAAGAGUAUAUGAGCAGCGGAAUGUAAAGCAUGCAACUUGCAAGAAUGUAAAGGGAAGGGUUUGGAGAAUUCAAAUGCAAUUGGAGACACGGAUGUUUUUCCCGUGGUUAGGAUAGGUGGUGCUAUCCUACAUCCACGUUGAUGGAGAUUUCAACCCACGAAGGGUAACGGUUGCGCGAGUCCACACAGGGCUCCACCCAAGGGUAACGGUUGCGCGAGUCCACACAGGGCUCCACCCACGAAGGGUCCACGAAGAAGCAACCACCCACAAAGGGUCCACGAAGAAGCAACCUUGUCUAUCCCACCAUGGCCAUCGCCCACACAGGACUUGCCUCACUAGCGGUAGAUCUUCACGAAGUAGGCGAUCUCCUUGCCCUUACAAACUCCUUGGUUCAACUCCACAAUCUUGUCGGAGGCUCCCAAGUGACACCUAGCCAAUCUAGGAGACACCACUCUCCAAGAAGUAACAAAUGGUGUGUAGGUAAUGAACUCCUUGCUCUUGUGCUUCAAAUGAUAGUCUCCCCAACACUCAACUCUCUCUCAUAGGAUUUGGAUUUGGUGGAAAGAAUAUUUGAGUGGAAAGCAACUUGGGAAAGGCUAGAGAUCAAGAUUCAUAUGGUAGGAAUGGAAUAUCUUGGUCUCAACACAUGAGUAGGUGGUUCUCUCUCAGAACAUAUGAGUUGGAAUGGUGUAUGCGUUCUGAUGGCUCUCUCCACGAAUGAAGAGGAGGUGGAGGGGUGUAUAUAGCCUCCACACAAAAUCCAACCGUUACACACAGUUUUCCAAUCUCGGUAGGACCGAAUCAACAAACUCGGUCGGACCAAAAAGGUAAACCUAGUGACCGUUAGAGAUUUCGGUGGGACCGACUGGAUCAACUCGGUGGGACCAAUGUGCUAGGGUUAGGGUAAAUCCAAAACUCGGUUUGACUGAUUACUCAAACUCGGUGGGACCGAUUUGGGUAAUAAGUGAAACUGAGAUUUGGCCAAGCAAACUCGGCGGGACCGAUUGCAUAUCUCGGUGGGACCGAGAAUAUUGCAAUGGGUAACAGAGAGUUUGCAAGCCCAUCUCGGUGAGACCGAGAUCCCAUCGGUGAGACCGAACUGAUUAGGAUUUGGCAGUGGCUUAUGACAAGUGAAACUCGGUGGCGCCGGAUAGGAUGAAUCGGUAGGACCGAGUUUGGCUUAGGGUUUAGGUCAUAUGUGGAAGUGGGAAAGUAGCUGAGGGUUUUGGAGCAUAUCACUAAGCACAUGAAGCAAGAGGCUCAUUAAGCAACACCUCAUCCCUCCUUGAUAGUAUUGGCUUUUCCUAUGGACUCAAUGUGAUCUUGGAUCACUAAAAUGUAAAAUGAAGAGUCUUGAGCUUUAAGCUUUAGCCAAUCCUUUGUCCUUAGCAUCUUGAAGGAGUUCCCACAACCUUUAGUCCAUGCCACUCCAUUGUUGAACUUAUCUGAAACAUGCUAGAUAGAAAUGUUAGUCCAACAAGAGAUAUGUUGUCAUCAAUUAUCAAAACCACCUAGGGAGCACUUGUGCUUUCACAUACUAUGAUACUAUCGCAAUAUUUUCUUCUAUUUAUUAGUGUAUGUUUCAUCAACUAGUGUCACUAUAAUGUAAUCACGCCUUUUCAUUAUCUGUGCAAACAGGGUUAUUCAGCUGCAUUUUGGUGGAACUGCACAAAUGUACGGAUGGAACCGGCAUAUAUGCAGAGUGCGAGGUGCCAAGUAAAAAUUACUGACACCAACCCUUCUCCAUCUAAGAAUUGGCAUCCACAACCAUCAGUGGGAUGCGUGGCGCUCACUGUGGAUGGAUCUUUCUCGGCAACAAAUCCUCUAACCAAAUACUAGUAGCUUAGACUUUAAAAAAUACUAGUAGCUUAUAUUGGCAGUUUUCUAGGGUGUACUCUUUUCUAAAAGAAGCACCAAUCUAUUUUUCUUUAUUUGUACACAGUGUCAAAACUUUGACCCAAAGGUCCAGAGCUAUUUUAGGGUGAUUGGCGUAGUACUCGAAGACUGAUUGUAAGCAUGAUUUUUAUUAGCUGUCACACUGAUUGUAAGCAUGAGAAGAUGGAAGAUUAGGUUAGUGCGAAGCUUACCUUAAACCCUACCAACGCUAUUGAAAUGAGGCGACCAUCGAGGGAACCAUGGAGAACGGCGGGGAAGCGAUGUCGCACCAUCCGGCCUCCUCUUGCGGUGGGAGAACGAAUACUCCUGUGGCUCCGGCUAGCUCUGCACCCUCUCAAAUGGCACAUCGUACUCGAUCGAUUCGUUAUCCUAUGGGUGCUCGACCUUCGACCUAUACGCCCACCACCUCCACAUGACUUUCACCUCGGGUGAAUCUGUCUGCUCCAUCGCCCAGAGGAGAUACUCGAUGAACUCGAAGGACUGCGGCGUGACUGCCGCCGAGGAGUACAUCGCUGUCAUCUCGCUCUUUCGCAUACAUUGCCACAUGGCCCUCACCAUCCUCGAAAUCUCCCACUCAUUGUCAAACCAAGUAAGGAUCUCCUUCAACCUGGCUAACUUUCCUGGUCGCCGCCGGCGAUCUGGCUGAUUCGCUGUUGCAUCUUCUCCAUAGAUGUCCUUCUUAGUGGUCCGGUGCUAGGUUUGGAAGAUGGGAGGAGAGAUGGUGGUCUUACAAUAGAGAGGAGGCGAGAGGCGAGAUGGUGGUUUUGGAAUGGAGAUGAUGGAGAGGAGAGGGGUGGUUUUGAAAUGGAGAAGAGGGAGAGGCAAGACGGUGGUUUUGGAAUGGAGAUGAGAGGUUUCCCUGCCUUUCGGUCGCUGACAGGUGGUCCUCGUGCUUGGUGGGACCCAUGUGUCAGUGUCUCAAUGGCAAGACGGGCUAUGUCAGGGGAUCCUCGUCCGAGGAGAGAGGAGGUGGUUUUGCAAUGGAGAAGAGGAAGAGGCGAGACAGUGGUGUUGGAAUGGAGAUGAUGGAGAGGAGAGGAGUGUUGGGGAUCGUAGCAGAAUUUUAAAAUUUUCUACGCAUCACCAAGAUCAAUCUAUGGAGUAAUCUAGCAAUGAGGGAAGGAGAGAGCAUCUACAUACCCUUGUAGAUCGCUAAGCAGAAGCGUUCAAGUGAACGGGGUUGAUGGAGUCGUACUUGUCGUGAUCCAAAUCACUGAUGAUCCUAGUGCCGAACGGACGACACCUCCGCGUUCAACACACGUACAGCCCGGUGACGUCUCCUACGCCUUGAUCCAGCAAGGGGAGAAGGAGAGGUUGGGUAAGACUCCAUCCAGCAACAGCACGAUGGCGUGGUGGUGGUGGAGGAGCACGGGACUCCAGCAGGGCUUCGCCAAGCACUACGAGAGACGAGGAGGAAGAGGGGUAGGGCUGCGCCAACAGGGGAAGGACUUCAUGUGUUGGGAUGACCCUUUGCCUCCACUAUAUAUAGGGGAGAGGGAGGGCUGCACCCCCACCUAGGGUUUCCACCCUAGGGGUGGCGGCAGCCCCAAUCCCCAUCUGGGGUGGCGGCCAAGUGGGGGGAGAGGGAGGCGCACCAGGCAUGGGCCUUAGGGCCCAUCUGCCCUUAGGGUUUGCCCCCUCUUCUCUCUAGGCGCAUGGGCCUUGGUGGGGAGGCGCCCCAGCACACCUAGGGGCUGGUCCCUUAUCACACUUGGCCCAUGUAUGCCUCCGGGGCCCGUGGCCCCUCCCGGUGGACCCCCGGACCCCUCCGGUGGUCCCGGUACACUACCGGUGAUGCCCGGAACACUUCCGGUGGCCAAAACCAUACUUCCUAUAUAUCAAUCUUUACCUCCGGACCAUUUCGGAACUCCUCGUGACGUCCGGGGUCUCAUCCGGGACUCCGAACAACAUUCGGUAACCGCGUACAUACUUUCCCUAUAACCCUAGCGUCAUCGAACCUUAAGUGUGUAGACCCUACGGGCUCGGGAGUCAUGCAGACAUAGCCGAGACAACUCUCUGGUCAAUAACCAACAACGGGAUCUAGAUACCCAUGUUGGCUCCCACAUGCUCCACGAUGAUCUCAUCGGAUGAACCACGAUGUCGAGGAUUCAAUCAAUCCCGUAUACAAUUCCCUUUGUCUAGCGGUACGAUACUUGCCCGAGAUUCGAUCGUCGGUAUCCCGAUACCUUGUUCAGUCUUGUUACCGGCAAGUCUCUUUACUCGUUCCGUAACACAUCAUCCCGUGAUCAACUCCUUGGCCACAUUUUGCACAUUAUGAUGAUGUCCUACCGAGUGGGCCAAGAGAUACCUCUCUGUUUACACGGAGUGACAAAUCCCAGUCUCGAUUCGUGCUAACCCAACAGACACUUUCGGAGAUACCUGUAGUGUACCUUUAUAGCCACCCAGUUACGUUGUGACAUUUGGCACACCCAAAGCACUCCUACGGUAUCCGGGAGUUGCACAAUCUCAUGGUCUAAGGAAAUGAUACUUGACAUUAGAAAAGCUUUAGCAAACGAACUACACGAUCUUGUGCUAGGCUUAGGAUUGGGUCUUGUCCAUCACAUCAUUCUCCUAAUGAUGUGAUCCCGUUAUCAACGACAUCCAAUGUCCAUGGUCAGGAAAGCGUAACCAUCUAUUGAUCAACGAGCUAGUCAACUAGAGGCUUACUAGGGACAUGGUGUUGUCUAUGUAUCCACACAUGUAUCUGAGUUUCCUAUCAAUACAAUUCUAGCAUGGAUAAUAAACGGUUAUCAUGAACAAUGAAAUAUAAUAAUAAUAAUAACUAAUUUAUUAUUGCCUCUAGGGCAUAUUUCCAACAAGGAGGUGGUUUUGCAUUGGAGAAGAGGGAGAGGAGCAUGCGGUAGUGAUAUAGGUUUGGAGGAGAAGGCCGACGCGCUGUGACUGGAUCAAAAUCAAAAUCAAUUUACCCUUCAAUUAAGAAAGCUACCCCACAUUAACUAGUCUCCCUUUUAUUUUGGGUCAUAAUUGACCAUGAUUUUCACAAAUAUAUAUGUUAUACGUUAAAAAUAAUAUAAUUUGAAAGUACAUUCAGAUACGAACCAAACGAUACAAUUUUUGGUGACAUGCAUUCACAUUUUGCUUGUCAAAUACGGUACAUGGUCAAACUUUGACCCAAAAUAUGCAAAACAAAAAAAUACUUCCAAGACUAGUGCCGCUCCUCUCCUCUUAAACCACCGCCGCUCCUCUCUUGUUCCAAUCUAAAUCCAGCGCCGCUCCUCUCCUCUUCCAUUUCAAAACCACCGCCCCUCCUCUCCUGUUCCAAUCCAAAACCAGCGUCGCUCCUCUCCCAUUCUAAUCCAAAACCAGCGCUGCUCCUCUCCUCUUCCAUUCAAAAACCACCGCCAGCGAGUGAAGGUGUUGUGGAGAAGUAGAUCGAUAGAGGAGUACAACCGAUACGUGAGGAUCGCAGACGGUGAUGCUACCUCUUGAGCACUACGUUGGUUUUCCCUUGAAGAGGAAAGAGUGAUGCAGUAGAGCAACGUAAGUAUUUCCCUCACUUUUUGAGAACCAAGGUAUCAAUCCAGUAGGAGACCAUGCACGAGUCCCUCGCACCUACACAAACAAAUAAACUCGUCGCAACCAACACGGUAAAGGGGUUGUCAAUCCCUUCACGGUCACCUACGAGAGUGAGAUCUGAUAGAUAUGAUAAGAUAAUAUUUUUGGUAUUUUUAUGAUAAAGAGAAAUAAAGAUGCAAGUAAAAUAAAUGGCAAAGGAAAUAACUAAGUAUUGGAAGAUUAAUAUGAUGGAAAAUAGACCCGGGGACCACAGGUUUCACUAGAGGCUUCUCUCGAGAGCAUUAGUAUUACGGUGGGUAAACAAAUUACUGUUGAGCAAUUGACAUAAUUGAGCAUAGUUAUGAGAAUAUCUAGGUAUGAUCAUGUAUAUAGGCAUCACGUCCAAGACAAGUAGACCGACUCCUGCCUGCAUCUACUACUAUUACUCCACACAUCGACCGCUAUCCAGCAUGCAUCUAGAGUAUAGUUCAAGACAACAGAGUAACGCUUUAAGCAAGAUGAGAUGAUGUAGAGGGAUAAACUCAUGCAAUAUGAUAUAAACCCCAUCUUGUUAUCCUCGAUGGCAACAAUACAAUACGUGCCUUGCUGCCCCUACUGUCACUGGGAAAGGACACCGCAAGAUUGAACCCAAAGCUAAGCACUUCUCCCAUUGCAAGAAAGAUCAAUCUAGUAGGCCAAAUCAAACUGAUAAUUCGAAGAGAGUUGCAAAGAUAACUAACCAUACAUAAAAGAAUUCAGAGAAGAUUCAAAUAUUGUUCAUAGAUAAACUUGAUCAUAAACCCACAAUUCAUCGAUCUCAACAAACACACCGCAAAAGAAGAUUACAUCGAAUAGAUCUCCACAAGAGAGGGGGGAACUUUGUAUUGAGAUCCAAAAAGAGAGAACAAGCCAUCUAGCUAAUAACUAUGGACCCGUAGGUCUGAAGUAAACUACUCAAACUUCAUUGGAGAGGCUAUGGUGUUGAUGUAGAAGCCCUCCGUGAUUGAUACCCCCUCCGGUGGAGCUCCAGAAAAGGCCCCAAGAUGGGAUCUUGUGGAUACAGAAAGUUACGGGGGUGGAAUUAGGGUUUUGUCUCCAUAUCUGGUAGUUUGGGGUCAGCCUAGAAGUGGCCAGCAGGCUUUUCGGCCUGCUUGUGGCCCGUUUAGGACCGGACCGGAUGGUCCAGGACCGCUAGAAAAUAAGGUCGGUCCGAGCUCUGUAAAUCGGCCCGAUAACACAACCGGUCCGGUCCUAUUUUUAACCGGGCCGACCGAGUGGACUAAGAAGUGGCCCAAGCCCCAGGCACCCCAAAGUGAGUCCAACUCCUUUCGUUGCUAGGGCAUGCCGCACCCCCGGUUGACCCAGUCUCCUCCCAGUCGCACGCCGCCACCGAAGGCAGAGACGCCACCUCCAAGUCCAAGGCGCCGACGCCUGCGCACGUCGCCCCAUCCGGUCGUCCCUCUCCAAUCUCCAUUGCCACCUUGGCCUCUCCUACCACGCCAUCUCCACCUUUCCCUUGUACGAGCUGGAGGAGCACGGCUACGCCGGUGACGCAGAUCAAGCAGCAGGGACGCAACCCGCACGCCGUCGGUCUCGCCUCCCCUGGUUCCUUGUCGAGCGCCCCGAAGAGGGAGGAACUCAGGCAACCUCGUCCUCGAUUAUCUCAUCCUCUAUAGUCUGUCCUCUGUUUUAGGUAUAUGUUGCUAUUUAUUUGAUGAUUGAUGUACACUCGUUUGUACCAAUGUUGGGGAUAUCGCUUAUCAGGAACUUAUCGGUCGACCCAUGAUAAGGGGUAAAUCGGCCAGUUUAUCAGCAUAUCGGCCGAUUUAUCGCCAUAUCGGCUGAUUUAUCUUAUCGGUCAGACAACAGUAAGCGAUAAAUCGGUCAAUUUAUCGGAAUAUCAGAAGAUAUCUUGAACAGUGGUUCGUACAGAUGAAGUGAUGAGGUACAGCUAGAGGUAUAGGUUGCUGAUUUAUUGUUGAUAGAUCUACAUUUGUACUAAUGAAGUGAUGAGGUAGAGCUAGAGAUAUAGGUUGCUGGUUUAUUGUUGAUAGAUCUACAUUUGUACUGAUGAAGUGAUGAGGUAUAGGCUGAAUGAGGUAGAGAUAGAGGUUGUUGUUUUUCUAACAAUGUAGAUGUAGAAGUUGUACAUUUGAUGAUCUAGUCAUUGAUAUUGUGUACUGAUUAUGUUCUUUUUUUGUAGAGAAUGGUGAAGGGGAAGGGGAAUGAGAAGGGAAAUGCACUUGGGAAGGAGAAGGAGAAGGGCAAGACGAAGGCAAAGGAGAAGAGCUUAAGUUACUUAAUUAGGUAAGAAUGCCGCUGCCUCCGCCGGUUCGGAAGAAGGGCAAGCCGCCGAGGCAGCUUAAGAAGACGAAAGACUAUACCAAUGCUCCAAUGGCAGAUUUGCUUUGUAGGGUAAAAACACCCUCUGCGGCCUUCGCGUCUCCCUGACCGCACCAGCGCUGACGUGCGUGCUGCGGAAGCUGCUGCCUCCGGUUCCGCAACCAACUCCGAGAUGUCUCAUGCAUCUACUAUAGUAUGCUUGUUUUGUUUGAUGAUGGAUGAAGCCAUAUUCCCAUAUAGUCAUAUAGGUACUUUUUUUCUUAUUUCCGUGCUCAUGUGGUGUUAGGUGUCAGAGGAGGAAGAGGAGGAGGACGAUGAGGACAAGGACAAGGGCAUUCAGGAGGAGGACAAGGACGAUGAGGAAUACGAUGAAUUUGUCGUCCCGCCUGGAGGUGAUGAUAUGUCGGAUUCUGAUGAGGAUACGUCGGAAGGGUACAAGGAAUCAGAUGUUGAGCUAGAAGCCGAAGGAGGUGAUGAUAUGUUGGAUUUCGAUGAGGAUACGUCGGAAGGGUACAAGGAAUCAGCUGCUGAACUAGAAGCCGAAGGAGGUGAUGAUAUGUCUGAAGAAGAAAUCGUGCAUGUUAUUUCCAGUGGCGAGGAGGCAAAAGAAAAGAACAAGAAAAAGACCAAGAGGCCAAGAGCCAAUGCUCCUAUUAGGAUGUCGUCAAAAGUUUGGGUCCAUUUUCAUAAGGACAAGAGGCCAUCAAAGGAGGAACCUGGAAAGCUUGUGUUGAAGGCAUGCUGCAAUUGUUGCGAGGCUGAAUAUGCAUAUCUCCAAGGUGGUAGCACCUCAACUCUUAGAAGCAGUGGUGGAGCUAUGGCUGGGCAAAACCAAGCCAUGGCCUGCCCAGCCAAAUAAAAAUUCAGUGUAGAUUGAUGUUGAAUUUGGGCCAUGAGAGCAAAAUUACAGACACAUUUUUAAAGCUAAUUCAUUUUGGCCCGCCCAGUGAAGCGUGUUUGGCUCUGCCACUGCUUAGAAGGCAUCACAAAGUGUGUAAGAAUUACAGGAACAAGAAAGCUAAGGGAAUCCAUGCAAUGAUGAUAUGUUGGAACUUGCAAUUGUUAUGAACUAUGAAAUAUCAUCGCAAGUUUGUAAUCAUGUUAUUCAAUGAUGAUAUGAACUCAUGUUUGAAGUGUGGAUGUGAAACAUGCUAUUUGUUGCUGUUAAAAUUCAGUGUUUUGAUGUCCAAAAUUCAGCAGCCUCCCGACAGUGGCAAAAAUGCUCAAUCAAGUUGCCUGCUUGUUCUGCUACAAAUAAAUCAAUCCAGCUUCUUCUUUAGCUAGCUUGCAUGCACUGCUUCAGAUGAAUCGAUCCAGCAGCCUGCCUAAAAUGAAUCGAUCCAGCUGCCUGCCGGCUUGCACGUGCACAAAUAAAUCGAUCCAGGUGACUGCUAGUGUGCUAGCUUGCGUGUACUGCUUGAAAAUGAAUCGAUCUAGCUGCCUGCUAGUGUGCUAGCAUCACGUACUACUUCAAAUGAACAGAUCCAGCUCCCGGUCCUCUCGGGCCUCACCGAGCUGAGGUGUUGUCGAUCCGGUCUCGAGAAAGUGGACCGCUCGGCAGAUCGGUCCGGUCCAGUCCGGACCGCCCGCGAACGGUCCAAAGCACGGCUCAGUCAAAGACCGGACCGGCUCGGACCACGUCCAGCCUGAGUUUGGGGGUACGUAGGUAUAUAUAGGAGGAAGGAGUACGUCAGUGGAGCAACAUGGGCCCCACAGGGGUGGAGGGCGCGCAUGGGGGGGUAGGCGCGCCCCCCUACCUCGUGCCUUCCUGGUUGAUUGCUUGACGUAGGGUCCAAGUCCUCUGGAUCAUUUUCAUUCCAAAAAUCACGUUCCCGAAGGUUUCAUUCCGUUUGGACUCCGUUUGAUAUUCUUUUUCUGCGGAACCCUAAAAUAGGCAAAAACAGCAAUUCUGGGCUGGGCCUCCGGUUAAUAGGUUAGUCCCAAAAUAAUAUAAAAGUGUAUAAUAAAUCCCAAUAAUGUGCAAAACAGGAUAUAAUAUAGCAUGGAACAAUCAAAAAAUAUAGAUACGUUGGAGACGUAUCAAGCAUCCCCAAGCUUAAUUCCUGCUCGUCCUCGAGUAGGUAAAUGAUAAAAACAGAAUUUUUGAUGUGGAAUGCUACUUGGCAUAAUGUCAAUGUAAUUCUCUUAAUUGUGGUAUGAAUAUUCAGAUCCGAAAGAUUCAAGACAAAAGUUUAAUAUUGACAUAGAAAUAAUAAUACUUCAAGCAUACUAACUAAGCAGUUAUGUCUCUUCAAAAUAACAUGGCCAAAGAAAGUUAUCCCUACAAAAUCAUAUAGUCUGGCUAUGCUCCAUCGUCACCACACAAAGUAUUUAAAUCAUGCACAACCCCGAUGACAAGCCAAGCAAUUGUUUCAUACUUUUAGUGUUCUCAAACUUUUUCAAUCUUCAUGCAAUACAUGAGCGUGAGCCAUGGACAUAGACACUGUAGAUGGAAUAGAAUGGUGGUUGUGGAGAAGACAAAAAGGGAGAAGAUAGUCUCACAUCAACUAGGCAUAUCAAUGGGCUAUGGAGAUGCCCAUUAAUAGAUAUCAAUGUGAGUGAGUAGGGAUUGCCAUGCAACGGAUGCACUAGAGCUAUAAGUAUAUGAAAGCUCAACAAAAAGAACUAAGUGGGUGUGCAUCCAACUCGCUUGCUCACGAAGACCUGGGGCAUUUUAAGGAAGCCCGUCAUUGGAAUAUACAAGCCAAGUUCUAUAAUGAAAAAUUCCCACUAGUAUAUGAAAGUGAUAACAUAGGGGACUCUAUGAAGAUCUUGGUGCUACUUUGAAGCACAAGUGUGGUAAAAGGAUAGUAGCAUUGUCCCUUCUCUCUUUUUCUCUCAUUUUUUUGGGCCUUUUCUCUUUCUUUCUUUUUAUGGCCUUUUAGUCCGGAGUCUCAUCCCGACUUGUGGGGGAAUCAUAGUCUCCACCAUCCUUUCCUCACUUGGGACAAUGCUCUAAAAAUGAUGAUCAUCACACUUUUUAUUUACUUGCAACUCAAUACAUAGAACAAAAUAUGACUCUAUGUGAGUGCCUCCGGUGGUGUACCGGGAUAUGCAAUGAAUCAAGUGUGACAUGUAUGAAAGAAUUGUGAACGGUGGCUUUGCCACGAAUACAAUGUCAACUACAUGAUCACGCAAAGCAAUAUGACAAUGAUGGAGCGUGUCAUAGUAAACGGAAUGGUGGUAAGUUGCAUGGCAAUAUAUCUUGGAACGGCUAUGGAAAUUCCAUGAUAGGUAGGUAUGGUGGCUGUUUUGUGGAAGGUAUACGGUGGGUGUAUGAUACCGGCGAAAGGUGCGCGGUAUUAUAGAGGCUAGCAAUGGUGGAAGGGUGAGAGUGCGUAUGAUCCAUGGACUCAACAUUAGUCAUAAAGAACUCAUAUACUUAUUGCAAAAAUCUACAAGUUAUCAAAGCAAAGUACUACGCGCAUGCUCCUAGGGGGAUAGAUUGGUAGGAAAAGACCAUCGCUCGUCCCCGACCGCCACUCAUAAGGAAGAUAAUCUAUAAAUAAGUCAUGCUCCAACUUCAUCACAUAAUGGUUCACCAUACAUGCAUGCUAUGGGAAUCACAAACUUUAACACAAGUAUUUCUCAAAUUCACAACUACUCAGCUAGCAUGACUCUAAUAUCACCAUCUCCAUAUCUCAAAACAAUUAUCAAGUAUCAAACUCCUCAUAGUAUUCAACACACUCAUAAGAAAAUUUUAUUAUUAAUCUUGAAUGCCUAACAUAAUUAAAGCAAUUUACCAUGCUGUUUUGUAGGACUCUCAAAAUAAUCUAAGUGAAGCAAGAGAGAACAAAAGUUUCUAUAAAACAAAUCCACCAACGUGGUCUAAAAGAUAUAAGUGAAGCCCUAGAGCAAAAACUAUAUAACUCAAAAGAUAUAAGUGAAGCACAUAGAGUAUUCUAACAAUUUCCGAAUCAUGAGUGUCUCUCUCAAAAAGGUGUGUGCAGCAAGGAUGCUUGUGGUAAACUAACAAACAAAGACUCAAAUAAUACAAGACGCUCCAAGGAAAACACAUAUCAUGUGGUAAAUAAAAAUAUAGCUCCAAGUAAAGUUACCGAUAGAAGUAGACGAAAGAGGGGAUGCCUUCCGGGGCAUCCCCAAGCUUUGGCUUUUCGGUGUCCUUAGAUUAUCUUGGGGGUUCCAUGGGCAUCCCCAAGCUUAGGCUCUUGCCACUCCUUGUUCCAUAAUCCAUUAAAUCUUUACCCAAAACUUGAAAACUUCACAACACAAAACUUAAAGUAGAAAAUCUCGUGAGCUCCGUUAGCGAAAGAAAAUAAAACACCACAUAAAGGUACUGUAAUGAACUCAUUAUUUAUUUAUAUUGGUGUUAAACCUACUGUAUUCCAACUUCUCUAUGGUUUAUGAACUAUUUUACUAGCCAUAGAUUCAUCAAAAUAAGCAAACAACACACGAAAAAACAGAAUCUGUCAAAAACAGAACAGUCUGUAGUAAUAUGUAGCUAACGCAAGAUCUGGAACCCCAAAAAUUCUAAAAUAAAUUGCUGGAGGUGACUAGUUUAUCUAUUAAUCAUCUUCAAAAAUAAUUAACUAAAUAGCAUUUUCCAAAUAAAAAUGGAAGCAGUUCUCGUGAGCGCUAAAGUUUCUGUUUUUUACAGCAAUAUUAAAAAGACUUUCCCCAAGUCUUCCCAACGGUUCUACUUGGCACAAACACUAAUUAAACACACAAAAACACAACCAAUACAGAGGCUAGAUAAAUUAUUUAUUAAUAAACAGGAGCAAAAAGCAAGGAAUAAAAAUAAAAUUGGGUUGCCUCCCAACAAGCGCUAUCGUUUAACGCCCCUAGCUAGGCAUGAAAGCAAGGAUAGAUCUAGGUAUCUUUAGUUGGUAAUUAUUUAAUGAGAAAUCUAUCACCUUUAGGAGUUUCUUUCCUUUUAUAAAUAAUCAAAAUUCUAGGCACAAAAUCGAAAAAAUCAUUAGUAGCAAAUGGUUCCUUAAUGAUAGUAAAAAGAUUAGGGUGAAUACUUAUAGAUUUGAGAUCCGCAGUUUCUUUGCUAGAGGAUUCACCCUUAUUUUUAGGAACAUACAUAAGCUUGGCAAUUUUAGUUGGAGGACUUGGGGUGUUCUUUAAGGAAGAAAAAUCGGUUCCCAAGUUGGUAAUGAUACCCUCAAGUUUAUCGAUUCUAGUGGAAUCAUGAUUUAUUCUUUCAUUAACUAUGGGUUCCUUCUCCUUAAUAUUUUUCAAAGUGACUCCUACUUUAGAUCCAUAUUGAGUAAUUUGGUUUUGGAUAUUUUUAUCAAAAUUUUCAAUUAACUCUAUGGUAGCAACUUUAUUUUCAAUAAUUUCAAGUUUUUGCAUUACAUGCUCCAAAGUUAACAUAGUUCCAUUAACCAAAAGAGGAGGUGAGCCAAACAAAUCUAUCAUAGCAUUAUAGGAAUCAAAAGUGUGGCUACCCAAGAAGUUCCCUCCGGUAAUGGUAUCAAGGAUGUAUCUGUGCCAAGGAAUAGCACCUAUGUAAAAAUUGCGAAGAAGAAUAGAAGUAGAUUGCUUCCUAGUAGAUCUAUUUUGAGCAUUGCAAAUUCUAUACCAAGCAUCUUUUAGGUUUUCUCCUUCCCUUUGCUUAAAAUUAAGAACUUAAUUUUCGGGAGACAACGAAGAAGAUAGGGGACUAGCCAUAAUGACAACAAGCAAUCCGACACACAAGCAAACAAGAAACGAGCAAAAAGAGGCGAAUAGAGAAAGAUAGGGAGGACGGAGAGAGAGAGGGCGAAUAAAACGACAAGGGUGAAGUGGGGGGAGGAAAAUAAGAGGCAAAUGGCAAAUAAUGUAAUGAGGGAGAUAAGGGUUUGUGAUGGGUACUUGGUAUGUUGACUUUUGCAUAGACUCCCCGGCAACGGCGCCAGAAAUCCUUCUUGCUACCUCUUGAGCACUGCGUUGGUUUUCCCUUAAAUAGGAAAGGGUGAUGCAGUAGAGCAGCGUAAGUAUUUCCCUCGGUUUUUGAGAACCAAGGUAUCAAUCCAGUAGGAGGCCACGCACGAAUCCCUUGCACCUACACAAACAAAUAAACUCCUCGCAACCAACGCGAUAAAGGGGUUGUCAAUCCCUUCACGGUCACCUACGAGAGUGAGAUCUGGUAGAUAUGAUAAGAUAAUAUUUUUGGUAUUUUUAUGAUAAAGAGAAAUAAAGAUGCAAGUAAAAUAAAUGGCAAAGGAAAUAACUAAGUAUUGGAAGAUUAAUAUGAUGGAAAAUAGCCCCGGGGGCCAUAGGUUUCACUAGAGGCUUGUCUCGAGAGCAUAAGUAUUAUGGUGGGUGAACAAAUUACUGUUGAGCAAUUGAUCGAAUUGAGCAUAGUUAUGAGAAUAUCUAGGUAUGAUCAUGUAUAUAGGCAUCACGUCCAAGACAAGUAGACCGACUCCUGCCUGCAUCUACUACUAUUACUCCACACAUCGACCGCUAUCCAGCAUGCAUCUAGAGUAUAGUUCAAGAGAACAGAGUAACGCUUUAAGCAAGAUGACAUGAUGUAGCGGGAUAAACUCAUGCAAUAUGAUAUAAACCCCAUCUUGUUAUCCUCGAUGGCAACAAUACAAUACGUGCCUUGCUGCCCCUACUGUCACUGGGAAAGGACACCGCAAGAUUAAACCCAAAGCUAAGCACUUCUCUCAUUGCAAGAAAGAUCAAUCUAGUAGGCCAAACCAAACUGAUAAUUCGAAGAGACUUGCAAAGAUAACUAAUCAUACAUAAAAUAAUUCAAAGAAGAUUCAAAUAUUGUUCAUAGAUAAACUUGAUCAUAAACCCACAAUUCAUCGAUCUCAACAAACACACCGCAAAAGAAGAUUACAUCGAAUAGAUCUCCACAAGAGAGGGGGAUAACUUUGUAUUGAGAUCCAAAAAGAGAGAAGAAGUCAUCUAGCUAAUAACUAUGGACCCGUAGGUCUGAAGUAAACUACUCACACUUCAUCGAAGAGGCUAUGGUGUUGAUGUAGAAGCCCUCCGUGAUCGAUACCCCCUCCGGCGGAGCUCCGGAAAAGGCCCCAAGAUGGGAUCUCAUGGAUACAGAAAGUUACGGCAAUGGAAUUAGGGUUUUGGCUCCGUAUCUGGUAGUUUGGGGGUACGUAGGUAUAUAUAGGAGGAAGGAGUACGUCGGUGGAGCAACAUGGGCCCACGAGGGUGGAGGGCGCGCCUGGGGGGUAGGCGCGGCCCCCUACCUCGUACCUUCCCGGUUGAUUGCCUGACAUAGGGUCCAAGUCCUCUGGAUCAUGUUCGUUCCAAAAAUCACGUUCCGGAAGGUUUCAUUCCGUUUGGACUCCGUUUGAUAUUCUUUUUCUGCGAAACCCUAAAAUAGGCAAAAAAACAGCAAUUCUAGGCCGGGCCUCCGGUUAAUAGGUUAGUCCCAAACAUAAUAUAAAAUUGUAUAAUAAAGCCCAAUAAUGUCCAAAACAGGAUAUAAUAUAGCAUGGAACAAUCAAAAAUUAUAGAUACAUUGGAGACAUAUCAGGCGACCCUGCGAAGCUAGCUAGGAUGUUGGACAUACAGUCUUAGUUUGACAACAAGGACCAACUAGCGGCGACGGGGACAUCCAUGGCCAAAUAUCUGCAACAGAGCGAAAAGGCGGCGAUACUCCCGAAGGGAGUCGCGCGGGAGUACAUAGAGCUGCUCCUUUGGGCCAUGGAGCAAACAGAUUCACCGAAUCCGAUCGUGAGGGAGCGAUGGUGGGAGUAUCGAUCCCAGAUGGAGCAUCCACCAGAGAUUGAAGGAUCGAGCAUCUACAGGGUGCCGUUUGUGAGGGUGUCGUGCCAGAGCGAGCCGGUGGAGUCUUCGUCGACCGAACCCAGCUACAAGAGGAGAAAAGCAGUUGGCCCGACGAUGCUUUCCCGCCAUCCUCUCCCUCGCCGUUCACAUCAUCUCACGGGGCGGCUGUCUGCCGCUGAGGAAUAUGAGGGGACUGCCCCCCAUCCCAAUAGUCGGGCAGGUUAUGAAUUGUCAGGAGGACCUUAGGGUUGUCAGUAUUUGCGGGUUGUGAAUUGUGUUUUGUGUUGUGUAUUUUGAGAGUACUUUCAGAUAUGAAUGUCUUUUGAAUUUCAUAUUUGCACUAUUGAGCAUAUGAAGUAUUUUAUGAAUUCUAGAGAUCUAUUUUUAGCACUUAAAAAAAUGUAGUUUCAUAGGAGUAUAAAAGUGCAGACUAUGUGAUUCUCAAAGAAGAAACUGCAAGUUUCAGUUUCAGAUAAGAAACUGCAAGUUCAGUUUCAGAUAAGAAACUGCAACUUUCAGAGGCAAAGCAUUUAUAUUAACACGGCCUUUUCAAACAGGGUUAACAUCAUGUUGGAAGUUUUAUUCAUGGUCGAAAAUGGAACUACCAGCCAGUUAACAUCAUGUUGAUCAACAUUCAUGCAUAGCACAUCUUCAUAUGAUGCACAGUCAAAAAGAUAUGCUAUUUUCAAAAUGCCCACACAAUGUCGAGUGUGCGAAAAAUAGAGAAAACGAGGGAUGAAGUUUUGGCAAGUGUUGGACAUGGUGUGCGUAGAUGACAAUGGGGGCCCACAUGUCAAUAAUGGCAGAGGCAAAAAAUUGGAGAAAUUUUCCCUGCAUCAGCUGGAAUCGAACCCAGGCGGAACAACUGUCGGGUAGUGUCACUUGGCCACUGGGCUAGUUCAGUACUUUCAUUACAAAUAAGGCACUGCCUUGGGUGGUCCGAUCACCUCCUGCGCCUUUGUGCACUCGCCGCGGCGCCGCUGUCUGCCGUUGUGAACAUGCUGAACAAACGAGAGAAAUCUAGAGAGGAUUGUACGUGGAAAGGCGGACAGUCAAGACCCACCAUGUCUAUGGUCGUACGCAAGCAAGUGCCUCAUUGAAAAAAAACUUCCUCCUAAUGCUAUACUGACAUUGGGGCCCAUGGGUUUGUCAACAUAGUUACUUUUUUUAGGUGCUUCAACGUAGGAGAUAAAUUCACAAUGAAGCUGUGGAGCUGGCGGGUAGUAUCAUUUAUCAUCACUGGGGCAGCAAGUAUCCGCUGGGUUUUGGACUGCCCCGUCUAGGCUUUCUUUUUUAACAUGCGUAGCCCACAACAUGCCGGUUUGUAUUUUUUUGAGGACCGUCAUGUAUCGACCGGCCUAUGGACCUUUCAUCCGAGGUUUUAUUUUUCCUGAAACAUCGGCAGCCCAAUUUAUGUAUUUUUUAAAAGAAAACGCAGAGGUCUGUUCUAUUUUUCUAUAUAAGAAUAGGAACGUGUGGUCCAACUUUUGUUUCCCUUCUAACUAUAUUAUAUAUUUAAAUUAUUUUAUAUAUUAUUAUAUAUUAUUUUUAUUGUCAUCAUAUAUAUAACAGAUACUUACAUAUCAAAGAAAAUAAUAUCCCACAUCUUAUUAACUUAGAAAAAUAAUUUUUUAACAAUAAAAUACUGGAUUUUUUGGCAACGAAAAUCCUGGUGAUUGUGUACAAAAGCUUGGUAAGAUUUAAAGACCAAUGUAAUAAUAAAUCACUUACUAUUUAAAUAUAUUUAUAACAAAAUGCUCAGCCCCUGUUUAUUUAUUGAUAACAUUUUUGCGCUCAACCCAACAUUAUAAUUAGAAUCAGCCCAGCAAAGUCGUGUAUUUCGAGAAAGGGCAAAUGACCUGUAAUUUUUUAUGAGAAAAAUAAAUGGGCUACAUGGACGCUACAUUAUUUGUUCACCCAGCCCAGCAAAUGGACUGUAAUUCUAAAAAAAGAUCAAAUUGACUGUGAAUUCUGAAGAAAAAAAUGGGUUGAAUAUGUGCCACAUUUUUGGAGGCUGAAAUGUGGGCCAAUAGGUCGAAGCCAACGCAAGUCGUUGUCAACUUAAUCAACAAAUGAUUCUGACAUCGUUAGCCGUUGGAUUUACAUCCAACGACCGGCAUCCAUCUUCAAUCUCUCGUCUUCUUCCUCCAGCAUUGCCGGGACCACCUACUCCCGCCUCAUGCUGCUAGCAGCUCUAUUUAGCAUGCUUCGUUGUGAAGCGCUACCCCAUGUUGGCCAGGCCAUCCCUCCAUCCCUCCACACCUCAUGUUCUUCUCCACUGACUGCCGAACCACACCGCACCAGAAUCAGUUAACCCUUGUACACCUCUCCGUCUGUGACUCUACUCCCGCGGCUUCCCAUCUCCGGCUCGUUGCUGUCCGGGGCCUCGCCGUCGUCUACCACCUUGGAUGCGCUCGGCGCGGAAUAGUCAACAUGGUCAACGAACGACAUCCAUCGGAAGUAGACUGUGCGUGGAGAGGCUGACAGCUGGGUCCACGGCCGCACGCAAGGAAAUGCCUCCUUAUUACGCGCAAAAUAAUGAUUCCUCCACCUAAUAGCUGGGACCCACCGGAAGGGCCUCUGUAUUUCGCAAAAAAAAUGUUCCCCCCGCUGACAGGUCGGAGCCACCAGCUAUAUUUUCGCACGCAAGGAACUGCCUACUUAUUACGCACACAAGAAUGAAUACCCCCUGCUAGCUGGGACCCACCAUAGUGGGAGGCUGACUUGUGGGCCUACUAAAUUGACGGGGACGGAGGGCUUUGUCAACUUAGUCAAUAUGAACGAUUCUAGCUCCAGUGACCGUACGAUGUCCAUCCAACGGUGGUAGUGCUUCUUCAACCUCUGGUCUUGUUGCUCCAGCCGCCCAAACCAGCGCCGGUCAUGCCGCAUGCUCCUGCUUCCCGUGGCCGGCUGUGAUGCCGCGGAGGCCUCACUUCCCCCUACUACUCCCACCGCUGGCCAGGCCCUACGGCGACGACAGCCCCACACCGCAGCCAAACCAGUGAACACUCGUACUCCUCUCCGCGUGGGCAUCCACUGCCGCGUCUUUGCCGGCUCCGCGUCGUCCCCUUCCUAGGCCUCGCCGUCGUCCACCGCCCUGGUGCUCUCGCCGCGGCGUAGUCAACAUGUUCAAGGAACGACUUCCAUUGAAAGAGUACUAUACGUGGAGAGGCUGACAGCUGGGUCCAUGGCCGUAGCAAGGAAGUGUCUCGUUAUUUCGCAGAAAAUAAUGAUUCCUCCACUUGAUAGCAGGGACCCACCGGACGGGCCAUCGUAUUUCAUGAAAAAAAAUGUUUCCCCCUGACUGCUGGGACCCACCAGGUACAUCUUCGCAUGCAAUGAAGUGCGUCCAUAUUACGGGCAAAAAAAUGAUUCGCACCCCUGACUGUUGGGACCCACCAUCUACAUCUUCACACGCAAGGAAGUGUCUGACAGUCGGGACCCACCCGGUCGAAGCAUACUAGCGUUGUCAUUCUGGUCGCGAACGUGUACGUACAUACUGGUCGAUGUAGAGGCGCGCACAUGUGGUAGUAGAUGCGCGCACGUGUAGUAGUAGAGGCGUGCAUGUGUGGUAGUAGAGGCGCGCACGUAGCAUGUACACGUACGUACAGCGGCCAAGGUGCAAGACAGUAAAUACGGCCACGUACGUACAUACGGGCGGGGUCUCGAACGCCUACUCGCACAUACGUAUGGACAGGGCUCGUGUACAUGGUUGUGGCUGGGUCGGAACGGAGAAACUGCAUCGUCUCGUGUUCAUUGGGAGGCAACGGAAUGCGUUGUGUUCAUCGGGAGGCAACGGAACGCGUGUUGUUCAUCAGGAGCCAACCGGCUUGGACGGAACAGCCGAUGGAAACGAGGCCUGGCGUACCGCAGAACGGAGGAAAUGGCCUUGUGUUCGACCGGCCACGGUGGAAACGGGAUCCUGUUCAUCGGGAGGGGGCUGGCGUACCACAAAACGGAGGAAACGGACCUCCUACGAUCGAAACGGGGUCCUGUUGAUUGGUAGGGGUGUGGCGUACCGCAAAACGGAGGAAACAGACUUGUGUUGGAGCACUACGAUCAAAACGGGGGUCCUGUUCAUCGGGAGGGGUGUGCCGUACCGCAAACGGGACACCACGAAAUAUUGUUCAUCUCCACCGUCGACCUCCUCCAGCCUCCACGGGCUACUGUUCAUCCACUGUCGACCUACUUCAGCCUCCACCUACGACUGUUCAUCCACGGGCUCCUGUUCAUCCAGCCUCCAUCGGCUACUUGCUACCUCUUGAGCACUGCGUUGCUUUUCCCUUGAAGAAGAAAGGAUGAUGCAGCAAAGUAGCGUAAGUAUUUCCCUCAGUUUUUGAGAACCAAGGUAUCAAUCCAGUAGGAGGCCACACGCAAGUCCCUCAUACCUACACAAACAAAUAAGAACCUCGCAACCAACGCGAUAAAGGGGUUGUCAAUCCCUUCACGGUCACUUACGAGAGUGAGAUAUGAUAAUGAUAAGAUAAAUAUUUUUGGUAUUUUUAUGAUAUAGAUUGAAAGUAAAAAUUGCAAAGUAAAAUAGAUUGGAAACUUAUAUGAUGGAGAAUAGACCCAGAGGCCAUAGGUUUCACUAGUGGCUUCUCUCAAGAUAGCAUAAGUAUUACGGUGGGUGAACGAAUUACUGUCGAGCAAUUGAUAGAAUUGAGCAUAGUUAUGAGAAUAUCUAGGCAUGAUCAUGAAUAUAGGCAUCAUGUCCGUGACAAGUAGACCGACUCCUGCCUGCAUCUACUACUAUUACUCCACACAUCGACCGCUAUCUAGCAUGCAUCUAGAGUAUUAAGUUCAUAAGAACAGAGUAACGCAUUAGGUAAGAUGACAUGAUGUAGAGGGAUAAACUCAAGCAAUAUGAUAUAAACCCCAUCUUUUUAUUCUUGAUGGCAACAAUACAAUACGUGUCGUUUCCCUUUCUGUCACUGGGAUCGAGCACCGCAAGAUUGAACCCAAAGCUAAGCACUUCUCCCAUUGCAAGAAAGAUCAAUCCAGUAGGCCAAACCAAACUAAUAAUUCGAAGAGACUUGCAAAGAUAACCAAUCAUGCAUAAAAGAAUUCAGAGAAGAUUCAAAUAUUGUUCAUAGAUAGACUUGAUCAUAAACCCACAAUUCAUCGGAUCUCGACAAACACACCGCAAAAAGAGUUACAUCAAAUAGAUCUCCAAGAAGAUCGAGGAUAACAUCGUAUUGAGAUCCAAAGAGAGAGAAGAAGCCAUCUAGCUACUAGCUAUGGAACCAAAGGUCUGAAGUAAACUACUCACACAUCACCGGAGAGGCCAUGGAGUUGAUGUAGAGGCCCUCCGUGAUCGAUGCCCCCUCUGAUGGAGCUCCGGAAAAGACCCCAAGAUGGGAUCUCUUGGGUACAGAAGGUUGCAGCGAUGGAAAUAGGGUUUCGUGGUGCUCCUUGAUGUUUUCGGCGUAUAUGAAUAUAUAUAUAUAUAUAGGAGGAAGAAGUAGGUCGGUGGAGCAACGAGGGGCCCACGAGGGUGGAGGGCACGCCCAGGGGGGUAGGCGCGCCCCCCUGCCUUGUGGCCUCCUCGAUUGUUUCUUGACGUCCAAUCCAAGUCCCCUGGAUCACGUUUGUUCCAAAAAUAACUCUCCCGAAGGUUUCAUUCCGUUUGGAUUCCGUUUGAUAUUCCUUUUCUGCGAAACACUGAAAUAGGCAAAAAAAAUAGCAAUUUGCACUAGGCCUUGGGUUAAUAGGUUAGUCCCAAAAAUAAUAUAAAAGUGAAAAAUAAAGCCCAUUAACAUCCAAAACAGAAUAUAUAAUAGCAUGGAACAAUCAAAAAUUAUAGAUACGUUGGAGACGUAUCAGCAUCCCCAAGCUUAAUUCCCGCUCGUCCUCGAGUAGGUAAAUGAUAAAAAUAGAAUUUUUGAUGUGGAAUGCUUUCUAGCAAACUCUCAAUGUAAAUCUCUUUAUUGUAGCAUGAAUAUUCAUUUCCGAAAGAUUCAAGAUAAAAGUUUAAUAUUGACAUAAAGAUAGUAAUACUUCAAGCAUACUAACUAAGCAGUCAUGUCUUCUCAAAAUGACAUGGCCAAAGAAAGUUAUCCCUACAAAAUCAUAUAGUCUGGCUAUGCUCUAUCUUCACCACACAAAAUAUUUAAAUCAUGCACAACCCCGAUGACAAGCCAAGCAAUUGUUUCAUACUUUUGAUGUUCUCAAACUUUUUCAAUCUUCACGCAAUACAUGAGCGUGAGCCAUGGAUAUAGCACUAUAGGUGGAAUAAAAUGGUGGUUGUGGAGAAGACAAAAAAGGAGAACAUGGUCUCACAUCAACUAGGCGUAUCAACGGGCUACGGAGAUGCCCAUUAAUAUAUAUCAAUGUGAGUGAGUAGGGAUUGCCAUGCAACACAUGCACUAGAAGUGUAUGAAAGCUCAACAAAAGAAACUAAGUGGGUGUGCAUCCAACUUGCUUGCUCAUGAAGACCUAGGGCAUUUUGAGGAAUCCCAUCAUUGGAAUAUACAAUCCAAGUUCUAUAAUGUGAAAUUCCCACUAGUAUAUGAAGGUGAUAACAUAGCAGACUCUCUAUCAUGAAGAUCUUGGUGCUACUUUGAAGCACAAGUGUGGUAAAAGGAUAGUAACAUUGUUCCUUCUCUCUUUUUCUCUCAUUUUUUUAUUUGGGCCUUUUCUCUUUUUUAUGGCUUCUUUUUCUUCUUUUUAUCGUCCGGAGUCUCAUCCCGACUUGUGGGGGAAUCAUAGUCUCCAUCAUCCUUUCCUCACUUGGGACAAUGCUCUAAUAAUGAUGAUCAUCACACUUUAUUUACUUACAACUCAAGAAUUACAACUCAAUACUUAGAACAAAACAUGACUCUAUGCGAAUGCCUCCGGCGGAGUACCGGGAUACGCAAUGAAUCAAGAGUGACAUGUGUGAAAGAAUUAUGAAUGGUGGCUUUGCCACAAAUACGAUGUCAACUACAUGAUCAUGCAAAGCAAUAUGACAAUGAUGAAGCGUGUCAUAAUAACGGAACGGUGGAAAGUUGCAUGGCGAUAUAUCUCGGAAUGGCUAUAGAAAUGCCAUAAUAGGUAGGUAUGGUGGCUGUUUUGAGGAAGGUAUAUGGUGGGUGUGAUAUCGGUGGAAGGUGCGCGGUAUUAGAGAGGCUAGCAAUGGUGGAAGGGUGAGAGUGCGUAUAAUCCAUGGACUCAACAUUAGUCAUAAAGAACUCACAUACUUACUGCAAAAACCUAUUAGUUAUCGACACAAAGUACUACGCGCAUGCUCCUAGGGGGAUAGAUUGGUAGGAAAAGACCAUCGCUCGUCCCCGACCGCCACUCAUAAGGAAGACAAUCAAUAAAUAAAUCAUGCUCCGACUUCAUCACAUAACAGUUUACCAUACGUGCAUGCUACGGGAAUCACAAACUUUAACACAAGUAUUUCUCAAAUCCACAACUACUUAACUAGCAUGACUCUAAUAUCACCAUCUUCAUCUCUCAAAACAACUAUCAAGUAUCAAACUUCUCAUAAUAUCCAAUGCACUUUUUGUAUGAUAGUUUUUAUUAUACCGAUCUUGGAUGCCUAUUAUAUUAGGACUAAAUUCAUACCCAAAGCAAAUUACCAUGGUGUUCUAAAGGACUCUCAAAAUAAUAUAAGUGAAUCAUGAGAGAUCAAUUAUUUCUAUAAAAUAGAACCACCACCGUGCUCUAAAAAGAUAUAAGUGAAGCACUAGUGCAAAAUUAUCUAGCUCAAAAAAUAUAAGUGAAGCCCAUAGAGUAUUCUAACAAAUUCCAAUUUAUGUGUGUCUCUCCCUGUGUACAGCAAGGAUGAUUGUGGUAAACUAAAAAGCGAAGACUCAAAUCAUACAAGACGCUCCAAGCAAAACGCAUAUCAUGUGGCGAAUAAAAAUAUAGCUCCAAGUAAAGUUACCGAUGGACGAAGACAAAAGAGGGGAUGCCUUCUGGGGCAUCCCCAAGGUUAGGCUUUUGGUUGUCCUUGGAUUUUACCUUGGGGUGCCUUGGACAUCCCCAAGCUUAGGCUCUUGCCAGUCCUUGUUUCAUAAUCCAUCAAAUCCUUACCCAAAACUUGAAAACUUCACAACACAAAACUCAAAUAGAAAAUCUCAUGAGCUCCGUUAGUAAAAGAAAACAAACUACCAGUUCAAGGUACUGUAAUGAACUCAUUCUUUAUUUGUAUUGGUGUUAAACCCACUAUAUUCCAACUUCUCUAUGGUUCAUAAACUCUAUUACUAGCCAUAGAUUCAUCAAAAUAAGCAAACAACACACGAAAAACAGAAUCUGUCAAAAACAGAAAAGUCUGUAGUAAUCUGUAGGUUUCGACUACUUCUGGAACCCCAAAAAUUCUAAAAUAAAUUUCUGGACGUGAGUAAUUUAUCUAUUAAUCAUCUGCAAAAAGAAUUAACUAAAUAGAGCUCUUCAAUAAAAGAAUGUCAGCAAUUCUCGUGAGUGCUAAAGUUUCUGUUUUUUACAGCAAGAUCACAAAGACUUUCCCCAAGUCUUCCCAAAGGUUCUACUUGGAACAAACACUAAUUAAAAGCAUAAAACCACAUCUAAACAGAGGAUAGAUGAAUUAUUUUUUACUAAACAGAAUCAAAAAGCAAGGAACAAAAAUAAAAUUGGGUUGCCUCCCAGUAAGCACUAUCGUUUAACGCCCCUAGCUAGACAUAAAAGCAAGGAUAGAUCUAGGUAUUGCCAUGAUAAUGAUGAGAUAAAUCGCGAAAUCUCAUAUCAUACUCCCUAUGUUCAGCUUCAAGUUUUCUUUGUGGUAAGCAAAAGUAAUCAAAAGGGCUAAAUAUAAUGGGACAAAAGUCCCCAAGAUCAAGCUCGGGAGGUAUUGGUUCCUCCUUUGGCCCCUCAUAUUGCACAACCAAUUCAUCAUUAUAAGCAUUCUUUUGGCAAAAAGUCAUGAGCUUAUGUUCAAGAGAAAAACCUAACCCAUUAUUCUGGAUAGAAAAAUUAUUAUUAAGUUCAGAAAUCCUAUCAACUAGCACAUCAGUAGGGACUCUUUUUCCAAGGUUUUCAUUAAAAGCCACAUGAUCUAAAGAUCGUAAGUGCAUUAUGUCUUCUUGAUAAAAAAGGAUAGCUUCUAUGGGAGGACGGCCAGCGUCCACCCUAUAAUGCGCAAAAAUUUCAUUGGCUUCUCUUAUUAUAGAUCUGAACUCAUGAGCUAAAAAGAUAGUAGCAGCUCGCUUAACAGAAGAAUGCUCAAUAUUAGAAAAUUCUAGAAAAAUCCUUUGGAUGCAAGGGUGCAUAUAAAGAAAUUGUCUUUCAAGUUCAACUAUGAGCAAAGAUAUAGCAUCCGCAAAACUACUAUUCCUAUGAAGAAUAGACCCUCCCAUAGUGGGUAGAGCACCGACACAAGUAAAUAAAUAUUGAAUAACUCCUUUCCCAAUAAUAUUACCACUACCGAUUCGAAACUUUUUAGUGUGCAAAAUAGUAGGUUCUUCAUGAGGGUAAUCAACAUUUUCCAUAUUAUUAUUAUUAUCAAUGAUAACCUCCCCAGUUUCAGACAUGAUGGCAAUGAAACGCACGAGGAAAGGGCACACAAGAGGUAAACUAGAGAAGGCAAACAGAACAGGGGCGAAUAAAAACAGCAAGGGUGAAGUGGGGGAGAGGAAAACGAGAGGCAAAUGGCAAAUAAUGUAAUGCGAGGGAUAAGAGUUUGUGAUGGGUACUUGGUAUGUCUUGACUUGUGCGUAGACUCCCCGGCAACGGCGCCAGAAAUCCUUCUUGCUACCUCUUGAGCACUGCGUUGGUUUUCCCUUGAAGAGGAAAGGGUGAUGUAGCAAAGUAGCGUAAGUAUUUCCCUCAGUUUUUUAGAACCAAGGUAUCAAUCUAGUAGGAGGCCACACACAAGUCCCUCGUACCUACACAAAUAAAUAAGAACCUCAUAACCAACGCGAUAAAGGGGUUGUCAAUCCCUUCACGGUCACUUACGAGAGUGAGAUAUGAUAAUGAUAAGAUAAAUAUUUUUGGUAUUUUUAUGAUAUAGAUUAAAAGUAAAAAUUGCAAAGUAAAAUAGAUUGGAAACUUAUAUGAUGGAGAAUAGACCCGGGGACCAUAGGUUUCACUAGUGGCUUCUCUCAAGAUAGCAUAAGUAUUAUGGUGGGUCAACGAAUUACUAUCGAGUAAUUGAUAGAAUUGAGCAUAGUUAUGAGAAUAUCUAGGCAUGAUCAUGAAUAUAGGCAUCACGUCCGUGACAAGUAGACCGACUCAUGCCUACAUCUACUACUAUUACUCCAGACCGCUAUCCAGCAUGCAUCUAGAGUAUUAAGUUCAUAAGAACAGAGUAACACAUUAGGUAAGAUGACAUGAUGUAGAGGGAUAAACUCAAGCAAUAUGAUAUAAACCCCAUCUUUUUAUCCUCGAUGACAACAAUACAAUACGUGUCGUUUCCCUUUCUGUCACUGGGAUCGAGCACCGCAAGAUUGAACCCAAAGCUAAGCACUUCUCCCAUUGCAAGAAAGAUCAAUCCAGUAGGGCAAACCAAACUGAUAAUUCGAAGAUACUUGCAAAGAUAACCAAUCAUGCAUAAAAGAAUUCAGAGAAGAUUCAAAUAUUGUUCAUAGAUAGACUUGAUCAUAAACCCACAAUUCAUCGGAUCUCGACAAACACACCGCAAAAAGAGUUACAUCGAAUAGAUCUCCAAGAAGAUCGAGGAGAACAUUGUAUUGAGAUCCAAGGAGAGAGAAGAAGCCAUCUAGCUACUAGCUAUGGACCCGAAGGUCUGAAGUAAACUACUCACACAUCACCGGAGAGGCCAUGGAGUUGAUGUAGAGGCCCUCCAUGAUCGAUGCCCCCUCCGGCGGAGCUCCAAAAAAGGCCCCAAGAUGGGAUCUCUUGGGUACAGAAGGUUGUGGCGGUGGAAAUAGGGUUUCAUGGUGCUCCUAGAUGUUUUCAUGGUAUAUGAAUAUAUAUAGGAGGAAGAAGUGGGUCGGUGGAGCAACGAGGGGCCCAUGAGGGUGGAGGGCGCGCCCAGGGGGUAGGCGCGCCCCCCUGCCUCGUGGCCUCCUCGAUUGUUUCUUGACGUCCACUCCAAGUCCCCUGGAUAAUGUUUGUUCCAAAAAUAACUCUCCUGAAGGUUUCAUUCCGUUUGGAUUCCGUUUGAUAUUCCUUUUCUGCGAAACACUGAAAUAGGCAAAAAAACAGCAAUUUGCACUCGGCCUUGGGUUAAUAGGUUAGUCCCAAAAUAAUAUAAAAGUGUAAAAUAAAGCCCAUUAACAUCCAAAACAGAAUAUAUAAUAGCAUGGAACAAUCAAAAAUUAUAGAUACGUUGGAGACGUAUCACUACUGUUCAACCAACCCUCUCCACGGGGUCCUGUUCAACCACCCCUCCACGGGCUACUACUCAUCCAGCCCUCCACCGGCUACUGUUCAACCAGCCCUCCACCGGCUACUGGUCGACUAGCCCUCCACCGAUUACUGUUCAACCAGCCCUCCACGGGGUCCUGUUCAUCCAGCCCUCCACGGGGUCCUAUUUCAUCCACCGGCUCGCUCGAUUGGGAUACUAUUCAUCCAGCGGCAACAGCCUCUACUACCACGGGUUCCUGUUCAUCCAACCCCCACCGGGAACNNNNNNNNNNNNNNNNNNNNNNNNNNNNNNNNNNNNNNNNNNNNNNNNNNNNNNNNNNNNNNNNNNNNNNNNNNNNNNNNNNNNNNNNNNNNNNNNNNNNNNNNNNNNNNNNNNNNNNNNNNNNNNNNNNNNNNNNNNNNNNNNNNNNNNNNNNNNNNNNNNNNNNNNNNNNNNNNNNNNNNNNNNNNNNNNNNNNNNNNNNNNNNNNNNNNNNNNNNNNNNNNNNNNNNNNNNNNNNNNNNNNNNNNNNNNNNNNNNNNNNNNNNNNNNNNNNNNNNNNNNNNNNNNNNNNNNNNNNNNNNNNNNNCCCCAACAACGCUCACUGUUCAUCCAGGGGCAGCAUCGAUCGGCUUCAGUUAGCAGCAGUAGCGAAGGAAUCGCUCGAUCGGGUUCAGUUAACAGUCAUCGAUAGAUCGCUCGGGUUCAGUAACGCGUAACCUACAGUGCAAUCACUCGGGUUCAGUUAGAGCCCAAUGCCUCGCUUGGGUUCAGUUAGAGCGCAAUGCCUCGCACACACGCACGUACGUACGAGAGAAACAUGCAUCGCUCGGCCCCCGACCAGCCACCGUAACCGGGAACUCCCCCGAUAUUUUCCUCGCCCUCACUUCUACCACGGUUUUUUCCGUCAUGGACGGCCCAAACAAUGUCAUGCAGCUGCGUCUCCGGCCCGCCCAGGACGAAAAGCCCUUUUUCUAUUGGGGAACGUAGUAAUUUCAAAAAAAUCCUACGCACACGCAUGAUCAUGGUGAUGCAUAGCAACGAGAGGGAAGAGUAUCGUCCAUGUAUCCUCGUAGACCGUAAGCGGAAGCGUUAUGAGAACGCGGUUGAUGUAGUCAAACAUCUUCACGAUCCGACAGAUCCAAGUACCGAACGCACGGCACCUCCGAGUUCAGCACACGUUCAGCUCGAUGACGUCCCACGAACUCCGAUCCAGCAGAGCUUCAUGGGAGAGUUCCGUCAGCACGACGGCGUGAUGACGGUGAUGAUGUUGCUACCGAUGCAGGGCUUCACCUAAGCACCGCUAUGAUAUGAUCGAGGUGGAAUAUGGUGGAGGGGGCACCGCACACGGCUAAGGGAUCAAUGAUCAACUUGUGUCCUCUAGGGUGCCCCCCUACCCCCGUAUAUAAAGGAGCAAGGGGGGAGGUCGGCCGGCCCUCCUAGGGCGCGCCAGGAGGAGGAGUCCUCCUCCUAGUAGGAGUAGGACUCCCCUUUGCUACUCCUACUAGGAGGAGGAAAGGAAGGGGGAAGGGGAGAAGGAAGGAGAGGGAGGAAAUGAGGAAAGGGGGCCGGCCCCCUAGACCAAUUUGGUUUGGGCUAGGGGGGCGCGCACCAUGCCUCCUCUCUUCCACCACUUGGCCCAUGAGGCCCAAUACUUCUUCCCCAUAUUCCCGUAACUCCUAGGUACUCCGAAAAAUACCCGAAUCACUCGGAACCUUUCCGAAGUCCGAAUAUAGUCGUCCAAUAUAUCGAUCUUUACAUCUCGACCAUUUCGAGACUCCUCGUCAUGUCCACGAUCUCAUCCGGGACUCCGAACUACCUUCGGUACAUCAAAUCACAUAAACUCAUAAUACCGAUCGUCACAGAAAUCCAUUCAGGAUUGCAGUUUUGACAUCCAUUUGCCAAAAUUCAUAAUCAUAAAAUGCGGCAAUUGCUAACAUGAUUCGGACAGACUUAAGCAUCGCUACGGGUGAGAAAGUACCAUCGUAGUCAACCCCUUGAACUUGUCGAAAACCUUUCGCAACAAGUCGAGCUUUGUAGACAGUAACAUUACCGUCAGCAUCAGUCUUCUUCUUGAAGAUCCAUUUAUUUUUUAUGGCUUGCCGAUCAUCGGGUGAUGUCUACUACACAACCUUCUUCUUGUAGACAUUGUUGGUGUUGGGGAACGUAGCAAAAAUUCAAAAUUUUCCUACGUGUCACCAAGAUCUAUCUAUGGAGAGACCAGCAACGAGUAGAAAGAGAGUGCAUCUACAUACCCUUGUAGAUCGCUAAGCGGAAGCGUUCAAGUGAACGGGGUUGAUGGAGUCGUACUCGUCGUGAUUCAAAUCACCGAUGAUCCUAGUGCCGAACGGACGGCACCUCCGCGUUCAACACACGUACAGCCCGGUGACGUCUCCCACGCCUUGAUCCAGCAAGGAGAGAGGGAGAGGUUGAGGAAGACUCCAUGCAACAGCAGCACAAUGGCGUGGUGGUGGUGGAGGAGCGUGGCAAUCCAGCAGGGCUUCGCCAAGCACCAUGGGAGAGGAGGAGUAGGAAGAGAGGUAGGGCUGUGCCAGAACUUCGUCUAUAGCUCCCAUGCGCCUCCCCACUAUAUAUAGGGGUGGAGGGGCUGGUUUCUUGCCCUCGAGGUCCAUUGGGGCGUUGGCCAAGGUGGGAGGAAAGAAAUCUCAUUAUUUCCUUCCCCACCGAUUGUUAUCCCCCCUUUUUAGGGAUCUUGAUCUUAUCCCUUUGGGAUAUGAUCUUAUUCCUUCUAAGGGGGGAUCUUGGUGCGCCUUGACCAGGGGUGUGGGUCCUUGCCCCCACUACCCACGUCCAUGUGGGUCCCCCCAUGCAGGUGGGCCCCACUCCGGAACCUUCUAGAACCUUCCCGGUACAAUACCGAAAAAUCCCGAACAUUUUCCGGUGGCCAAAAUAGGACUUCCCAUAUAUAAAUCUUUACCUCCGGACCAUUUCGGAACUCCUCUUGACGUCCGGGAUCUCAUCCGGGACUCCGAACAACAUUCGGUAACCACGUACAAACUUCCUUUAUAACCCUAGCGUCAUCGAACCUUAAGUGUGUAGACCCUACGGGUUCGGGAGACAUGCAGACAUGACCGAGACGUUCUCCGGUCAAUAACCAACAGUGGGAUCUGGAUACCCAUGAUGGCUCCCACAUGUUCCACGAUGAUCUCAUCAGAUGAACCACGAUGUCAAGGACUUAAUCAAUCCCGUAUUCAAUUCCCUUUGUCUAUCGGUAUGUUACUUGUCCGAGAUUCGAUCGUCGGUAUCCAAUACCUUGUUCAAUCUCGUUACCAGCAAGUCACUUUACUCGUUCCGUAACACAUCAUCCCGUGAUCAACUCCUUGGUCACAUUGCGCAUAUGAUGAUGUCCUACCGAGUGGGCCCAGAGAUACCUCUCCGUUUACACGGAGUGACAAAUCCCAGUCUCGAUCCGCAUAAAACAAUAGAUACUUUCGGAGAUACCUGUAGUGCACCUUUAUAGUCACCCAGUUACGUUGUGACGUUUGAUACACCCAAAGCACUCCUACGGUAUCCAGGAGUUACACGCUCUCAUGGUCGAAGGAAGAGAUACUUGACAUUGGCAAAGCUCUAGCAAAUGAACUACACGAUCUUUUGUGCUAGUCUUAGGAUUGGGUCUUGUCCAUCACAUCAUUCUCCUAAUGAUGUGAUCCCGUUAUCAACGACAUCCAAUGUCCAUAGCCAGGAAACCAUGACUAUCUGUUGAUCACAACGAGCUAGUCAACUAGAGGCUCACUAGGGACAUAUUGUGGUCUAUGUAUUCACACGUGUAUUAUGAUUUCCGGAUAAUACAGUUAUAGCAUGAAUAAAAGACUAUUAUCAUGAACAAAGAAAUAUAAUAAUAACACUUUUAUUAUUGCCUCUAGGGCAUAUUUCCAACAGUCUCCCACUUGCACUAGAGUCAAUAAUCUAGUUCACAUCGCCAUGUGAUUAACACUCACAGGUCACAUCGCCGUGUGACUAAUACCCAAGAGUUUUAGGUUUGAUCAUGUUGCUUGUGAGAGAGGUUUUAGUCAACGGGUCCGAACCUUUCAGAUCCGUGUGUGCUUUACAAAUCUCUAUGUCAUCUCCUAGAUGUAGCUACCAUGCUCUAUUUGGAGCUAUUCCAAAUAAUUGUUCUACUUGGAGCUAUUCUAAAUUGUUGCCCCAUAAUACGUAUCCGGUAUCUCUUCUUAGAGCUAUCCGGAUAGGUGUUAAGCUUGCAUCGACGUAACCUUUACGAUGAACUCUUUUACCACCUCCAUAAUCGAGAAAAUUCCUUAGUCCACUAGUUACCAAGGAUAACUUUGACCGCUGUCUGUGAUCCAUUCAUGGAUCACUCUUGUACCCCUUGACUGACUCAUGGCAAGGCACACUUCAGGUGCGGUACUCAGCAUGGCAUACUGUAGAGCCUAUGUCUUAAGCAUAGGGGACGACCUUCGUCCUUUCUCUCUAUUCUGCCGAGGUCGAGCUUUAAGUCUUAACUUCAUACCUUACAACUCAGGCAAGAACUCCUUCUUUGACUGGUCCAUCUUGAACACCUUCAAGAUCAUGUCAAGGUAUGUGCUCAUUUGAAAGUAUUAUUAAGCAUUUUGAUCUAUCCUUAUAGAUCUUGAUGCUCAAUGUUCAAGUAGCUUAAUCCAGGCUUUCCAUUGAAAAACACUUUCAAAAUAACCCUAUAUGCUUUCCAGAAAUUCUACGUCAUUUCUGAUCAAAAAUAUGUCAACAACAUAUACUCAUCAGAAAUUCUAUAGUGCUCCCACUCACUUCUUUGGAAAUACAAGUUUCUCAUAAACUUUGUACAAACCCAAAAUCUUUGAUCAUCAUCAAAGCAUACAUUCCAACUCCGAGAUGCUCACUCCAGUCCUUAGAAGGAUUGCUGGAGCUUUGCAUACUUAUUAGCAUCUUUCGGGAUUGACAAAACCUUCCGGUUGUAUCACAUACAACCUUUCCUCAUUAAAAUCGUCGAGGAAACAAUGUUUUGACAUCCUAUCUGCAAGAUUUCAUAAAUAAUGCAGCAAUCGCUAAUAUAAUUCCAACAGACUCUUAGCAUCGCUACGAGUGAGAAAAUCUCAUCGUAGUCAACUCCUUGAACUUGUCGGAAAACAUCUUAACGACAAGUCGAGCUUUCUUAAUGGUGACAUUUACCAUCAUUGUCCGUCUUCCUUUUGAAAUCCAUCUGUACUCAUUAGCCUUACGACCAUCGAGCCGUUCUGCCAAAGUCUACACUUUGUUUUCAUACAUGGAUCCUCUCUCGGAUUUUAUGGCCUCAAGCCAUUUAUCGGAAUCCGGGCCCACCAUUGCUUCUCCAUAGCUCGUAGGUUCAUUGUUGUCCAGCAACAUGACUUCCAAGACAGGAUUACGUACCACUCUGAUGUAGUACGUAUCCUUGUCAUCCCACGAGGUUUGGUAGUGACUUGAUCCGAAGUUUCAUGAUCAACAUCACAAGCUUCCACUUCAAUUGGUGUAGGUGCCACAGGAACAACUUCCUGUGCCCUGCCACACACUAGUUGAAGAGACGGUUCAAUAACCUCAUCAAGUUUCCACCAUCCUCCCACUCAAUUCUUUCGAGAGAAACUUUUCCUCGAGAAAGGACCCGAUUCAAGAAACAAUCCAUAUUGCUUUCGGAUCUGAAUUAGGAGGUAUACCCAACUAUUUUGGGUUUCCUAUGAAGAUGCAUUUUAUCCGCUUUGGGUUCGAGCUUAUCAACCUGAAACUUUUUCAUAUAAGCGUCGCAGCCCCAAACUUUUAAGAAACGACAACUUAGGUUUCUCUAAACCAUAAUUCAUACGGUGUCAUCUCAACGGAAUUAUGUGGUGCCCUAUUUAAAGUGAAUGUGGUUGUCUCUAAUGCCUAACCCAUGGACAAUAGUGGUAAUUCAAUAAGAGAUAUCAUGGUACGCACCAUAUCCAAUAGGGUGCAACUAUGAUGUUCGGACACACCAUCACACUAUGGUGUUCCAGGCGGUAUUAAUUGUGAAACAAUUUCCACAAUGUUUUAAUUGUGUGCCAAAACUCGUAACUCAGAUAUUCAUCUCUAUGAUCGUAUCAUAGACAUUUUAUCCUCUUGUCACAAUGAUCUUCUACUUCACUCUGAAAUUACUUGAACCAUUCAAUAAUUCAGACUUGUGUUUCAUCAAGUAAAUAUUCUCAACAUCUACUCGAAUCAUCUGUGAAGUAAGAACAUAACGAUAUUCACUGCAUGCCUCAGCACUUAUUGGACUGCACACAUCAAAAUGUGUUACUUCCAACAAGUUGCUAUCUUGUUCCAUCUUAUUGAAACUGAGGCUUUUCAGUCAUCUUGCCUAUGUGGUAUGAUUUGCAUAUCUCAAGUGAUUCAAAAUCAAGUGAGUCCGAACGGUCCAUUUGCAUGGAGUUUCUUCAUGCAUAUACACCAAUAGACAUGGUUCGCAUGUCUCAAACUUUUCAAAAACGAGUGAGUCCAAAGAUCCAUCAACAUGAAGCUUCUUCAUGCGUUUUAUACCAUUAUGACUUACAUGGCAGUGCCACAAGGAAGUGGUACUAUCAUUACUAUCUUAUAUCUUUUGGCAUGAAAAUGUGUAUCACUACGAUCGAGAUUCAAUUAAACCAUUCAGGUUUAAUACUAAUCUUGAUGGUAGAGGGAGCGUGCGAUGUUUGAUCACAUCAAACUUGGAAACAUUUCCAACACAUAUCGUCAGCUCACCUUUAGCUAGUCUCCGUUUAUUCCGUAGCUCUUUAUUUCGAGUUACUAACACUUAGCAACUGAACCGGUAUCUAAUACCCUGGUGCUACUAGGAGUACUAGUAAAGUACACAUCAACACAAUGUAUAUCCAAUAUACUUCUAUCGACCUUGCCAGCCUUCUUAUCUACCAAGUAUCUAGGGUGGUUCCGCUUCAGUGUCCGUUCCUCUCAUUACAGAAGCACUUAGUCUCGGGUUUGGGUUCAACCUCGGGUUUCUUCACUGGUGCAGCAGCUGAUUUGCCGUUUCAUGAAGUAUCCCUUCUUGCCCUUGCCCUUCUUGAAACUAGUGGUUUCACCAACCAUCAACAAUUGAUGCUCCUUCUUGAUUCCUACUUUCGCGGUGUCAAACAUCGUGAAUACCUCAAGGAUCAUCAUAUCUAUCCUUGAUAUGUUAUAGUUUAUCACGAAGCUUUAGCAGCUUGGUGGCAAUGACUUUGAAGAAACAUCACUAUCUCAUCUGGAAGAUCAACUCCCAUUCGAUUCAAGUGAUUGUUGCACUCAGACAAUCUGAGCACAAGCUCAACGAUUGAGCUUUUCUCUCUUAGUUUGCAGGUUAAGAAAAUCGUCGGAGGUCUCAUACCUCUUGACGUGGGCACGAGCCUGAAAUCAUAAUUUCAGCCUUCGAAACAUCUCAUAUGUUCCGCGACGUUUUGAAAACGUCUUUGGUGCCUCUACUCUAAACCGUUUAACUGAACUAUCACGUAGUUAUCAAAACGUGUAUGUCCGAUGUUCGCAACAUCCACAGACGACGUUUGGGGUUCAGCACACUGAGCGGUGCAUUAAGGACAUAAGCUUUCUACUGAUCGCAUAAUCUCUACUAUCAACUUUCAACUAUAUUUUCUCUAGGAACAUAUCUAAACAGUGGAACUAAAGUGCGAGCUACGACAUAAUUUGUAAAAAGUCUUUUGACUAUGUUCAGGAUAAUUAAGUUCAUCUUAUGAACUCCCACUCAGAUAGACAUCCCUCUAGUCAUCUAAGUGAUUACAUGAUCCGAGUCAACUAGGUCGUGUCCGAUCAUCACGUGAGACGGACUAGUCAUCAUCGGUGAACAUCUUCAUGUUGAUCGUAUCUACUAUACGACUCAUGCUCGACCUUUCGGUCUCCGUGUUCCGAGGCCAUGUCUGCACAUGCUAGGCUCGUCAAGUUAACCCUAAGUGUUUUCGCUGUGUAAAACUAUCUUACACCCGUUGUAUGUGAACGUAAGAAUCCAUCACACCCGAUCAUCACGUGGUGCUUAGAAGCGACGAACUGUGGCAACGGUGCACAGUUAGGGGAGAACACUUCUUGAAAUUUUGUAAGGGAUCAUCUUAUUUACUACCGUCGUCCUAAGUAAACAAGAUGCAUAAACAUGAUAAACAUCACAUGCAAUCAAAUAGUGACAUGAUAUGGCCAAUAUCAUUUUGCUCCUUUUGAUCUUCAUCUUCGGGGCUCCAUGAUCAUCAUCGUCACCGGCAUGACACCAUGAUCUCCAUCAUCGUGUCUUCAUGAAGUUGUCACGCCAACGACUACUUCUACUUCUAUGGGUAACGCGUUUAGCAAUAAAGUAAAGUAAUUACAUGGCGUUGUUCAAUGACACGCAGGUCAUACAAUAAAUUAAGACAACUCCUAUGGCUCCUGCCGGUUGUCAUACUCAUCGACAUGCAAGUCGUGAAUCCUAUUACAAGAACAUGAUCAAUCUCAUACAUCACAUAUAUUCAUCACAUUCUUGUUGGCCAUGUCACAUCACAAAGCAUACCCUGCAAAAACAAGUUAGACGUCCUCUAAUUGUUGUUUGCAUGUUUUACGUGGCUGCUAUGGGUUUCUAGCAAGAACGUAUCUUACCUACGCAAAACCACAACGUGAUAUGCCAAUUGCUAUUUACCCUUCAUAAGGACCCUUUUCAUCGAAUCCGUUCCGACUAAAGUGGGAGAGACUGGCACCCGCUAGCCACCUUAUGCACCAAGUGCAUGUCAAUCGGUGGAACCUGUCUCACGUAAGAGUACGUGUAAGGUCGGUCCGGGCCGUUUCAUCCCACAAUACCGUCGAAACAAGAUUGGACUAGUAACGGUAAGCAUAUUGAACAAAAUCAAUGCCCACAACUACUUUGUGUUCUACUCGUGCAAAGAAUCUACGCAAUAAACCUGGCUCAUGAUGCCACUGUUGGGGAAUGUAGCAGAAAUUCAAAAUUUUCCUACGUGUCACCAAGAUCUAUCUAUGGAGAGACCAGCAACGAGUAGAAAGAGAGUGCAUCUACAUACCCUUGUAGAUCGCUAAGCGGAAGCGUUCAAGUGAACGGGGUUGAUGGAGUCGUACUCGUCGUGAUUCAAAUCACCGAUGAUCCUAGUGCCGAACGGACGGCACCUCCGCGUUCAACACACGUACAGCCCGGUGACGUCUCCCACGCCUUGAUCCAGCAAGGAGAGAGGGAGAGGUUGAGGAAGACUCCAUCCAACAGCAGCACAACGGCGUGGUGGUGGUGGAGGAGCGUGGCAAUCCAGCAGGGCUUCGCCAAGCACCAUGGGAGAGGAGGAGUAGGAAGAGAGGUAGGGCUGUGCCAGAACUUCGUCUAUAGCUCCCAUGCGCCUCCCCACUAUAUAUAGGGGUGGAGGGGCUGGUUUCUUGCCCUCGAGGUCCAUUGGGGCGUUGGCCAAGGUGGGAGGAAAGAAAUCUCAUUAUUUCCUUCCCCACCGAUUGUUAUCCCCCCUUUUUAGGGAUCUUGAUCUUAUCCCUUUGGGAUAUGAUCUUAUUCCUUCUAAGGGGGGAUCUUGGUGCGCCUUGACCAGGGGUGUGGGUCCUUGCCCCCACUACCCACGUCCAUGUGGGUCCCCCCAUGCAGGUGGGCCCCACUCCGGAACCUUCUAGAACCUUCCCGGUACAAUACCGAAAAAUCCCGAACAUUUUCCGGUGGCCAAAAUAGGACUUCCCAUAUAUAAAUCUUUACCUCCGGACCAUUCCGGAACUCCUCUUGACAUCCGGGAUCUCAUCCGGGACUACGAACAACAUUCGGUAACCACAUACAAACUUCCUUUAUAACCCUAGCGUCAUCGAACCUUAAGUGUGUAGACCCUACGGGUUCGGGAGACAUGCAGACAUGACCGAGACAUUCUCCGGUCAAUAACCAACAGUGGGAUCUGGAUACCCAUGAUGGCUCCCACAUGUUCCACGAUGAUCUCAUCGGAUGAACCACGAUGUCAAGGACUUAAUCAAUCCCGUAUUCAAUUCCCUUUGUCUAUCGGUAUGUUACUUGCCCGAGAUUCGAUCGUCGGUAUCCAAUACCUUGUUCAAUCUCGUUACCGGCAAGUCACUUUACUCGUUCCGUAACACAUCAUCCCGUGAUCAACUCCUUGGUCACAUUGCGCAUAUGAUGAUGUCCUACCGAGUGGGCCCAGAGAUACCUCUCCGUUUACACGGAGUGACAAAUCCCAGUCUCGAUCCGCAUAAAACAAUAGAUACUUUCGGAGAUACCUGUAGUGCACCUUUAUAGUCACCCAGUUACGUUGUGACGUUUGAUACACCCAAAGCACUCCUACGGUAUCCAGGAGUUACACGCUCUCAUGGUCGAAGGAAGAGAUACUUGACAUUGGCAAAGCUCUAGCAAAUGAACUACACGAUCUUUUGUGCUAGUCUUAGGAUUGGGUCUUGUCCAUCACAUCAUUCUCCUAAUGAUGUGAUCCCGUUAUCAACGACAUCCAAUGUCCAUAGCCAGGAAACCAUGACUAUCUAUUGAUCACAACGAGCUAGUCAACUAGAGGCUCACUAGGGACAUAUUGUGGUCUAUGUAUUCACACGUGUAUUACGAUUUCCGGAUAAUACAGUUAUAGCAUGAAUAAAAGACUAUUAUCAUGAACAAAGAAAGAUAAUAAUAACACUUUUAUUAUUGCCUCUAGGGCAUAUUUCCAACAGUUGGGCCUCCAAGUGCAGAGGUUUGUAGGACAGUAGCAAAUUUCCCUCAAGUGGAUGACCUAAGGUUUAUCAAUCCGUAGGAGGCAUGGGAUGAAGAUGGUCUCUCUCAAGCAACCCUGCAACCAAAUAACAAAGAGUCUCUUGUGUCCCCAACACACCCAAUACAAUGGUAAAUUGUAUAGAUGCACUAGUUCGGCGAAGAGAUGGUGAUACAAGUGGUAUAUGGAUGGUAGAUAAAGGUUUUUGUAAUCUGAAAAUAUAAAAACAGCAAGGUAACUAAUGAUAAAAGUGAGCACAAACGGUAUUGCAAUGUGUUGAAACAAGGCCUAGGGUUCAUACUUUCACUAGUGCAAGUCCUCUCAACAAUAAUAACAUAAUUGGAUCACAUAACUAUCCCUCAACAUGCAACAAAGAGUCACUCCGAAGUCACUAAUAGCGGAGAACAAACGAAGAGAUUAUGGUAGGGUACGAAACUACCUCAAAGUUAUUCUUUCCGAUCAAUCUGUUGGGCUAUUCCUAUAAGUGUCACAAACAGCCCUAGAGUUCAUACUAGAAUAACACCUUAAGACACAAAUCAACCAAAACCCUAAUGUCACCUACAUACUCCAAUGUCACCUCAAGUAUCCGUGGGUUUGAUUAUACGAUAUGCAUCACACAAUCUCAGAUUCAUUAUUCAACCAACACAUAGAACCUCAAAGAGUGCCCCAAAGUUUCUACCAGAGAAUCAUGACAAAAAUGUGUGCCAACCCCUAUGCAUAGGUUCAUGGGCGGAACCCGCAAGUUGAUCACCAAAACAUGCAUCAAGUGAAUCACGUGAUAUCCCAUUGUCACCACAGAUACGCACGACAAGACAUACAUCAAGUGUUCUCAAAUCUUUAAAGACUCAAUCCGAUAAGAUAACUUCGAAGGGAAACUCAAUCCAUUACAAGAGAGUAGAGGGGGAGAGGAAACAUAAGAUCCAACUAUAAUAGCAAAGCUCGCCAUACAUCAAUAUCGUGCCAAAUCAAGAACACGAGAGAGAGAGAGAGAGAUCAAACACAUAGCUACUGGUACAUACCCUCAGCCCCGAGGGAGAACUACUCCCUCCUCAUCAUGGAGAGCACCGGGAUGAUGAAGAUGGCCACCGAAGAGGGAUUCCCCCUCCGGCAGGGUGCCGAAACAGGUCUAGAUUGGCUUUCGGUGGCUACGGAGGCUUCUGGCGGCGGAACUCCCGAUCUAUUGUGCUCCCUGGUCGUUUUAGGGUAUAUGGAGAUAUAUAGGAGGAAGAAAUACAUCAGGAGAGCCACGAGGGUGGAGGGCGCGCCCCCUGCCUUGUGGCUUCCUCGUUGAUCCCCUAACGUGCACUCCAAGUCUCAUGUAUUGCUUUCUUUCCAAAAAUAACUUUUCCGAAGGUUUCAUUCCGUUUGGACUCCGUUUGAUAUUCCUUUUCUUCGAAACCCUAAAACAAGGAAAAAACAGAGACUGGCACUCGGCUCUAGGUUAAUAGGUUAGUCCCGAAAAUCAUAUAAAAUAGCAUAUAAAUGCAUAUAAAACAUCCAAGGUUGAUAAUAUAAUAGCAUGGAACAAUCAAAAAUUAUAGAUACGUUGGAGACGUAUCAUCGGGCAAGUCAACCAAAGUCCAUACUUUGUUCUCAUACAUGGAUCCCAUCUCAGAUUUCAUGGCCUCAAGCCAUUUUGCGGAAUCUGGGCUCACCAUCGCUUCUUCAUAGUUCGUAGGUUCAUCAUGGUCAAGUAACAUGACUUCCAGAACAGGAUUACUGUACCACUCUGGUGUGUAUCUUACUCUGGUUGACCUACGAGGUUCUUAACUUGAUAUAAAGUUUCAUGAUCAUCAUCAUUAGCUUCCUCACUAAUUGGUGUAGGUAUCACAGGAAUCGGUUUCUGUGAUGAACUACUUUCCAAUAAGGGAGCAGGUACAGUUACCUCAUCAAGUUCUACUUUCCUCCCACUCACUUCUUUCGAGAGAAACUCCUUCUCUAGAAAGGAUCCAUUCUUAGCAACAAAUGUCUUGCCUUCGGAUCUGUGAUAGAAGGUGUACCCAAUAGUUUCCUUUGGGUAUCCUAUGAAGACACAUUUCUUCGAUUUGGGUUCGAGCUUAUCAGGUUGAAGUUUUUUCACAUAACCAUCGCAGCCCCAGACUUUAAGAAAUGACAACUUUGGUUUCUUGCCAAACCACAGUUCAUAAGGCGUCGUCUCAACGGAUUUCGAUGGUGCCCUAUUUAACGUGAAUGCAACCGUCUCAAAAGCAUAACCCCAAAAUUAUAGUGGUAAAUCAGUAAGAGACAUCAUAGAUCGCACCAUAUCUAGUAAAGUACGAUUACGACGUUCGGACACUCCAUUACGCUGUGGUGUUCCGGGUGGCGUGAGUUGCGAAACUAUUCUGCAUUGUUUCAAAUAUACACCAAACUCGCAACUCAAAUAUUCUCCUCCAUGAUCAGAUCGUAGAAACUUUAUUUUCUUGUUACGAUGAUUUUCCACUUCACUCUGAAAUUCUUUGAACUUUUCGAAUGUUUCAGACUUAUGUUUCAUUAAGUAGAUAUACCCAUAUCUGCUCAAAUCAUCUAUGAAGGUGAGAAAAUAACGAUACCCGCCGCGAGACUCAAUACUCAUUGGACCACAUACAUCAGUAUGUAUGAUUUCCAAUAAAUCUGUUUCUCGCUCCAUUGUUCCGGAGAACGGUGUUUUAGUCAUCUUGCCCAUGAGGCAUGGCUCGCAAGUACCAAGUGAUUCAUAAUCAAGUGAUUCCAGAAGUCCAUCAGUAUGGAGUUUCUUCAUGCGCUUUACACCAAUAUGACCUAAACGGCAGUGCCACAAAUAAGUUGCACUAUCAUUAUCAACUUUGCAUCUUUUGGUUUCAACAUUAUGAAUAUGUGUAUUACUACUAUCGAGAUUCAACACAAAUAGACCACUCUUCAAGGGUGCAUGACCAUAAAAGAUAUUACUCAUAUAAAUAGAACAACCAUUUUUCUCAGAUUUAAAUGAAUAAACGUCUUGCAUCAAACAAGAUCCAGAUAUAAUGUUCAUGCUUAACGCUGGCAGCAAAUAACAAUUAUUUAGGUCUAAAAUUAAUCCCGAAGGUAGAUGUAGAGGUAGCGUGCCAACGGCGAUCACAUCGACUUUGGAACCAUUUCACACACGCAUCGUCACCUCGUCCUUAGCUAAUCUUCGCUCAAUCCGUAGUCCCUGUUUCAAGUUGAAAAUAUUAGCAACAGAACCAGUAUCAAAUACCCAGGUGCUACUGCGAGCUCUAGUAAGGUACACAUCAAUAACAUGUAUAUCACAUAUACCUUUGUUCACCUUGCCAUCCUUCUUAUCCGCCAAAUACUUGGGGCAGUUCCGCUUCCAGUGACCAGUCUGUUUGCAGUAGAAGCACUCAGUCUCAGGCUUAGGUCCAGACUUGGGUUUCUUCUCCUGAGCAGCAACUUGUUUGCCGUUCUUUUUGAAGUUCCCCUUCUUCUUCCCUUUACCAUUUUUCUUGAAACCAGUGGUCUUGUUGACCAUCAACACUUGAUGUUCUUUCUUGAUUUCUACCUCCGCAGCCUUUAGCAUUACGAAGAGCUCGGGAAUUGUCUUAUCCAUCCCUUGCAUAUUAUAGUUCAUCACGAAGCUCUUGUAGCUUGUUGGCAGUGAUUGAAGAAUUCUGUCGAUGACACUAUCAUCCGGAAGAUUAACUCCCAGUUGAAUCAAGUGAUUGUAGUACCCAGACAUUCUGAGUAUAUGUUCACUGACAGAACUAUUCUCCUCCAUCUUGCAGCUGUAGAACUUAUUGGAGACUUCAUAUCUCUCAAUCCGGGCAUUUGCUUGAAAUAUCAACUUCAACUCCUGGAACAUCUCAUAUGCUCCAUGACAUUCAAAACGUCGUUGAAGUCCCGGUUCUAAGCCGUAAAGCGUGGCACACUAAACUAUCGAGUAGUCAUCAGCUUUGCUCUGCCAGACGUUCUUAACGUCAGCAGUAGCAUCUGCAGCAGGCAUGGCACCCAGCGGUGCUUCCAGGAUGUAAUUCUUCUGUGCAGCAAUGAGGAUAAUCCUCAAGUUAUGGACCCAGUCCGUGUAAUUGCUACCAUCAUCUUUCAACUUUGCUUUCUCAAGGAACGCAUUAAAAUUUAACGAAACAACAGCACGAGCCAUCUAUCUACAACAACAUAGACAAGCAAAAUACUAUCAGGUACUAACUCCAUGAUAAAUUUAAGUUCAAUUAAUCGUAUUACUUAGGAACUCCCACUUAGGUAUAUAUCCCUCUAAUCAUCUAAGUGAUCACGUGAUCCAAAUCAACUAAACCAUAACCGAUCAUCACGUGAAAUGGAGUAGUUUUCAAUGGUGAACAUCACUAUGUUGAUCAUAUCUACUAUAUGAUUCACGCUCAAACUUUCGGUCUCAGUGUUCCGAGGCCAUAUUUGUAUAUGCUAGGCUCGUCAAGUUUAACCCGAGAAUUCUGCGUGUGCAAAACUGGCUUGCACCCGUUGUAUAAGAACGUUGAGCUUAUCACACCCAAUCAUCACGUGGUGUCUCGGCACGAUGAACUUUUGCAACGGUGCAUACUUAGGGAGAACACUUGUAUCUUGAAAUUUAGUGAGAGAUCAUCUUAUAAUGCUACUAUCAAUCAAGCACAAUAAGAUGCAUAAAGGAUAAACAUCACAUGCAAUCAAUAUAAGUGAUAUGAUAUGGCCAUCAUCAUCUUGUGCCUGUGAUCUCCAUCUCCAAAGCACCGUCAUGAUCACCAUCGACACCGGCUUGGCACCUUGAUCUUCAUUGAAGCAUCGUUGUCAUCACGCCAAUUAUUGCCUCCACGACUCUUGCUACCGCUUAGUGAUAAAGUAAAGCAAUUACAUGGCGAUUGAAUUUCAUGCAAUAAAGCAACAACCAUAUGGCUCCUGCCAGUUGCCGAUAACUGUGUUACAAAACAUGAUCAUCUCAUACAAUAAAAUUUAGCAUCAUGUCUUGACCAUAUUGUUGGAAAUAUGCACUAGAGGCAAUAAUAAAUUGAUUAUUAUUAUAUUUCCUUGUUCAUGAUAAUCGUUUAUUAUCCAUGCUAGAAUUUUAUUGAUAGGAAACUCAGAUACAUGUGUGGAUACAUAGACAACACCAUGUCCCUAGUAAGCCUCUAGUUGACUAGCUCGUUAAUCAAUAGAUGGUUACGGUUUCCUGACCAUGGACAUUGGAUGUCGUUGAUAACGGGAUCACAUCAUUAGGAGAAUGAUGUGAUGGACAAGACCCAAUGCUAAGCCUAGCACAAGAUCAUGUAGUUCGUAUGCUAAAGCUUUUCUAAUGUCAAGUAUCAUUUCCUUAGACCAUGAGAUUGUGCAACUCCCGGAUACCGUAGGAGUGCUUUGGGUGUGCCAAACGUCACAACGUAACUGGGUGGCUAUAAAGGUACACUACGGGUAUCUCUGAAAGUGUCUGUUGGGUUGGCACGAAUCGAGAUUGGGAUUUUGUCACUCCGUGUAAACGGAGAGGUAUCUCUGGGCCCACUCGGUAGGACAUCAUCAUAAUGUGCACAAUGUGACCAAGGGGUUGAUCACGGGAUGAUGUGUGACGGAACGAGUAAAGAGACUUACCGGUAACGAGAUUGAACAAGGUAUCGGUAUACCGACGAUCGAAUCUCGGGCAAGUACCAUACCGCUAGACAAAGGGAAUUGUAUACGGGAUUGAUUGAGUCCUUGACAUCGUGGUUCAUCCGAUGAGAUCAUCGUGGAACAUGUGGGAGCCAACAUGGGUAUCCAGAUCCCGUUGUUGGUUAUUGACCGGACAACAUCUCGGUCAUGACUACAUGUCUCCCGAACCCGUAGGGUCUACACACUUAAGGUUCGAUGAUGCUAGGGUUAUAAAGGAAGUUUGUAUGUGGUUACCGAAUGUUGUUCGGAGUCCCGGAUGAGAUCCCGGACGUCAUGAGGAGUUCCGGAAUGGUCCGGAGGUAAAGAUUUAUAUAUAGGAAGUCCUGUUUCGGCCAUCGGGACAAGUUUCGGGGUCAUCGGUAUUGUACCGGGACCACCGGAAGGGUCCCGGGGGCCCACUGGGUGGGGCCACCUGCCCCGGGGGGCCACAUGGGCUGUAGGGGGUGCGCCUUGGCCUACAUGGGCCAAGGGCACCAGCCCCUAGAGGCCCAUGCGCCAAGAUAUAGGAAAAAGGGGAGAGUCCUAAAAGGGGAAGGCACCUCCGAGGUGCCUUAGGGAGGAUGGACUCCUCCCCCCCUCUUAGCCGCACCCCUUCCUUGGAGGAAGGGGCAAGGCUGCGCCUCCCCCCUCUCCCCUGCCCCUAUAUAUAGUGGAGGGGAGGGAGGGCAUCCAUACCUGAGCCCUUGGCGCCUCCCUCCCUCCCGUGACACCUCCUCCUCUCCCGUAGGUGCUUGGCGAAGCCCUGCAGGAUUGCCACGCUCCUUCAUCACCACCACGCCGUUGUGCUGCUGCUGGAUGGAGUCUUCCUCAACCUCUCCCUCUCUCCUUGCUGGAUCAAGGCGUGGGAGACAUCAUCGAGCUGUACGUGUGUUGAACGCGGAGGUGCCGUCCGUUCGGCACUAGGAUCAUCGGUGAUCUGAAUCACGACGAGUACGACUCCAUCAACCCCGUUCACUUGAACGCUUCCGCUUAGCGAUCUACAAGGGUAUGUAGAUGCACUCUCCUUCCCUCGUUGCUAGUCUCUCCAUAGAUAGAUCUUGGUGACACGUAGGAAAAUUUUGAAUUUUUGCUACGUUCCCCAACAGUGGCAUCAUGAGCUAGGUCUAUUGCGUAGAUUCUUUGCACGAGUAGAACAGAAAGUAGUUGUGGGCGUCGAUAUUGUUCAAUAUGCUUGCCGUUACUAGUCUUAUCUUGAUUCGGCGGCAUCGUGGGAUGAAGCGGCCCGGACCAACCUUACACGUACGCUUACGUGAGACCGGUUCCACCGACAAACAUGCACUAGUUGCAUAAGGUGGCUGGCGGGUGUCUGUCUCUCCCACUUUAGUCGGAUCGGAUUCGAUGAAAAGGGUCCUUAUGAAGGGUAAAUAGCAAUUGGCAUAUCACGUUGUGGUUCAUGCGUAGGUAAGAAACGUUCUUGCUAGAAACCCAUAGCAGCCACGUAAAACAUGCAAACAACAAUUAGAGGACGUCUAACUUGUUUUUGCAGGGUAUGCUAUGUGAUGUGAUAUGGCCAAAAAGGAUGUGAUGAAUGAUAUAUGUGAUGUAUGAGAUUGAUCAUGUUCUUGUAAUAGGAAUCACGACUUGCAUGUCGAUGAGUAUGACAACCGGCAGGAGCCAUAGGAGUUGUCUUUAUUUAUUUGUGACCUGCGUGUCAACUUAAGCGUCAUGUAAUUACUUUACUUUAUUGCUAACCGUUAGCCAUAGUAGUAGAAGUAAUAGUUGGCGAGGCAACUUCAUGAAGACACGAUGAUGGAGAUCAUGAUGAUGGAGAUCAUGGUGUCAUGCCGGUGACGAUGAUGAUCAUGGAGCCCCGAAGAUGGAGAUCAAAAGGAGCAAAGUGAUGAUGGCCAUAUCAUGUCACUAUUUGAUUGCAUGUGAUGUUUAUCAUGUUUAUACAUCUUAUUUGCUUAGAACGACGGUAGUAAAUAAGAUGAUCCCUUACAACAAUUUCAAGAAGUGUUCUCCCCUAACUGUGCACCGUUGCGACAGUUCGUGUUUCGAAGCACCACGUGAUGAUCAGGUGUUAGAUUCUAACGUUCACAUACAACGGGUGUAAGACAGAUUUACACACGCGAAACACUUAGGGUUAACUUGACGAGCCUAGCAUGUACAGACAUGGCCUCGGAACACGGAGACCGAAAGGUCGAACAUGAGUCGUAUAGAAGAUACGAUCAACAUGAAGAUGUUCACCGAUGAUGACUAGUCCGUCUCACGUGAUGAUCGGACAUGGCCUAGUUUGACUCGGAUCAUGUAAUCACUUAGAUGACUAGAGGGAUGUCUAUCUGAGUGGGAGUUCAUAAGAUUAACUUAAUUAUCCUGAACAUAGUCAAAAGGUUUUUGCAAAUUAUGUCGUAGCUCACGCUAUAGUUCUACUGUUUAGAUAUGUUCCUAGAGAAAAAAAUUAGUUGAAAGUUGAUAGUAGCAAUUAUGCGGACUAGGUCCGUAAACUGAGGAUUGUCCUCAUUGCUUCAUAGAAGGCUUAUGUCCUUAAUGCACCGCUCAGUGUGCUGAACCUCGAACGUUGUCUGUGGUUGUUGCGAACAUCUGACAUACACGUUUUGAUAACUACGUGAUAGUUCAGUUAAACGGUUUAGAGUUGAGGCACCAAAGACGUUUUUGAAACAUCGCGAAACAUAUGAGAUGUUUUGAGGGCUGAAAUUGGGAUUUCAGGCUCGUGCCCAUGUCAAGAGGUAUAAGACCUCCGAUGACUUUCUUAACCUGCAAACUAAGGAGAAAAGCUCAAUUGUUGAGCUUGUGCUCAGAUUGUCUGAGUACAACAAUCAUUUGAAUCGAGUGGGAGUUGAUCUUCCAAAUAAGACAGUGAUGGUUCUCCAAAGUCAUUGCCACCAAGCUGUUAGAGCUUCGUGAUGAACUAUAACAUAUCAGGGAUAGAUAUGAUGAUCCUUGAGGUAUUCGCGAUGUUUGACACCGCGAAAGUAGAAAUCAAGAAGGAGUAUCAAUUGUUGAUGGUUGGUGAAACCACUAGUUUGAAGAAGGGCAAGGGCAAGAAGGGAUACUUCAUGAAACGGCAAAUCAGCUGCUGCUCUAGUGAAGAAACCCAAGGUAAAACCCAAACCCGAGACUAAGUGCUUCUGUAAUAAGGGGAACAACCACUAGAGCAGAAUUACCCUAGAUACUUGGUAGAUAAGAAGGCUGGCAAGGUCGAUAGAAGUAUAUUGGAUAUACAUUGUGUUAAUGUGUACUUUGCUAGUACUCCUAGUAGCACCAGGGUAUUAGAUACCGGUUCGGUUGCUAAGUGUUAGUAACUCGAAACAAAAGGCUACGGAAUAAACGGAGACUAGCUAAAGGUGAGCUGACGAUAUGUGUUGGAAGUUUUUCCAAGCUUGAUAUGAUCAAGCAUCGCACGCUCCCUCUACCAAAGAGAUUGGUGUUAAACCUAAAUAAUUGUUAUUUUGUGUUUGUGUUGAGCAUAGACAUGAUUGGAUUACGUCUAUCGCAAUACGGUUAUUCAUUUAAGGAGAAUAAUGGUUACUCUGUUUAUUUGAAUAAUACCUUCAAUGGUCUUACACCUAAAAUGAAUGGUUUAUUAAAUCUCGAUCGUAGUGAUACACAUUUUCAUGCCAAAAGAUAGUAAUGAUAGUACCACUUACUGGUGGCACUGCCAUGUAAGUCAUAUUGGUUUAAAACGCAUGAAGAAGCUCCAUGUUGAUGGAUCUUUGGACUCACUUGUUUUUGAAAAGUUUGAGACAUGCGAACCAUGUCUAUUGGUGUAUACGCAUGAAGAAACUCCAUGCAGAUGGAUCGUUUGGACUCACUUGAUUUUGAAUCACUUGAGAUAUGCAAAUCAUACCACAUGGGCAGGAUGACUGAAAAGCCUCGUUUUCAGUAAGAUGGAACAAGAUAGCAACUUGUUGGAAGUAACACAUUUUGAUGUGUACAGUCCAAUGAGUGCUGAGGCAUGCAGUGAAUAUCGUUAUGUUCUUACUUCACAGAUGAUUCGAGUAGAUGUUGAGUAUAUUUACUUGAUGAAUCACGAGUCUGAAUUAUUGAAAGGUUCAAGUAAUUUCAGUGUGAAGUUGAAAGAUCGUCGUGACAAGAGGAUAAAAGAUCUAUGAUAUGAUCAUAGAGAUGAAUAUCUGAAUCACGAGUUUGGCACAGAAUUAAGACAUUGUGGAAAUUGUUUCACAACUGAUACAGCCUGGAACACCAUAGUGUGAUGGUGUGUCCAAACGUCAUAGUUGCACCCUAUUGGAUAUGGUGCAUACCAUGAUGUCUCUUAUCGAAUUACACUAUCGUCCAUGGGUUAGGCAUUAGAGACAACCACAUUCACUUUAAAUAGGGCACCACGUAAUUCCGUUGAGAUGACACCGUAUGAAUUAUGGUUUAGAGAAACCUAAGUUGUCGUUUCUUAAAGGUUUGGGGCUGCGACGCUUAUGUGAAAAAAUUUCAGGAUUGAUAAGCUCGAACCCAAAGCGGAUGAAAUGCAUCUUCAUAAGACACCCAAAACAGUUGGGUAUACCUCCUGUCUCAGAUCCGAAAGCAAUAAGGGAUUGUUUCUAGAAUCAGGUCCUUUCUCGAGGAAAAGUUUCUCUCGAAAAGUUCAAUUAAUCGUAUUACUUAGGAACUCCCACUUAGGUAUAUAUCCCUCUAAUCAUCUAAGUGAUCACGUGAUCCAAAUCAACUAAACCAUAACCGAUCAUCACGUGAAAUGGAGUAGUUUUCAAUGGUGAACAUCACUAUGUUGAUCAUAUCUACUAUAUGAUUCACGCUCGAACUUUCGGUCUCAGUGUUCCGAGGCCAUAUCUGUAUAUGCUAGGCUCGUCAAGUUUAACCCGAGAAUUCUGCGUGUGCAAAACUGGCUUGCACCCGUUGUAUAAGAACGUUGAGCUUAUCACACCCAAUCAUCACGUGGUGUCUCGGCACGAUGAACUUUUGCAACGGUGCAUACUUAGGGAGAACACUUGUAUCUUGAAAUUUAGUGAGAGAUCAUCUUAUAAUGCUACUAUCAAUCAAGCACAAUAAGAUGCAUAAAGGAUAAACAUCACAUGCAAUCAAUAUAAGUGAUAUGAUAUGGCCAUCAUCAUCUUGUGCCUGUGAUCUCCAUCUCCAAAGCACUGUCAUGAUCACCAUCGUCACCGGCUUGGCACCUUGAUCUUCAUUGAAGCAUCGUUGUCGUCACGCCAAUUAUUGCCUCCACGACUCUUGCUACUGCUUAGUGAUAAAGUAAAGCAAUUACAUGGCGAUUGAAUUUCAUGCAAUAAAGCGACAACCAUAUGGCUCCUUCCAGUUGCCGAUAACUGUGUUACAAAACAUGAUCGUCUCAUACAAUAAAAUUUAGCAUCAUGUCUUGACCAUAUUGUUGGAAAUAUGCACUAGAGGCAAUAAUAAAUUGAUUAUUAUUAUAUUUCCUUGUUCAUGAUAAUCGUUUAUUAUCCAUGCUAGAAUUGUAUUGAUAGGAAACUCAGAUACAUGUGUGGAUACAUAGACAACACCAUGUCCCUAGUAAGCCUCUAGUUGACUAGCUCGUUAAUCAAUAGAUGGUUACGGUUUCCUGACCAUGGACAUUGGAUGUCGUUGAUAACGGGAUCACAUCAUUAGGAGAAUGAUGUGAUGGACAAGACCCAAUGCUAAGCCUAGCACAAGAUCAUGUAGUUCGUAUGCUAAAGCUUUUCUAAUGUCAAGUAUCAUUUCCUUAGACCAUGAGAUUGUGCAACUCCCGGAUACCGUAGGAGUGCUUUGGGUGUGCCAAACGUCACAACGUAACUGGGUGGCUAUAAAGGUACACUACGGGUAUCUCUGAAAGUGUCUGUUGGGUUGGCACGAAUCGAGAUUGGGAUUUUGUCACUCCGUGUAAACGGAGAGGUAUCUCUGGGCCCACUCGGUAGGACAUCAUCAUAAUGUGCACAAUGUGACCAAGGGGUUGAUCACGGGAUGAUGUGUUACGGAACGAUUAAAGAGACUUACCGGUAACGAGAUUGAACAAGGUAUCGGUAUACCGACGAUCGAAUCUCGGGCAAGUACCAUACCGCUAGACAAAGGGAAUUGUAUACGGGAUUGAUUGAGUCCUUGACAUCGUGGUUCAUCCGAUGAGAUCAUCGUGGAACAUGUGGGAGCCAACAUGGGUAUCCAGAUCCCGCUGUUGGUUAUUGACCGGAGAACAUCUCGGUCAUGACUACAUGUCUCCCGAACCCGUAGGGUCUACACACUUAAGGUUCGAUGAUGCUAGGGUUAUAAAGGAAGUUUGUAUGUGGUUACCGAAUGUUGUUCGGAGUCCCGGAUGAGAUCCAGGACGUCACUAGGAGUUCCGGAAUGGUCCGGAGGUAAAGAUUUAUAUAUAGGAAGUCCUGUUUCGGCCAUCGGGACAAGUUUCGGGGUCAUCGGUAUUGUACCGGGACCACCGGAAGGGUCCCGGGGGCCCACCGGGUGGGGCCACCUGCCCCGGGGGGCCACAUGGGCUGUAGGGGGUGCGCCUUGGCCUACAUGGGCCAAGGGCACCAGCCCCUAGAGGCCCAUGCGCCAAGAUAUAGGAAAAAGGGGAGAGUCCUAAAAGGGGAAGGCACCUCCGAGGUGCCUUGGGGAGGAUGGACUCCUCCCCCCCUCUUAGCCGCACCCCUUCCUUGGAGGAAGGGGCAAGGCUGCGCCUCCCCCCUCUCCCCUGCCCCUAUAUAUAGUGGAGGGGAGGGAGGGCAUCCAUACCUGAGCCCUUGGCGCCUCCCUCCCUCCCGUGACACCUCCUCCUCUCCCGUAGGUGCUUGGCGAAGCCCUGCAGGAUUGCCACGCUCCUCCAUCACCACCACGCCGUUGUGCUGCUGCUGGAUGGAGUCUUCCUCAACCUCUCCCUCUCUCCUUGCUGGAUCAAGGCGUGGGAGACAUCGUCGAGCUGUACGUGUGUUGAACGCGGAGGUGUCGUCCGUUCGGCACUAGGAUCAUCGGUGAUCUGAAUCACGACGAGUACGACUCCAUCAACCCCGUUCACUUGAACGCUUCCGCUUAGCGAUCUACAAGGGUAUGUAGAUGCACUCUCCUUCCCUCGUUGCUAGUCUCUCCAUAGAUAGAUCUUGGUGACACGUAGGAAAAUUUUGAAUUUCUGCUACGUUCCCCAACACAUAUCACAUCACAACAUGCCCUGCAAAAAUAAGUUAGACGUCCUCUACUUUGUUGUUGCAAGUUUUACGUGGCUGCUACGGGCUGAGCAAGAACCGUUCUUACCUACGCAUCAAAACCACAACGAUAGUUCGUCAAGUUAGUGUUGUUUUAACCUUCAACAAGGACCGGGUGUAGUCACACUCGGUUCAACUAAAGUUGGAGAAACUGACACCCGCCAGCCACCUGUGUGCAAAGCACAUCGGUAGAACCAGUCUCGCGUAAGCGUACGCGUAAUGUCGGUCUGGGCCGCUUCAUUCAACAAUGCUGCCGAACCAAACUGUGACAUGCUGGUAAGCAGUAUGACUUGUAUCGCCCACAACUCACUUGUGUUCUACUCGUGCAUAUAACAUCUACGCAUAAACCUGGCUCGGAUGCCACUGUUGGGGAACGUAGUAAUUUCAAAAAAAAUCCUACGCACACGCAAGAUCAUGGUGAUGCAUAGCAAUGAGAGGGAAGAGUAUCGUCCAUGUACCCUCGUAGACUGUAAGCGGAAGCGUUAUGAGACUGCGGUUGAUGUAGUCGAACGUCAUCAUGAUCCGACUGAUCCAAGUACCGAACGCAUGGCACCUCCGAGUUCAGCACACGUUCAGCUCGAUGACGUCCCACGAACUCCGAUCCAGCAGAGCUUCAUGGGAGAGUUCCGUCAGCACGACGGCGUGAUGACGGUGAUGAUGUUGCUACUGAUGCUGGGCUUCACCCAAGCACCACUACGAUAUGAUCGAGGUGGAUUAUGGUGGAGGGGGGCACCGCACACGGCUAAGGGAUCAAUGAUCAACUUGUGUCCUCUAGGGUGCCCCUUCCCCGUAUAUAAAGGAGCAAUAGGGGAGGCCGGCCGGCCCUCCUAGGGCACGCCAGGAGGAGGAGUCCUCCUCCUAGUAGGAGUAGGACUCCCCUUUCCUACUCCUACUAGGAGGAGGAAAGGAAGGGGGAAGGGGAGAAGGAAGGAGAGGGAGGAAAGGAGGCCCGGCCCCCUAGUCCAAUUCGGUUUGGGCUAGGGGGGCCGCACGCCCUGCCUCCUCUCAUCCACCACUUGGCCCAUGAGGCCCAAUACUUCUUCCCCGUAUUCCGUAACUCCCCGGUACUCCGAAAAAUACCCGAAUCACUCGGAACCUUUCCGAUGUCAGAAUAUAGUCGUCCAAUAUAUCAAUCUUUACGUCUCGACCAUUUCGAGACUCCUCAUCAUGUCCCCGAUCUCAUCCGGGACUCCGAACUACCUUCGGUACAUCAAAUCACAUAAACUCAUAAUACCGAUCGUCACCGAAAGUUAAGCGUGCGGACCCUACGGGUUUGAGAACUAUCUAGACAUGACCGAGACACGUCUAUGGUUAAUAACCAAUAGUGGAACUUGGAUGUUCAUAUUGGCUCCUACAUAUUCUACGAAGAUCUUUAUCGGUCAAACUGCAUAACAACAUACGUUGUUCGCUUUGUCAUCGGUAUGUUACUUGCCCGAGAUUCGAUCGUCGGUAUCUCAAUACCUAGUUCAAUCUCGUUACCGGCAAGUAUUUUUACUCGUUCCAUAAUGCACUAUCCUGCAACUAACUCAUUAGUUGCAUUGCUUCCAAGGCUUAUAGUGAUGUGCAUUACCGAGAGGGCCCAGAGAUACCUCUCCGACAAUCGGAGUGACAAAUCCUAUUCUCGAUCUAUGCCAACUCAACGAACACCAUCGGAGACACCUGUAGAGCACCUUUAUAAUCACCCAGUUAUGUUGUGACGUUUGGUAGCACACAAAGUGUUCUUUUGGUAAUCGGGAGUUGCAUAAUCUCAUAGUCAUAGGAACAUGUAUAAGUCAUGAAGAAAGCAAUAGCAGUAAACUAAACGAUCAAGUGCUAAACUAACAGAAUGGGUCAUGUCAAUCACAUUAUUCUCCUAAUGAUGUGAUCCCAUUAAUCAAAUGACAACUCAUGUCUAUGGCUAUUAAACUUAACCAUCUUUGAUCAAGGAGCUAGUCAAGUAGAGGCAUCCUAGUGACACUAUGUUUGUCUAUGUAUUCACACACGUAUUAUGUUUCCGGUUAAUACAAUUCUAGCAUGAAUAAUAAACAUUUAUCAUGAUAUGAGGAAAUAAAUAAUAACUUUAUUAUUGCUUCUAGGGCAUAUUUCCUUCAUUUUAUGUUAUGAUUUUUUGUCAUAGAAGUAGGACCCCACCACAUCUAUGAUGAUACCAGGUUUUGCCACAAUUAUCGUCAUAGAAGUGUCAUAAGUAUGACAAAAAAAUUCGUUUGGCCCAAACUGUCACGGAUGUGUCUUUUUUUGUAGUGGAGGAUUAUGUGUGAUAGAGCGUAUCAUAUCACGGGGUUUGGAUGCACCGACAAAGUUUGCACCAACUCUCGAGGUGAGAAAGGGCAAUGCAUGGUACCAAAGAGGCUAGGAAUGAUGGAAGGGUGAGAGUGCGUAUAAUCCAUGGACUCAACAUUAGUCAUAAAGAACUCACAUACUUAUUGCAAAAAUCUACAAGUCAUCAAAACCAAGCACUACGCGCAUGCUCCUAGGGGGGUAGAUUGGUAGGAAAAGACCAUCGCUUGUCCUCGACCGCCACUCAUAAGGAAAGCAAUCAAAGAACACCCCAUGCUUCAAAUUUGUCACACAAAUUUUACCAUACGUGCAUGCUACGGGACUUGCCAACUUCAACACAAGUAUUUCUCAAUUCCAUAAUUACUCAACUAGCACAACUCUAAUAUUACCAUCUUUAUAUCUCAAAACAACUAUCAAGUAUCAAGCUUCUCAUAACAUUUAAUGCACUUUAUAUGAAAGUUUUUAUUAUAUCCAUCUUGGAUGCCUAUCAUAUUAGGACUAAUUUCAUAACCAAAGCAAAUUACCAUGCUGUUCUAAAAGACUCUCAAAAUAAUAUAAGUGAAGCAUGAGAGAUCAAUAAUUUCUAUAAAAUAAACCACCACCAUGCUCUAAAAGAUAUAAGUGAAGCACUAGAGCAAAAUUAUCUAGCUCAAAAGAUAUAAGUGAAGCACAUAGAGUAUUCUAAUAAAUUCAAAUUCAUGUGUAUCUCUCCCAAAAGGUGUGUAUAGCAAGGAUGAUUUUGGUAAACUAAAAAGCAAAGACUCAAAUCAUACAAGACGCCCCAAGCAAAACACAUAUCAUGUGGUGAAUAAAAAUAUAGCCUCAAGUAAAGUUACCGAUGGAAGAAGACGAAAGAGGGGAUGCCUUCUGGGGCAUCCCCAAGCUUAGGCUUUUGGUUGUCCUUGAAUUUUACCUUGGGGUGCCUUGGGCAUCCCCAAUCUUAGGCUCUUGCCACUCCUUAUUCCAUAAUUCACCAAAUCUUUACCCAAAACUUGAAAACUUCACAACACAAAACUUAAACAGAAAAUCUCAUGAGCUCCGUUAGUAUAAGAAAACAAACCACCGCUUAAGGUACUUUAAUGAAAUCAUUCUUUAUUUAUAAUGGUCAUACCCCCCCCCCCCGAUACUAGCCAUAGAUUCAUCAAAAUAAGCAAACAACACACGAAAAACAGAAUCUGUCAAAAAUAGAAAAGUCUGUACUAAUCUAUAGGUUUCGAAUACUUAUGUAACUCCAAAAAUCCUGAGAAAUUAGGACGUCCUAAAUAAUUUGUAUAUUGAUCUACUGCAGUUAGAAUCAGUAUUUUAUCUCUCUCUGGUUAAAAAUGGAAAUUAUUCUCGUGAGCGCAUACUUUCUGUUUUUUUCAGCAAGAUCAAAUAACAAUCAUCCAAGAAGAUCCUAAAGGCUUUGCUUGGCACAAACACUAAUUAAAACAUAAAAACACAAUCAUAACAGAAGAUAGAUGAUUUAUUUAUUACUAAACAGGAACAAAAAUCAAGGAACAAAAAUAAAAUUGGGUUGUCUCCCAACAAGCACUAUCGUUUAACGCCCCUAGCUAGGCAUAAAAACAAGAAUAGAUCUAGGUAUUGUCAUCUUUGGUAUGCAAUCCAUAUGUGGCUCUCAUAAUAGAUUCAUAAGGUAAUUUAAUUUUCUUUCUAGGAAAGUAUUCCAUGCCUUUCCUUAACGGAAAUUGGAAUCUAAUAUUUCUUUCUUUCAUGUCAAUAAUUGCACCAAUCGUUCUAAGGAAAGGUCUACCAAGAAUAAUAGGACAUGUAGGAUUGCAAUCUAUAUUAAGAACAAUGAAAUCUUUGGGCACAUAAUUCCUAUUUGCAACAAUAAGAACAUCAUUAAUCCUUCCCAUAGGUUUCUUAAUGGUGGAAUCCGUGAGAUGCAAAUUUAAAGAACAAUCAUCAAAUUCACGGGAACCUAACACAUCACACAAAGUUUUUAGAAUCGUGGAAGCACUAGCACCCAAAUCACAUAAAGCAUAGCAUUCAUGAUCUUUAAUCUUAAUUUUAAUAGUAGGUUCCCACUCAUCAUAAUGUUUUCUAGGGAUAGAAACUUCUAAUUCAAGUUUUUCUUCAUGGGAUUGCAUUAAAGCAUCAACGAUAUGUUUAGUAAAAGCUUUGUUUUGAUCAUAAGCAUGAGGAGAAUUUUAGCACGGAUUGCAACAAGGAAAUACAAUCUAUCAAAGAGCAAUUAUCAUAAUUAAAUUCCUUGAAAUCCAAAAUAGUGGGUUCAUUGCUAUGUAAAUUUUUGACCUCUUCAAUCCCACUUUUACCAAUUUUUGCAUCAAGAUCUAAAAACUCUGAAUCAUUGGGAUGCCUUCUAACUAAAGUUGACUCAUCUCCAGUCCCAUCUUUAUUAAGAUUCAUAUUGGCAAACAAAGAUUUAAUAGGAGACACACCAAUCACUUUUAGAUCCUCAUCAUUAUUAUCCUCUAGAUCUUCCGGUUUAGCGGCCAUCUUAUUAACUAAGGUGGCUUGCUUAUCCAAAAUUUGGCCUACUAAAUUUUCAAGAUGGGCAAACUGAGAUUUCAAACCAUAAAAUUCCUAGACAUAUCAUCAAGCUCUUUAUUCAUGUACUCCAUAAAACUUUUUUGUUCUUUAAGCUCGUUUCUGAAGAAAUUAUUAUGCUCAAAUUGCAAAGACAUGAAGCUUCUAACGUGGUUCUCAAUUUCUUCCAACCUUCUAAGGUGAGGAUCAACGUUUUUAGGCAAGGCCAUCAGAGCAAGCAGACACACAAGAGACAAGCGAAAAGAGACGAAAGGAAGAAGGGCGAACAGAAAAGAGGCGAAUAAAACGGCAAGGGUGAAGUGUGGGAGAGGAAAACAAGAGGCAAAUGGCAAAUAAUGUAAUGCGAGGGAUAAGAGUUUGUGAUAGGUACUUGGUAUCUUGACUUGGCGUAGAUCUCCCCGGCAACGGCGCCAAAAAUCCUUCUUGCUACCUCUUGAGCAUGUGUUGGUUUUUCCUUGAAGAGAAAAGGGUGAUGCAGCAAAGUAGCGUAAGUAUUUCCCUUAAUUUUUGAGAACCAAGGUAUCAAUCCAGUAGGAGACUACACGCAAGUCGCCUAGUACCUACACAAACAAAUAAGAACCUCGCAACCAACGCAAUAAAUGGGUUGUCAAUCCCUUCGCGGUCACUUACGAAAGUGAGAUCUGAUAGAGAUAAUAAGAUAAAUAUUUUUGGUAUUUUUGUUGUAUAGAUUGAAAAGUAAAGAUUGCAAAAUAAAUGGCGACGGAAAUAGCUAGUUGACGGGAAAAUAAUAUGAUGUAAAGUAGACCCGGGGGCCAUAGGUUUCACUAGUGGCUUCUCUCAAGAUAGCAUAUAUCACGGUGGGUGAACAAAUUACUGUUGAGCAAUUGAUAGAAAAGCGCAUAGUUAUGGUGAUAUCUAGGCAUGAUCAUGAACAUAGGCAUCACGUCCGUGUCAAGUAGACCGAAACGAUUCUGCAUCUACUACUAUUACUCCACACAUCGACCGCUAUCCAACAUGCAUCUAGAGUGUUAAGUUCAUAAGAACAGAGUAACGCAUUAGGCAAGAUGGCAUGAUGUAGAGGGAUAAACUCAAGCAAUAUGAUAUAAACCCCAUCUUUUUAUCCUCGAUGGCAACAAUACAAUAGUGCCUUGUUGCCCCUGCUAUCACUGGGAAAGGACACCGUAAGAUUGAACCCAAAGCUAAGCACUUCUCCCAUUGCAAGAAAGAUCAAUCUAGUAGGCCAAACCAAACUGAUAACUCGAAGAGACUUGUAAAGAUAUCAAAUCAUGCAUAUAAGAAUUCAGAAAAGAAUCAAAUAUUGUUCAUAGAUAAUCUUAAUCAUAAACCCACAAUUCAUCGGAUCACGGUAAACACACCGCAAAAAAGAAUUACAUCGAAUAGACCUCCAAGAACAUCGAGGAGAACUUUGUAUUGAGAUCCAAAGAGAGAUAAGAAGCCAUCUAGCUAAUAAUUAUGGACCCGAAGGUUUGUGGUAAACUGCUCACACAUCAUCAGAGAGGCUAUGGUGUUGAUGUAGAAGCCCUCCGUGAUUGAAUCCCCCUCUGGCAGAUCGCCGAAAAAGGUCCCCAGAUGGGAUCUCACGGGUAUAGAAGGUUGCGGCAGUGGAAAAGUGGUUUCGUGGCUCCCCUGGAUGUUUUUAGGGUAUAAGAGUAUAUAUAGGUGAAAUAAGUAGGUCCGUGCAGCUGCGAGGGGCCCACGAGGGUGGGGGGAGCGCCUGGCCCCCCUGGGCGCGCCGCCCUACCUCGUGGCCGCCUCGCUGCUUCCUUGACGUCCACUCCAAGUCUCCUAGAUUGCGUUUGUUCCAAAAAAGAUCCGCACGAAGGUUUCAUUCCGUUUGAUAUUUCUUUUUUGCGAAACACUGAAAUAGGCAAAAAAGCAACAAUUUGCACUGGGGCUUCGGUUAAUAGGUUAGUCCCAAAAAUAAUAUAAAAGUGCAUAAUAAAGCCCAUUAAACAUCCAAAACAUAUAAUAUAAGAGCAUGGAACAAUAAAAAAUUAUAGAUACGUUGCAGACGUAUCAGCGCGCGGCCUCCCCUUGUGGCCCUUCUCUCCUUUCCACUAAGGCCCAUGAAGGCCCAAUACUUCCCCCAGCGAAUUCCCGUAACUCUCUGGUACUCCAAAAAUACCCGAACCACUCAGAACCUUUCCGAUGUCCGAAUAUAGCCUUCCAAUAUGUCGAUCUUUACGUCUCGACCAUUUCGAGACUCCUCGUCAUGUCCUUGAUCUCAUCUGGGACUACGAACAACCUUCGGUACAUCAAAUCACAUAACUCAUAAUACAAAUCGUCAUCGAACGUUAAGCGUGCGGACCCUACGGGUUCGAGAACUAUGUAGACAUGAUCGAGACACAUCUCCAGUCAAUAACCAAUAGCGGAACCUGAAUGCUCAUAUUGGUUCCUAUAUAUUCUACGAAGAUCUUUAUCGGUCAAACCGCACAACAACAUACGUUGUUCCCUUUGUCAUCGGUAUGUUACUUGCCCGAGAUUCGAUCGUCGGUAUCAUCAUACCUAGUUCAAUCUAGUUACCGGCAAGUAUCUUUACUCGUUCCGUAGUGCAUCAUCCCGCAACUAACUCAUUAGUUACAUUGCUUGCAAGGCUUAUAGUGAUUUGCAUUACCGAGAGAGCCCAGAGAUACCUCUCUGACAAUCGGAGUGACAAAUCCUAAUCUCAAUAUACAAUAAACACCAUCGGAGACACCUGUAGAGCAUCUUUAUAAUCACCCAGUUACAUUGUGACGUUUGAUAGCACACUAUGUGUUCCUCCGGUAUUCGGGAGUUGCAUAAUCUCAUAGUUAUAGGAACAUGUAUAAGUCAUGAAGAAGGUAAUAGCAAUAAACUAAACGAUCAUAGUGCUAAGCUAAGGGAUGGGUCUUUUCCAUCACAUCAUUCUCUAAUGAUGUGAUCUCGUUCAUCAAAUGAUAACACAUGUCUAUGGUUAGGAAACUUAACCAUCUUUAAUUAACGAGCUAGUCAAGUAGAGGCAUAGAAGGGACACUAUGUUUGUCUAUGUAUUCAGACAUGUACUAAGUUUCCGGUUAAUACAAUUCUAGCAUGAAUAAUAAACAUUUAUUAUGAUAUAAGGAAAUAUAAAUAACAACUUUAUUAUUGCCUCUAGGGCAUAUUUCCUUCAGCUUGGCCUUAUACCCGCGGGCCUGCCCACUACAAAGGCUCUUGGAAAGACUUCCUGGUUAAUGUAGGACGGACGGUGAGGGCUCCCUAAGUUCAGAGCUUCCGGCUAAGUCUUGUAUGUGGCUUGUGGCUUGUGUUUGUCUCCUGAGGCUCAUCUACCACUCGUGUGUCUGCGCAGUCCGAGGUUUAAUGUCAUGUCGCCUGCAGGUGGAAACGUCACGAGCCAGUUUCGUCUUGUCUUGCUAGAUCGGGCUACUAGACUGUUGGUUCCGGCUCAUCAUGAUGAGGACACCUCGAAUCCCUCAUCCCCAUCUCGCGAAACGUGAAACCACAUAGGACGUGGGGCUCGUGUCGUGUCGUGAGGCUCGCCGAAUUACAGUAACCGCCACGACUCUAAAAGGGGGGAAAAGAGGAUAAGUUUCCUUCUGCUUCCUUCUUCUUCAUCCCCGCGCAUUCUGUCUAUUCGCCUCUUCCACCAUUGCCACGCUCCACGCAGCUUGCACACCUCCCUUCUUCAAUUCUAUGCACCCGUCGAGAUGGCCAAGACUAAGGCUGGUCAGUGGCAGACCCGCGUCUAGAGCUCCACCCAAGCGAUCGUGCCCGCAGAGCGGAAGCAGAAGAGGACCACUACCGAUGGUGAGCCGAAGAAGUGGGUGGUGAACGAAACCAGGAGGAAGUGGUUCCCGUCGGCUGCCUGCAUUGAGGAGCUCGACCAACUGGUGUCGGAGAAACCAAUGCCGGUGGAUCUGGUGCACAGGAUUAUCAGGAAUGAAGCUCCGACCGACGGCGAGCACGUGCUCCAUCGAGAGUUUUUUGGGCGAGGGCUCAACUUCCCACUGCAUAGGAGACCACCCUUUCCUUCGCUCUUAUUGUGUUUGAUUGUCAGGUUAUGUGCGGUGACCACUGGAUGCCGAGCGGAUUAAAAUCAACACUGAUGCAGGUAUAUCCACGGAGGCACACCUGUGAGGUGUGUGUNNNNNNNNNNNNNNNNNNNNNNNNNNNNNNNNNNNNNNNNNNNNNNNNNNNNNNNNNNNNNNNNNNNNNNNNNNNNNNNNNNNNNNNNNNNNNNNNNNNNNNNNNNNNNNNNNNNNNNNNNNNNNNNNNNNNNNNNNNNNNNNNNNNNNNNNNNNNNNNNNNNNNNNNNNNNNNNNNNNNNNNNNNNNNNNNNNNNNNNNNNNNNNNNNNNNNNNNNNNNNNNNNNNNNNNNNNNNNNNNNNNNNNNNNNNNNNNNNNNNNNNNNNNNNNNNNNNNNNNNNNNNNNNNNNNNNNNNNNNNNNNNNNNNNNNNNNNNNNNNNNNNNNNNNNNNNNNNNNNNNNNNNNNNNNNNNNNNNNNNNNNNNNNNNNNNNNNNNNNNNNNNNGAUGGUUUGCGUACGUGUGGAGGUGGAGAUUAAUAGCUUAGAAGGGGUGGUGAACCUCUGAAACUCACGCUGUUCUUCGUGCUCUAUUACAUCGCCAAUACAUAUUUAAGAGCUAACUUUACAGCACAUUUUAUGCUAUGCAAGUUUGUUUGCACUUGUGACGGAGCGUUGGACGAACUCCCGUGGUUUUUUCUUUGGGGGGGUUGGUUUUCUGUCACCAGCCGCGUAUGAAUAAAGUGUUUUAGUUGCUAAAAAAAGACAUGUUUUGAACAGAAGAGAAGGCCACUCGAGUCUCGAGGAAGAUCUGACAAAGUCAGUGAGAGGAAAAAACCGCCCAAAGCUUCCACGUGGAGCCCGCGGUGGGUCCAGGCGUCACCACGCGUACGUGGCGUCCUCCCGUUGGCCAACAUCCCGUCCAAGCAGCCCCUGAUUGGCCGGAACGACUCACGCCACGUCUCGCGGCACAGCCUCCCCGCCCAGCGCAUCUCGGCCGUCGCAACCUCCACCCCGCCUCAUCCCAGCCGUCCAGCCCCUCCGCAUCGCCCCUUCAAUUACGCCCGUCUCCUCCCCCAGCCUCGGUCGCUUCGAAGAUCGACACCAGUGGAAGUUCCAGAGAGAUCGCGGGGGAGGAGGAUGAUGGGAGGGCGCGCGGUGCUCCUGCUGGUGAUCUCGGCGCUGUUCGCGCAGAUCGGCGCGUCGGAUCCGGUAAUUGAUCUCUCCGUCUCCGUGCCGCCGCAUCCAGUUCUUUCUGUUUGCUUAAUUUUGGGUGAGAUUUGUGAUGUUUUGCGUGUGGUUUUGCAGCUGUUCCACGAGUCCUUCAACGAGAGCUUCGACGGGAGCUGGAUCGUGUCCGGCAAGGAGGAGUAUAAAGGUAAUUCUCUCGCCUUUACAUUGUUUGCCUGCCUGUUUUGUUACAUCUGUGAGAGAUCCGUGCGUGGGUUUAGCGGGUGGUUGGGUUUCUGAUCUGUUACGCGCGAUGUUCCACUGGCUUAUGAGGUUCUGAAUCUGAUCUACUAAUUUUGUGAGACGAUUUUAUGUGGAAUUCGAUGCAAUGGUUUAGUUGAGGCAGUGAGGAAUUAUCCCAAGCGAUGCGUUUGGGGGCGGUGAGAUCCAGAACAUGUUACAUGUUGUGCCGCACGUAUCAGGCAGAUAUUGCCUUUGUUCCUAUCGUACCUAUGGUGAUGCGUUAGUGCGGAUCCGCUACGCUUCCUCUGCCAUGGGCUUGUUGGUGAUGAUAAGCGCUCAACAGUUGUUAGCUUGUUAGUAGUCAGUUCGGCAUUUCAGUAUGGUAGAACAAUGCGGAGGAAUGAAGGCAGUAUGUUUUGAGUCUGGAUAUCAAUAUCCACAUGAUUCUGCAUCAGGUUAAUUAAAAUUGUUGCUCUAUGUUCCAUUUCCUUGCAAGCAUGUCAUAUGGUCGACGGAAAAUGCAGCACCUUGCUCUUAACCAUGUAACAUUACUAGGUGAUUUAUGGCUUGGCAACCUUAUGACUUGAUUUUUUUGAUCGGGAUUCUGAUGAUACAAAUGGAAUGGUGAUUUGUGAUGGUAUACCGUUAGUAGAUUGCUAGCUGUAGAAUCAUGUUCUUUGCAAGUCUUGUCUUACAGUUCAUUCAUGUUCAUGCCCUCUUUCCCCCCUAAUGAAUUGGGGUUAUGUGUUGAACUUAUGCUUCUUGUUCUUUGAUUGUAUGCGUUGUUUCCCAUGCCUUUCCUAGUUUAGGUUUUGCCAGGCAGCUAGCUUGAUGUUGUCCAUUGGACUCCAUUUCCUGUCAAAAUUUGUUGUUCCCCAAUACUUUUUGUAUAGCACUUAUAUGUAUCAAGUGUUGAUAUAAUCUGCCAUGCAGGUGUAUGGAAGCACGCAAAGAGUGAUGGCCAUGAAGACUAUGGUCUCCUUGUUAGUGAGCCUGCCAGGAAAUAUGCCAUAAUCAAAGAACUUGAUCACCCGGUUAUUUUGAAGGAUGAGACAGUUGUCCUGCAGUUUGAAGUGAGGCUUCAGAAUGGCCUUGAGUGUGGAGGUGCUUAUAUCAAGUACAUCCGUCCUCAGGCUACCGGAUGGAACGCCAAGGACUUUGAUAAUGAUACUCCGUACACAAUUAUGUUUGGUCCUGACAAGUGUGGUUCAACAAACAAGGUUCACUUCAUCCUGAAGCACAAGAACCCUAAGACUGGCAAAUACGUUGAACAUCACCUCAAGUCCCCACCCUCUGUCCCAUAUGACAAGCUCUCUCAUGUCUACACGGCUAUCUUGAAGCCGGAUAAUGAGGUCAGAAUUUUGGUGGAUGGGGUGGAGAAGAGCAAAGCAAACUUCCUG